GAGGGAGCAGAAUAUCGUGCCCAUACUCUUCUUUUGCCAUGUUGAAGACAUGCAUUAGUUGAGGGCAAUCAAUUAUCUGAACUGAUUCCAAGUGCGGAAGUCCUUGAGCCAAAGUGAUGGGAAACACAUAUCUCAAGCUUUCGCAACUAGCUAUCACAAGAGAUUUUAAUUUUGGCCAGCACAGAAGAGAGCGAUCCUUGUUUGAAAUUAUCUCAUCACCAUUUUCUGCUUCGGUGAUUAAAUGUUCCAAAGAGUUGCUUCCCUUUAUCCAGAGUUCUUCCAGAUGCACCAAAGUUUGAGCAAGUGUAGCUAAAAAGAGAUACUCCAGUUUAGAACACGAGCAAAUUCUCAUAGUUUUAAGAUUCUGGAGGUUAACAAGAUGGGUGGGUUCUCUCCAUAUGCACCUCAAUUCUGGUAAGGACUCCAGCUCCAAACAAAUUAAAUUUGAGAGUGGGGGUGCCUGAUUUUCCUCACAUAAAACAUAUAUUAUCAAUAAAUAAUUAUUUAAAUAUGAAUUCGUUGUACUUGUUCAAAAAAGUACUUAAAUAUUAAAGGCAUACAUUUUAAAAAAUUUUAAAACGAAGUGUAAAAAGCCACAAUUUAGAAAGAUUACAACUGAUGUUUACUUAUAUAUUUGGUAAUUUAACAUAAAAAAACACAAUUAGAUAAAGAACAAAUAAUAGAAUUAUUAAAGGAAAAAUGGAGAGAUGAGGGGUACCUCCAACUCAGCCAUAUCUUGGGCAAAAGCAAAGACUUGCUCUAAUUUCUUGCAUGCAGAUAUCUUGAGUUGUUCAAGAUGCAACAAACUUUGAGCAAGGCAAGGUGAGAAGAUUGAUUUUAGUUUAUCACAACCAUCAACUUUUACAUCCUUCAGAUUUUGUAGGCUUACAAGAUGAGUUGGCUCUUUCCAUAUACUCUCUAAUGCUGGUAAUGACUGCAGCUCCAAGCUUCUUAAAUUUGAGAUCGACCACAUACAACCAUUCAUUUGAAACACUGAUUGCAACUGUCCACAAUCGCAAAUGAUCAAUGUUUCUAAGUGUUGUAAGAAGCUAUUCGGUAAUUGACCAUGGCAUAACUCUUUCAAAGAAGUCAUUUUACCAAUGUCUAAGUUCACCAAAUUAGAGAAUGCAGUGGCUGGACUCUGUUCUCGUGUUGUAUCGAUCAAGCAUUCCAAAUCAUCGCAAGAUGUAAGCUGAAGAGAAGUUAAUUCAUUUAGUCCCCACUGAUCUACAUUUGGAACAACAGUUUUGUGUUCCAUGAUAUUCUCCAGACUCAGCCUUUCCACAUUGCGAAACAGCUCCUUAAAUGCAUUUAAUGAGGAGGAAUCUCUAAUUCUCAAUAUUCUCGAGAUAAGCUUUCUCGGAAUUUCAAUGUAUCCAUUUACACCUAUAUUGUAGCUUUGUAGUUUAGGAAACACAAAGUUUUCUUGAAAACAUUGAUCAGUAGAAACUGUCAAUGUUAAUGCAGUCAAACGAGACAACGAAUUCAACUCCGAUAAGUUGGCAAUGGUAAAACUUAACAUGUGUAGCUCUUGGAGUGACGUUAACCUGUUACACACAAAUACACAAUAUUAUUAACACAAUAACAGCACUUUCAAGCAGACAAUGAAAUAGCUACUAUUAAACUACAGCUUGCAAUGUUUCAUAAUAAUCGGAGUGACUAAAAGCUCAUGAUAUAUAUACAUAUAUAUAUAUAUAUAUAUGUAUAUAGUAGUCAAAUUGAAAACAACAAAAGGAAAAAUAAAAUAACAUAAAAUUAAAUUUUUUUUUUACUCAGCCAAGAAAAAAAAGAGAUUUAUAUAUAGACAGCUUAAAUGUACAAAAUAAGAAGAAACAAGAACAACCGCUCAAAGCAAAAAACUUAAAAAGAAGCAACUUGAUAGCUUGGCUGGAGGCAAAAUCAACACUUCAUAUGAGAUGACAUGUUACGGGAUUGGUGUCAGUACACAAGAGACCAACAUAUCAAACAGUCUCAUAAAAAUCGACCAAGGCAAAGAUGAAUAUAUUGGCACAAUCAGAUUGCCAGCGGGAAACAAUAAAAUUAAAUACUUAAGUAAAAACAAUUAGAUAAUCAGUUUUAAUGACAUCUAAGUAUUACCUUGAUAUCAAGUUAGGGGGGACAUGUCUGUCUUCAUCUCCAACCCAAAAAAUAUAUAGUGACUUUAGUCUGCGCAACUCCACUAAUUCUUCAGGUAAUUCAUCAAUAUAAGUUCUAAUCAAAGACAAAGACUCAAGAUUUUCUAGAUUUCUCAACGAUGAAAUGUUCUCAACGUCACACCUCAUAAUGCACAGAGUUCGCAGAUUUGUUAGGAAUUGAAGUGCUUCCAUUGAGAAUACAACACGUUGAAGAAAUAAAACUCGGAGGGUUUUCAUUCCUUCAAAAAAUUUACUCGGAACUCUUAGGUAAUCUUCUCCCGUUAAAAACAAAGUCUUGAGUUUUGAAAAUUCUAAUUUAUCGGGAAAAUUAACUAUCUUAAUAUUCCAUAAGGAGAUUGUUGUGUAACAACCAAAAAUUUCACUCUUAGGCCAUUCCGUCAGCUCAUUUUUUACCAUGAACAUAUUUUCCCCUCUUGAUGUUAUCCAAUGAGCAAAAUCACGAACCACAUCAUGCAUUUUUACAUAGAAUUCAUCGUCAGUUUCCAAUAACAAACCAAACUUUUGGAGCUUUGAUAGUGCUAGAUGAAUUUCCCUCCUUAUUUCUUCAAUUAAGUUAAUAUGACAAAACAGUCCCUGACCAAUUCCGAAUUCAGUCAACAACUCAACAUUAAUAUCAUAAUCUUCUGGAAAAAGAGAACACAACAAGAAACAUGACUGAAUAUUUUCUUCCUUCAAAUAAUCAUAACUAAGCUUAAGGCAGCUAUAGAUACCUCCACAAACAUCUUGAUUAUCCAAAUGUCUUGACUCCUUAAGUCGUUGAUUUGCUGCUAUCCACCCAUUUAGACUUUCACGUUUUAGAGCUUUCGCCAUAGUUACAAUUGCAAGAGGCAAACCCUUAGCUUCACGAGCAACCUCCUUGGCUACAUCAUUCAAGGUGGGAGAGGCAUCUUUUAGACCAGCAUUAUCUUUGAAUAAAGCCCAUGCCUCAUCUUCAGACAGAAUGUUCAGUUUAAAUUCUUCUUGACAAUUCAUUUGACUACAGACUUGUCGAAGACGUGUAGUUAGAAGAAUUUUGCAACCAGGGUGUUUGUCACCAGAUGGAAUUCCUAUAUUUCGCAAUUCAAACUGUUCCCAAACAUCAUCGAGAAUAAUGAGAAUCUUCUUCUCGCCUUUUAAUCUCUUGAAUAACUCUUCUGCUUUUCCUUCUUCUGUACUUGCAUUAAAUUUUAAACCCAAGAUUUCAGAAAUUCUAUGUUGAAUUUUGUUGAUGUCUGGAUUUUGAGACACCCCCCUAACAAUCACAACUUUAUCAAAGAGCUUUUCUUCCGUAGCUUGCUUCCCCACUACUUCCGCCAAAGUUGUUUUACCCACUCCUGGCAUUCCGUGCAAUCCAAUCACGUUCACACCAUCACCUUUUAAAGCCUUCAUGAUCCCAUUGAAAGCUAACGUUGAAGAUUCGGAACGCAUGAAAUCCUUGGGUAGUAGGAACUCUAUUCCUUGAAGAGGAGGGCGCUGGCCGACUAGUGGAAAGUUACAGGUCUCUAAAAGUUUAGAGAUACAAAGAUUCUUCUUCGCGACUUUCUUACUUAAGCAAUAUCGCCAACCCCAACUAGGACACCAAUUGAAACACUUGUUACGCUCUAUUUCUUCUUCCAAACUCUGAGCUUCUCCCAAUUCUUUAUCUGCCUUUGUUAGCCACUCCUCAACGCCCUUCUUAAUUACCUCAGUUUGCCUUAAAGCCUCAUCGACAGCAUCUUUCAACUCAUCUCUUUUUGAUUCAAGUUCAUUUCGCCGGUUCUUGAAAUCUUCAACAAUUUCGCCAAAACGGAAAAAGUAACGGAGAUAAGGUGAUGCGUAUUCUGUUGCUAAGUUCCCCGCGGUACCGCUAAUAGCAGCGCAAACACAUUCAAGAAACAUUCUUUGAUGAUCUGAGGCUGAAAAACAAUUUGGAUGAGUAAAAUGUUUUACAGAGAGACAAAAAGUAAUUACGAAAUGUUCACAAAAUAUCUCGCCUUUGCAGCAAUACUUUUAUAAAAUAUGUGAAUCACAAGAGAACAAAUUGUCCGCCGACUAACUUGGAAAUUGAAAAUGCUGCACAAGUAGAAAUUAUUCACUGGUCAUGUGUAUAGUAAUUAGAAAUAUAUCUUACAUGUUAGAGUAAAAUCAUAGUAUUAUGAUUCUAUAAAAUACUUUCUCAAAAUUUAAAAUAUCUAUUUAUUUCAGUUUUUUCCUAAUAGCUACAGCUUUUGUGUAACCAUGCAUGCUCGUCAUGGGCAAGGAAAGAAGUAAAGUGCAAAAUUAUUAUUUUUAUUUUCCAAGUGAAGAACUCAAGAAGUCAAAUGCAUAAGUGACAAGAGAAAUAAAAAGCAUAGCAAAAAUUAUAUAUGGACAAUAUAAUAUGUAUUGUUGAAGCUUACCUCACUUCGAAAGGAUCUUCUAACGCUGCAUGGAUUUUUUCUUCACCAACUCCGGAGAUCGGGAAAGUAAAAUUAAGGACUUCUUUUCUGGAUAGAAAGCAGAGAAAUCCAAAUACUAGAGGUAGCAGCUUUGGGUUUUUUUUUUUUUUUUGGCCUUUGUGGAGCUGAGGAAAGGAAACGUAGGGAUCAAAGAACAGUUUUUGUUUUUUAUUUUUCUGAGUUAAAAGAAAAUGAGGAAAGUAGAAACCAAUGGAAAAAACGAACAGAGAUUUUUUUUUUUUUUGAGUUGAAAGAAAAUGAGGAAAGCAGAAACCAAUGACAAUAAACCAACAGAGAUGCUUUUCUGUUUUUGAGUUGAAAAAUUGAGUGGAAAAAUCAAGGAAAAUGAAAUGGAAAAUUAAGGCAGAAAUCAAACAAAAUCUUUGGGAUAGUGCAGCUCACAGAUGUGGAGAUGGUAGAAGAAGAAGCUUGAAUGGAAACUCUAUGAAGACGAAGUAGUGAGAGUAGGUAUAGGAACUUUGGAACACUAAUAUUCAAAUUAGGAACAACGGAAAAAAAUUAGCAACUUGGCUUACACUUCCCAUGUAAGAUUCUCUUUUCUUUGAUAUGCGAGAGCUAAUGCUAUACAUUGAGAAAGUUAAUUUGUUUUAUUUAUCGUUUUUCAGUUGGCUUUUCCAUAGUUUGUCCCCCUUUUGUUUUUUCUUCCCUGGUUGUGGGUGGUGCUCGAGACACAAAUGUUUAUUGCUCCCUCUAGCUAAAAGCUCUUUGGCCAGCAUGUGCAAUCAACAUUAUUAUAUAAUGUUUAUAGAUUUGAGGAUUUUUGUUUACCACUAGAGACAGUUGCAUGUGAACGAAUUAGAUAUUCUAUUCAAAUUUUAAUUGGGAAUCAGUAAAAUUUCAUUAAUAAAAAAAUUAUUUGGUGAUUAAGUUUAUUUAAAGGAUAAAUAUAGUUAAUGAUUAAGAGUUUUUAAUGGAUAGGAAUUCAUGGUGACAAAGUAAUAUGGUUUUAUAAAUAUGGAAUGUGUCUUAACUUUUAAAAUUAAGAUAGAGAUGAGAUCUUUAUAUGAUCUUAUGUAAAAGAUAAUUUUUUUUAAAUGGAGUUUUUUGUAAAAACUUCACAGAAUUAUAGAGAUGUGAGAAGGAGCACGAGAAAUACAAGAAAGAGUAGGGGAAACGCAGUUUGCAUGGGAUCGAAAGUAUUUUAUGAGUUGAAACAAUAGGGAGCACAGAAACUGGAUUUGUUUCGAAGCUUAAGUUUAGUAUUUGUUUUUAUUUGUACUUUUUGUAAUCUCUAUGCCUAUAAUGAAUUUUUCUGAAUGCAUAUUAAAUAUUAUCUCUUAUAUGUGCUUUAUAAAUUAAAUUUUCAUUUGUAAUUUAUUUACUUAACUUACAAAAUAUAUAGUAUAAAAAGGAGGGUUUUUCUUUCUAGUUUUUUAGUGAUAUAUUACCUUGGACUCCGCACCUGGUCUUUAAGCUCAUGUGGUUAAAGCUCAGCAGAGUAAUAAGAUUUGGUCAUUAUCUUGGGCUUUACGUUGACCCAACCAGAGCAAUCUACUCUCAUUUUAAGGAAAGGAAGUACUUAUUGUAAACCUUGAACUAGUGGGAGUAAUUGUUUAUAUACCUUUCUCUCUUCCAAAACGUUGGUCCUAUCCUUUUAUUUCGAAUUUUUUCAUUUUUUAGUUAAUUUUCUUUUAAAAAAUUAUAUUCUGUGGAGGGAGGACAUGAGCCCGUAGUGAAAAUGUAUUUGUAUUAUCAAAAUCAAAUAAAAACUAAAAGAAAUAUCAUCAAAAACAGGGGUCAAAGCCUUGUACCCUUUCUAUACUUUUAUCACUUCGCUUUUUCCGUUAUAUUUGGUCUUUGAGGUGAUGGCCUUGGAGUAGUAAUGUAUUCUUCCAACAAUUACUAGUCAUUUUACAAUAAUAGGAAAUUUUUUAGUAAAAUAUUUAUAUAAUAUAUUGCCCUGUUUAAAUUGUGUAGGCCUCAAUAAGUUAAAUUUUGAGCUGAUUAAAUUAUCGAAAAUUAUCCAAUAAACUGUCAUGGAGUUUGAAAACUUUAUCAAUGGAAUUAGGAGGUUGCAACAUAUUCAUUCGGAUAUAUUUGAAAAAAUAAAUAAAUUAAUCUGAUAAAUAAAAGGAUAUUAAUUUGACAAUAUUUUAAUUUUACUAACAAAGUUAAAAUCUCACCGAGGAUGCAUAGAUUAAUAGUCCUUAAAAUAAUCCCUUUGUUUUUACAAUUGAGGGACAUUGAUCGUUACAUGCAUUAGUAGUGGAGAUUUGUUGCCUUUUCCUUAAAAGAUCAUUACAUUUUUUGCUUAAUUGCAUGCUUGUGUUCGGCUUAUAUAUAUAGGCUUUCAUUAGUGCUUGUUGAAUUAUGGCAGUGAAGUGUUUAGUAGAGUUGAUAUGAAUGAAGUGACUAUCCAGAGAUAUUGCAUCGUAUCGUUUUCUGCUUAUUGGGUUCCAUUGCUUGGAGCAUUUCUGCAGUUUCUGCGUACUUAUUUGCUACAACUUGAAAGAAAUGAGCAUGGCAAGAUUGUAUACAAAUUUGCCUAUGACUUCAAAUUUAGUUCGGCUUGAUCAACAAAAGAGGAAAAUUUCAGUUGAGAUUUUAGCAUUUUGGUUACUGAAUGAGUGACUCUAGGAAGAUGGAUAACGUUCAUGCAUGCUUGCGAAGCUCGUUUGGUAAUAUAUAGCACAAAAAGCAUAGUGAACCCAACUUCGAAACACAUGGAUGCCAUCUAUUUUUCUAACAACAGCCGUGGCAAGCGUGAGCAUACCAAUUCUAAGUUCUAACAUUGGGUUUAGACCACUUUAUCAAAUUUCAAAGCCUUUCUUUAGUGCUUUUUUCCCCUGGAUUUCUUGGUAGAAUUAACUGGUGCCGUAAAAGAGGGCCAUGUUGGGGAUGGCAGGGGACGGAUUAGUGUAAUUUUUUUAUAUUUAUAAUUGAAACAAAUUAGAGGAAUGCAGAUUAGGGGACAGUAGAUUAUGGAAACGGUGGAAGACAUUUCAGCAGGUGGAUUCUUUAAAGGAGGUGAUAGGCAGUGUAUUAUUCUGUGAGUGCUGAUUUUUUGGCAAAGGAAGGUGCAAGGAGAGAAAGUUUUUAUUGGAUAUUGUCAUUACCUUGAGAUUUACAUUGAGCCAGUGGGAUUAAUUAUUAUUAUUAUUUUUUUGUUUUUAAGAAAAAGAACCACUUUUUGUAAACCGUGAACUAAUGGAGGCAAUUGGUUUUAUAUACAUAUUGCUCUUGCAAAACAUUGUAAUUUAGAAAUUUAGAAGUAGAGGUAUACGUUGAUCCCUUCAUUAAUUCGACAACUUCCAUAUAAAACAAAAGCUCAGCAGAUGAAGACGAAGCUAGCAGCUAGCUUGGAGGGAAGUGUGUAAGGCACUAAGCAGCUAGCAGUACAAUUCCUGGCCUCAGUCAUGGUUCACUUUUUGCCUAUGGAGACGCAAUCUCUUUUUAUAAUCAAUUUGUUUUCAUUUGACACUCUGUUUAAGAUGUAGUAGCUCAAUCUCAGCCAUAUACACGAAUAAAAUAAAACGACGGUAUUUACUUGGUUAAUUGGUUGUUAGCCAACUUGAUGGAAAUCUAGUAAUUAAAAGCCAAAGGAAAAUAUCAUCAAAAUCAGGGGCCAAAGCCUUUCGCCUUUUUUAUAGUUGAUGCUCCUUCCAGCUUUUACCACAUUGCUUUUUCCUUUACACUUGGUCUUUGAGGUGAUAGCCUUGGAAUAGUAAUGAGAACCACCCAAAACCAAUUAAAGUAGAUGAUAGAUGAAAGAAAGAAAUGAGAAUACUUGUUAAUUUGCUACUAAGUAGCAGCAGCUAGUCAAAUUCAGAUUUAUGCAUUAACAUAGUUUCACCUUCUUGUUAAAAUUUAUUCUGAUUCUUCUGAUGUAGCUUUAUUUACCCAGCAGCGAGCCUUCAAAAUCAAACAAAGUGGGACAUGAAGAACAAAAAUUAGCUUGGGACAAUCUUCAACCGAAGAAGUCAAAUUUGGAAAUACAAGAUGGUAACAUUAUAUAAUAAUUGAGGGAGCACUAUUUGCUUCUCUUUCUGGGUACUUACUUCUUCAUCUGCAAUUCCAAAUAGUUGCUCUAGUUCAGAAGAUCCUUCGACUGUGAUUAUUUCUAGUUUUGGCAGAGCAACAUUAACCGGAAACAGACUUUUCAUUUUAUUUCAGUAACCAACACAAAAUCGAUUCUUUCAACAACCCCAACCCCCGCAUAAGCCAGAAUUUCAAUUUCAUUACUUUUGGAAAUGAGAAAAACAAGAAACUGAGUGCGUACUGGUAAUAUUCACAGUCAAACGUAUUGCAUAUUUCAUCUGAUGGUAAAGGUUGUUGCAUCAUAUUUGAUAAACAAAGAGGAGAUAUUCGGGAUUUUUUUUUCUUAAUUUUAAUUUGGGCAUUGAAAUUUUAUUAAAGAGUGUUAGGCCUUGAAAAAGGGGAAGAUGUUUUUGGCAUAGAAACUUCAAGGACUUUAUAUUUUUCUUCUUCCAAUUGCCAUUGGUUUGUAAGCAAAGAUGGGAGUAAGGAAUGCAGUUGCCAAAUCUAACAAGUUUGUUUCACAAUUGAGGGGCUAUGUGAUCUGAUGUCUCAGGGUGAAGAUUUGUUACUUUUUCUCCCAGCGUUUUACAAGCAUGGAAAACCAUGGGGAAAUUUGUUGAUGUCUGACUCAGACAUGCAAGUAGACAUUACAAAUCAACUAAACAUUGUAAAAGAGAAGCAAAGAUCAACCAGCUGCAAGUCAACUAAACACAGAGAAAAACCAUGUUGCUCACAGUCCUUUCCCAAGUCAGAGAGGUAUAACUCCUGCAAAGACAUAAAUAUAUCAUAAUUUCAUUAGAAAUUGAAUAGAUUACAAAGGGCCAAGACACUGUUGCCUAAAUAUUGGAAGAGAAAAAUGUCUUGAAUCCCAAAGAAAGAACAUAUAUCACUCUAUGCAUCUAAUUAAUCAUAACUCAAGCAAUUACUUUAAUAUACGAUUGAUUAUAAGUGUACGUUAAUAAACUCAGUUACAAAGAUCAAUUAACAUAUGACCUCAAAAGUACAAAGCUUUCAUAUUAUUUCAAAAAAAUUUAGAUAAGCUCAUAUCUUUUUAUUGUAUUUAAUUAAAUUUUUUAAAUAUUAAUUUUCAAUAUCCAAACCUUUUUUUUUUUGGAUAAAACCCAUAGAUGAUGGUUAAUCCUUUAACAUGCGAUAAUAACUCCGUCACUGCAUGCAAUUGAACUUCCUAAUAAAUUCACAACAAAAUGGAAGAUACUAGAAAAAUUGGAAAGGUAGAUAAUACACCUUAAAUCAGAAUUGAAAUAUUUUUAUAUGUGUAAAAAUUAGAGAUUUGGGCCAAAAGAAAAUUUUGUACCUUUUCUUUAAAGCUUAUUAAAGUAGAAAAAUAAACUAAAGUUUGGAGUAUAAAUAGUGUAUAGUAUAUAUACAGGUAAAUGUCAAUGUAAUAAAAGUUUUCGAUGGGAAAGAUGUUUUCUUAUGAAAUAAACAAUCAACUAAUAAGUAUCAAAAGAAACAUUGGAACAAAUGAAAAUAUAACAAAAUUACCUUCAACUGAGACUGCGACGUAAGUCUUUGUGGAUCUUGGGAAUGAGUCAUUAAUUGGGGUUGGGGACUAAUAUUGCAAGGGUCAAAAUCUUUCGAAGAUGGUAACAUGGCAGAAUAAUUUCUUGGACAAAAGCUCCUCAAGUUUUUCAAGUUUUCAAGUGUUUAAAUCUGUUAUUGAGGGAGCACAAUACGGUGCCCAUCCUUUUCUUUUCCCAUGUUGGAGACAUGCAUUAAUUGAGGGCAAUCAAUUAUCUGAACCGAUUCCAAGUACGGAAGUCCUUGAGCCAAAGUGAUUGGAAACACAUAUUUCAAGCUUUUGCAACUAGCUGUCUGAAGAGAUUUCAAUCUUGGCCAGCAUAGAGAAUAGCAAUCCAUAAUUGAAACUAUUUCAUCCCCAUUUUCUGUUUCUAUGAUUAAAUGCUCUAAAGAGUCGGUUUUCUCUAUAUGGAGUUCUUCCAGAUGCUUCAUAGAUUGAGUAAGGGCAGGCAAAAAGAGAUAUACAAGCUUAGAACAUGACCAAAUUCUCAUAGUCGUUAAGACUUCGGAGAUUAACAAAAUGGGCAGAUCCUCUCCAUAUGCAUCUCAAUUUUGGUAAUGACUCAAGCUCCAAACAAGUUAAAUUUGAUAGUACUUGUGCCUCAUUUUCCUCACAUAAAGAAUAACACAUAAAAGUUGAGAGAUAUAAAGCGUCUUCUUUGCAUCUUUGAUACUUAUGCAGUAUCGCCAGCCCCAACUAGGACACCAAUUGAAAUACUUGUUACGCUCUAUUUCUUCUUCCAAACUCUGAGCUUCUCCCAAUUCUAUCUCUGCCUUUGUUAGCCACUCCUUAACGUCCUUCUUAAUUACCUCAGUUUGCCUUACAGCCUCAUCGACAUCAUCUUGCACCUGAUCUUUUUUCGAUUGAAGUGCUUUUCGCUGCUUCUUGAAAUCUUCAACAAUUUUGGCAAAACAGAAAAAGAAAGUGAGAUAAGGUCAUGCUUAUUCUUUUGCCAGAUUCCCUACAGCAUGUAAAACUGCGGAUGGCAAUUGUAUUCAGCCUGCAACAACAUUGCCCGUAGACUAGAAAACUCAAUAUCACAGAGAAGGAAGGAAAGAUAUGGGAUGAAACAAGAAAGGGAACCAAAAUAAAAAAACAAAAAAGAGAUGAAGGAACCUGACCCUCUCAAAGAAAUAAAAACCACAACAUUGUACACCAGCCAAUGAAAACCCACAACCUUAAAACAUGUCGUAUCAAAGCAACACCUUAAGUGCCCUUGAAGAGUGGACCAGUUUCAAGCCACAGUAGAGCAACCACACCUCACUGCAAAAUACAAUAAAAAUAAAACACAUUAAGCACAACGUAUAUAAUGUCAGAAAAUGAUAAUGGCAGAUGUAGCGAGCAUAGACAAACUAGUCAUUUCAUUUGUUUUUUAUUAACCUUCCAUGCAAUUAAAGUAACAAAGGGUGGUCAAACAGAUUCAGCAUGCUUGCAUUCUUUCUGCUUUUGCUAAGAGCCAGGAAUAAUUAUGAAAAUAUGUAUAAUUCGUAAAAUCAUGUUUACCUGCUGUGGUUGUUGGUAAGCUUAUGGUUGCUGGUAAUUCCCAUAUCCAAGAUAGCCCCCAUAGGACAUGUUAGGAUCUUGGGGAGGAGGUGCAUAUCCAUAUGCUUCAAAUCCUUGAGCAUAUCCAUAAUAUCCACCAUUCCACUAGGCCUGAUCUGGUUGAGCCUGAAACUCCAACAGAUUUCCCUCUUAGUUUGUAGAAAUAUAUAUAGCAAGGUUUUAAUUACAAAAUACCAUGAUUUUAAAUACAAAACCUGAUUGCUUGAAGGACUACAUCCCCAUGAAAGUCAAAUGUUUCUUCCUCCUAAUACGAUGCCAUUCAAAACUGAUAAAGCUUGCUCUGCGUUAGUCCUGAAGUAUAUCAAAUUGCAGAAUAAAUUAAUAUAAUAUAAUAAUAUUUCACGCACUUAAAUAUUCGGAAGAAUUUACAGCUUACCUAUUAGCAUAUUGAACAAAACCACAACGCUUGUUAGCAGGAAUUUUUACAUGAACUACCUCACCCAGCUGGCUAAAUAUUUGUUUUAAUUGGUCUUCAGAAACACUAGGAUCCAAACCACCAACAAAUAUCUGCAUUUAAGCAUGUAAGAUUUCAGUCGACCACACCAUGAAAUAAGCAUAUUAAUAUAUAUAAAAAAGCUACCCACUGUGGUAUUAUUUGGAUCAUUCUCGCCAGGAUUUCCUUGAGUAUUUGGGUAAGAAGCUGCAAAUGACAAAUACAUGUAAACUACAAUAGAAUGAGAUGAUAAAAAAGCUCAUUGCUUCUCAAAACUCAAAUUAAACAUUGUUGAAAAAACCAAGCAUUAAGAUAAUACACUUAAAAAUACUAAAAAAGUUCUAAAAAAUUCCCUCCAUGGCAUGCAAAAGAACAAAAAUGUAAAACCACCAGCUAUACAUCACUCAAAAGUUACAAUUACAACCAUAAACCUCUUUGGGUUACAUCAAGGCUUACCAUUACCAGGGAAAGUGAAAAGUAUCAGACUAAAUGGAUUUCAAUAGUAGCCCAUAAAGAAAUCAUUAAUUACAUUACACUCAGGGAAUCGGUAAAGGUCCUAUUCUUUCAUUAACCUUUUACAAUAGCAUGAAAAGGAGAAAAAGGAAAAUUGAAAUCAGAGACUUAACUUUUCUCUGCACUUGACAUGAAAUAUUUCCUUUUGCUCCUUUCUUUCACACAUUUUUUGUAAGGGGGAGGGGAGGGAGGGAGGAAGCUGUCAGGGCUUAAAUAGAAUGAUUCACAACUUCAACUUCAAAGAUUAUGUUUUAGUAGAAAGAACCUAUCUGCUAAACUAAUUUCAGAAAUGCUUUAACAUUCUCUGCGUAGACAGAAACCUAUAGAGAUUAUAUUAGCAGCCACAAAAUGAUAAGAUGAAGAACAUAUUUAGAAAAUAAGGAAAUUCCUCUAAACUGAAGUGAUGCAAAACCUCAAAUGACAAGUAGAAAAAGAAUGCCUUGAAAAUGCAAUAUUAAUACUGGUAGAUUCAUACACAGCUAGGCCAUCACUAUUUAGGUUUUGGCAAUAAAGCAUGCACGAGUGAUCCACUUCCAUUGAGGUUAAAUCCAUUAACUGAAAAUGCCUUUAACUACAAGUCCCAGGUUUCUUUCCUGACUCAAUUUGUCCUCAUUUGUAACAGAGCAAUAGAAUGAGGACAAAGAAGUUACUAUAACGUUUAAAAGAAGCACAGAUAUAAAAUGCAAUAGAACAAAAAUUGCCCCAAGGCUCAAUAACAGAAUGGUGCAUGAUAACAUCCAUACCAACUUUACCCAUGGCUGCUUCACCUAGUUUUGAGCAUUACAGCUUGAAUUUAAAGGAAACAAAGAGAAGAGUGUAAACAUAUGCAAGUAUCAAAAGGGAACUUAUCUACGACGAACUUAGAAAAAAAAGGUUUCUGGAGUGGUAAAAGUAUCUAAAAAAAGAUUCAAAGGAAACAUGUUGGGAAAACUGAAACAACUUGUACUUGACUGGAAUACUUGAUAAGGAACUAGAAAAGUAAUUUACGAAUGUAGCACAAAUACUGCCACGAGAAAAUGAGGCUUACGAUAUAAACAAAGUAACUGACCUAAAAUGGGGCCACGCAUUAAAGUGGGAUCAUUUCAGCUGAUACCAGUUCCAGGCUCCCCAAAAUGAGAGCCUUUUUGGUGUCCUGCUUUAAGACAACAUGAGUUUUAAAUAAGUUUGUGAACGUUUUAAUAUAAUUAAACGUGCCCAAGUUUGCAAAGGCAAACUGAAAGGAAAUGACUUUGUAUAAAUUCUGCCGAUCUUCAAGUGCAUAACUGAAAGAAUUCAAAUUUUAAGGACACUGUAACAACUAACAAGUAACAACCUCGACUCAGAAAAUUAAAACCCAAAAACAAAAAUAGAAUAACCAACAAGCAUUCAACUUGUCAAGUCAAAGUUCUCUAAGAUAAAUCAUGGCAGAUAAAAACUAUAAAAAAACCAAGCAACCUUCAUGUUAGUUUGCCAAGAUCUAUUGAUGAGCAUGAAAAAUGCUCUGUAGAAAAGAGUAAAACCAGAAAACUAGAAGAAGAGAAAAACUGAUCAGGAAAUUGGAAGAAGAAAAACUAACUUCUCAUCGAGUCAAGAGUCUGUUACACCUAUUUAUACACAAGUCAUGCUGACAUCAAAGAAAGCCAAUCCUAAUUACAAAAUAAUUAAAUAUAUAAUCAGAUAUCUAUUUACACUUGGACACGUGUAUGUAUUUAACACUUCAUAUGAAAAUCAAGAUAAAUAAUGAAUUUAACAUAACCCGUUUGCUUAUUCCUAAUCAGCUUAGCUGAAGCCACCUAAACUAUCCCAAAAAAAUUAAACUUCCUUUAAUUACUUUUUACUGAUUUUAUUACUUAAGUAGUUAAGUUUAAAAGGAAAAGAAAGGAAAUUCAUUUAAAUAACAAAAGGGAAUAAUAUUUUGAUUUAUUAAAAUGUAUAUAAAACUGUGAAUUUUAUUGGACUAUAUUUGCUCCGUUUAAUUAAAUUUUAUUAUAUUUUUUUACUAUUUUACUAUUUACUUAGGCACUCUUAAAUCUUUUUUUUUUCUAAAAGCCCCUAAUUUUUUUUUCUAAAAUAAUAUAAUUAACUAAUUAAUUACCUCUCCAGUGUGAGCGAAGAUGUUGAUGAGGUAAUUCUCAUCCAUCCACUGCUAAAGAUCACCGAUCUAGAAGGAUCGAAUCUCACUGGAGCCGCAACGGCUGAAUCGGUGGAGUACUGCUGCAUCUGACCUAGCGGAGGAACGGGUUGUGGAGCCCAGUCGGAAGGUGGAGGAACCGGCUGACCCGCCUGUUGCUGCUGUUGUUGUUGUUGCAUCAUCAUCCACGGCUGCUAUUGCGGUUGCUGCUGGUACUGCUGGGUUUGAGACUGAUCAGCUGCCAUGGACUGCGGUGGAGCUACACCUCCUGCUGGGGGUUGUUGCAUCAUACUCGAUAGAUAGAUAGAUAGGGAAGAGAAUCGGGAGAUCUCAGAGAGGAGAGGAAACCCAAGUGGGGAAUUGAAAUUUUAUAAAGAGAGGAUUUUGUUUUAUUGACCAGAGGAUGCUUGUCGGGGUAACACGUGGAGAAUAGGAAUUACGUGGCAGUAAUGGGCUUUUGAUAGGGUAAAUCGAGUAUUCGGCUUGGUAUGGGCUAGAUUGGGCUGAGUUUGGGCUAAAAUUCUUUUUCUUUGUUAAUAAAAAACGUUUCUUAAGGAUGUAAUAAAAAAAGUUUUAAAAAAGAAUUUUUAUAGACAAUUGAAAUUUGGUGUUAAUAAGCAUAGCAAAAUUUUUUGAAAAUUAAGUAAUUAAAUGGAAUUGAAAUUUGAAAAUUAUUAAUAUAUUUUUAUGGUAUAAAAAUUAAUUAUUAUUUUAUUUUAUUCCCUUUAUAAAUUUUAUGACUUAUAAUUAUGAUGAUUUAGUAGAUGUCUGAUAAAUUAUUUCUUAAUCUAUUAAAUAGGAAAAUUUUUUUAUCAUUUCCCUUCGUCUCAUUAUCUUUGUUCUUUAUUGAUUUUUUUGUUAAAUAAACUCUGACUUUGAUCAUUAUUUUUAAAAACAUUGUAAAGUUAUAAAAUUUUGAAUUUUAAACAUUUAAAAUUUUUUUUUGAAUUUUUAAUUUUAUAUAGUAGUCGUUUAAUAUGGUAAGAAAAGUACAACAUGGUAAGAAAAGAAAUUAAAUUGAACUUAAUAAUUCUAAGUGCAUGCAGAAAUGGUCCAAUCCCUUUUUAUAAUUUUUAUUGUAAGCAUUACUUGGUAAAAUUUUCUUCUAUCAAUGAGUAAUUACUUCAUUUUAAAUGCUUUUUGCGAACUUGUUGCCUGGACUUUACUACCAUGGCCAGAUCUUAUAGGUUGGAGUACUAAUCAAACUCUCAAUAUUUCAAUAAAUCACUUAAAACCUUCAUAAAAUAAAAAUCUACUUGGCUUGUAUAGGGAAAUUAAAGUUUAAUUUCUGACGCAGGAGCGUCAAUGAUUGUAUUUUAUUAAAUUUAGUUUUUGCUAAUUUAGUUGAUUUAUGAUUUAUUUUCUUUAUUUUAUUUAAAUUAGGAUUCUUUUCUUAUUUUUAUUUUAAUACUUUUAAGAAUUAGUAUUUGAUUAGGAUAGUUAUGUUCUAUUUAGGAAUAGAACACCUAUUUUAUUUAAAUCUCUUAUUAAUUAUUCUAAUUGUAUUAGAUAACUAGGAGUAGAGUUUUAUUAGGAUUUGGGCCUAUAAUACUAUAAAUAGGACCCUUAGGCUUAGUUACGAGACAUUCAGAAUUGAGAGUUAAUAAAUAAUAUUUUCUUAAGCAGGAGUGCUUAUUUCUCUAGACUCUUUUAAAGGGUAAGAGGUUUUAAUAUCUUUGGCCUAGCCAACCAAAGUGGGAUUUUGGCUAUUUUUCACCUUAGUGGGGUUUUCAACCUUGCCAAGAUUGGUGAUUCACCUUAGUGGGGUUUUCAACCUCGCCACGAUUGGUGUUUUUCAUAACGCCUAGGUGUCUUUACAACGCCCCGGCGUCAAUUUCCCAUGUCUUGAUUUAAAAUAUAGAAAUAAGGAUAAGAAAUAGAAGAAUUUUAAGCUUAUUCUUCUACUAAUUGUGGAUGCAGUGAGAAACAUAACAUUGAUUAGGUAAAUUACUGAAAGCAAGUGAUCCCUUUGCUUGACAACUCUGUGAAGCCAACAUCUUGAUCAACCCAAAGCACAAUAAUUUCAACUACCUGUUUUUUUUUUUUUUUUGUUUAUGUAAAUAAUAAAGAUUAGCACAAGUAAACUACUAAAACUUGAUUAGGACUAGGCAAACAAGUGAGAGAAAUGAAAAUGGAAAGUAGCCUUUGAUCUACCUGUGUUUAGUUAAUGGCUCCAACAUACUCAUUGAUGUUUAAACAUGCCUUUGCAACUUCCCCUGCAAUCAUCUCAUAGUUCUUCCUUGUAAGGUGGUAGCUCACAAAGGCUCUUGCUCCGUCGAAUGGUCUUGGCGUCUUGCUUAACUGGUUGCGGUGUCUUUUUUAAACAAUUGAAACAAGGGAAUGUAAAACAAAAGUAUUAAUGUUACAUGUUAUGAGGGUAAAAGAAAAAAUAGACAUAUUAUAAUUUAUAAGCAUUUUAGGCCACAAAUUCAUUAAAAGUAAUGGAAUCAUUCACUAAAAGUGAUAUUCUAGAUCAAUCUUUUGGUUGCAGUGUACUACUCAAUCAUUUAAGUAAUUUUAGUAAAGACUUUGAAAAAUUAUGUAGUAUAAUAUUAUUAAAGACUAUAAUUGCCUUUGCACAUACUAAAUAAAAUCUUAAACUUAAUUCACAAAUCAACAAUAAAAACUCUUAAUCAUCAAUAACGAUUAUGUUGGGAGGAUAAGGAGAAUGAAUAAGGUAUUUUUAGUUUUUGUGAAUAAUAUUCUUGCAAAAGUCCAUGAAGAUGGCUUCAAAGGAUUUGGGAUCAAUUUGGAAAGGUUGUCAAUACAUUGUAGGGAGAAAUAAAAGCAAAUACAGCUAGAGGUAUCCUUUUAUCAUAUUUGGAUAUUUUAAUAAGGAUAGAAGAGCAGUCCAAAAUUUAAAUGGAGUCUGGCUUCUUAACCAAAGGCUAGAGGUCAAUAUAGCCAGCUAAGGAAGCCAUGAUUCAUUUUGAAGAAGGAAGCAAAAAGGAAGCUUCUGAUGCACCUAGUGUUAACCACAUUAGGAACGGAACCUGCAGUGGGAUUUUGAGACAACUUGGUUUUAUUCAUUAAGCCAUCUUAUGCUCUGUUAUUGAAAGGUGCUUUUGAAAGAGGUGGAGCUUCAAAUGAAGAGAGAGGAGAUGAUUUUCAAUGUCUGAAAAGCAUGGAAAACAUGCUUUGGUUGAAGAUAAGUGCUGUGGUAACAACGUAAUGUAAUUCAGAUCUAGCAAAUUUAAUGGAAUUAUUUAAAAUAGAGGGCAUUUCAGGGCUGCUUAUGAGGAGUUUGUCUCUCAAAGAAUUUCUGCUAACCUUUGAGGAUAAGGAGCUGUUGGAAGAGCUCAAGGAUAAAGGUUGGGAUUGGCUUAACAAAUGGUUUGCUAAGGUGGAAACAUAGUUAGAGAAUUUUUCAUCAAAACUCCUUAACAAGUGGGUGACUGCACAGGAUAUCCUUUUGAUGUGUGAAAUAGGCAUAUUAUAAAUUAUAAGCAUUUUAGGCCAAAUUCAUUAAAAGUGAUAUUCUAGACUAAGUUUUGGUUGUAGUGUCAUUCUCAAUCAUUUAAGUAAUUUAAAGACUUUGAAGAUCAUGCCUUAAAAUAGACAAGACUAAAGUUUUCAGGGUGUAUACCUCUGUUUUGGCGUGCACAUAUUCCUUUGUAUCUAUGAAGAAACCUGUAGUCAUCUUGGGACAUCCUUCUACUCUCAAAUCAUCCAAAGCUGAUAAUACAAAGUGAUAUCCCCUUGGGCAGAAGUCAACGAGGCUUGGCAGUUCUUCAAGUGAUAAACUGUAUAGUUGAUCAAACUUUAUCUCCUUUUCAGUUGUUGCUUCUGCUUCAUCUUCAAGUUCAAAUACUUGCUCCAAUUUAGAGUUCCCUUUAACCCAUAACGUAACAAGAUUUGGAAGACAACGAGCAGAUCCAAGAGGAAAGAGUCGUUUCAACUUUUUGCAAUAUAGAACAAAAAUUUUGGUCAAAUUAGGAAAGCUUAUAGGUUGGAGAUCACCAUCUGAUGAUGAACAAACUUGAUCCUCAGCAAUGAUUUGGUCCAAUUCAUCACAAUUUUGUAUUUCUAGAUUGACCAACCGUGAUAAACUUUGAGCAGUUGUAGGUGAAAAUAUGUAUCUUAGCCUCUUACAAUCAAUCACCUUCAAAAUUGUAAGGUUCUCAAGAGUUACAACCUGAGCGACAUCCUUCCAUAUAAUCCACUUUUCAGAUAAAUCCUCCAGGAGGAGUUUCUUUAUACGCCCAUGAACUUGGAAUACUUCUUCAUGACUCCCAACUGCUAUAUAUUCUUGAUUGCAGUUGGCUGAAAUACGCAAUUGAAAGCUAUUCACCAACAUAGAGAGAUAUAAUUCCUGCAAAUACAGACACCACUAAAUGUCACUGAAUAAGUUCCUUUUCUAUUAGAUUGGGAAUAGAUGAGCAAAUAUUACUCAUAAUUUUUUAGAUGCCGAUUCACAAAAAAUCCCUACAUUUUUAAUGAUAGGACAUUUAUAUGUUUCAAAAUUUAAAUCCAAAAUUUUCAUGAAAUGCUCUGAAAGUGGAAUCCAAAAACAUCUACCCUCUUUCAAGUUUUCUCUGUUAAUUUUUAAAAUAAAACCAUUUAUGGUUUUCCUUGUCUUGUGUUUUUUUCUUUGUCAUUUUUUCUUUAAGCAUGUUGUUUUGAAAAGUAUAGAUAAAGUGGUAAAGUGUUAAUUUUUUUUAAUUUACCUAAAUUACAUAAAAAAAACAUAAAAGAAACGAACCCCCCGGAAAGCCUAACUUUCUCAAUCUGUUUCUCUUGUCUGCAACAGAAAGUAGAAACACUUUGAAUAAAAAAAAAGGGAACUCAUGGCCAAGAAGAAAAAGAAAACUUAAAUUGAAGAAGAAAGAGAAAAUUCGAAUCAAAGAAAGCAAGAGAAACUAGAAUCGAAGAAGAAAAAGGAAGCUUGAACAAGAAAAAAAGCAAGAUUUGUCGUCGUGAAGAAAAAAUAUGAUGAACCUCAAUUCAGAAACAAGGACAAGGAAACCCCAAAGAUCCCCACAAACAAAUUAAAAUUUGUUUUUCAAAAUAAAUAGUAUAAAAUUUUUGUGCUGCAAUUUUAAAAUAUAAUUGGAUUAGUUUGUGAGUGUUGAAAAAAAGAUUUAGCUCAAAGGCAAAAUCCAAAACCAUAAUUGAAGGAAAAGUGUAUAAAGAAAUACCUCUAGCUGAAUUUGCUCAUUAACUUCUUUUUGAAUAGUGAAAUUUCUCAAUUUAGGACAGUUGCAAACUUUCAACUUCUCCAAGGAUGGUGAUGAGAUGAGAAAGUUUUCCGAACUCAAAUUUAUCAAGUUUACAAGUUGAAAAUCUUGUAGGCAAGGGAGUCCAAUGGCACGAUGAGUUGGCCUUUUCCAUAUGCUCUUCAAUGUUGGUAAUGACUGUAGCUCCAACCUUCUUAAAUUUGAGAGUGGUACUGCCUGAUUUACCUCACAUAAAAAAAAUAUAAAAUUUAUUAAUUAAUAAAUAAUGAAAAUGAAUUGUUUAUACUUGAUCUUAAUUACUGAGAAGAAAUACAUUUUGUUAAAAAAAAGUAGAAAGAAGUAUUAAAAGUUAAUAAUUUAGAAAGAUUAGAUAGUAAUUAUUUAUAUAUUUGAUAAUUCAAAAAAAAUCAUUAGAAAAACAAUAUACGAGACCAUUAUUAAAGGAAAAAUGAAGAGAUAAGAGGUACCUCUAGCUCAGCCAUCUCUUUGUCAAAAGCAAAGACUUGCUUUAAUUUUUUGCAUUAAGAUAUCUCAAGUGUUUCUAGAUGCAACAGACUUUGAACAAGGUAAGGUGAGAAGAUAGAUUUUAGUUUAUCACAACCAUCAAUUGUUACUUCCUUCAGACUUUGUAGCCUUACAUGAUGAGUUGGCCCUUUCCAUAUGCUCUCCAAUGCUGGUAAUGACUGCAAUUCCAACCUUCUUAAAUUUGAGAGUGGUACUGCCUGUUUUACCUCAUAUAAAGAAAAAUAUAAAAUUUAUUAAUUAAUAAAUAAUGAAAAUGAGUUCUUUAUACUUGAUCUUAAUUACUGAGAAGAAAUACAUUUUGUUAAAAAAAAGUAUUAAAAGUUAAUAAUUUAGAAAGAUUAGAUAGUAAUUAUUUAUAUAUUUGAUAAUUCAAAAAAAUCAUUAGAAAAACAAUAUACGAGAGCAUUAUUAAAAGAAAAAUGGAGAGAUAAGAGGUACCUCUAGCUCAGCCAUUUCUUUGUCAAAAGCAAAGACUUGCUCUAAUUUUUCGCAUUUAGAUAUCUCAAGUGUUUCUAGAUGCAACAGACUUUGAACAAGGUAAGGUGAGAAGAUAGAUUUCAGUUUAUCACAACCAUCAAUUGUUACUUCCUUCAGACUUUGUAGCCUUACAUGAUGAGUUGGCCCUUUCCAUAUGCUCUCCAAUGCUGGUAAUGACUGUAGUUUCAACCUUCUUAAAUUUGAGAGUGGUACUACCUGUUUUACCUCAUAUAAAGAAAAAUAUAAAAUUUAUUAAUUAAUAAAUAAUGAAAAUGAGUUCUUUAUACUUGAUCUUAAUUACUGAGUAGAAAUGCAUUUUGUUAAAAAAAAGUAAAAAGAAGUAUUAAAAGUUAAUAAUUUAGAAAGAUUAGAUAUUAAUUAUUUAUAUAUUUGAUAAUUCAAAAAAAUCAUUAGAAAAACAAUAUACGAGAGCAUUAUUAAAAGAAAAAUGGAGAGAUAAGAGGUACCUCUGGGUCAGCCAUUUCUUUGUCAAAAGCAAAGACUUGCUCUAAUUUUUCGCAUUUAGAUAUCUCGAGUGUUUCUAGAUGCAACAGACUUUGAACAAGGUAAGGUGAGAAGACAGAUUUUAGUUUAUCACAACUAUCAAUUGUUACUUCCUUCAGACUUUGUAACCUUAUAUGAUGAGUUGGCUCUUUCCAUAUAUUCUCUAAUGCUGGCAACGACAUCAACUUCAAACUUCUUAAAUUGGAGAUUGUGCGCGUCAGACUUUCUUCCUUUCCAAAAAGCCAAUUCAUUUGAAACACUGAUUGCAACUGCUUACAAUCGACAAUGCUCAAUGUUUCUAACUUUUCUAAGAAGCUAGUCGGUGAUUGACCAUGGCACAACUCUUUCAAAGAAGUCAUGAAUCUAAUGUGUAAGUUCACCAAAUUAGAGAAUGCAGUGGUUGGACUUUGUUCUCGUGUUGUAUCGAUCAAGCAUUCCAGAUGAGUGCAAAAUGAAAGCUCAAGAGAAGUUAAUUCCUUUAGUCCACGCUGAUCUACAUUUGGGACAAUAUUUUUGUAUUCCAUUGGGACUUGGGACAGAGUAAGAUCUUCAACAUUGCAAAACAGCUCCUUAAAUGCAUUUAAUGAGGAUGAGAAAUGCUUAAUUCUCAAGGUUCUCAAGCGCAGCCCCGCCAAAUCUUGAAUAUAGUCAUUUACAGCUAUAUUGUAGCUUUGUAGUUUAGGGAACACAAAGUUUUCCUGAGAACAUUGAUGAGUAGAAACUUUAAGUGUUAAUGCAGUCAAACCAAACAAAGAAUUCAGCUCCAAUAAGUUAGCAUUGUUUCUACUUGUCACGUGUAGCUCUUGGAGUGAGGCCAACCUGUUACAAAAAAAUACAAAAUGUUAUUAAUGCAAUAAUAGCACUUUCAACCGAAUGAUAAAAAUAGCAAGGUAAUGAAAUGAAUAAGAUAACAUUAACUUUUUUAUUUCUUCAUUCUUAAAGCUACUUUUGUACUACAGGUUGCAAUGUUUCAUAAUAAUAGGAGUGACUAAAAGCUCAUGCUAGAUAUAUAUAUAUGUUUGUGAUAGUCAAAAUCAAAUAAAGUAAAUAAUAAAAAAUAAAUAAUUUAAAAAUUAAAUACUUAAUUGAAAACAAUAAACUAAACAAUUUUACCUUGAUAGCAAGUUAAGGGGGAAAUAGCUUAACGACACUCCACUGUAAGAAAUAUAUAGUGAUUUUAGUUUAUGCAAUCCCACUAUUUCUUUUGGUGGCCCAUAAAUAUUAGUCUUUAGCAAUGCCAAAAUCUCAAGGUUUUCCACAUUCUUCAAUGAUGAGAUGUUCUCAAGCUCGCAAUUUAUAAUGCACAGAGUUCGAAGAUUUGUCAAGAAUUUAAGUGCUUCCAGUGUGAGUACAACAUCUUGGAGAAGUAAAACUCGGAGGGUUGUCAUUCUUUCAAAAAAGGCACACGAAACUCUCAAUGAAUUCUUUCCUUUGAAAAACAAAGUCUUGAGUUUUGAAAAUUCCACUUUGUUAGGAAGAUGAUUGAUCUCAAUGUUCCACAAGGAGAUUGCCGUAUAACAUCCAAACCUUUCACUCAUAUGCCAUUCCGUCAACCCAUCUUUUACCAUGAAUAUAUUUUCCCCUCUCGAUGUUAUCCAAUGAGCAAAAUCACGAAUCACAUCAUGCAUUUUUACAUGGUCUUUAUCAUUAGCUUCCAAUAAUAAACCAGACUUUUGGAGUUUUGAUAGUGCCAGAUGAAUUUCCCUCCUUAAGUCUUCCAUUAAGUAAAUAUUAUUGAACAAUCCCUGACCAAUUCCGCAUAUAAUCAACAAUUCAAUACUAAUCUCAUAAUCUUCUGGAAAAAGGGAACACAACAAGAAACAUUGCUUGAUAUUAUCUUGAUCCAAAUAAUCAUAACUAAGCUUAAGACAUCUAUAGAUAUGUCCACAAACAUGUUCAUUAUCCAAAUGUCUUGAGCUCUUGAGUCUUUUAUUUGCUGCUAUCCACGCAUCUAGACUUUCGCCUUUUAGAGCCUUUGCCACAGUUACAAUUGCAAGAGGCAAACAGCCACAUUCACGAGCAACCUCCUUCGCUACAUUCAAGGUGGGAGAGUCAUCUUUCAGACCAGCUUUAUCUUUGAAUAAAACCCAUGCUUCAUGUUCAGAUAAAAUGUUCAGCUUAAAUUCCUCUUCACAAUCCAUUUUACAACAAACUUGUUGAUCACGUGUAGUUAAAAGAAUUUUGCAACCCUCGUGUUCACCACCGAAUGGAAUUCCUAUAAUUUGCAAUUCAAGUUCCUUCCAAACAUCAUCGAGAAUUAUGAGAAUCUUAUUCUCGCCUUUUAAUCUUCGCCAUAACUCUUCUGCUUUUCCUUUUUCUGUACUGGCUUCAAAUUUUAAACCAAAGAGUUCUGCAAUCCUUGCCCGAAUUUCGUUGAGGUUUGGAGUUUGGGAUACUGUAACACUCACAACCUUAUCAAAAAGCUUUUGUUCUGUAGCUUGCUUCAGCACUACAUCCGCCAAAGUUGUUUUACCCACUCCUGGCAUGCCGUACAAUCCAAUUAUUGUCACACCAUCACUUUUUAAAGCCUUCAUGAUUCCAUUGAAAGCUAACAUUGAAGAUUCAGAACGCAUGAAAUCCUUGGGUAGUAAGAGCUCUAUUCCUUGAAGAGGAGGACGAUGGCCAACUCGUGGAAAGUUACAAACCUCUAAAAGUUUAGAGAUAGAAAGUGUCUUCUUCGCUACUUUCUUGCUUAAGCAGUAUCGCCAGCCGCAACUAGGACACCAAUUGAAACACUUGUUACGUUCUAUUUCUUCUUCCAAACUCUGAGCUUCAUCCAAUUCUUUCUCUGCCUUUGUUAGCCACUCCUCAACGCCCUUCUUAAUUACCUCAGUUUGCCUUAAAGCCUCAUCGACAGCAUCUUUCACCUCAUCUCUUUUUGAUUUAAGUUCAUUUCGCCGGUUCUUGAAAUCUUCAACAAUUUUGCCAAAACGAAAAAAGUAGCCAACAUAAGGUGAUGCGUAUUCUGUUGCCAGGUUCCCAACGCAAUUGGCAAUAGCAGAGGUAACACAAUCAAGAGCCAUUCUUUGAUGAUCUGAGACUCAAACAAUUUGGAAAAGUAAAAAGUAUUGCAAAUAUCUCUCAAGCUGAUUAAGAUGAAAGAAUUACUUAAUUUGAAAACAGAAAACAAAUAAACCAAAGAAGAAAAAGAUGAAGAUUUACGUACCAAGGAAAUCUACAGAUGAACUUUCAGGAGCCAAGACGGAGCAGCUUCUAUUUUGAUCUAACCAAGCUCACCAACUCGGUGAAGGUUUUUUUUUUUUUUUUUAAAGUUCAAAGAAAACUGAAGCAGAAAUGAACUUUGCACUGCAACAAUCAGAAGAUCAAGGAAUUAAAAAAAAACAGACUUUCACUUAUCAUCUUUUUAGUUCUGCUUCUGUUACAAAUGAACAAAGGAAACCAGAAAAAGCAAAGUAAACAGAGCACUCUUAAGGCAAGAAUUUUUUUUUUUUAAAGUAUCGCCUUUCUUUCCCUAAAGCAAAGAGGUGAGCUUACAAAAAAGAAAUUAAUAGUGGAGAAGGUACUGAAAUCUUUUCUUGGAACUUACCUCUGUAUUCUCAACAAUUGAAUGUGAAAGGGUAAGAGACAAACACAAAGUUUCUAGCUCUCUUCUUCACACAAAUGCCAUGGGUGGAGUGUAACUGUAUAAGAUCAAAAGAGUUAAUUUGGACAUAGAAAAUAAUUAAGUGCCAAUUUUGCAGGUAAAGUUUGCAAAUGUAUACUCAAUUGCAAAAACCAAGACAAAAAUAAGCCAUGGAAGAAAAUGAUGCACAUGUAUACCAAUGAAAGAUGAAGUUUAAGGAGCCAAAGCCAAGCUUUUCUAUAUUGGUCGAAGAAAACUUAAGUAGAAAUUAAGUUUGUACUACAAUAACAAAAGGCCACUCGCAGAGGGAAUUAAGAAACAACAAACAUUUGUCAACCUAAGAUCAAAAGAACAACUUAAUUUGAAAACAGAAAAUAUGUGUCAAUGCAUCUAAACCUGCAAAUAUCUAUUCUCAAAUCUAAAACCACAGAAGAAAAGGAUGAACAUUUACAUACCAAAGGAAAUAUACAUGAACUUUGAGGUGGCAAGACGGAGCUUCUAUUUUGAUCCAGCCAAAAUAUAUCACAGACACUGACAAAGUCGGUGAAGUUUUUUUCCUUUUUUUUUUUUUUGAGUUCAAAGAAAACUGUAGUAGAUAUAAUAAACUUUUGCACUGCAAUGAUCAGAAGGCUAGGAAAUUAAAAAAACAAAAAGACUUUCACUUAUCUUCUUUAGAAUGCAUGCAGAUUAUAAUUCUGCUUCUGAUAAGAAAAGCAGUAGGUGAACAUAGAAAGUAGAAACUCUUAAGGCAAAGACUUGUUUUCUUUGGAAUCUCUUUUUCUUUUUAUUGUUACUAUUUUUUUCUUGUUCAAAUGCUAAGCGAAGACAAGUGCCCAACGUCUUUUGCCUUAUCAUUGACUAAUUCUCUCUCAGACGGAUUAGAAAAGAAAAAGAGAAAAGGACGGAGUCAUGGAGAUGCUCUGCUGGUUGGCUUUCCAGGAAGGGUUAUGGAAAGAGGAUGGGACUUGCGAGGAUGUUAGUGUAUAGAAUAUUUUUGAAUGAAAAACAUGAACUCAGUGUUAUUUAUGAUUAUUUUGUAAUUGAGCAUUACUUGGUAAAUUCUCUUUUUAUAAUGACUAAUGACCUACUUUUCAAAAGCUUAGCCUGCCCAAAUCUUUUAAGUUGGACGUAGCAAAUAAUUUAGUUUUAAUCUUGGGUGUAAAGUUUGCAGAUGUAUACUCAAAUGCAAAAACCAAGAGCCAUAGAAGAAAAUGAUGCACAUAUAUUUUGGAUGAAUUACAAUAAUCAAAGAAACAAGUGGAAAUCAAGUUUGCACUACAAUAAUCAGAAGCCCAAUGGCAGAGGUGAUUAAGCAACAACAGUUUAUUCUUCUUCGGCUAGCGAAAACACUUGAAUACAGGAGAGAAAAUUUUGAAUACAUGAUGUGAUCCUUCUAUUAUUGUCCUUUCUAUUUUUGUCAUUUUGCAAUCAUUUUUCCCUUGAGAUCCAUUUAUUUCUCACCGACUUGCUUCCUCUGUUUAAUGGCUUUCAUGGAAAAAUACUUUACCAUAUAUAGUACAAGGGAAGAGAGCUUCCCGGAGCUUUCAUAUAGAUUUUUGUCCCUUUUAUUUACUCCAAUUCCCCCUUUAAUGGUUACUUACUCCCUAUUGAUGAAAAGACGAGACAGACUCACGGCUUUUUCUCUGUCAUUGAUGCUUAGUUAGAAUGACUAAUGGAUGGCUUCCAAUUAUGUUGCCUAUUUUCGUAAUUUUCUGAUCUACCUGGUUGGUUUAAUGGAUUUCAUGUUAAAACACUUGCACUAUUUAUUUUAUUGUUGAGCUUAACUUUUGUGAUCAAAUUAUGCCCCCAAUGGAUUUAAAAAUAUUAUUUGAUGAAUGUACAAAAAUAGGUAGCGAUGAACAUAUAGCAUGUUACUAUUGACUACUGAGAUUGUAAUCAAUUAUUGUGAUAAAAUAUUAUAACUGAAAACGAACGGACAAUAAUCUGAAAAGCCAGUAGUUUCAACCGAAUGAUAAAAUAUUACAAACAAACAAAUAGCAAAAUAUUACAAACAAAUACAAAAUGUUAUUAAUGCAAUAAUAGCACUUUCAACCGAAUGAUAAAAGUAGCAAGGUAAUGAAAUGAAUAAGAUAACAUAAACUUUUUUAUUUCUUCAUUCUUAAAGCUACUUUUAUACUACGGGUUGCAAUGUUUCAUAAUAAUAGGAGUGACCAAAAGCUCAUGCUAGAUAUAUAUAUGUUUGUGAUAGUCAAAAUCAAAUAAAGUAAAUAAAAAGAAAAAAGAUAAAAUAAAUUAUUUAAAAAUUAAAUACUUAAUUGAAAACAAUAAAAUAAACAGUUUUACCUUGAUAGCAAGUUAAGGGGAAAUAGCUUAACCGCACUCUACUGUAAGAAAUAUAUAGUGAUUUUAGUUUAUGCAAUCCCACUAUUUCUUUUGGUGGCCCAUAAAUAUUAGUCUUCAGCAAUGCCAAAAUCUCAAGGUUUUCCACAUUCCUCAAUGAUGAGAUGUUCUCAAGCUCGCAAUUUAUAAUGCAUAGAGUUCAAAGAUUUGUCAAGAAUUGAAGUGCUUCCAGUGUGAGUACAACAUCUUGAAGAAGUAAAACUCGGAGGGUUGUCAUUCUUUCAAAAAAUCCACACGAAACUCUCAAUGAAAUCUUUAUUUUGAAAAACAAAGUCCUGAGUUUUGAAAAUUUCACUUUAUUAAGAAGAUGAUUGAUUUCAAUGUUCUAUAAGGAGAUUGCUGUAUAACAUCCAAACCUUUCACUCAUAGGCCAUUCCAUCAACCCAUCUUUUACCAUGAAUAUAUUUUCCCCUCUGGAUGUUAUCCAAUGAGCAAAAUCACGAAUCACAUCAUGCAUUUUUACAUGCUCUUUAUCAUUAGCUUCCAAUAAUAAACCAGACUUUUGGAGUUUUGAUAGUGCUAGAUGAAUUUCCCUCCUUAAGUCUUCCAUUAAGUAAUUAUUAUUGAACAAUUCCUGACCAAUUCCACAUAUAGUUAACAACUCAACACUAAUCUCAUAAUCUUCUGGAAAAAGGGAACACAACAAGAAACAUGACUGGAUAUUGUCUUCCUUCAAAUAAUCAUAACUAAGCUUAAGGCAGCUAUAGAUACCUCCGCAAACAUCUUGAUUAUCCAAAUGUCUUGAGCUUUUGAGUCGUCUAUUUGCUGCUAUCCAUCCAUCUAGAUUUUCACCUUUUAGAGCGUUUGCCACAGUUACAAUUGCAAGGGGCAAACCGCCACAUUCAUGAGCAACCUCUUGUGCUACAUUCAAGGUGGAAGAGUCAUCUUUUAGAGCAGCUUUAUCUUUGAAUAAAGCCCAUGCUUCAUCUUCAGAUAGAAUGCUCAGUUUAAAUUCCUUUUAACAAUCCAUUUGACUGCAGACUUGUUGAAGACGUGCAGUGAGAAGAAUUUUGCAACCUUCGUGUUCACCACCAAAUGGAAUUCCUAUAGUCUGCAAUUCAAGUUUUUUCCAAACAUCAUCGAGAAUUAUGAGAAUCUUCUUCUCGCCUUUUAAUCUCCGCCAUAACUCUUCUGCUUUUCCUUUUUCUGUUCUGGCUUCAAAUUUUAAAUCAAAGAGUUCUGCAAUCCUUUCUCUCUCGAAUUUCGUUGAAGUUUGGAGUUUGGGACACUGUAACACUCAAGUAGAAAUCAAGUUUGUACUGCAAUAACCAGAAGCCCACUAGAAGAGGGAAUUAAGAAACAACAAAUAUCUAUUCAAAUAUCCAAGAUGAAAAGAAUAACUUAAUUUGAAAAUAGAAAAUAUGUGUCAAAGCAUCUAAACUUUCAAAUAUCUAUUCAAAUGUAAAACCAAGACAAAUAAACCGCAGAAGAAGAGGAUGAACAUUUACAUAACGAAGGAAAUAUACAUGAACUUUGAGGAGUCAUGGAGAUGACUAAUCAUUGACUAGUUCUCUCUCAGACAGAUUAGAAAAGAAAAAAAGAGAAAAAAGAAAAGGAUGGAGUCAUGGAGAUGCGCUGCUAAGGACCCUGCUGUUUGGCUUUCCAGAAAGUGUUAUGAAAGAGGAUGGAAAUCUAUCUUCUUGGUUUAGUUUCUUUUAUCCUUUGCUUUCAUGAUCUUAUCUUUUACUAUUUUAUAAGCUUUUGAAUAUUAAAAGUUAUGAAUGAAAUAAUUUUUACAAAUAAUUCUAAAUUUGUUAUAAAUAAUUCUAAAUUUGUGGAGAGUAAUUGAUAGAAGUGGCCAUUUUUUAUGGAAUUCAAGGAAAGUGACUUCACAACUUCUAUCAUGACUUUGCAUUGACUUAUGCUAAUGAAGCAUAGUAUUCUCUAAACCAAAUUCACCAUCAUUUUAAAAGCAAGUUCACACCUUCAAUUCAAUUUUUUUUUUGGUCUUACGUCUCCUUUUCUUAAUCAGUAUUUUCCUGGUGUUAUGCAUUCUCGCUGUCAUUUCCUGUCUUCUUUUUGCUUACCCUUCUAUUUUGCUUCAAACAAAUUUUUUUUUUUCAAUUUGUCGUUAAUUAAGAGGAUAAAGAUUGCCAAUGGGACAUAGACAGCAUUGCUAUCAAAGCUUUUCAAUUAUUGAUCUGAUCUCUUUAUUAUUGUCUUUUAGAUUUUUGUCAUUUUGCAAUCAUUUUUCCCUUGGAGGUCCAUUUAUUUCUGAGUUUCUUGCUAGGUCGGUUUAAUGGCUUUCAUGGAAAAAUACUUGCACUUUAUAUUUUAUUUUUUGGACUAAAUUCUGUGUUUAAGGGAUUGAAGCUUUACACUUUGUUUAACACAAGAAAAAAUGCCGAAACACAUUAAAUGAUUCAUAUAGUGCAAGGAUCACGUUUUGCUUGGGGAGAAGUAGAGGUUCAAGGUACAUCUCUACUUUUUGAACAAUCAUUUACGGAUCGUUAGGAAUGUUUUCCUACAUGGCUGAUAAUCUAAUACAAGAAAGAAGAUCAUCUAAGACUAAUUUGUUCUAAUCAAAACUAUUUUGAGUUAAUUUCCACUAGAAAAAUUAAGAGCUUCAAGGAGAAACCUGACCCAUCAAACUUGAUUUGGAUUCAAAAAUGGUUUGGAAUUGAUCAGUGUAUUAAUAUAUUAUAAGCUGUUAUGAAAAUUGUGCAAAAAAUAAUAAAGAUAAAACUCAGAGAAAUCAAGCAAAUAGAAAAACAUAAGAAUUUAUGUGGUUUGCCUUCUUGCUUAUGUCCAUGGAGUAAAACCGUUCUUCUAUUAUUGAGAAAUUAAAGUACAAUAAAUUAACUUCUAUGGUUUCUCAAACCAACCCAAGAUCCCUUGCACACCAUUUUUCAAUAACUUCCUAAGAACACUCACCCAAACCACUUUAGCUCCACCUAGAACAAAAGACAGAGUUACAAGGUGUUUCCUCCCUAGAGCUCUUAAAGCACUACUCACUAUUUUAAAGCCUAGAAAUCCACCUUUAUAAUAUAGAAAUCAAAAGUAUAAUAGGAUUAGGACUCAAUGUGGAAUAAAAAGUUUAAAACCAUACAACUACUCAAUGUUGUACACAAAUAAAAAUCCUAAUCAAAUAAGAUUUAGAAUUCUAGGGAACCUAAAACUCAAAAAAUCUCCACCUUUGACUUGAAUUCAAACUCCUUAAGUCUCUUCCGCUAGUUGCACCCAAUUGUAACUUUCUAACUCCACCUACUUUCCAACACUUUGAACAACUCUCCAAGAACAAGACUUUCCAAACCACCAGCCUUCAAAAUUAUCACAACUACACAUACCAAAUCAAGCAUGGUCCAACACUCGAUUCUAUAGAACGACCAAUGCACCUAUGUAGUCGUCAAGUCAAUGACAGUAAUUGACUUCAGAAAGGAUCUCGACAACCCUUCUAAUUCACUAUUGACAAGAUUUUUCAUCCUUUCACCAUCGUCUACACCAUGGGAAACUUUCAUCACCUCCUCAGCAAAUGAAACUCAUUUUGGUAGCUACCAUCUUCUAUGCACUGUUCUCAUCCCUUCGAGGCCUCAUAUUCUAGACGAUGCAAACCAUUAUGUAAAUUCACCCUCAUCAGGACCAUGUCGUCUUGUGUCACUUUUACCAUCCCAUCAAAAGUAGAAUAUCCAUACCUUUAUGAGUGUAACAAGCUCAAUGAUAUUAGAUUCUUAAACAUCCUUGGGAUAUAGGCCACGCCAUCCAAUGAGUGCAUGACCCUAUCAAACAUUUUGAUAUUCACCACUCCAAGACAAAUGACCUUCACUAUUAACUUAUUGUCCAAAGUCAAAUUCCCAGCUACCCCUUCUUGAAGUAAAUCAAAAUAAUCCUUUUGAUAGCAGAUAUGAGUGCCUAAAGCAAAAUCUAAAUACCAAUAAAAAUUUGCAUCCAUAUUUCUUGAGAUUACAAGGACAUUACAAUCAUCACCUUCAACAACGAAAGCACACUCACCUUUGUUCUCGUCACUUUCAUCCCCUUUUGUAAGAAAAUCCCUUUUAAUAUGUCUAUACCCUUUACAUUGAAAGCACUGAACAUUGCUGGAUCUAGACUUGCCACCUUUAAAUCCCAUGCCAAUUGAUUUACUCCUAUGAACCUCAGUUACCAAUGCCAAGCCACUUGAAUCUCUAUCCCUUUUCUUAUUUUUUUUUCGAGCUUCACAAGACAUUAAUAUUGCUUGUGCUUGUUCUAUCGUUAUUGUAUCUAUCACACAUAUAAAAGAUUCCACAAAUACCUCAUAUGAGUCUGGGAUUGAUACUAGGGACAAUAGUGUGUUUUCCUCUUCCUCCACCUUCACAUUAACCUUAUUCAACUGAUUAAUGAUCCCAUCGAAUUCAUUCAUAUGCUUCAUGAGAUCUCUAUUCUCCUCCAUCUUUAAGCUAUACAACUUUUGCCUAAACUGCAACUUGUUGGAAAUACUUUUCACCAAGAAAAUCUUCUCCAACUUUGGCCACAAUCUUGGAGCAGAAUCCUCAUCAAUAAUAUGGCUAAACACAUUAUCUUCAAUGCAAAGUCGAAUAGUGCUCACACACUUUGCUCCAACUCUGCUUAUUCAACACCUUUCAUGUCAUCUAGUUACCCUUCCUCUUUUCCUAGAAAGGGGUGCAUCAAACCUUGCUGUAUAAGAAGAUCUUUCAUUUUUCUCUGCCACUGUGUGAAACUAGUCUUCCCAUCAAACUCGAUUGAAAAUUUACAGAACUAGUAACUUUUGACAUCCUUAUUGAAUCUUCAAUUUAUUGAACCCAAAGCUCUGAUACCAGUUUGUUAUAAAAAUUGCCCAAAAAAUGAUAAAGAUAAAACCUAGAGAAAUCGAGCAAAUAGAAAAACACAAAAAUUUACUUGGUUCGGCUUCUUGCUUAUGUCCAUGGAGUGAAACUGUUAUUCUAUUAUUGAGAAAUUAAAGUGCAAUCAAUAGACCACUAUGGUUUCCCAAACCAACCCAAGAUCCCUUGCACACUCUUUCUCAAUAACCUCCUAUGAACACUCAUCCAAACCUCUUUAACUCCACCAAAACAAAAGACAAAGUUAUAACGUGUUCCCUCCCUAGAGCUCUUAAAGCACUACUCACUAUUCUAAGGUAUAGAGACCUACUUUUAUAAUAUAAAAGUCCAAAGUAGAAUGAGAAUAUGACUCGAUGUGCAACAAGAAAUUUAAAACCAUACAACUAUUCAAUGAUGUACACAAACAAAAAUUCUAAUCAAAUAAAAUUUGAAAUUCUAGUCAACCUAAAACUCAACAUAAACAACUUUAAUAACCAAGGCUAAUGUGACAAAUUCUAUGCAAUAAUAAAGUUUACACAAUCUCUCCUUAGAAUUUUAUUCUUUUUCUUUAUCAAAAAAUAUGCCUCCUCCUGAUCCUUGUAUCUGUAACAUUAUUUGAUUGGGAGGGUAAAAGAAAAUGAAUCCCCAAUUUUCCCCUUCCUUCUUCUCUUCCCCGUAGAACAUGUGAUAGUGGUUCUACAUUCAGAAAAGCUAAGCUAAAAAUUUUUAAAAAACCAUUUGGAGAUAACACACUUUAUUAUGGAUAUCUCCAUUUUCACUUGUUUCUUUUGAGAAAAGAAAAUUUUUUAGUUGUAUUUAAGAGAGUCUUGUCAGUUGUUUUUCUCCUUGUCAAUUCUUUUGCUUUCAUCUUGAAAGAAUUGAAUCCAACACGAAAGCUCACUUUAACCAAAAAGGGAGAUAUCCGGAGCUUUUUCACAAAUUUUUGAAGAAGUAUUUUGAUUAAUUCUCUCCCGAAAAAAAAAAAGAAGGAAGAUUCUCUGUUAAAGGAAAUUUUAAUUAAUGCAAAAUUAGCUUCAUGUUUGUGAUCUUAAACAUAAUAACAUUUUUUCCAUAAAAUUUAUAAAUCAAUUGAAAACAAAAAAGAAGAAGAAAAGAUCAGCAAGCUUCCUUUGGAUUACUUUAACGAAGCAUAAAUUUCUUUGGGUUUGGGGUAGUUAUGACGUGCUAAAGGUUCUCUGAGAUUUCAUUUUUCUCUGUACAGCACAGAUCUUAGGUUAAGAGUAGAGAGCUUACUUUUGUUUCUUGCUCAGCUUAGGGAAGGAACUGCUACCAUUUUCGCCAGGCAGUUCUCUUGCUAUUUUGUACUUCCCUUAUGCACAAGCCUCUUUAUUAUGCCGACGAAAGUCUUUAGCAAAGUGUCGAAGACUUUGGAUGGUACGAAGACUUGCUGUUAAUAAAACCAUUUUUCAAGAAAAAAAACGAAACAUAAAUUUUCCUUAAACAAAAUUGAUCAUGAAAGAACAGACGUUGAAAAACAUAAUCAUGGGAUGAUCAUGAAUUCCAAAACUGAUGAUGAUUUGUAUUUUUUUUCCUUUCUCUUUUUUAUUAUUUUUAUUUUUUUCCAUCUUUUCCAUUUUUUUAAUUUUAAUUUAUAUAUAUUUUUUUUCUUAAUUUUUUUCUUUGUUUUUCUUUACACAAAAAAACAAAGUUUCUAUUAAAAAAACUUAACACAUCAUACAUCGAGAGACCACGUGAAACGUAAACUUACUCACAACAAGAAAAUCAUUCCUCUCUUUUGUAUAAUUUCUUGAUGCUAUGAACAUCUAAAUUUACCCUUUGUUUGAAUAAACGUGGAAGCCAUCGACACAACUCUGCAAAUCCAGGAGGAAAACACGUUCAUUAGAUUUUCUUAAAUUAAUUCAGGAUUGGGCGGAACACAAUGGAUCAAAAGAGAAUUGAAAAUAAGAGGAAAAAUAAGAAAAGAAAAACUGGAUAUGCAACGCAACACAAAUGAAGAGAAAAAUCAGAACAAAAAAUACUUAUGAAUGGAUGUGGAAACUCAUAAGUGAAAAGAAAGGAAAAUCAAAAUGCUCAGUUAAAUUGAAGUACCAGAAGAUUGGAGCAUUUUCGUCAAUGUUAGUGUUUGGUUAGUACAGUAAUAGUUUAUCCAAAAGGUUAAUCUUCACCUGUGAAAAGCGCAGUAAUUUUAAGCAACUGUUCUUUUUAUGGAAAUUAUUGGUUUUCUAAUAAUGAGCAAUGAUGUACCUCAUUGUUGCCUGGCUAAGUCAUAAUGGACAAACUCUAGUGAACAAAAAAUUCUUCCCGCGGCAGCUUUCUAGUUCAUACACAUGGUGCAGUGAUGGGUGUUGUUUCUUGGGCUGGAAAUGACUUUUAUGUAUGGGAUGAAUAGAAUAUAACACCUCCAACUUUCAUAUUCAAACACUGAACAAAUAAUGGAACAAAAUCAAAAUUCACAUUUUGCUUAAGAAAAAGAAAAAUAAAGGAAAGAAAGAGAAGUCAAUUUGGAUUUGGAUAACUUAUGGUUAUGAUGAUUUAGGGAGUGUCACUAACAAAUCUUUUCUCGAUCCGAUUGAUGGGCCAGAAGAAACCAAAAGAGAGAAAAGGAUGGAGUCAUGGAGAUGCUCUGUUAAGGUCCCUUGGUUGGCUUUCCAGGAAGUGUUAUGGCAAGAGGAUGGGACUUGCGAGGCUGUAAAUGUAUAGGAAAUUUUCCAACUAACCACAAUUGUUCAAAUUCUGCUUCAAAUCUUUUUUAUUUUUAUUAUUUUCUUUUUUGUGCUCCUACCAUUUGAGAAGAAAAUUGAUCCAUUAUUAUGAAGACUUCCUUGUUUAAUCUUGUCAUCACUUAACAAUUUAUUUAAUCUUUUUUAUUGAAGCAUAUUUAUAAUAUAUUGCCCUUGUUUAAAUUACAUAGACAUCAAUAACUUAAAUUAUUCUAGAUAUGAUUGUGUAAGAAAAUUCAUAAUUAAGGAAAGCUUGUAGGAACCUGUUGGAAUGCCUAAUUAAUGAAAUUCAUCAUCAAGUCCUAAAAAGCAUAACUAGCUUUUUGACCACGCUUGUCAUUGGAAAAAUAGGAAAGCCCAAGAAAUGAUGAGUGUACAAAUAAUGAAAUACACAUUUUAUUUAAAUAAAAAAAGAAGAAUCGAAGAAAGGAAGGUCGAUAGACCAAUUUGGAUUUGGAUGACUUAUAGUUAUGAUAACUUUUCUGCAUUGAGAAACACGGUUCAAUAAGUGAUUUAUACUUAUAGUUAUGAUUUGGAUUUGGAUAGGCCAAUAAGUGAGCAACACGGUUCAAUCUCCCUGGGCAUUGAGAAACUUUUCUGCAAUUCACCUUCUCCAUAUAAUCAACGCAAUCUUGGUAGAUAUUUCCUAAAGCACUAGAAAAUUUCUUCUCAUUUAGCUUUUUCACCACUGUUACGUUGUCUAACUCCACCUCUGUUAUUCCCAUAUUUUCUCUACAGAAUAUCAUUAAUGACCGAAGUAGGGACUAUAACUCUACAUCCUCAAUCUUACCACCAAAAUUAAACUUUGCUGUACCUGCCAAAAUCAUUUCACCAUAAGCAUCACGCAGGACAAAUCCUACUCCUAUCAUUGUAACGCCACUAUUGACAAAGAUCGCAACAUCAGUGUUUAAUUUAUUUCUUGCAGCUCUUCUCCAGUGAUCACAAGUUCCUGUUACCAUUUCUUCAUUAAUACCACCCGGCUUGUUGGCACUUCGAAAUUCCCUGCAAAUGUCACACCCCAUCUCCACAACAGUCAUGGGAUCCAAUUUCUACGGUUAGAAAUCCAGCAAAUUCCUAGCCUUUCAUAAAGCCCAUAAUACACAACUUAUUUCUUCUGCAUCCAGUAUUUCAACAAUCAAUACAAACCAAAUUAUCCAAUCAGCAGCCGAAUCAAAAUGGUCUUUGACACCCCGAAAUCCCCACUUAGAAUAAAGCCAAGCAGCUCUUGCAUAUUGACAAUAGCACAAGCAGUGAAAAUCUGUUUCUACUUUCUCCACACAGAAGGGACAUGAUGUUUCCGCAUUAAGAUAGGUGAAAUUCCUUUAAUAGCUUUCCAUGUAAAUAAAAUAUUUUUCCUAAGAAAGGUUCCAUAGCUUCUUCCAGACGGUCACGAAAUUUCCAUAGCUUCAUAGGUAAAAACACUUGAAUAUAGAAAUUUUUGAAUAAUUGAUGUGAUCCCUCAAUUAUUGUCCUUUUCUAUUUUUGUCAUUUUGCAAUCAUUUUCCCUUGAGAUCCAUUUAUUUCUCAGCUACUUGCUUGCUCUGUUUAAAGGCUUUCAUGGAAAAAUACUUUACCAUAUAUAGGACAAGGGAAGGGAGAUUUCCGGAGCUUUCGUAUAGAUUUUUUUCUCUUUUUACUAGUGGGACAUGGAAUCAGGAGCACUUCUUUUAUCAGUUUGUGAAGAAAAAUGAUAAAUUAAUAUGAAGACUAGCUUUGUUUAAUUUAGUCAUCACUUCACAAUUUGUUUAAACUUUUUUACUGAAGCAUAUUUACAGUACAUUGCCCCUGUUAAAUUACAUAACCAUCAGUAACUUAAAUUUUAAACAAAUUUUGCAAUCAUUUUUCCCUUGGAGGUCCACUUGUUUCUUAGCUUCUUGCUUGGUCGGUUUAAUGGCUUCCAUGGAAAAAUACUUGCGCUUUUUAUAUUAAUUUUUUGGAUUAAAUUCUGUGUUUAAGGGAUCGAAGCUUUACACUUUGUUUAACACAAGGAAAAAUGGCGAAACACGUCAAAUGAUUCAUAUAGUGCAAGGAUCAUGUUUUCCUUGGAGAGAAGUAGAGGGUCAAGGUACAUCUCUACUGUUUGAACUAUCAUUUACAGAUCCUUAGGUACGUUUUCCUCCAUGGUUGGUAAUCUAAUACAAGAAAGAAGAUCAUCUAAGCCUAAUUUGUUCUAAUCAAAACUAUUUUGAAUUAAUUUCCACUAAAAAAAGUAAGAGCUUCAAGGAAUAACCUGACCCAUCAAACUUGAUUUGGAUUAAAAAAUGAGACAGAAUUGAUCAGUGUAUUAAUAUAUUAUAAUCAACAUUAAAAACCAAGGCUAAUGUGACAAAUUCUAUGCAAUAAUAAAGUUCACACAAUCUCUCCUUAGAAUUUUACUCUUUUUCUUUAUCAGAAAAUCAUGUCUCCUCCUGGUCCCUGUAUCUAUCUCAUUAUUUGAUUGGGAGGGUAAAAGAAAAUGAAUCCCCAUUUCUCCCGUUCCUUCUCCUCUUCCCCAUAGAACAUGUGAUAGUUGGUCUACACUCUGAAAAAUUAUCUGUAAAUGUGGUUGGUUUUACCUUGUUCCCAAUCCCACCUGAAUUGCAGGGUAGUUAUAGGUAUUAGGACUAUUCUUGACUCUUGUCUUAAUCGAAAUGAGUCUAACGUAGAAAUCAACUUUACUAGAGUAAAAGGGAGAUUCUCCGAGCUUUCUCCGAGUUUUCUGAUUCCUUGAAUCGAACACAUUAUUACUGUCUCCAUUAAUGGAGAGUUUAAUGUCUUUGAAGAAGAAUUAUUGACUUAUUUUCUCUUGAAGAAAAAAAAAAGGGAGAUGCUUUGUUAAAGGAAAUUCUAACUAAUGUAAAAUUGAUUUUAUGUUUGUGACCCUAAAGAUAAUAAUAUCUUCUCUAUGAGAUUUUAAAAAAUCGAAUUACUUUAAUGAAGUAUAAAUUUUCCCUAAACAAAGUUUACCAUUAUUAAGAAGGCAAUUAAGUUUACGCCUUUAUCAAUUUUCUGGGUGCUCCUACACAAAUGAUUGUUAUUAUUAUUCUCACAAAGCAUAAAUGGGACAUAUAUGGAAUCAUUUAUGCACUCUUGAAUUAUUGAUCCCAUUAGAUGACCCAAUUUGUUUUAUCAUCUAUGUAUUUAUAAUAAUUAUAAGCUCCUUUUUAUAGAUAUUUAUGUUUCAAAUCCCUGUGACCAAUUGAAACUACAGAGAAAAAGUUCCAGCAAAAACUUCUUUCCUUUUUUUCUUAUUCAAGUUCAUAUCAUUAGUGGAGGACAAGGGCCCAAACAUCUUUUGCCUUAAGGAACUACUGGCCUCAUUUUUCCUUUCCUUUCUUUUUUGAAAUUGUAAACUUUGUGAUGCGCUGGACAUAUAUAAACACCACUUUCCCUCUGAGUUAAAGAUACUUUAGAACAAAGAAUUGAAUGACGAUGAAAAAAAAAAAUAAGGGUCCAAUCGGCGGUGGCGGAACCGGUGGAGUGCUGCUGCAUCUGACUGGGCGUAGGGACGGGUCGCGGAGCCCAAUCAGAAGGUGGAGGAACCGGCUGACCUAACUGUUGCUGUUGUUGUUGCAUCAUCAUCCACGGCUGCGACUGCGGUUGCUGCUGAUACUGCUGGGUUUGAGACUGAUCAGCUGCCAUGGACUGCGGCGGAGCUACACCUCCUGCUGGUGGUUGUUGCAUCAUACUCUAUAGAUAAGACAGCGGGUAGAGAAUCGAGAGAUCUCAGAGAGAAGGGGAAACCCUAGGUCGAAAUUGAAAUUCUAUAAAGGAAGCAAUUUUUUUUUACGGAGCAGAGGAUGCUUGUCGGGGUGACACGUGGAGAAGAGGAAUUGGGUGGGAGUAAUGGGCUUUUUGAUAUGGUAAAUCGGGUGUUGGUCUUGGAAUGGGCUUAGAUUAGGUUAAAAUUCUGCACUUUUGUUAAUAAAAAAAGUUUUAAAAAGGAAUUUUUAUAGACAAUUGAAAUUUGGUCUUAAUAACAAUAGGAAAAAUUUUAAAAAAUUAAAGUAAUUAAAUAGAAUUGAAAUUUUAAAAUUUAUUAAUAUAAUUUGAUGGUAUAAAAAUUAAUUAUAAUUUUGUUUUUUUUCUCUUAUAAAUUUGAUGACUUAUAAUUAUGAUGAUUUAAAGGAUGCCACUAAUAAAACUUUUCUUAAUCUAUUAGAUGGGAAAAUUUGUUUUAUCAUCCCCUUCUGUCUCAUUAUCUUUGUUCUUUAUUGAUUUUUUGGUUGAAGAAACUCAACUUUGAUCAUUCUUUUAAUAACAUCGUGAAGUUAUAAAUUUUUUUGAAAAUAAGAAUUGCAAAUUUUGAAUUUUAAACUUUUCCAAAAUUUUUUUUGAAUUUUUAAUUUUAUGUAAUAUUUUAAAAUAAUAAUCAAAUUGAGUUCAUUAAUUUGACUAAAAAAAUUAAAUAGAUAUAAACAAAAUGGGAUGGAGAUAGCAUGUAUUUGUAAAGUUCCCUUUUAUGAAUAUUUUUGCUUUUUAGUUUUUGCAAAAAAUGAAUAGAAAAAAAAGGCAAAAUAGAUAGAAAAUAAAAUAUAAAUAGCAAAACAAAAAAAAAAGAGACAAAGAUAAAAGCAUCAAGCUGGUAUGAAAUCUUAAAAAAUAAUCUUGUAAUGUGGAUAAUUAUCAAAAUGAAAUGUAUGAUACAGUUAGAAAUAAUUCUAAGUGCAUGUAGAAAUGAUCCAAUCCCUUCUAAUAAUUCUUAUUGUAAGCAUUAUCUAUUGAGCUUGUAUAUGGAAAUUAAAGUUUAAUUUUCCAUGUCUUAAUUUAAAAUACAAAAAUAAUGAUAAGAAAUAGAAGAAUUUUAGGCUUGUUUUUCUACUUAUUGUACAUAUGGAGAGUAACAUACUAUUGAUUGGAUAAAUGAUUGAAAGCAAGUGAUCCCUGCUCUUGAUAACUCUACAAAGCCAACAUCUAGACCAACAAAAAGCACAAGUGAUUAAUAAAAGUUAGCACAAGUGGACCUCCAAAACUUGAUUAAGACUAGGCGAACAAGCGAAAGAAAUGAAAUAGGAAAGUGGCCUUUGCUUUACCUGUGUUUAGUUGACGGUCCCAACGUACUCAUUGAUGUUUAAACAUGCCUUUGCAACUUCCCCUGCAAUCAUCUCAUAGUUCUUCCUUCCAAGGUGGUAGCACACCAUUAAUGUCCUUCCACCAGAAUAUGGUCCUAGUAUGGACUACAUUUUGAGCAAUGCCUAUCCCUUCAAUGGCGUCUUGCUCAACUAGUUGUGGUGUCUUUUUAAACAAUUGAAAGAGUGAAAUGUAAACCAAAAGUAUGAAUGUCUCAUGUUACGAAGGAAAAAGAAAAAAAAAAGACAUAUUAUAAUUAUAAACAUUUUAGGCCAAAAAUUCAUUAAAAGUAAUGGAAUCAUUCACUAAAAAUGAUAUUUUAGACCAAUCUUUUAGUUGCAGUGUACUACUCAAUUAUUUAAAUAAUUUAAGUAAAAACUUUUAAAAAUUAUGCAAUAUAAUAUUAUUAAAGAUUUCAGUUGUCUUUGCACAUACCAAAUAAAAGCUUGUACUUAAUUCAGUAAUGAAUAAUAAAAGCUCUUAAUCAUCAAUAAUGGUUAUGUUGGGGGGAUAAGGAGAAUGAAGAAGGUAGUUUUAGUUUUUGUGAAUGAUAUUCCUACAAGAGUCCAUGAAGAUGGCUUCAAAGGAUUUGGAUCAAUUUGGAAAGGUUGUCAAUACAUUUGUAGCGAGAAAUAGAAGCAAAUACAGUAAGAGGUAUCGUUUUAUCAUAUUUGAAUAUUUUAAUAAAGCUCGAGGAGCAGUCCAAAAUUUAAAUGGAGUCUGGCUUUUUAACCAAGAGCUAGAGGUCAAUAUAGCUAGCUAUGGAAGCCAUGAUUCAUUCUGAAGGAGGAAGCAAAAAGGAAGCUUCUUAUGCACCUAGUGUUAACCACAUUAGGAACAGAGCCUGUAGUGGGAUUUUGAGACAGAACUUUGCCUUAUUCACUAAGCCAUCUUAUGCUCUGUUAUUGAAAGGUGCUUUUGAAAGAGGUUGAGCUUCAAAUGAAGAGAGAGGAGAUGAUCUUCAAUGUCUUAACAAGCAUGAAAAAACAUGCUUUGGUUGAAGACAAGUGUUGUGGUAACAACAUAAUAUAAUUCAGAUUCAGCAAAUUUAAUGGACUUAUUUAAAAUGGAAGGCAUCUCAGGGCUGCUUAUGAGGAGUUUGUCUCUCAAAGAAUUUCUGCUAACCUUUGAGGAUAAGGAGCUGUUGGAAGAGCUCAAGGAUAAAGGUUGGGAUUGGCUUAACAAAUGGUUUACUAAGGUGGAAACAUAGUUACAGAAUUUUUCAUCAAAACUCCUUAACAAGUGGGUGAUUGCACAGGAUAUCCUUUUAAUGUGUGAAAUAUGCAUAUUAUAAAUUAUAAGCAUUUUAGGCCAAAUUCAUUAAAAGUGAUAUUCUAGACUAAGUUUUUGUUGUAGUGUCAUUCUCAAUCAUUUAAGUAAUUUAAAGACUUUGAAGAUUAUGCCCUAAAAUAGACAAGAUUAAAGUUUUCAGGGUGUAUACCUCUGUUUUGGCGUGCACAUAUUCCUUUGAAUCUAUGAAGAAACCUGUAGUCAUCUUGGGACAUUCUCUUACAUUCAAAUGCCCCAAAGUCGGUAACACAAAGUGAUAUCCCCUUGGGCAAAAGUCAACGAGGCUUGGCAGUUCUCCAAUUGAUAAAUGUUCUAAUUGAUCAAACUUUAUCUCCUUUUCAGUUGUCGCCUCUGCUUCAUCUUCAAGUUCAAAUACUUGCUCCAAUUUAGAGUUACUUCUAACUGUUAAUUGCUUAAGUUUUGGAAGACAACGAGCAGAUCCAAGAGGAAAGAGUCGUUUCAACUUUUUGCAAUAUUGAACAAAAUUUUGGUCAAAUUAGGAAAGCUUAUAGGUUGGAGAUCACCAUCUGAUGAUGAACAAACUUGAUCCUCAGCAAUGAUUUGGUCCAAUUCAUCACAUUUUUCUAUAUAUAGCUCGUCCAACUGUGAUAAACUUCGAACGGUCAUAGGUGAAAAUAUAUAUCUUAGCCUCUUGCAAUCAAUCACCUUCAGAAUUGUAAGGUUUUUAAGAGUUACAACUGAAGCGACAUCCUUCCAUAUAAUUUGCACUUCAAAUAAAUCCUCCAGGUGGAGUUUCUUUAUACGCCCAUGAAUCUGAAAUACCUCUUCAUGACUCCCAACUGCUAUAUAUUCUUGAUUGCAGUUGGCUGAAAUAAGCAAUUGAAAGCUAUUUACCAACUCAGAGAGAUAUAAUUCCUGCAAAUACAGACACCACUAAAUGUCACUAAAUACGUUCCUUUUCUAUUAGAUUGAAAACAGAUGAGCAAAUAUUACUCAUAAUUUUUUAGAUGCCAAUUCACAAAAAAUCCUUACAUUUUUAAUGACAGGACAUAUAUAUGUUUCAAAAUUUAAAUCCAAAAUUUUCAUGAAAUGGUCUGAAAGUGGAAUCCAAAGACAUCUAACCUUUUUUCAAGUUUUUCUCUGUUAAUUUUUAACAUAAAACCAUUUAUGGCUUUCCUUGUCUUGUGUUUUUUUCUUUGUCAUUUUUUCUUUAAGCAUGUUGAUUUGAAAAGUAUAGAUAAAGUGGUAAAGUGUUAAUUUUUUUUAAUUUACCUAAAUUACAUAAAAAAACAUAAAAGAAAUGAACCCCCCUGGAAAGCCUAACUUUCUCAAUCUGUUUCUCUUGUCUGCAACAGAAAGUAGAAACACUUUGAAUAAAAUAAAAAAAAGGGAACUCAUGGCCAAGAAGAAAAAGAAAACUUAAAUUGAAGAAGAAAGAGAAAAUUCGAAUCAGAGAAAGCAAGAGAAACUAGAAUCGAAGAAGAAAAAGGAAGCUCGAACAAGAAAAAAAGCAAGAUUUGUCGUCGUGAAGAAAAUAUAUGAUGAACCUCAAUUCAGAAACAAGGACAAGGAAAACCCAAAGAUCCCCACAAACAAAUUAAUUGUUUGUGAGUGUUGAAAAAAAGAUUUAGCUCAAAGGCAAAAUCCAAAACCAUAAUUGAAGGAAAAGUGUAGAAAGAAAUACCUCUAGCUGAAUUUGCUCAUUAACUUCUUUUUGAAUAGUGAAAUUUCUCAAUUUAGGACAGUUGCAAACUUCCAACUUCUCUAAGGAUGGUGAUGAGAUGAGAAAGUUUUCCGAACUCAAAUUUAUCAAGUUUACAAGUUGAAAAUCUUGUAGGCAAGGGAGUCUAAUGGCACGAUGAGUUGGCCCUUUCCAUAUGCUCUCCAAUGCUGGUAAUGACUGCAGCUUCAACCUUCUUAAAUUUGAGAGUGGUACUACCUAAUUUACCUCACAUAAAAAAAAUAUAAAAUUUAUCCAUUAAUAAAUAAUGAAAAUGAAUUCUUUAUACUUGAUCUUAAUUAUUGAGAAGAAAUACAUUUUUUUAAAAAAAAAGUAGAAAGAAGUAUUAAAAGUUAAUAAUUUAUAAAAAUUAGAUAGUAAUUAUUUAUAUAUUUGAUAAUUCAAAAAAAAAUCAUUAGAAAAACAAUAUACGAGAGCAUUAUUAAAGGAAAAAUGGAGAGAUAUGAGGUACCUUCAGGUCAGCCAUUUCUUUGUCAAAAGCAAAGACUUGCUCUAAUUUUUCGCAUUUAGAUAUCUCAAGUGUUUCUAAAUGCAACAGACUUUGAACAAGGUAAGGUGAGAAGAUAGAUUUCAGUUUAUCACAACCAUCAAUUGUUAAUUCCUUCAGACUUUGUAACCUUACAUGAUGAGUUGGCUCUUUCCAUAUAUUCUCUAAUGCUGGCAAUAACGUCAGCUUCAAACUUCUUAAAUUGGAAAUUGUGCACGUCGGACUUUCUUCCUUUCCAAAAAGCCAAUUCAUUUGAAACACUGAUUGCAACUGCUUACAAUCGACAAUGCUCAAUGUUUCUAACUUUUUUAAGAAGCUAAUCGGUGAUUGACCAUGGCACAACUCUUUCAAAGAAGUCAUGAAUCUAAUGUCUAACUUCACCAAAUUAGAGAAUGCAGUGGUUGGACUUUGUUCUCGUGUUGUAUCGAUCAAGCAUUCCAGAUUUUCACAAUAUAUAAGCUCAAGAGAAGUUAAUUCCUUUAGUCCCUGCUGAUCUACAUUUGGAACAAUAUUUUUGUGUUCCAUGGUGACCUCGGACAGAGUAAGCUUUUUCACAUUGCAAAACAGCUCCUUAAAUGCAUUUAAUGAGGAUGAGAAAUCACUAAUUCUCAAGGUUCUCAAGCUCAGCCCUGCCGAAUCUUCAAUAUCAUCAAAAUUUACAACUAUAUUGUAGUUUUGAAGUUUAGGGAACACAAAGUUUUCUUGAGAACAUUGAUCAGUAGAAACUGACAGUGUUAAUGCAGUCAAACCAGUCAAUGAAUUAAGCUCCAAUAAGUUAGCAUUGUUUCUACUUGUCACGUGUAGCUCUUGGAGUGAGGCCAACCUGUUACAAACAAAUACAAAAUGUUGUUAAUGCAAUAAUAGCACUUUCAACCGAAUGAUAAAAAUAGCAAGGUAAUGAAAUGAAUAAGAUAACAUAAACUUUUUUAUUUCUUCAUUCUUAAAGCUACUUCUGUACUACAGGUUGCAAAGUUUCAUAAUAAUAGGAACGACCAAAAGCUCAUGCUAUAUAUAUAUAUAUAUAUGUUUGUGAUAAUCAAAAUCAAAUAAAGUAAAUAAUAGGGAAAAAAGAUAAAAUAAAUGAUAUAAAAUUAAAUAACUGAAAAUAAUAAGAUAAACAGUUUUACCUUGGUAGCAAGUUGGAGGGGAAAUAGCUGUGUGGCACUCCAUCGUAAGAAAAAUAUAGUGAUUUUAGUUUAUACAAUCCCACUAGUUCUUCUGGUAGCUCAUAAAUAUUAGUCUUCAGCAAUGCAAAAAUCUCAAGGUUUUCAACAUUCCUCAAUGAUGAAAUGUUCUCGAGCUCGCAAUUUAUAAUGCACAGAGUUCGAAGAUUUGUCAAGAAUUGAAGUGCUUCCAGUGUGAGUACAACAUCUUGGAGAAGUAAAACUCGGAGGGUUGUCAUUCUUUCAAAAAAGGCACACGAAACUCUCAAUGAAUUCUUUCCUUUGAGAAACAAAGUCUUGAGUUUUGAAAAUUCCACUUUGUUAGGAAGAUGAUUGAUCUCAAUGUUCCACAAGGAGAUUGCCGUAUAACAUCCAAACCUUUCACUCAUAUGCCAUUCCGUCAACCCAUCUUUUACCAUGAAUAUAUUUUCCCCUCUCGAUGUUAUCCAAUGAGCAAAAUCACGAAUCACAUCAUGCAUUUUUACAUGCUCUUUAUCAUUAGCUUCCAAUAAUAAACCAGACUUUUGGAGUUUUGAUAGUGCCAGAUGAAUUUCCCUCCUUAAGUCUUCCAUUAAGUAAUUAUUAUUGAACAAUCCCUGACCAAUUCCGCAUAUAGUCAACAACUCAAUAGUAAUCUCAUAAUCUUCUGGAAAAAGGGAACAUAACAAGAAACAUUGCUUAAUAUUAUCUUGAUCCAAAUAAUCAUAACUAAGCUCAAGGCAUCUAUAGAUAUGUCCACAAACAUGUUGAUUAUCCAAAUGUCUUGAGCUCUUGAGUCGUUUAUUUGCUGCUAUCCACCCAUCUUCACUUUCACCUUUUAGAGCGUUUGCUACAGUUACGAUUGCAAGGGGCAAACCGCCACAUUCAUGAGCAACCUCCUUUGCCACAUUCAAGGUGGGAGAGUCAUCUUUUAGAGCAGCUUUAUCUUUGAAUAAAGCCCAUGCUUCGUCUUCAGACAGAAUGUUCAGUUUAAAUUCCUCUUGACAAUCCAUUUGACUGCAGACCUGUUGAAGACGUGUAGUGAGGAGAAUUUUGCAACCUUCGUGUUCACCGCCAAAUGGAAUUCCUAUAGUAUGCAAUUCAAGUUUUUCCCAAACAUCAUCGAGAAUUAUGAGAAUCUUCUUCUCGCCUUUUAAUCUCCGCCAUAACUCUUCUGCUUUCCCUUUUUCUGUACUGGCUUUAAAUUUUAAACCAAAGAGUUCUGCAAUCCUUUCUCGCAUUUCGUUGAAAUUUGGAGUUUGGGACAAUGUAACACUCACAACCUUAUCAAAAAGCUUUUGUUCUGUAGCUUGCUUCAGUACUACUUCCGCCAAAGUUGUUUUACCCACUCCUGGCAUUCCGUGCAAUCCAAUCAUGUUCACACCAUCGCCUUUCAAAGCCUUCAUGAUCCCGUUGAAAGCUAACGUUGAAGAUUUGGAACGCAUGAAAUCCUUGGGUAGUAGCAACUCUAUUCCUUGAAGAGGAGGACGCUGGCCGACUCCUUGAAAAUUACAAGCCUCUGCUAAAAGUUGAGAGAUAUAAAGUGUCUUCUUCGCUACUUUCUUACUUAAACAGUAUCGCCAGCCCCAACUAGGACACCAAUUGAAACAAUUGUUACGCUCUAUUUCUUCUUCCAAACCUUGAGCUUCUCCCAAUUCUUUCUCUGCCUUUGUUAGCCACUCCUCAACGUCCUUCUUAAUUACCUCAGUUUGCCUUAAAGCCUCAUCGACAUCACCUUGCACCUGAUCUUUUUUCGAUUGAAGUGCUUGUCGCUGCUUCUUGAAAUCUUCAACAACUUUGGCAAAACGGAAAAAGUAAGUGAGAUAAGGUGAUGCGUAUUCUGUUGCCAGAUUCCCUACGGUAUUGGCAGCAGCAGCAGCAGCAAAUUCAGCAGCCAUUCUUUGGUGAUCUGUGAUUGAAAAACAACUUUGAUGAGUAAAAGGUUUUACAAAGAGACACAACACUGCGGAAGGAGGAAAUAUAAAUAUAAAUCUAAACCUGCAAAUAUCUACUCAAAUAUAACACCAAACAAAUAAAUCAGAGAUGAAAAAGAUGAAGAUUUACAUACCAAGACGAUUUUCAGGAGCCGAAACCUGCAAAUAUCUUCUAUUUUGAUCCACGCAAACUCACAAAGUGGGUUAAGGGUUUUUUUUUUUUUUUUGAAGUUGAAACAAAACGGAAGUAGAAAUGAACUUUGCACUGCAAUGAUAAAAAAUAACAGACUUUCACUUGUAAAGAUAAUUCUGCUUCUGACAGAGCAAAACAUAUUAUGUAUUAAUAUGGAGAAUUUAAUAUGUAUUCUUGAAGCUUAGCUCACCUCGAAUGGAUCUUCUAAAGCUUUGUUUUUUUAGAUAGAAAGCAGAGAAACCAAAAAACUAGAGAUAGCAGCUUUGAUUUUUUUUUUUUUGGCUUUGUGGAGCAAGGAAAGGAAAAGUAGGGAUCAAAGAACAGUUUUUUGUUUUUUUUUUUUUGAGUUAAAAGAAAAUGAGGAUAAUAAGAUAUGAUCAUUGUCUUAAGAUUUUAUUUGAAGGAAAAGAAGCACUUUUUUGUAGUAAUGUAUUUUUCCAACAAUUACUAGUCAUAUUUCAAUAAUGAGAAAUUUUUUAUUAAAAUAUUUCUAUAAUAUAAUGCCCCUUUUUUUGUUAUGUUGACCUCAAUAAGUUAUAUUUUGAACUAAUUGAAGUAUAAAAAAUUAUCCAAUAAACUGUCAUGGAAUUUAAAAACUUCAUCAAUGGAAUUAGAAAGUUGUCACAUAUUCAUUAGGAUAUAUUUGAAAAAAUUAAUAAAUUAAUCUGAUAAAUGAAAGGAUAUUAAUUUGACAAUAUUUUAAUUUUACUAACAAAGUUAAAAUCUCACCGAGGAUGUAUACAAUAAUAGUCCUCAAAAGUCAAAAUAAUCCGUUUGUUUUUACAAUUGAAGGACAUUGAUCAUUACAUGCAUUAGUAGUGAAGAUUUGUUGCUUUUCCUUGAAAGAUCAUUACUUUUUGUGCUUAAUUACAUGCUUUUGUUCGGCUUAUAUAUAUAAAUAUAUAUAUAUAUGCUUUCAUUAGUGCUCGUUGAAUUAUGGCAAUAAAAUGUUUAAUAGAGGUGAUAUGAAUAAAGUGACUAUCCAGAGAUAUUGCAUUGUAUCUUUUCUGCUUAUUGGGUUCCACUGCUUGGAGCAUUUCUGCAGUUUCUGUAUACUUAUUUACUCCAAUGGUUACUUACUCCCCAUUGAUGAAAAGACGAGACAGACUCACAGCUUUUUCUCUGUCAUUGAUGCUUAGUUAGAAUGACUAAUCGAUGGCCUUCAAUUAUGUUGCCUAUUUUCGUAAUUUUCUGAUCUACCUGGUUGGUUUAAUGGAUUUCAUGUUAAAACACUUGCACUAUUUAUUUUAUUGUUGAGAUUAACUUUUGUGAUCAAAUUAUGCCCCCAAUGAAUUCAAAAAUAUUAUUUGAUGAAUGUACAAAAAUAGGUAGCAAUGAACAUAUAGCAUGUUAGUACUGACUAUUGAGAUUGUGAUAAAAUAUUAUGACAAAAACAAACGGACAAUAAUCUGAAAAGCCCGUAGGAACCUGCUGACAUGAUAACUAGCUUUUUGACCACGCUGGUCAUCUGAAAAAUGGGACAGCCCAAGCAAUAAUAUACCUAGUUUCUUCUUUUUCUCUUCCUUGGAGUUAAAAGAGAAGCAAAAAUGAAGAUAAAUACUUCUUGACUUGGAAGUUGCAUGUGAGAACAAUGCCAAAACUCAAAAAAGGAGAAGAAGGAAAUUAUGAAGGAAAGUGUGCACGCACUAUCAGGAAAUCAUGCCUCCCUCCUAGUCCCUGUAUCUAUCCCAUUAUUUCAUUUCAGAGGGUAAAAGAAAAUGAAUUCCCCUUUCUCCCCAAAGAACAUGUGAUAGUGGGUCCACACUCUGAAAAGUUCUGUAUGAAGGAAGAAAUAGUUAUGGUUAGUCGUGACCUGCUUGAUUGUCUGCGUUCCAAAGCUAACAAAGAAACGUCAAUGUGGAACUAAGAAAUUUCUCGACCCUUGUCUUGAGAGAAUUGAGUCGAACGUGGAAAUCAAAUUUAUCAAAGCAAAAGGAAGAUUCUCGGAACUUUCUUGAUAUUUUUGAUUCAUUGUGGAAUCAAACACAAUAUCAAUGCCACCAGUUAUGGAGAGUGUACUGUCAUUAAAGAAGUAUUAUUAACUAAUUCUCUCUCAAAGAAUAAAAAAAAGGAUGAAGAUGCUCUACUAAAGGAAAUUUUAACUAAUGCAAAAUUGGUUUCAUAUUUGUGAUCUUAAACAUAAUAAUAUCUUCUCCAUAAAAUUUAAAACAUUAAAUUAUUUUAAUAAAUAAAAUAUAAAUUCCACUAAACAAAAUUUUAAGCACAAUAUCCACCACCUUGAUCCUUGGAGGCCAAUCCCUGUGAGAACAACAACCAGAGCAGAGCGCGAGUAAGCACCCACCAAGAGAAUAAACAAAAUUGAUUACAUGAAGGACCCCUGUAACAAAAGACAAUGCAGUGUGAACAAUCAACAAACGAUGGCCCCCAGAAGCAAUCAAAAAACUUGUCAAGAGCAGCCGCUAAAGAAAUUAAGUUCACACUUUUAACUUUUUCCUUGUGCUCCUAUAUAUGCAAAUGGGCGGUGGAAUCAUUGAUUCACUUUUGAAUUAUUAAUGCUUUUUUUUUUGUCAUAUUUCCAUUACUUUUCAGUAUUUAUUUUUGACCUAUUUAGUUGAUUUACAUGAAAAACAAUUGACUCUUUUUAUAAGCAAAAAUUAUUAUUAUUAUUUUAUAAAUGUCGUUAAGAGUAAACAUUUGACUCUCUUUAUUUAUGAUUCUUUUGUAAUUAAGCAUUACUUGGUGAAUUCUCCUCUAAUAAUGAGUAAUGACCUACUUUUAAGUUGUUGCCUGCCUAAAUCAUUUAAGUUGGACGUGGAAAAAAAUUUAAUGCCAAUAUUGCAUGUAAAGUUUGCAGAUGCAUACUCAAAUGCAAAAACCAAGAGCCAUAGAAGAAAAUGAUGCACGCAUAUACCAAGGAAAGAUGGAGUUUGAGAAGCCAAGGGUAAGCUUCUAUUUUUAUCAAAGAAAACUGAAAUAGAAAUCAAGUUUGCGCUACAAUAAUCAGAAGCCCGCUAGCAGAGGGAAUUAAGAAGCAACAGUUAAGUCUUCUUCGGCUAGCAAGAACAGUUGAAUACAGGAGAGAAAAUUUUGAAAAGAUGAUGUGAUCCCUCUAAUGUUGUUCAUUCUAUUUUGAAGAAAUUGUGAGAAAAAAACCUCGUGAUAAGGUGAUUUUAGAAAUAACCACUCAUAUAAAAUUAUCUGUUUCUAGCAAAAAAUAUGCAUAAGUAGACGAAAAUGCCCUUAAAAACAUCGUUUCAAAUAAAUGCUUAGCUGUUUGAGCUAUCUGCCUCUAUCUGACUCCCACCAGAGAGAAAAUAAAAAAAAUAUAAAUAAAUGCGCUCAGCUGUUUGAGGUCGGUCAUCUUUCUCUCUCAACUCUGGCAAGUCUCUGUUGAGCACUAUCGUCAUCAGCUCUCUCAAAUCUCUGAACUGUAUUAGCUCUGUCAACUCUCUAUUGAGCACCAUCGUCAUCGGGUUGUGGUCUAUCUCUCGGCAUCUAGCCACAUUGUCAUAGAUUAACAGACCCUAUAGCAGAAAUUACAUCAAGGUACUUGUUAUUAGGUUUAUUUUUGCAACACACUUAAAUUUCUGAAACAUUUGGUGUAAAUUAGAAGAUGAAUUAGAAACAUUGCCCAGAGUUACGCGCCAUGCAUCUAUAACAUGUGUUAGCGUUAUUAUUUUAGCGUGUCAAGGUUGUUCCUAGCGUGUCACGGGUUAACUAGUUUUUUGGGUUUUGGGCGUGUCACAGCUGUUCUUGACCUAUCAUGGGUUAAUUGGUUUUUUGGUUUUCGGGCGUGUCACGGCUGUUCCUAGCGUGUCAUGAGUUAACUGGAUUUAUGGGUUUGGGGCGUGUCAUAGCUGUUCUUGGCAUGUCGUGGGUUAACUGAAUUUUAGGUUUUGGGCAUGUCAUGGCUAUUCCUGGCGUGUCGUGGGUAAAUUGGUUUUUUGAGUUUUUAUAGUGUCACGGCUGUUGGUGUAACGAGUCAGUAAUUACAAUGAUUAGCGCGUCACGACAGUGAUGCAUGGCGUGUCACGAUACUGAUGCAUGGCGUAUUACGACAUUUGACUUGAUAUGCAUGGCGUGUUACAAUAUUUAACGUUAUAUGCAUGACGUGUAACAACAUGACUGACAAAUUUUUGAUCACGGCAUGUAUUGUGUAAAAUUAUUGUCAAUAAUUUUGUUUUCAAAUUUUCAGUGGGUUCUAAUUGUGUGACUUGUGAUAAGACAUGGUGGUCAGUGGGUGGAUGGCAUUUACAAAGGUGGUGAGUCACGAAUAUAGGGGGUUAGGAGUGAUUUGUCAUUUGCGGGCUUGAUGAAGCUGGUUGAAGAUGUUGGGGUAAACUAAACAAUUGACGAGAUUGAGUUACAUGCAUUGAUCAGUACACCCGGAGAGCUAUCACGGCCAAUUAUCAAAGACGAUGAGGAUGUUGCAUUAAUUCUGCUAGAACAGAGGAAUGUUCCGGUUGUGUAUGUCAGCAUUAAGGGACGUCAACCAAAUGUUAUGUCACAUGAAAAAGUUAGACAAUAUGGUAAUCAGCUCAAUCAAAAUGAGAUUUAUAAUACUUCACAUAUACCACAGUAUUCGGUCCGUAACCCACAACAAUGGCAAUUGAGGUAUACACAAGAGUUUGUGCAGCUUGGUAGACAAACAACAUUCACAGAACAGUUGGCUGCACAAUUUCGAUCAGGAUGUGCAUCAAACCAAUUUCUUGCUUCUUUCGAACAAAUGCAACGAUCGGGUGAAACUGUAGAGUCUGUAAUACCAUUGUCGAAUGAGAAUACGACACUUGAGGACAAUAAUGUGAGGUUGGAGGGUGACACUGCGACGCUAGAGGAUAAUACUGCAUUUGAUGAGGGAAAUGAGGAUUUGUUAGCUGCCGGUGAAGAUAAAUUGGAUGACACUUCAGAUGAUGGGCUUGAACAAUUGCAAGAUGAUAGUUUAGACAAUGACUGCCUUUAUGACAGUGGCAUUCCAAUUUGGAAUAAUGUUGAAGGCGAAACGAAACCUGUUGGAGGUGUUGAUGUAGGGGAUGUUCAGUGUGAUGACCCCAUAUACAAUAACCCCAUUGCUGGUGUGUAAAACCCGACCCUAUAAACACAUGUCAUGACAUACAUGCAUUGAAUAACAUGUUAUUACGCUAAGAAAGCCCCUAAGAAUAGACGAAACCCAGUAUUGUACCUAACGGUACACUUGAGUUGAUUUAACCUCGAACUAGUUUAAAUAGAAAUCGUAGGAUGAAAUUUAAUAUUUUACAGUCCAAGAAUGACUAAAAAUGAUUAUUCGGAGUUCAAGGGUUCAUUUGGAAAAAUUGGAAAUUUUGAUGUUUAGGGGUAAAAUCGUUAUUUUGCCACCUAAGAUAAUAAUUUGAUCAUAGAGUGAAAUUUUUGACCAAGAUUAACUAUUUGGAGUAUAAUUUAAUGAUAGGAAGUGAAAAAUUUCAAUUCCGAUAAUUUUUGAAACAUAGGGAUAAAACGAUAAUUUUAUCGUCUCGGGGUAAAAUCAAAAUUUUUACCACCCAAAACUUGUCAAAAUCAUAGGAUUUAUUUAUCUUUGGUAUGAAUAACUAUGGUAUUUUAAGUGGUGAAAAAUUAAAGUUUAAAGGAUAAAAUUUUAAAAAUGGGCCAAUGGGAAAGUGACACAUGACACUUUUUAAUGAUGUAAUAUUAUUUUAAUGAAAAGUCAGCCCAUUUAAACCCCAUAUUAAGUGAUGGCCAACCAUAAGGAGAGAACAAGAGAGAAAAUAGAGAGGAAAGGAAGAAAAGGGAAAAACCAAAGGAAAACUAGAAAAUUCAAAGGGGAAAUCGCAUUUUUCAUCUGUUUACGAGUCUAACGGUAAGAUUUUUCGACUUUAGCUUGAUUUCUACCUUUCUUAUGCCUUUAUUUCCAUUUAGCAUGCUUGAGGAGAGAGAUUAAAAAGUGAAACCAAGGGCUGGCCGAAUUUCGAGGGGAGAGAUUUUGAAAUUUUUAGGUUUUGAUUCUUAGUUAAAUUAGUAGUUUUAGUUAGUUAAAUGUGUAUAGAAAUCAAAUUGGGCAAGAAAGCAUGAAAUUCUCACAAUACCCACCCUUGGCCGAAUAUGCAUUGAUGUNAAUGAUGAUGAUCUGAUUUUUUAUUCUAAGAGAAAUGAAGAGAAAAUGAUGAAAAAUAGUUAAAUGUGAUAGAAAAACAAAGUGAAAAAUUAAUCGAGUAAAUGUCCCAUUUUUGACCGAAUUUUUCAAGGAGGAAAGUGAGCUGAUUUUGGUGAUUUUAGAAGGUUAUUGGCUGAUAUUUAAUGGUUAGAAAUGUUGGAGAGAAAAUGGAACAAUUUAGAGCUAAAAUGGAGCGCGUUAGCAAUUUAACGGGUAAAGUGUCAAAAAUAGGUUAAUACCGUGUUUAAGCCGUUUUAGGCUAUUGCAUUUCAUACCAUGCAUUAGUAUAGGAUCUAAGUCAAUUAUAUAGUGAUUUAACAUCAAUGUGGUGAAUUGUGUAAUUUUUGCAAUGUGUCUAGGAGGAGAGCCUUCCGGUAAGGGCAAGAAAGUUGUACCCGACAAACAGUGAUCGGGGCACCUAAAAAGCAUUUAAUUUGUACAAACGGUGAGUAAACCUAUUAUUAUUGUAAAUUAUCUAGAGUUUAUUUUUAAAUGCUCAUUAUUUAUUUUAUGAAAUGAAAAUGAGAUUAAAAUGAGACUUUUGAUGUUUUAGAAACAAAUGUGCCAAAUAAAUAUAUUGUGUUGAUUAUCUGAAAUAAGAAACUUUUAAUCAUGAAAUUGAGUAAUUGGAGGCUGCCAAUUGUCUUGAAAAAUAUAUUUUCCUAUGAAUGGCUUAUGAUAUAUGAGUAUAUGUGGCUAUAUUUUAUAAUUGUAUUGAAAAUUUAUUUAAGCUGUCUUUUACUAUGCAGGCUGGGUAAAUAAAUAAAAGCUACAUUAUAUUGUCGAAAUUUUAUUAAAAUUGAUGGGUUUAGUCACUGCAAUGGCGGGUUUUCGUGGACUGCCUAUUAGAAGGGUAUGGUAAACUCGGUUAUAUAGUUACUCCAGAUGUAGAGGCGAGGAGGGUAACUCCCGGGGUAGUGUUAGAGCUCACUUCACGUCGAACCCCCAUGUGAAUAUGUAACUCAGUCAACCCCAAGGAACGGCUUGUUUUCAAAACUAACAUGUGUUUAACAUGUAAAUAUCUUAACAACCUUGGCGGACUCGGUUAGAUGCCUCGACCAAGGUAUCCUCGAUGAUUAGUUUUUGGCUUGAGCCCUAUUUUUAAUAAAAGUCAUAAGCUUUAACAACUGUUUUGGUAAAUUACAAAUAUUUUAUGGUUUAAAAAAUAAAUUGAAAACCGUAUGAAAUGGUUUGUGAUUUGUUGUUUAAAUUUACCUCCAUUUUACUCGCCUUUAGAUAUUUAUGAUAAUGUUUGUUUACUCAUUGGAAUUGUAAAAUCUCACCCACCUCCUUUCCAAAUAUUUCAAGCCUGUGGUAGCUUGUAGAUACCCGAUUUUGUCGAGGAUUCUAGUUGACCCCUCUAUCCCACAGACAGUAGGUUACUACCACCAACACUUGGUGUAUUUAUGGGCCAUUUGUUAUUGUAAUUAUUAUUAUACAUUAUAACUCUGUAAAUUAUUAUAUGUAUGAAUUUGUUUUACUUAUACGUGUUUCUAUAAAUAUUGUUUUAUAUAAAAAUGUUAUAUUUUAAUCAAUAUUUUAAAUAGUAAUAUUUGUCUAUAAAUCUUUUUAAAAUAAUUUUAUCUUUUGAUUUACUUGAGCCGAAAAUGAUUGGUAAUUGUUUAAAACAGAAUGUUUAACAACGAUUGCUCACAGGAAAGGCAAGAAACUGAUACGUAAGCCUUGAGGGGUUCCGAUUGGCAUUCCGGGUAAUGAGUGUAAAUCGAGACGUCGCGGUGGUUGUCAUGGGCCCAAGGGAGGUUUCGGAUCAUGACAUGGUGAGAACGAGGUUCGUUCCCUUAAUACAUUGGUCGUUGAUAGUGAUCAGGAAAAGGGAAAUGCAGGGAUAUCUCGUAUGUGGGUAAUUGCAGGUGCAGAAAAGUUCUCUUUCCAAACAAUUACCACGAGGAGUCGACAUGUGCCGAAGAUUGCUUAUACAAAGGAAGAAUGUUUUCGUCGAAGGCCGAGUUGAAACGAGCUUUGAACAUGUUAAUUGUAAAAGAGAAGUUUGCGAUAAGAGUAAAAAGGUCAUGUAAAGCUCGUUAUGAGGUUGGUUGCAAGGACAAGGCAUGCAAGUUCAGUGUGUGUGCAACGAAGUUACCUAAUAGAGGAGAAUAUUGGCAAGUUCGGACAUUUCACAAUGUACACACUUGUACCAUUGAUGGUUUGUAAGGGAAGUUUCCAACUACGAGUGCGAAGAUGAUUGGUGAACUUAUGUCACACAAGCUUCGGGCUAAUGGAGUAGCAUUGAGACCUAAGGACAUAAUUUGUGAGAUGAGGGUUAAGUGGGGAUUGGAAUGCUUGUAUGGUAAGGCUUGGCAAGCGAAGGAGUACGCGGAGAGGCUUGUUUUCGGUCCACCAGAGGCGUCAUUUCAACUACUACCCUCGUAUUUUUUUAUGUUGGAACAAGAAAAUCCUGGCACAGUGACUGCAGUGGCUACUGAUGAGACCGAAAGAUUCAAAUAUUGUUUCUAGUCAUACAAGGCUUGUAUUCAGGGGUUUACGGAUGUAAUGCGUCCUACGAUUGCAAUUGACGUGACACAUCUCAAAGGUAAGUUCAAGGGUGUUCUGUUUGUCGUUGUAUGCAAAGAUGUGAAUGAGUGCGUAUAUCCAGUUGCGUUUGGCAUCGGCCAUGUUGAGGACGAAGACUCAUGAACGUGGUUUCUUAGCAAGCUGCAUGAUGCGGUUGGUUGUCCUAAAAACACUAUGUUCAUUUUUUAUCAGCAUCUUGGCAUUAAGAAAGCAAUCCAAAAUGUAUACCCAGAAGCGCACCAUGGUUUAUGUGGUUGCAACUUGAAAAAAAAACUUUAAAAACAAGUUCAAGCGUGACGAUGUUUGUAUGCUUUUCACCCUUGCUCAAGAUUACUAUAAGGUGGCCGAUUUCAAUAGACAUAUGAACCAACUACAGUAGAUUCACCCGGGAGCCCACGUUGACCUUAUGAGAAUAGGGCCUGAGAGAUGGGCAUGUGCAUGUUCACCGACAAGGCGAUACCAAAUGAUGACAUCCAACAUUGCGAAAUAUGUUAACUCAUGCUUGAAGCAUGCAAGACAAAUACCGAUCACUGUUUUGAUCAAGUUCAUCAGAGACAUGUUCCAGUGUUGGUUCCAUGACCUGUACUAGGAGGCCGUCAAAGUGACAACACCCCUCAGCCCUUGGGUUGCUAGGUAGUUGAGCAAACGGUUCAAUGAUGCACAUCGCUUUGUAGUUAAGCCUAUCAAUCGAGCGAAGUUUGAAGUUAAAGACGGGAAGAUAAACGGACUUGUAAACCUGUUUAGGAAGACAUGUUCAUAUUGUGAGUUCCAAACAGAUUUGCUGCCAUGCAGCCAUGCCAUUGCAACAAAAAAGUUAGAAUAUCAUUAUUUCUUAUUUGAAUCGUAAUUGACAUAACAUUAACAUUGUGCUUGAAGAUUGAGUUUAUUGUAUUUUUUAGUCAAUGCAAUCGUGAAACCAUUGCAUUCUACGCUGACUACUACAAGACAACCGUUUUGGUGGAGGGUUAUUCAGGAUCCAUUAGGCAGGUAGGGCAUCUUAAUGAGUGGGACAUCCUCCCUUAUGUGACACAAAUUGUCGUCUUGCCCCCACUUUGGCGAGGCCAAGCGGGAAGACCUAGGAGGAGAAGGAUUCCAUCAACUGGUGAAAAUAGUCAAGCACAGAGAUGUUCGCAAUACAAAAGGUAUGGGCAUAACAAACAUAAUUGCCCAUCCCCAUUUACAAUUCCAUCCACAAAUCCGGCACCAUCUCUAAGUCAAUCGACUCCUCCACGAGUGCGCUGACCCAAAGCAUGUUCAAUUUGUAGACAAACCGAUCACACCCGCAAGACCUGUCCAAUACAGAGUACAAUGUCUGAAAAUGUAAGGUGUGUUAUGGAUGAAGACAACUUGUCUGCCUAACUCAAUGUGUAACCCAUGUGCAGUACCUUGCUCACAUACAUUCGAUCACAAUUUCCUGUGGUAUUAUCAUAGUCUUUGGCCCACUGAAAUGGGUUUAUCUUUUAAUAUUGGUAGCCAUUCCAUGCUUAUUGUUGCUUCAUAAGAUUUGUGUAGCCACUUGUACUUAAUGUUGUAAUUGUAGUUGAACUAGUUUUGCUUUACGAAUUUGUCUGCUUGGUCAUUUUAUGAGCCACUUUUAAUUAUGGACUUUGUUGCCAAACAUUUCAAGCAAAUAAGCUUGCCAAGGCCUCUAUCUGAUCAAGAUAGUGUUAAAGUACAUUUUUACAUUGCUUGUAAGAAUAUUUUCGAUUACAAUCUCCAUCAGAUAGAGGCCUUGACAAGCUUAUUUGCCUGAAAUGUUCGACAAUAAAUUUCGUAACUAAAAGUGGCUCAUAGAAUGACCGAGCAGACAAAUCCUUAAAGCAAAACCAGUUCAAUUACAAUUACAACAUUAAGUACAAGUGGCUACACAAAUCUUAUAAAGCAACAACAAGCAUGGAAUGGCUACCAAUAUUAAGAGAUAAACCCAUUAACUGUUACCCCAUUUGUCACAUUUUAUUACCACUUGUAUUAAACAAUUAAUGAUUUGAUUUAAUUCCUUUCUAUUUCAUUUGAUUUAACCAUUUAUGUUCUUAUAAUGAAAUUCCUUUCUAUUUCAUGAGUAAUUAAAUUUUGCCAAUAUCGGUUAGUCAACUAAGAGCAUUAUGCCUGCAAGUUUUGUGGUGACACGCUGACUUUUUACAGUCUUGGCUAGUGACAUGGCACGGGCCAAUUGUGGUGACACCCUGAGUGCAAGCAAACUUAUGGUGUGACACGCUGACUUGUUGCAGUCUUGACGGGUAACACUACACAAGCCAAUUGUGGUGACACGCUGAGUGCAAGUAAACUUAUGGCGUGACACAUUGACUUCUUGCAGUCUCGAAAGGUGACACGGCAGGGGCCAAUUGUGGUGACACGCUGAGUGCAUGCAGACUUGGCGUGACACGCCAAAUUGUUGCAGUCUUGUUGGUGACACGACACAAAAUGUUUAAAAUUAAGGAAAGUUUUAAAAAAGUAACACCUAUUAUAAGAAAAAUCAACUAACCUGAUAUUUUAAUUGUUAUUUGGGGGAUUUCGGCUCUUAGAUGCUUAUCCACACUCAAUAUUAAAACCCACUAUAAGUGGUCGCAGCUGCAUUACAUCACAAAGACUCUUGAAGAGAUUAAGGAGUUCAAUGCACUGAAGCCUACGUGCUUUGAGAUGCUACUGGAUGUCAAUCCACAAGCUUCGUCUACCAAACUUUGGUGCUCCUGUCUUUCCAAAAUCAACAGCCAUAUAAUGAAGAGUUGCCAAUUCUAGGUCCAUCAUUCGAGGUAUCGAUCCAGCCUAGAAUUGGCAACUCUUCACUCUAUAGUUGUUGAUUUUGUAAAGACAGGAGCACCAAAGUUUGAUAGACGAAGCUUGUGGAUAGACCUCUAGGAGCAUCCCAAACACGUACGCUUCACUGCAUGAAAUCCCCCAUCUCUUGGAGAGGCAAAAUGUCAAGAUCCUUAUACCGUCUACGUUGGAUCUGCAAAACAUGGCACACAUGCACCAGUGAGUUAAGCCAUAAUGUCAAACAAGGUAUACUGAAGAAAUAAAUAAAGAAUAAAUGUUGUGACACACCAUUCAUAACAAGCUAAAUGUUCUGACACGCCAUGCAUAACAAGUAAAUCAUUUGUGACACGCCAUACAUAACAACUAAAAUGUUAUGACACGCCAUGCAUAUCAAGUAAAACGUUGUGACACGCCAUGCAUAUCAAGUCAAAUGUUGUCACACGCCAUGCAUAUCGAGUCAAAUGUUGUCACACACCAUGCAUAACAAGUAAAUCAUUUGUGACACGCCAUAGUAAACAAGCAAAAUGUUGUGACACACCAUGCAUAUUAAGUAAAACGUUGUGACACGCCAUGCAUAUCAAGCAAAAUGUUGUGACACACCAUGCAUAUCAAGUCAUUUGUUGUCACACGCCUUGCAUAUCGAGUCAAAUGUUGUGACACACCAUGCAUGUCGAGUCAAAUGUUUUCACACAAGAAAACCAAUAAAACCACAAUGACUUAACCUCAAAAACCAUCCAUCGAACCAGCGAGAAAACCCAGUCUAAAAUCUAAACAUUUGCAAAACAAAACAUACAAAAAACACGAACAUAUCAAACAAACCCAGCGAAAAAGUAAAAAAUUAACAUAAGAAUGUUUUCUCUUGAGACUCACUUACCUCUUCACUCAUAGCCGACAUUGUCGCUAUUGCUGUGGUGUCGUUACGCUUGCAAAGAGCCUUCUCGAACACUCCGGUAUCAACAGGAAUGAGAAAUGAAUCAAACAGACGUUAGGAAUUCUGACAAAUAAAUGUUUAAAAUGAAAAAUGGCUUUAGAAUAUUCUCAUUUAUUCGUUUCAUUUAUAAAUUACUUCAGUGGAAGUCCAAACGGUUACUACGUUAACUGCCGAUUUUAAUUUUUUUAAAAAAAUUUAAUGGAAGUCCAAACGUUUACCAUAGCGGGUCAGUUGUUCAAACAAUGGCGUGUCACAGUAGUUUCACGUAUUCUAACCGUGGCAUGUCAUAAAUUUUGAACCCGACCAUUUCACAGUCGUGACACGCUGAGUGCAAGCAGAUUUAUGGCGUCAUACUGCUAACUUGGUGCAAUAUCGUGGGGUCACACGCGACGGCUCAAUUGUUAUGACACGCCGAGUGGAAGUAAAUUUUUGGCAUCACACGCUGAGUAUCUGCAAAUUUAUGGCGUGACACGGCACGGCCUAACUGUUCUGGCACGCUGAGUGGAAGCAGAUUUAUGGGCUGACACAUUGAGUGUUAGUGGAUUUACGGCGUGACACGUUGACUUCUUGCAGAUUUAUGGGGUGACACGCUAAGUGCAAAUAGAUGUUUGUGGGGACACGCUGACUAGUAGCAGCUUUAUGGCGUCACACGCUGACUACCUGCGACUAUGUAUCAAAUUAAAUAUAUUGUGUAUACAAAGGAAAACAAAUUCUUAGUAUAAAAUGAAUUGUGUAUAUGCAAAAAAAUUAAUUGUGUAUAAAUUUAAUUAUAUAAAAUAUAUUCCCAAUACAAAAAGAAUUAAUUAUAUAUACAAUAAAUUGUAUAAAAUAAAUUGUGCAUACAAAAAAAUUGUGUACAAAAUUAAUUGUAUAAAAAUAAUUCUAUAUACAAAAAAAUGUACAGACAAAGGCCGAUAUGUUCAGGGUUCGCUCUCACAACUGUUGGAAAAAAUUUCUAGAGCAUAUUGCAGACGCAUUUUUGCAAUCAUAUUCUACUUGACUUUGAUAUUUUUCGAUUGGAAAAUAUCAUCCAUGUACCCUAUCAUGAACAUACUGCAGCUGACACUAUCAUUCUGUCGAUGUACUUUAGCUUUUGGCAAAUGAAUAUCCAAUGGCAUCGGCGUCAAAUCCUGUCUCUUUCAACGUGUGUUGUUGAAAUAACCGGCUUUGUGGCAGAUGAUCAGCAUCAUUGUCGUCAAGGGUGUCAUUUGAGCCACACGAACUCCGUUAUCCUUAGCAUUCGAAGUUCUUGUGGAGUCAAACACCUUGAUCUUUGCAACCACCCAAUUCCCACCAACGUUGCAAGGCGCGAGGAUGAAAUCCACAUUUUUCCAUUUUUUACCGUAUAUCGGCUUUUCACCCUUCACGUACCCCCAUAACUCAUCUAGAAUUUGCAUUAUGACCUGGGCAUCUUCUGUUGGGAAUUCCGUGUGUAUCAUACGGAUGACGUCCUAUGAAACAUGUAAACAUUAGCUUACACUUCAUGCGAUCAAAAACUUAGUAUUUAUAGAAUUGAACAAUUUCAAAUAAACUUACAAAGAAUGUCGUGUCAACCACGCAUGCACGGGUAGUGUACAGCUUCAACUUCGACACUGUCAUACGCUUGCAGAAUACGCUGAGGCAUGCGUCGAUAUGUUCACUUGUCAUUUCCUCAUUGGGAUCCUCUAAGGUUAUGAAAAAGUUAGCCCCUUGAUCCCCUAAGAUGCCGACGUCACGCCUGCAUAUGUAACAUAAUGAAUUUCAUAAGUCUUGGUGGCUUAAUGUUUCAUUAAAAAAUAAUAUUUGCAAUGUUAUUUAUGAGCUUACCUCGCAAACUCAUCAUUCUUGAAAGCUUCGUAGGCUUCUACGAUUGUAUCCUUCGUCUCUCGAUGGCUAACUAAGGGGUCGACAUAUGAGCUUGCCAGGUAUUGCUCGCCAGUUUCAACCGUGCCCGUUCAGUUUGGUCUGAAAUUUUUGCUACACUGUGAUGGACAGCACAUUACUCUGGUGAUGCUGAUUGUGUCUCAACUGCAUCAGGAGUGCUUUGAUAAAGCACCAUAGCUCCUGCUGCUGCCUCGACGAAUGCAUCGGCUGGAGGAAGAUGCUCUCUUUCAGCCACGACUAAGUCAAGGUCCCCCUCCCCUCCAGUAGAUGCAUCGAUAAUGGACUCAAGCAGAGGAACAUGCUCUUCUUCAGUAUCAUCUGAUUCAAGGGUGACAUCCCCUGCCACAGCUUCAUCAAUGACGUCAUCGACAUGAGUUACGUACUCUCCGUCAGCACCAAGAACGUCAUCGUGAAUGUGAACACCAAGUUCAUGAUGCUACCCAUCAUCAGCAUCAUCGUGCUCCAGACCAGCACCGUGAGAUGAAAGAUCGCCCUACAAAAUGGAAAAAAACUGUUAGUUAGCUCAUAAAAUACCACAAACCAUAACAAGUAAAAAGUUGUGACACGCCAUGCAUAACAAGUAAAACGUUGUGACAUGCCAUUCAUAAAGAGUAAAAUGUUGUGACACGCCAUGUAUAACAAGCAUAAUGUUCUGACACGUCAUGCAUAACAAGUGAAAUGUUGUGACACGCCAUGCAUAACAAGUAAAAUGUUGUCACACAUUAACGCUGACACGUCGAUACCUUACUAAAAUACAAAUGUCCUGACCCACUAAUCUGAAUUGAACCAAUUAAACCACUACCACUUAACCCCACAAACCAUCAAACCAAUAAGAAAACGCAGUCUAAACAUUUGCUAAACGUAAACCACAAAAAUACAAGUGAAGAUAGAAUAACGUACUUGUGAUUUAAGGCCGUCAAGAAUCCGAGCAACGAUACGAUCCUCAAGCGUCUGCAUUGCUAGAGUCAAUGACUGAAUUGAAGCCUUCAGCUCCAACAUCUCUUUGACAUGCUUGCGCAUGAUCCCUCGAAAGCUGGCGAGUAGUGACUGCUCCGUCAUUGACUCUUCUUGACUAGGUUAACUGCAAUAACAUAUAUCACUGUGUUAUUCAAUAAUCAUAUAUGGAAUUGUUGAACAUUAACCGUUACAACUUUAAUAUCCUUACCGGUGACUCGUAAGCAAUUUAUGGUGGAGCUGGACCCAUCGGUGCUUGACGACCUGUUGUCACCUCCAUAAACUGCAAUAACAGAAACUACUGUGUUACUCGAUAAACAUAUGUGAAAAUGUUGAACACAAAUUGUUAGAACCCAUUUUACCUACGAGUCGUUUCCACUGUGCAUUUGAGGAGGACCGGUGGGUGGUUCUGAAGCUACCGAUGCAUGGACCAACUGUAAACACAGAUAUGUUAUUCGAUAAUCAUAUAUGGAAUUGGAGAACACAAAACCGUUAAACUGUCUUUACCGGCUGUUCACUGCCUUGAUCAUGGUCGUCCCGUUCGUCCAUCAACUCAGGGCCCAACAUCUCAUCAUUAAAACCAACGGUGGUGCGCGUCCGCUUCGUGCCACCAGAGGCUCUUUUCUCUUUCAAGCUUCUCUUUUUUUGCCUCGCACCUAAGCCCCAAUCCGACCGAUCCUCUAUGUGCCCUAUUAGCACGUACUCAUGGCCCUCCGAUAACGGGACAUCAAGGUCCAUAAAAUACUCCCAAUUGGCCUCAUCCGCGAAGAGUUUUAACUUCUCUAGUGCCCACAACUGCAAAUAAACAAAUAAAAUAUUGUGAUUAUCGAAUACGAAAAAUUAUUAUACAAAUAUAAGGCAAAAAUUAGUAGUUGUUCACUCACAUGGUCAAAUGACUUUAACUUCUGAAAUUCCAUGUAGAUGUCUUUUGGCUUCUGAUUGUAAUCCUAUUUGCACAUUUGUGGGUAAACGUUGUCCUUCAAACCAAAGGGGGCAAUUAUUUUUUACAGGGCCGAAAUUACCUCCAUUGCCUAGAACUGCAAGUCAAAUGUAACCAUUAUCAGACCGUAAAUCAUAAACGAGUGCAACUAUAAAUUAUUAAAGUAAAAAGGAAACUGGAAAAUGUUUCGUGAUAGUACCUAUAUCACCCAUGCGAAUCCGUAAAUGUUGUAGCGUAACCGAGUUUCCUUUGUCAUGCUUGAGUCAGGCACUUCGAACCCUUUCAAAAGGUAGUCCAAGGUCAGCUUCCAAACAUAGUGCCCCAAUGGGAAGACAUUCCAAGCGUCAAUGUCCUCCACCAAUGACAGCAACCAAGGCAUCACCCAUCUACGGUAGCCUUGACCAAAUAAAAUGUUAUUCGUGAUUAAGAAGAGUGCCAUCUUAGUCGCGUCUCCUGGUUGCUGGAAGUUGCCCUCACAGAACGUAUCAAGCAAAGCCUGCAGCUUAACGCUCUCUUGCCUGUUCCAGUAUCUGGCAUGAAUUCCGUCCGUAGCAACCUCGUACGAUCGUCUAAACACAUAGGGCAUUGGACCAAACUUCAUCUCGGUGAUGAGGCAAGACUCUUGAUUUGAUAGUCACGCCUUGCUCUUGCCAAUGGCAAACCAUAGCUCGUGGUCCAUUGACUGGCUCUCAUUGAUCCGACAAAGCAUGAUGCUGUGUAGGAGACCAACGCAAAAGUACCUUUGUGGAUAGACGUCCAAGAUCCUUCCGAAGCAUGUACGCUUCACUGCAUCGUAUUCCCCCUUCUGUUGGAGAGUCUUUGUGAUGUAAUGCAGCUGCGACCACUUACAGUGGGUGUUAAUUGCGAUGUUGAACGCCCACUUCUACCUCGGCAUGAUCAGUAAACUGUCAAGAUCCUCAUACUGUCUGCGCUGGAUCUGUAAAACAUGGCACACAUGCACCAGUGAGUUAAGCCGUAAUGUACAACAAGGUAUACUGAAGACAUAAAUAAGGAAUAAAUGUUGUGAAACAUCAUUCAUAACAAGCAAAAUGUUGUGACACGCCAUGCAUAGCAUUCAAAAUGUUGUGACACACCAUACAUAACAAGUAAAAUGUUGUGACACGCCAUGCAUAUUAAGUAUAAUGUUGUGACACGCCAUGCAUAUCAAGUCAAAUGUUGUCACAUGCCAUCUACAUCGAGUCAAAUGUUUUCACACGCCAUGCAUAUCGAGUCAAAUAUUGUCACAUGUUAACACUGACUAUAAUAACAAUGUCGUGACACGACAAACACCAAAACCCCUAAAACCACUACGACUUAACCCCAAAAACCAUCAAACCAACAAGAAAACACAGUGUACACAUUUGCAAAACAAAACAAAAAACACGAAAAUAUCAAACAAACCCAGAAAAAAAUUAACAAACACAAGAAUGUUUUAAUUUGAGACUCACUGACCUCUUCACUCAUAGCCGACAUUGUUGUUGGUGUUGUGCUGUCGUUACACUUGCAAAGUGCCUUCUCGAACACUCCGGUACCGGCGAGAAUGAGAAUUGAAUCACACAAACUUUAGGAAUUCUGAAAAUAACUAUUUAAAAUGAGUUAUUUUUUUUAUUUCACUAAAGGGAAUUAAUUGAGUGGAAGUUCAAACGAUUACCACGUUAACUCUCUGCUUUUUUUUUUCCUUUCUCUAUUUCAAACCAUGACGUGUCAGCUAUUCAAGCAAUACCGUGUCACACACUUUAAACCAUGGCGUGUCAGCUUUUCAAGCAAUGCCGUGUCACACACUCUAAACCAUGCCGUGUCAGCUUAAUAAGCAAUGCCAUGUCACACACUCUAAACAUGGUGUGUCACCAACUCUGAACUCUGACUUGUCACAAUUUCCCUCCAUGGCGUGUCACCAACUCUGAACUUUGGCAUGUCACAGAUUCCCUCCAUGGCGUCUCACCAACUUUGAACGCUGGCAUGUCACAGGUUCCCUCCAUGUUCUGUCACCAACUCUGAACUCUAACGUGUCACAGAUUCCCUCAAUGGCGUCUCACCAACUCUGAACGUUGACGUGUUAUAGAUUUCCACCAUGGCGUGUCACCAACUCUUAACUCUGGCGUGUCACAGAUUCCCUCCAUAGCGUCUCACCAACUCUAAACGCUGACGUGUCACACAUUCCCAACAUGACGUUUCACGUACUCUAAAUCCUGCCCUGCCACAACUGUCUCACAUAUGGCCUGCUAUAACAGGACCAUUUCCUGCUUUGGAUUCACAUCUUUCUCCUUUCAAUUCACCACCGUAUCAAGGAUUUCUAGUUUCACAUCAUUAGCCAAGCUUUCCAUUCAUCAUGACCGAGUCUUCGUUUGGUUUAAUAUCACUAUUUUCCUAUUAUCUGAAUGCCAUGACCCAAAUCUCUAAAAAACUAUCUCAUGCAAUAUUAUUUUGUUUUGUACAACCUUCGCAAAAAAAAAGGAUGUUUUGUACAAAAUUAGAUGUUCGCAAAAUUCUUUGCAUAUUUAUUUUUUUUUCCAUUUUUCGCCUGUUUGAGAGCGCACACUAAAGAAGAUGGCACAUUAAGGGCUUUUUUGUCUCAAAAUCUAUUCUGGUGGCUAAAAAUAGUUAAAUUUAUCCCGAUGGUUAUUUACAAAAAACGUUAUUUUUAAAGGCUAAAAAAAAAUUCCCCUUCUAUUUUUGUCAUUUUACAAUAAUUUUUUCCUUAAGAUCCAUUUAUUUCUCACCUACUUGCUUAAUGGCUUUCAUGGAAAAAUACUUUACCAUAUACAGUACAAGGGAAGGGAGAUUUCCGGAGCUUUCGUAUAGAUAUUUAUCUCUUUUUACUAGUGGGACAUGGAAUCAUGAGCAUUUGUUGUAUCAGUUUGAGAAGAAAACUGAUACACUGUUAUGAAGACUUGCUUGUUUAAACUCUUUGACUAAAGCAUGUUUAUAGUAUAUUGCCUCUGUUUAAAUUACAUAAACAUCAGUAACUUAAAUUUUAAACAAAUUAAAUUAGUCUAAAUAUACUUGUGUAUGAAUUUGUAUAAUUUAUGAAAGAGCCUUUUUUUCCCAGAACAUCCUUUUUUUUUGUUUUUUAAACUCAUUCAUUACUUGGUGAUAAGCUUUUUCUCUGUCAUUCUUGCCUUAUUUUUGCUGAGCCUUUUACUUUGCUUCAAACAGUUUUUAUUUACUCAUUAAGAAGGUGGAUUUCAUCAUCUUAUUAUUCCACUUCCCCCUUUAAUAAUUACUUACUCACUAUUGAUGACUUCACAACUUCUAUAUUGACUUUGCAUUGAGUUAUGCUAAUGAAGCAUAGUUUUCUCUAAACCAAAUUUGGCAUGAUUUCAAAAGCAAGUUCACACCUUCAAUUCACUUUUUCUUUUUGGUCUCACGUAUUUGAGAAGAAAAAUCUAUCAGGAUUCGUCUCUUUCUCUUUAUCAGUAUUUUCUUGGUGAUAUGCUUUUUCACUGUCAUUUCCCGUCUUCUUUUUGCUCACCCCUUCUAUUUUGCUUCCAACAUAUUUUUUUUUUUAAUUUUCUCAAUAAUUAACGAGACAAAGAUUACCAAUGGGACAUAGGCAUCAUUGCUAUCAAAGCUUUUGAAUUAUUGACCUGAUCCCUUUAUUGUUCUCUUUCAUAUUUUUGACAUUUUGCAAUCAUUUCAAAAUGGAAAUUAAGAUCACACUUUUCAUUUUCUCUUUGUACUGUUACGUAAAUAAGACCUAGAAUCAUUGACGUACUUUUGAAUUAUUGAUUUUUUUAUUAUUUUAUUUUAUUUUUAAUUAUUAUUCAAUAUUUUUUUCUUUUCCCCUCUGAGUUUAAAACAACUUAAAAUAUAAGAAAACGAAUGUUUACUGAGGUAUUGCUCCUUUUUAAUUUCUUCUUCUUCUCACGUUCUUGGGUUUUAGCUGAAAGUGGAAGACCCUUGGCCUCAAAUGCCUCUGGUAUUCCACAUCUUUUGAUAAUGGACAUGGAAUCAUUGUUAUUUUAGUUUCUUAUUCAACAAAAGUUGCAGCAUGGACUUGGUUUUCUUCUUAGUCUCUUUUUUUUUUAUUGUUAUUUUCUUUUAUUUAAACAACAAUGGGUUCAAACAUCUUUUGAUUUAUCGAAUUAUUGCCCUCACUUUUUCUUUUCUUUUUUUAUUAAAAAAUUAUUUAACAACUAAUAAUAUCUCACUCCAAAAUCUUAACUUAUGAAAACAUGCUAUAUGUGUUGAUCAUUAGAUUAUUAAUUUUAGCUACUAAAAAAGGUGAUUAUUAAAGAUAGAUAGAUCUUUAAAAAAAAAAGUAGAUAGAUAAAGAAAUCCAUCAUCUCUAGGAGAAAUUUCAAUUAAAAAAAAAUGAUCAGCAGUGAGGAAAGUUAAGCUAAAAAAUGUUUAAGAAAGUUUCAUCAAUUGUUUUUCUCCUUGCGAUGGGGAAAACUUUGGUCAUUCAUUUCCUAAUUGACUAUCUUUGCUUCAAAGUUAACAAAGAAAUAUCAAUGUGGAAUUAGGAUUCUUCUUAAUUCUUAUCUUAAUAGAAUUAAGUCUAACUUGAAAACCAACUUUUGAAUUAUUGAUCCCGUUAGAUGGAUCAAUUUGUUUUAUCAUCUAUGUAUUUUUAAUAAUUUUAAGCUCCUUUUUACACAUACGUUUAUUUCAAAUCUACUUCAAAUCCAGAUUACUGUUAGGAUAGUCUUGAAUUAUAUUAUGAUUAGAAUUGUUUAAUUUUAAUUAAACUAAUAUACCUUCUUUGAGAUAGUCUUUAAAUUUAGUUAGACUAUAAUAACAUAUAUUAAUUAUAUUAGGAUAAGAUUAUUGUACUUGACCCCUAUAAAAGGAUUUUAUGGGGUUAAAGAAAUCUAAUCAUUUAGAUUUAGAGAUAGUAAUUUGGGUGUACGUGAGAUAAGAGUUUUGAGUUUGAGACUGUUUUUGUAAUCUUUUGAUUUUUCUCUUAGUGAAUCUUUCCCCAUUGCUGUAUCCGUUGACGUAAGUCAUCUAAAGACUAAACCACGUAAAUUUUUGUGUUCUUGUGAAUGUGCUUGAUUUUCUUCUUUCUUUAUUCAAUUGAUUGAGUAAGAUCUAGAGUAACUGUUUAGAGAUAAUUUCAUAAUUUUCACAAUAAAUUGGUAUUAGAGCUUCAAGGUCUUAAGUCAAUAUGAAUAAUCGAUGUAAUCCUUCUAUUAUUGUCCGUUAAUUUUUGUUAUUUUGGAAUAUUUUUUCCAUUGAGAUCCAUUUAUUCUCACCUACUUGCUUGCUCUGUUUAAUGACUUUCAUGGAAAAAUACUUUAUCAUAUAUAAUUACGAGGGAGAUUCUCGAAAUUUUCGUGGUUUAGAAAUUAAUAUGAUAAAUAAAAGAAUAUGGGACAAUAUUUUAACUAGUUUGUGGUUUAGAAACUAAACUGAAAAUGUAUAAAAUAAUAUUCUCAAAAUUAUUCUGAAAAUGCACUCUGUAGGUCAAGGUAUCAUUACAGAUCGUGUUUUUAUGUCCCCACAUUUGAUUCCUUGUUCUUUAUCAGAAAAUCAUGCCUGCACCUGGUCUCUGUAUCUAUCUCAUUAUUUCAUUAGGAGGGUAAAAGAAAAUGAAUUCCCCUUUCUCCUUAAAGAACAUGUGAUAGUGGGUCCACACGCUGCAAAAUUGUCUGUAAAUGAAGGAAGAAAUAGUUGCGGUUAGUCGUCGCCGAAUUGAUUAUCUCUGUUCCAAAGUUAACAAACAAAUGCUAAUGUGAAAUUAAGAAAUUGCUCAACUCUUGCCUUGAGAGAAUUGAGUCUAAUGCGGAAACCGAAUUUACCAAAGUAAAAGAGAGAUUCUAGGAACUUUCUUGAUAUUUUUAGUUCAUUGUGAAAUCAAACACAAGAUUAAUGCCACCAUUUAUUGAGAGUGUAUUGUCAUUAAAUAAGUAUUAUUGACUAAUCCUCUCUUAAAGAAAAAAAAAUGAAGAUGCUUUGUUAAAGGAAAUUCUAAUUAAUGUAAAAUUGACUUCAUGUUUGUGAUCCUAAACAUAAUAAUGUCUUCUCCAUAAAAUUUAAAAAAUUAAAUUAUUUCAAUAAAUAAAGUAUAAAUUUCCACUAAACAAAAUUUUGUCAUUAUUAAAAAAGCAAUUAAAUUCAGAACCAGUAACAGGGGUUAACCGUUAACCCCUUGCUAUACAAGAGCUGGUGGUGUCCCCAAAAAACUGUAGCCAAAACCCAAACUCAAAGGAGUCCCAGGAAUCAUAAUUACAUAAAUGGUGGUACGCACAGCCUCCACUACCUUUAUCCUUGGAGGCCAAUCCCUGUCAGAACAAGAACCAGAGCAGAGAGCGAGUAAGCACCCACUAAGAGAAUAAACAAAAUUAAUUACAUGAAAGACCCCUGUAACAAAAGACAAAUUCAGUGUGAAAAAUCAACAAAACAUGGCCCCCAGAAGCAAUCGAAAAACUUCUCAAGAGCAGCUGAAAAAGAAAUUAAGUUUACACUUUUAAUUCUUUCAUUGUGCUUCUAUGCAAAUGGACGUUGGAAUCAUCGAUACACUUUUAAAUUAUUAAUUAUUUUUUAUCAUUUUUAAUUACUUUUUAAUAUUUAUUUUUUAUCUAUUUAGUUAGUUUAUAUGAAAAACACUUUAUUCUCUUUGUAAGUAGAAACUACUAUCAUUAUUUCGUAAAUAUCAUCAAGAGUAAACACUAAACUUGAUUAUCUUUAUUUAUGAUUUUUUUGUAAUUAAGCAUUACUUGGUGAAUUCUUUUCUAAUAAUGAGCAAUGGCCUACUUUUACAAGCCUUUUGUGAACUUGUUGCCUGCCUAAAUCAUUUAAGUUGGACAUGGAAAAAAAUUUAGUGUCAAUUUUGCUUGUAAAGUUUGCGGAUGUAUGCUCAAAUGCAAAAACCAAGAGCAAUAGAAGAAAAUGCUGCAGGUAUACACCAAGGAAAAACGGAAGUUGCAGGUAAGCUUCUAUUUUUAUCAAAGAAAACUGAAAUAGAAAUCAAAGAAAACUCAAAAUAUAUAAAAUAAUAUUCUUAAAUUAUUCAGAAAAUCUACUUUAUAGGUCAAGGUACAUGUAUACUUUUUGAAACAUCAUUUAGAGAUCAUGUUUUUUUCCCCGCAUUUGAUUCCUUGUUCUUUAUCAGAAAAUCAUGCCUCCUCCUAGACCCUGUAUCUGUCUCAUUAUUUCAUUGGGAGGGUAAAAGAAAAUGAAUCCACUUUCUCCCCAAAGAACAUGUGAUAAUGGGUCCACACUUUGAAAAAUUGUCUGUAAAUGAAGGAAGAAAUUGUUUUGGUUAGUCGUCGCCUAAUUGAUUAUCUCUGUUCCAAAGUUAACAAAGAAACGUCAAUGUGGAAUUAAGAAAUUGCUGGACUCUUGUCUUGAGAGAAUUAAGUCUAACGCGGAAAUCGAAUUAUCAAAAUAAAAGAGAGAUUCUUGAAACUUUCUUGAUAUUUUGGGUUCAUUGUGGAAUCAAAUACAAUAUUAAGGCCACCAUUUAUGGAAAGUGUAUUGCCAUUAAAGAAGUGUUAUUCAUUCAUUCUCUUUCAAAGAACAAAAAAAGAAUGGAGAUGCUCUGUUAAAGGAAAUUUUAAUUAAUGUAAAAUUGGUUUCAUAUUUGUGAUCUUAAACAUAAUAAUGUCUUCUCCAUAAGAUUUAAAAACUUAAAUUAUUUUAAUAAAUGAAGUAUAAAUUUCCACUAAACAAAAUUUUAUGAUUAUUCAAAAGACAAUUAAAUUCACAAUGGUUUUCUUUUGAAAAGCUGCAAUUUUAUUCCCUAUUCAGAACCAGUAGCAGUGGUUAACCCCUUGCUAUACAAGAGCUGCUGGUGUCCCCAAAAAACGGUAGCCAAAACCCAAACUCAAAGCAGUCCCAGGAAUCAUAAAUACAUCGACGGAGGUAAGCACAGCCUCCACUACCUUUAUCCUUGGAGGCCAAUCCCUGUAAGAACAACAACCAGAGCAGAGCGCGAGUAAGCACCCACUACGAGAAUAAACAAAAUUAAUUACAUGAAGGACCCCUGCAACAAAAGACAAAUUCAGUGUGAACAAUCAACAAAAGAUGGCCCCCAGAAGCAAUCAAAAAACUUGUCAAGAGCAGCUGCUAAAGAAAUUAAGUUCACACUUUCAAUUUUUUCUUUGUGCUCCUAUAUAUGCAAAUGGGCGGUGGGAUCAUCUAUUCACUUUUGAAUUAUUAAUGCUUUUUUUUGGUCGUUUUUCAGUUACUUUUAAGUAUUUAUUUUUAAUCUACUUGGUUGGUUUACAUGGAAAAUAAUUGACUCUCUUUGUAAGCAAAAACUACAAUUAUUAUUUCGUAAAUGUCUUUAAGAGUAAACAUUUGAUUAUAUCUAUUUAUGAUUCUUUUAUAAUUAGGCAUUACUUGGUGAAUUCUCCUCUAAUAAUGAGAAAUGACCUACUUUUAAAAGCUUUUUGUGAACUUGUUGCCUGCGUAAAUCAUUUAAGUUGGACAUGGAAAAAAAAUUUAGUGCCAAUUUCGCAUGUAAAGUUUGCAGAUGAAUUCUCAAAUGCAAAAACCAAGAGCCAUAGAAGAAAAUGAUGCACAAUAAUCAGAAAUCAAGGCUAAGCUUCUAUUUUGAUCAAAGUACUGAAAUAGAAAUCAAGUUUGCGCUACAAUAAUCAGAAGCCCACAAGCAGAGGGAAUUAAGAAACAACAGUUGAUUCUUCUUCGGGUAGCAAAAACACUUGAAUACAGGAGAGAAAAUUUCGAAUAAUUGAUGUGAUCUCUCUAUUAUUGUCCUUUAUAUUUUUGUCAUUUUUUCAAUUUCUGAGAUGAAUAGAAUAUUACAUCUCCAAUUUUCGCUUUCAAACACUGUACAAAUAAUGGAACAAAGUCAACAUCCACAUUUUGCUUAAGGAAAAAGAAAAAUCAAGGAAAGGAAGACAGAUAGGCCAAUUUGGAUUUGGAUAACUUAUAGUUAUGAUGAUUUUGGGGGUGCCACUAACAAAUCUUUUCUGGAUCCAAUUGAUGGGCCAGAAGAAACCAAAAAGAGAAAAGGAUGGAGUCAUGAAGAUGCUCUGUUAAGGUCCCUUGGUUGGCUUUCUAGGAAGUGUUAUGGCAAAAGCAUGGGACUUGCGAGGAUGUAAAUGAUAGAAAAUUUUCCAGCCAACCACAAUUGCUCAAGUUCAGCUUCAAAUCUUUUUAUUUUUAUUGUUUUCUUUUUUGUGCUCCUACCAUUUGAGAAGAAAAUCGAUCCAUUAUUAUGAAGACUUCCUUGUUUAAUCUUGUCAUCAGUUAACAAUUUAUUUAAUCUUUUUUAUUGAAGCAUAUUUAUAGUUUAUUGCCCCUGUUUAAAUUACAUAGACAUCAAUAACUUGAAUUUUAAAUAAAUUAAAUUAUUCUAGAUAUGAUUGUGUAAGAAAAAUCAUAAUUAAGAAAAGCUUGUAGGAACCUGAUGAAAUGCAUAAUUAACAAAAUUCAUCACCAAGUCCUUAAAAGCAUAACUAGCUUUUUGACCAUGCUUGUCAUUGGAAAAAUAGGAAAGCCCAAGCAAUGAUGAGUGAUGUUUCUUGGGCUGGAAAUGACUUUAUUUACGGAUAUGAAUAGACAAUAACACCUUCAACUUUUCUAUUCAAACACUGUAUAAUUAAUGAAAUACGCCUUUUAUUUAAAUAAAAAAAAGAAGAAUCGAAGAAAGGAAGGUAGAUAGACCAAUUUGGAUUUGGAUGACCUAUAAUUAUGAUGACUUUCGUAUUCAUAUUCACUUUUGUUAAUAAAAACAGUUUUUUUUUAAAACAAUUUAUACUGUAGAAAUUUGGUGUUAAUAAGCAUAGGAAAAAUAAACAAAAAUAAGUAACUAAUAGAAUCGAAAUUUAGAAAUUAUUAAUAUAUUUUCAUGGCACUGCACAAUAUAUAUAUUCAUGGUAUAAAAAUUAAUUAUAAUUUUAUUUUAUUUUGUUAUAAAUUUUAUGACUUAUAACUAUGAUGAUUUAAGAUAUGUCACUGUUAAAUUUUUUCUUAAUCUAUUAGAUAGGACAAUUUGUUUUAUCAUAUCCCUCCAUUCGCUUAUCUUUGUUCUUUAUUUAUUUAUUUAUUUUUUGUUAAAUAAACUUGAUUCUGAUCAUUAAUUUUUUUUUGAAAAUAUGGUGCAUUUAAUUAAUCAUCAAUCACAUAUUACAAUGUGAGUUAUUAACAAAAUUUAAUGAACAUUAAACCGCUAUAUCCCACUUUCAUUCCCUGUGCAUAGAAAGUAAGUCUUGUUGAAAACCUUCCCUUGGAAAAACCCAUUUGGAUAAAACCAAGGGUAAAGAAAAAUAGUACUUCUUUAACCAUACAAAUCCCUAGGAUCUUUCUGAACACCCUUCCCCGUUUGUAACGUACGAAGCUUCCUUGUCUUUUAGUAGGCACUCUUUGAUUUUGCAAAUCGUCAAUCCUGAAAUACCCUUACUCUCCUUAGCCAUUGAUAACAUUCCCGAUAAUGCUUCGGUGAUAAUCACAAACAAGAAAGUAUUACUUGAAAUUGCUACAAAAUCUUAAAAAAUAGUCUUGUAAUAUGGAUAAUUAUUGAAACAAAAUGUAUGAUAUUGUAAGAAAAGGAAAUUAAAUUGAAUUUGCUAAUUCUAAGUGCAUGUAGAAAUGAUCCAAUCCCUUCAUAUAAUUCUUAUUGUAAGCAUUACUUGGUAAAAUUUUCUUCUAUCAACGAGUAAUUACUUCAUUUUAAAUGCUUUUUGUGAACUUGUUGCCUGGCUAUACUACCAUGGCCAAAUGUUUUAUACGUUGGAGUAACAAUCAAACUCUCAAUAUUUCAAUAAAUCACUUUAAAAUAAAAAAUUAAAGUUUAAUUUCCCUGUCUUGAUUGCUGCAUAACAUAUUUGUACAACUUAUUGACUAAAGACAUAAAAUACAAAAAUAAGGACAAGAAACAGAAGAAUUUUAGGCUUGUUCUUUUGACUUAUUGUAGAUAUAGAGAGCAACAUAACAUUGAUUAGGUAAAAGCAAGUGAUCCCUUCACUUGACAACUCUACGAAGCCAACAUCUCGACCAACGAAAAGUACAAUAAUUUCAACUAACUGUUUUUCUGGUUUUUUUUAUGUAAAUAAUAAAAGUUAGUACAAGUAAACCAUCCAAAACUUGAUUAGGACCAGGCACACAAGUGAAAGAAAAGAAAAUGGAAAGCAGCUUUGCUUUUCCUGUGUUUAGUUGACAGCCUCAACCACUAUAUUUAUGUUUAAACAUGCCUUUGCAACUUCCCCUGCAAUCACCUCAUCAUUCUUCCAUGUAAGGUGGUAGCUGAUCAACCCGACGUGGCUGCCACCUGUUCCAAGCUAUGGUCUUGGUGUGGACUACAUUUUGAGCAGUGACAGACCCUUCAGUGUCAUCUUGCUCAACCAGUCGUGGUAUCUUUUUAAACCAUUGAAGCAGCAAAAUGUAAAACAAAGUAUUAAUGUCUCAUGUUAUAAAGGAAAAAGAAAAAAUAGACAUAUUAUAAUAUAUAAGUAUUUUAUGUCAAAAAUUUAUUAAAAGUAAUGGAAUCAUUCACUAAAAGUGAUAUUCUAGACAUAGACUAAUCUUUUUGUUGCAGCAUACUACUUAGUCAUUUAAGUAAUUUAAGUAAAGACUUUGAAAAAUUAUGUAGUAUAAUAUUAUUAAAGACUCUAAUUGCCUUUGCACAUAACAAAUAAAAGCUUGUACUUAAUUUACUAAUCAAUAAUAAAAGCUCUUAAUAAUUAAUAAUGAUUGUUUUGGGAGGAUAAGGAGAAUGAAGAAGGUAUUUUCAUUUUUUUUUAAUAAUAUUCCGGCAAGAGUACAUGAAGAUGGCUUCAAAGGAUUUUUGAUCAAUUUGGAAAGGUUGUCAAUACAUUUAUAGAGAGAAAUAGAUGCAAAUAUAGUAAGAGGUAUCGCUUGAUCAUAUUUGAAUAUUUUAAUAAAGCUAGAAGAGCACUCCAGAAUUUAAAUGGAGUCUGGCUUCUUAAUCAAAGGCUAGUGGUCAACAUAGCUAGCUAUGGAAGCCAUGAUUCAUUCUAAAGGAGGAACCAAAAAGGAAGCUUCUUAUGCACCUGGUGUUAACCACAUUAGGAAUGGAACCUGCAGUGGGAUUUUAAGACACAACUCGACCUUAUUUACUAAGCCAUCUUAUGCUCUGGAAUUGAAUGGCACUUUUGAAAGAGGUGGAGUUUCAAAUAAAGAUAGAGAAGAUGAUCUUCAAUGUCUCAAAAAGCAUGGAAAACAUGCUUUGGUUGAAGAGAAGUGUUGUGGUAACAACAUAAUGUAAUUCAGAUUCAGCAAAGUGGAUGGAAUUAUUUAAAAUGUGAGGCAUUUCGGGGCUGCUUAUGAGGAGUUUGUCUCCCAAAGAAUUUCUGCUAACCUUUGAGGAUAAGAAGCUAUUUGAAGAACUCAAAGAUAAAGGUUGGGAUUGGCUUAACAAAUGGUUUACUAAGGUGGAAACAUGGCUAGAGAAUUUUUCAUCAAAACUCCUUAGCAAGUGGGUGAUUGUCAAAUUGAUUGUACAGGGUAUCCUUUAGAUGUGUGAAAUAGGCAUAUUAUAAUUUAUAAGCAUUUUAGGCCAAAUUCAUUAAAAGUGAUAUUCUAAACUAAGUUUUGGUUGUAGAGACUUACUCAAUCAUUUAAGUAAUUUAAGUAAAGAUUUUGAAGAUUAUGCCUUAAAAUAGACAAGAUUAAAGUUUUCAAGGUGUAUACCUCUGUUUUGGCGUGCACAUAUUUCUUUGAAUCUAUGAAGAAACCUGUAGUCAUCUUGGGACAUCCUUCUACUCUUAAAGAUGACAAAGCCGGUAGUACAAAGUGAUAUCCCCUUGGACAGAAGUCAACGAGGCUUCGCACUUUUACAAGUGAUAAUACUUUUAAUUGAUCAAACUUUAUCUCCUUUUCAGCUAUUGCUUCUGCUUCAAAUACUUGCUCCAAUUUAGAGUUCCCUUUGACCCAUAAUUUUUCAAGUUUUUGAAGACAACAAGCAAAUCCAAGAGGAAAGAGACAUCUUAGCCUCUUGCAAUCUAUCACCUUUAGAACUGUAAGGUUUUCAAGAGUUGCAACUUGAGCCACAUCCUUCCAUAUCAUCUGCACUUCAGAUAAAUCCUCCAGAUGGAGUUCCUUUAUACGCCCAUGAAUCUGAAAUACCCCCUUCGUGACUCCCAACUGGUUUAUUUUCUUGAUUGUAAUUGGCUAAAAUAUGCAACUGAAAGCUAUUCCCAACUUAGAGAGAGAUAAUUCCUGCAAAUACAGACACCACUAAAUGUCACUAAAUACAUUCAUUUUCUACUAGAUUGGGAAGAGUUAAGCAAAUGUUACUCAUAAUUCUUCAUAUUUUUAGAUGCCAAUUCACAAAAAAUCCUUACAUUUCAAAGAUAGCACAUAUAUAUGUUUCAAAAUUUAAAUCCAAAAUUUUCAUGAAAUUGUUUGAAAGUGGAACCCAAAAACACCAAACCUUUUUAGGUUUUUCUUUGUUAAAUUUGAACAUAAAACCUUUUGUGAUUUUCCUUUUCUUUUGUUUUUUUCUUUGUCAUUUUUAUGCUGCAAUUUUAAAAUAUAGUUGGAUAAGUUUGUGAGUGUUGAAAAGAUUUGGCUCGAAGGCAAAAUCCAAAACCAUAAUUGAAGAAAAAGUAUAUAAAAGAAAUACCUUUAGUUGAACUUGCUCCUUAGCUUCUUUUUGAAUGGUAAAAUUUAUCAAUUUAGGACAGUUGUAAAUGUCCAACUUCUUCAAAGACGGUGAUGAGAUGAGAAAGUUUUCCGACCAAAAGCAACCCAAAUUUGUCAAGUUUACAAGUCCUAAAUGUUGUAGGGAAGGGAGUGCAAUGGCACAAUCAACUCCAAUCUUUUCUUUUGCCACACGGAAGACUUGCUGUAACUGAGGCGAAUCGGUUAUCCAAAAUGAUUUCAAUCGUGGAAGAACUUGAGCCAGAGCAAUUUGAAAAACAUAUUCCAAUCUUGGACAAUCAGUUAUUUCUAAAGUUUCCAACUUUGGCAAGAACGGAGAAAAGGCAUUUGGUUCCAUUUCAUCAUCACAGACCAACUCGGUGAUAAUGUGUUGCAGUCCAUCACAGUGAUCUAUCGUGAGUUCUUCUAGUAGCACCAAGCUUUGAGCAAGGGAUGGUGAGAAGAGAUGUUUCAAUCUAUUGCAGUAACUAAUUUCUACAAACUUCAAGCUUUGGAGGCUGACAAAACGGGUGGAUCCUUUCCAUAUCCAAUUCAAUUCAGGUAAUGAGUUUAGCUCCAUUAGUGUUAAAUUUGACAACAGCAAUCCUUGAUUUUCUUUUGUAUCAUGAAGAAGCUCAUCUAUUUGAAAUACUUCUUGCAACUGGCCACAAUUAAUAACUUUCACUUCCUUUUUGUCGCGCAGGAGAUAAAGAGACCAUUUCCAUGCAAUUCCUUGUUGUCAACUUCUCUAGUUUCUGUAGAAAGCCCUUUGGAAACUGACCUUUGCACAACAUUUUGAAACCAGUCAUUUCUUUUAUGACUAAUUCCACUAAAUUGAGCAAGGCAUUGGUUGAGACAUGGCCUUCUGUCGUAUCAAUCAAGCAUUCAAGCUCCUUGCCACCUUUAAGUGCAAGAAAAGUUAAUUCAUUAAGCCACUUUGGAUCUACAUUUGGAAUGAGAUUUUUUUGAUACAUGACACUAUCCAGGGUUAGACUUUUGGCAUUGUAUAAUACUUCCUUCAAUGCAUGCAAUUGAACAUCCUGAUAAAUCACAACAAAAUGAAAGAUAUUAGAAAAAUAGAAAGGUAGAUAAUACUCUUUAAAUCAGAAUUGAAUUUCUUUCUAUGCAUAAAAUUUAAAACAUACCAAAGCUCAUUAAAGUUGAAAAACAUACCAAAGCUCAUUAAAGUUGAAAAACAUACCAAAGCUGUACAUGCUGAAAUUUAUCAGACACAUGGAAAUAUGAUUUAGCAAUAAAGUACAUGUGGGAUGCACGCAAGGAAGGAAAAGAAAUAAAAUUUUGUUAUUGCCACGUGCUUGUUUGCUUUUUUUAUUAAAUUCAUUAAAUUUUUUAUUUUAUCAUGCCACGUACAUGUCUUCUAUUGCCACAUCAUGUUUUCACAUGUCCUAUAAAUGCUAGCGUGGCUUGGAGUUAAAACAUCCAUGGAUUCUAUCCAAAUAAGGGUGCUUGGAUAAUGAAAAUAACACUUUAAGAGCUUAAUUAGAUGCAAUUAUAUGCAAAAUAAUCAUGCAGCACUCUCAUUCUUAUAAUAUGAAUGGGUUCUUUUUUUAUUAUUAUUAAAUGACGAGUACUUUGAGUAAUUAUUGAAGGAAUUGAAGACAAAGUUGCUGAUGAUCAAUGAGAGUUUGAAUUUCUCCAGGAUACAAGUGUGACUUUCCCUAAUUUUUAUAAUGUAAAACCCCGUAAAAACCUUUCUUGAAGAAAAGUUUUCAUCUUUUUCCUAUUUUGUUGUUCAAAUCUUUUUCCCAUUCCAAGAAAGAAUCAGAAUCACCUAGCUAAUUAUUGUAUGAAUAUGCCGUUCUUUCUUUUUAAUUUAUGAGUAUUGGCCUUUUAUAUCGGUCAAAAUAAAGAGUCUAAAAUUUUUGAACAACAAUUUUAAAAUACAGUUGGAUUAGUUUAUGAGUGUUGAAAAGAUUUGGUUCGAAGGCAAAAUCCAAAAUUGUAAUUGAAGGAAAAGUAUGUAAAAGAAAUACCUUUAGUUGAACUCGCUUCUUAACUUCUUUUUGAAUGGUAAAAUUUAUCAAUUUAGGACAGUUUUAAACUUCCAACUCCUCCAAAGAUGAUGAUGAGAUGAGAAAGUUUUCCGAGCAAAACCAACCCAAAUUUGUCAAGUUUACAAGUCGUAAAUCUUGUAGGCAAGGGAGUUCAAUGGCACAAUAAACUCCAUUAUUUUCUUUUGCCACAAUGAAGACUUGUUGUAGCUGAGGAGAAUCAGUUAUCCAAAAUGAUUUUAACCGUGGAAGAACUUGAGCCAGAGGGAUUUGAAAAACAUAUUCCAGUCUUGGACAAUAACUUAUUCUUAGAGUUUCCAAUUUUGGCAAGAACGGAGAAAAGGCAUUUGGUUUUAUCUCAUCAGCACGGCCCAACUCAGUGAUAAUGUGUUGCAGUCCAUCACAGUGAUCUAUCAUGAGUUGUUGUAGCAGCACCAAGCUUUGAGCAAGGGAUGGUGAGAAGAGAUGUUUCAAUCUAUGGCAGUAACUAAUUUCUACAAACUUCAAACUUUGUGGCGUGGGAGAUAAAGAGACAAUUUCCAUGCAAUUCCUUGCUGUCAACUUCUCUAGUUUUUGUAGAAAUCCCUUUGGAAUCAGACCGUUGCACAACAUUUUCAAACCAGUCAUUUCUUCUAUGACUAAUUCCACCAAAUUGAUCAAGGCAUCGUUUGAGACGUGGCCUUCUGUUGCAUCAAUCAAGCAUUCCAGCUCCUUGCCAUUUUUAAGUGCAAGAAAAGUUAAUUCAUUAAGCCCCUUUGGAUCUACAUUUGGAAUGAGAUUUUUCUGAUACAUGACUCUUUCUAGGGUAACAUUUUUGGCAUUGUAUAAGAACUCCUUCACUCCAUGCAAUCCAACAUCCUAAUAAAUUCACAACAAAAAUGGAAAACACUAGAAAAAUUAGAAUGCUAAAUAACACGUCUUAAAUCAAAAUUGAAAUUAUUUUUUAUGCAUAAAAUUUAAAGAUUUGAGCCAAAAGAAAAGCAAACCAAUGCUUGAAGUACAAAUAUUGUACAGUAUACUUAUUGGUAGAUGUGAAUGUACUAAAAUGCGCUUAUAUAAACCCCAAAACAUAGUAAAUUAUUUUCCAGAUUCAUCAAUCAUUUCUUACAUAAGUAUUCUUUCCUUUUCAUUUUUUCUCGAUUUAAUUUAAUUUCUUUCCUUGAUGUACCAAAGUUAGUGCAAGGGUAGGUGAAAAGAGAUAUACCAGUUUAGAACACAAUCCAAUUCUCAUAGUCUUAAGACUCUGGAGAUUAAAAAAAUGGGUGGAUCCUCUCCAUAUGCAGCUUAAUUCUGGUAAUGACGUAAGCUCCAAACAAGUUAAAUUUGACAAUGGUUGUACCUGAUUUUCCUGACAUAAAGAAAAAUAUAUAAAUUUUUAAUUAAUAAAUAUUGAAAUAUGAAUUCGUUAUACUUAAAUAUAGAGAAGGCAUAUAUUUUUUAGACAAAUGUAGAAGGAAGGGUUGAAAGCCAAUAAUUUAGAAAGAUUAGAUAGUAAUUAUUUAUAAUUCAAUAAUUCAAAGAAAGGUAAUUAGAAAAAGAAUAUAUGAGAGCAUUAUUAAAGGAAAAAUGAAGAGAUAAGAGGUACCUCUAGCUCAACCAUUUCUUUGUCAAAAGCAAAGACUUGCUCUAAUUUUUUGCAUUCAGAUAUCUCAAGUUUCUCUAGAUGCAACAGACUUUGAGCAAGGCAAGGUGAGAAGAUAGAUUUCAAUUUAUGACAACGACAAAUUAUUACUUCCUUCAGACUUUGUAGGCUUACAUGAUGAGUUGGCUCUUUCCAUAGACUCUCCAACGUUGGUAAUGACCGUAGCUCCAAGUUUCUUAAAUUUGAGAUCGAUUGCAUUUGACUUUCUUUCCCAUUCAUUUGAAACACUGAUUGCAACUCCUUACAAUCCGAAAUACUCAAUGUUUCUAACUUUUGUAAGAAGCUAAUCGGGGAUUGACCACGACAUAACUUUUUCAAAGAAGUCAUUCCUUUCAUCUUUAAGUUCACCAGAGUAGAGAAUGCAGUGGUUGAACUUUGUUCUCGUUUUGUAUCGAUCAAGCUUUCCAUGGUGAUAUUGUGCAGAGUAAGGUUUUCCACGUUGCAAAACAGCUCCUUAAAUGCAUUUAAUGAGGAUGAGAAAUCUCUAAUUGUCAAGGUUCUCAAGUGCAUCCCCAUCAAAUCUUCAGUAUCUUCAUUUACAGCUAUAUCGUACCUUUGUAGUUUAGGGAACACAAAGUUUUCUUGAGAACAUUGAUCAGUAGAAACUCUCAAUCUUAAUGCACUCAAACGAGACAUGAAUUAAGCUCCAAUAAGUUCGCAUUGUUUUCUGUGUCCACGUGUAGCUCCUGGAGUGACGCUAACCUGUUGAACACAAAUACAAAAUAUUGUUAACACAAUAAUAGCGUUUUCAUUUGAAUGAUACAAAUAGCUAGGUAAUGAAAUGAAUAAUAUAACAUAAUUUUUUAAAAAUUUUUUCAUGCGUAGAGAAAAUAUAUGUGUGUACUUAAAUACUUAACUGAAAACAAUAAAUUAAACAAUUUUAAUCACAUCUUAAUACUACCUUGAUAGCAAGUUAGGGGGGAAAUAGCAGCAAUGUUCCUCUCCAUGGAAAUAUAGGGAUUUUAGUCUUCGCAAUUCCACUAAUUCCUCCGUUAGCUCUUCAAUAUUAGUAACAAACAAUGUCAAAAUCUCAAGGUUUUCCAUGUUUCCCAAUGAUGAGAUGUUUCUGAGCUUGCAAUCCACAAAGCACAGAGUUCGAAGAUUUGUCAAGAAUUGAAGUGCUUUUAGUGAGAGUACAACAUUUUUGAGAAGUAAAACUCGGAGGGUUUUCAUUCCUUCAAAAAACAUACUCGAAAUUUCCAAUGAAGUAUCUCCCACUAAAAAAAAAGUCUUAAGUUUUGAAAAUUCCAAAUUGUCAGGAAAGUUAUUUAUCUCAACGUCCCAUAAGGAGAUUGCCGUAUAAUAUCCAAAACUUUCACUUAUAGACCAUUCCGUCAACCCAUCUUUUACCAUGAAUUUAUUUUCCCCUCUCAAUGUUACCCAAUGAGCAAAAUCGCGAACCACAUCAUGCAUUUUUAUAGUUUCUUCAUCGUCAGUUUCCAAUAGCAAACCAGAUUGUUGGAGUUUAGUUAAUGCUUCAUAAAUUUCCCUCCGUAAGACUUCAAAUGAGUUAAUGUUACAGAACAAUCCUUGACCAAUUCCACACAUAACCAAAAUCUCAAUCGGUAUUUCAAAAUCUUCUGGAAAAAGGGAACACAACAAGAAACAUGACUUGACAUUAUCAUCCUCCAAAUAAUCAUAACUAAGCUCAAGACGGCUAUAGAUACCUCCAUAAACAUCUUGAUUAUCUAAAGGUCUUGAGUCUCUAAGUCGUUGAUUUGCUACCAUCCAUCCAUUUAGACUUUUACCUUUCAGAGCUUUUGCCACAGUUACAAUUGCAAGAGGCAAACCAUUGCAUUCACGAGCAACCUCCUUGGCUACAAUCAAGGUGGGGGAGUCAUCUUCUACACCAGCUUUAUCUUUGAAUAAAGCCCACGCUUCAUUUUCAGAUAAGAUAUUGAGGUGAACUUCCUUUUGACUAUUCAUACGAGUGCAAACUUGUUGAAGACGCGUGGUUAAAAAAAUUUUGCAGCCCUUGUGAUCAUCACCAAAUGGAAUUCCUAUAACCUUCAAGUCAAGUUCUUCCCAAACAUCAUCAAGGAUUAUAAGGAUGCUCUUCUCGUCUUUGAUUCUCAACCACAAUUGUUCUGCUCUUCCUUCUGGUGUCUUCUUUUGAAAAUCUAAAUCUAGAAAGUCUGCAAUUUUAUCUUGAAUAUUGUUGAUGUUUGGAUUUUGGGACACGGUUACAACCACAACUUUAUCGAAGAGUUGUUUGGCUUGGUUUCCCACUUCUUUUGCCAAAGUGGUUUUACCCACUCCUCCCAUCCCAUAUAGUCCAAUCAUGUUCACAUCACCAUUAUUCAGAGCCUCCAUGAUCCCUUUGAAAGCAGAAUUCGAAGAUUCAGAAGACAUGAAAUCCUUAGAUGGAAUGAACUCUAAUCCUGGAAGAGUAGAUCGGUAACCUACUCGUUCAAAAUUAGAAUUCUCUAAAAGUUGAGAGAUACAAAGUGUCUUCUUCGCUACUUUGAUACUUAAGCAGUAUCGCCAGCCCCAACUAAGACGCCAAUUGAAACACUUGUUACGUUCAAUUUCAUCUUCCAAACUCUGAGCUUCUCCCAAUUCUUUGUCUGCCCUUGUUAGACACAAAUUACCUCCACCACAGAAUGUCAUAAAAUGGGAAAUCCUCCCACCCAUAAACGAAUGAAGCAUCAGCCUAAGCAUCUCUCGCAACAUGACAGCAUUUCCAAAGAUUUUCCCCACCAGUUUUUGUUGAUAAUCAGCAGCAUCCAAUAAGCCCUCGAAGUAUCAACCCCGUGGGCAGCUCAAAACCAGGCCCCAAGUGUCUCCUGCUUGAAAUUCCUGUUUUAGCCCAACGGUCAGCGCACUCGUUGGCUUCCCAUGUGUAUGUUUGACACUUGCACCGAGCCUACCAGCCCAAUCAGCUCAUCAAGCUUUUUCUUGGAAAGUGGAUUUUUAUUAACCACGCAACCGAUAUGCCAUUGUUAGUCUAAAGCUGAAGCUACCAGAGACUCAUUAGAAUGAAUACUAGCCUGCCCAAAAAAAAAAAAAAGGAAAGAAAAGCUGUACAAUAAAAGAGCACAACUGCUCACAUAGAUUAGCAGUAGUCCCACAACAUUCAGCAACCAACAACAAGAGAAGCUCAAAGCUGCCUAUACACAAAAACUGGCGGCUGGAAACAGGAAAGCUAUCAAACUAAGACUAUCCUCGUAAGAGUAUCUAGAACGAAGCAACAAAAGCAAAAGCCGAAGGCAUCAAACCAAGUGUGCUCCAAAAUAAAGGCAAGGGACUCAAGAUCCCUUGAAAUCCUUUGGUCAUCCUAGCCCUUGGAAAUCCCUCCGCUAUCUCCAUGGCCGCACCUGCACAUUCACAGACCAAGAAGCAGUGUUUGGUUAGCACAGGAACAGUUUAUCCGAAAGAUAAAUCUUAACCUGUGAAAAGCGCAGUAAUUUUAAGCACAUGUUCCUUUUUAUGUAAAUAACAAAGGUUAGCAGUGAACCACCCAAACUUGAUUAGGACUAUGCAAAGACAAGAAAGAAAUGAAAACGGAAUGCAGCCUUUUUUUUUUUACCUGCGUUUAGUUGAUAGCCUCAACCUACUCAUUUAUGUUUAAACGUGUCUCUGCGAGUUCCUCUGAAAUUAUCUCAUAAUUCUUCCAUGUAAGGUGGUAGCACACAUUUCAUCCACGGCUGCCAAUCUAUGGUCUUGGUGUGAAUUGCAUUUUGAGCAGUGGCAGAUCCUCCAGGGGCGUCUUGCUUAACCAAUCGUGGUGUCUUUUAAACAAUUGAAGCAGUGAAAUGUAAAACAAAAUAGACAUGUCAUGUUAUGAGGACAAAAGAAGAAAUAAGCAUAUUAUAAAUUAUAAUCAAUUUAGGCCAAAUUCAUUAAAGGUGAUGGAAACAUUCAGUAAUGGUGAUCUUCUAGACCAACAUUUUUGUAGCAAUGUAUUAGUCAAUCAUUUUAGUAAUUUAAGUAAAAAUUUUGAAGAUUAUGCCUAAUAAUUAAUAUUAUUAAAAGACUCCAUAGAGCUAUAUAGGAUUAAAGUUUUUUGGACGUAUACCUCUUCUUUGGCAUGCACAAAACUCUCAGAAUCAAUGAAGAAACCUGUAGUCAUCUUGGGACAAUUUUUUACGAUCAAAUAACUCAAAGUCGAUAAUACAAAAUGAUAUCCUCUUGGGCAGAAGUCAAUGAGGCAUGGCAAUUCUUCAAGUGAUAAUAUUUUUAAUUGAUCAAACUCUAUCUCCUUUUCAGUUGUCCCUUCUACUUCAUCAUCUACCUCAAAUACUUGCUCCAGUUUAGAGUUCCCUUCAACUACUAAAUAUUCAAGUUUUGGAAUACAACGAGCAAAUCCAAGAGGAAAGAGACUUCUCAACUUUUUGCAAUAUUUAACAGAAAUUGUGAUCAAAUUAGGAAAGCAUAUCGAUUGGGAAUCACCAUUUGAUGAUGAACAAACUUGAUCCUUUGCAAUGAUUUGGUCUAAUUCCUCACAUUUUCGAAUAUCUAGAUGGACCAAUUGUGAUAAACUUCGAGCAAUUGUUGUGGGUGAAAAUAUAUAGCUUAGCCUCCUGCAAUCGGUCACCUCCAGAAUUGUAAGGUUUUCAAAGAUUACAUUCUGAGUAGCAUCCUUCCAUAUAUUCCGCAUUUCAGAUAAAUGCUUCAGGCGCAGUACAUUUAAACUAGAGAAUGAAUACCGACCAUGAACCUGAAAUACCUCUUCAUGAUUCCCAACAACUAAAUAGUCUUGAUUCAAUAGGGGGACAACAGUGUUACACAAUUGGCUGCUAUUUCCCAAGUUAGAAAGAUAUAAUUCCUGCAAAUACAGACAUCACUAAAUAUCAUUAAAUACAUUCCUUUUCUAUAAGAUGGGAAUUACCUGAUCAAAUUUUACUCUUAGGUCUUCAUACUUAUAGAUGUCAAUUCACAGAAAAUCCUACAAUUCUAACAGUAUCACAUAUGUUUCAAAAUUUAAACCCAAAACUUUUUGAAACUGGAAAACAAAGACACCUAACCCCAUUCAGGGUUUUUUUUUUUGGUGGUAAGUUUGAAGCUAAAAUUGUUUCUCAUUUUCCAUUUCUUUGUUUUUCCACGCAUCCUUGACCCGUUCCCCAAACUCUCUCCUCGGCUAAUUUAAGAACUUUCUUAAAUACAAUAAAAGAAAAGGGGUUUAUUUAAUUUUAUUUUGAAAUAAUAUAUAAGCUUUUUUUUACCCUUUCAAGAUACAUAACUAUCACUCUCAUGCUUAUAAGAUCGAUUCUAAAUCGAACUAAUUUUUUUUUUCAAAUGACAAGUACUAAUAAGAAAUAAUUGAAUGAGUUGAACAUUGAGUUGCUGAAGAUGAGAGUUUGAAUUUCUCUAAGGAUACAAGUGUGACUUGCUCUAAUUUUUACAAUAUAAAACUCUAUAAGAUUUCUUGAAGAAGAGUUUUCAUUUUUUUACUAGUUUUAUUGAAAUCUUUUUCUUAUUUCAAGAAAGAAUCAGAAUCAACUUGCUAAAUUUCAAAAAGAAAAAAAAAACCUUGCUAAUUAUUGUAUGAAUGUGCCAUUCUUUUUUUAUUUGUUAAUUCAUGAGUAUUGGCUUUUAUAUCCACCAAAAAUAAGUAGAAUAAAAUUUUUGAACAGCAUUAAGAUACAAUUGGGUUAGUAUAUGAGUGUUGAAAUGAUUUAGUUCAAAGGCAAAAUCUGGAACAAAAAUUGAGAGAAGAGUAUAAAAGAAGUACCUUUAGUUGAACCUGCUCGUUAGCAUAUUUUUGAAUGGUGAAAUUUGUAAAUCUAGGACAGUUGCAAACUUCUAACUUCUCCAAAAAUGGCAAUGCCACGAGAAAGUUUUUCGAGUGAAACCAACUCAAAUUUGUCAAGUUUACAAGUCGUAAAUCUUGUAGGCAAGGAAGUGCAAUGGCAUGAUCAACUCCAUUCGUUUCUUUUACCACAUUGAAGACUUGUUGUAACUGAGGUGAAUCAAAAAUCCAAAAUGAUUUCAAUCGUGGAAGAACAUUGGCCAAAUGACUUUCAAAAACAUAUUCCAGUCUUGGACAAUGAUAUAUUGUUAGAGUUUCCAAUUUUGGCAAGAGUGGAGAACGGAGAGGGACGUCUGAUUCUAUUUCAUCAUCAGGUUCCAACUUUGUGAUAAGUUGUUGUAGUCCAUCGCAAUGAUCUACUUUGAGUUGUUCUAGCAUCUCCAAGCUCUGAGCAAGGGAUGGUGAGAAGAGAUAUCUCAAUCUAUUGCAAUAACUAAUUUCUACAAACUUCAAGCUUUGGAGGUUGACAAAAUGGGUGGACUGUUUCCAUAUCCACUUCAGUUCUGGUAAUGAGACUAGCUUCAUAAGUGUUAAAUUUGACAACGAUGGUCCUUGAUUUUCUUUCGAAUCAUGAAGAAGCUUAUCUAUUUGAAAUACUUCUUGCAACUGGCCACAAUUAAUAACUUUCACUUCCUUUAGAUUCUGUAGCGCAGGAGAUAAAGAAAACAGGCUAGAGCUUUGAUAACUAGCUAUCUCAAGAGGGUAGUGAUCUAUGUUUGAAAGUAUUUCAUCGCCAUUUUCCACUUCUGCUAUUACAUGUAUUAGAGAGCCACAGUCGUGUAUAUGGAGUUCUUCUAGAUGCACCAAAGUUGGAAUAAGGGUAGGUGAAAAGAGAUAUGCCAGUUUAAAACACUCUGAAAUUUUCAUUGUUUUAAGAUUCUGGAGAUUAACAAGAUGGGUGGGUCCUCUCCAUAUGUAGCUCAAUUCUGGUAGUAACUCUAGUUCCAAACAUGUUAAAUUUGAGAGCGGUGCUGCCUGAUUUUCCUCACAUAAAGAAAAAAAUAAAUUUUAGUAGUUAGUAAAUACUAAAAUAUGAAUUCAUUAUACCAGAUAAAAAAUUUAAUUAAUUAUUGAAUAGGCAUACAUUUAAAAAAAAUUAUGAAAGGAAGUGUUAAAAGUCAAUAAUUUAGAAACAUUAGAGAGUAAUUUUUUAUAAAUUUGAUAAUUUAACAAAAAAAAGAUAAUUAUAUAAAGAACAGAUGAGUGCAUUAUUAAAAGAAAAAAGGAGAGUGAAGAGGUACCUCUAGCUCAAGCAUUUCUCUGACAAAAGUAAAAACUUGCUCCAAAUUUUCGCAUACAGAUAUGACGAGUUGUUCUAGAUGCAGUAGACUUUGAGCAAGGUAAGGUGAGAAGAUGUAUUUUAGUUCACGGCAAUCCAAAACUACUAGUUUCCUCAGACUUUGUAGGCUUGCAUGAUGAGUUGGCUCUUUCCAUAUAAUCUGCAAUGAUGGUAAUGAGAUUAGAUUCAAGCUUGUUAAAUUUGAGAGUGGCUGUGUCCGUCUUGCUUCCUCUUCAAGAAACCCAUUCAUCUGAAACACUGAUUGCAACCGCACACAAUUCCAAAUAAUCAAUGUUUCUAACUUUUGUAAGAACUUAAUCGGUGAUUGACCAUGGCACAACUCUUUCAAACAAGUCAUUCGACUCAUGUCUAAUUUCACCAAAUUAGAGAAUGCUGUGGUUGGUCUUUGUUCUCGUGUUGUAUCGAUCAAGCAUUCGACAUCCUUGCAAUAUCUAAGCUCAAGAGAAGUUAAAUCAUUUAGUCCCCACUGAUCUACCGUUGGGAUAAUAUUUUUGUGUUCCAUGAUAUUGUACAGAGUAAGCUUUUCCACAUUGCAAAAUAGCUCCUUAAAUGCGUGUAAUGAGGAAGAGAAAUCACUAAUUCUCAAGGUUCUCAAGCUUAGGCCAUUCAGAUAUUCAAGAUCUUUAUCUGAAAACGCUAUAUUAUACCUUUGUAGUUUAGGGAACACAAAGUUUUCUUGAAAAUGAUCUUUAUUUACUCUCAGUGUUAAUGCAGUCAAACGAGAAAAUGAAUUCAGCUCCCAUAAGUUGACAUUGUUUUUACUUGUCACGUGAAGCUCUUGGAGUAACGUUAACCUGUUACGCACAAAUACAGAGUAAUAUUAGCUCAAUAAUAGCACUUUCAAGGGAAUGACAAAAAUAGCUAAGUAAUGAAAUGAGUAAGAUAACAUAAACCUUCUUUUAUUUUAUUUUUUUACUUUUUCAUGCAUAUUGAAAAUGUGUACAAUCCAAUGGUAUUUUUCUCUCAAGAAAGCAAUAUUCUUAAGCUACCUUCGUACUACAGGUUGCAAUGUUUAUUGAAAAUGUGUGUGUGUUUGUGAUAGUCAAAAUAAAAAUAACAUAAGUAAUUGGAAAAAAAAUUAAUAACAUAAAAUUAAAUAUUUAAUUAAAAACAAUAAGAUAAACAAUUUUAAGCAUAUUUUAGUACUACCUUGAUAGCAAGUUAGGGGGGACAUUGCUGUCUCCAUAGCAAGAAAAAUAUAGUGAUUUUAGUCUAUGCAAUUCCACUAAUUCUCCUGGUAGCUCAUGAAUAUUAGUAUUAAGCAACACAAAAACCUCAAGGUUUUUCAUAUUUCUCAAUGAUGAAAUGUUUUGGAGCUCGCAAUCUACAAAGCAUAGAGUUCGAAGAUUUGUUAGGAAUUGAAGUGCUUCCAAUGAGAAUACAACAUUUCCGAGAAAUAAAACUCGAAGGCUUUUCAUUCCUUCAAAGAACAUACUUGAAACUCUAAGUGAACUCUUUCCUGUCAAAAACAAAAUCUUGAGUUCUGAAAAUUCCAUUUUUUCAGGAAGAUUGUUUAUCUUACUGUUCCAUAAGGAGAUUCCCAUAUAACAUCCAAAACUUUCACUCAUAGGCCAUUCCGUCAAUCCAUCUUUCACAAUGAAUAUAUUUUCGCCUCUUAAUGUUAUCCAGUGAGCAAAAUCGCGAACCACAUCAUGCAUUUUUACAAAUCCUUCAUCAUCAAUUUCCAAUAACAAACCAGACAUUUUGAGUUUUGAGAGUGCUAGACGAAUUUCCCUCCUUAAGUCUUCAAUUAAGUUAAUAUGACAAAACAAUCCCCAACCAAUUCCACAUAUAGUCAACAACUCGAUAUUAAUCUCAUAAUCUUCAGGGAAAAGAGAACACAACAAGAAACAUGAUUGGAUAUUGUCUUCCUUCAAAUAAUCAUAACUAAGCUUAAGGCAGUUAUAAAUACCUCCGCAAAUAUCUUGAUUAUCCAAAUGUCUUGAGCUUUUGAGUCGUUCAUUUGCUGCUAUCCACCCAUCUAGACUUUCACCUUUUAGAGCUUUUGCCAUAGUUACAAUUGCAAGAGGCAAACCCUUGCAUUCACGAGCAACCUGCUUGGCUACAUCAUUCAAGGUGGGAGAGACAUCUUUUAGAUCAGCGUUAUCUUUGAAUAAAGCCCACGCUUCACCAUCAGAUAAGAUUUUCAGUUCAAAUUUCUCUUGACAAUUCAUUUGAAUACAGACUUGUUGAAGACGUGUAGUUAGAAGAAUUUUGCAACCCUUGUGUUCACCACCAAAUGGAAUUCCUAUAGUUUGUAAUUUAAAUUCUUUCCAAACGUCAUCAACAAUUAUGAGCAUCUUCUUCUGGUCUUUUAACCUCCUCCAUAACUCUUCUGCUUUUCCUUCUUCUGUAUUUGUCUCAUAUUUUAAACCAAGAAUUUCUGCAAUUUUAUCUUGAAUUUUGUUGAUGUUUGGAGUUUGGGACACUGUAACAAUCACAACCUUAUCAAAGAGCUUUUGUUCCCUAGCUUGCUUCCCCACUACUUCCGCCAAAGUUGUUUUACCCACACCUGGCAUUCCAUACAAUCCAAUCAUGUUCACGCCAUAGCUAUUUAAAACCUUCAUGAUCCCAUUGAAAGUUGAUUUAGAAGAUUCGGAAUGCAUGAAAUCCUUGGGUAGUAGGAAUUCUAUUCCUUGAAGAGGAGCACGCUGGCCGACUCGUGGAAAGUUACAAGUCUCUAAAAGUUUAGAGAUAUAAAGUGUCUUCCUCGCUGCCUUCUUACUUAAGCAGUAUCGCCAGCCCCAACUAGGACACCAUUUGAAACACUUAUUACGUUCUAUUUCAUCUUCCAAACUCUGAGCUUCUCCCAAUUCUCUCUCUGCCCUUGUUAGCCACUCCUCAACGUCCUUCUCAAUUACUUCAGUUUGCCUUAUAGCCUCAUUGACAUCAUUUUUCACCCGAUCUUUUUUCAGUGCAAGUUCGUCUCGCUGAUUCUUGAACUCCUCAACAAUUCUGCCGAAAUGGAAAAAGUAGCUAACAUAACGUGAUGUGUAUUCUGUUGUCAGGUUUCCCACGGUAUUGGCAGCAGCAUUGGCAAAAAAUCCAGCAUCCAUUCUUUGAUGAUACGAGGCUGAAAAACAACUUCGAUGAGUAAAAAGGUUUUAUAGAGAGACAAAUUACAGCAGUAUUGGAUGUUUCGCAAAGCAUAGUAUAUUUAUUCAUCCCUUUAUGAAAAUUUUUUUGCUCAGCGAUACCUUUAUGAAAAUGUAAAGCAAAGGAGAACAAAUUGUUGAUUAAUCUACUUGAAAAUUGACACUGCUGCAGAUGGCAGAAAUUCUUCAGUCUUAAUGUGUAUAUUAAGAAUAUAUCUUACAUGUUAGAGAAAAAGUAUGUUAUAUUUAUUAAUUUUCCUUUCAAUCAGUUUUCUAGAAAAUAAAAAAUAACUACUAAUUAUUAAGAUAUUGCUUUCCCUAAAUCAAAGAGAUGAGCUAACAAAAAAGAAAUUAAUACCGGAAAAGGUACGGAAAUCCUUUCUUGAAACUUACCUCUCUAUUCUCGCCACUUGAAUGUGAAAGGAUAAGAGACAAAUACAAGUUUUUUAGCUUUCUGCUUCACACAAAUGCCAUGUGGAGUGUCACUGUAGAAGAUCAAAACAGUUAAUUUUGACAUAGAAAAUAAUUUAGAGCUAAUUUUGCAUGUGAAGUUUGCAGUUGCACACUCAAAUGAAAAAAACAAGACAAAUAAGCCAUGGAAGAAACAGAUGUACAUAUAUACCAAGGAAAGAUGAACUUUCAGGAGCCAAGGCAAAGCUUCUAUAUUGAUCCAGGCCAAAGAUAUUAGACAAUGAGAAAGUUUGUGAGGAGAGUUUUUUUUUUCUUUUUUUUUUUUUUGAGUUAAAAGAAAAUAUGCAUCAACUAUUAAGUCAAAUGUUCGUUUGCUACCUCUUGUAUAUGUUGUAAUCUAUGAUAAUUGUCUGUGUCUAAUUCUAUGAUAGUAAUAUACAUGUUUUUUCUUAAUCAGUAUUUUUUUGGUGAUAAGCUUUUUGUGGUUGCUAUAUAUUCCACCCAAAGCAAGUAUGCCAACCCAAAGUCUUAAACUAUGUAAGUCAAAGACUUUAUAGCACGUUUGGGACAAGGAAUAGCUCUAUUCCCAAGGGAAUAGCUUACCUCCAUUUGGUAUAGCAAUAUCACAAAGAAUAGCUAUUACCUAGUAAUAGCUAUUCUCUCAAAAGGGGUAAAACUCAUGCAUAGCUAAACCCGAGCUCCCCCAUGGUUUUUGCUAUUCCGUGACUGAGGGAAUAACUCUGAAUUAUGAUAAGACUAAAACACCCCUUAUCACUUAAAAAUAUUACAACCUUAGACCUAUAUAUAUAUUUUUUCUUCUCAUUUUCCCUUCUUCUUUCUCUCUCUUCUCAUGUUCUUUCCUCUCUCAUUCUCUCUCUAAGUGGCACCAACGUUGGAGAUGAUGUUGCGACGGCGACAACGGUGGCGGAAACGACGGCGACGGCGACGACGAUGGAAGCUGCUGCGACGGAGGUUUUAUGACCGAAUAUGGUCGGACAAGAUUCAAACGGAGAUUCAACCAGAUCUGGCACUCAACAGCUAGAUCUGGUGCUUCCCGACCAGAUCCCACGAUUGGAUCUGGCACUCCACGACCAGAUCCAGCCGCGGGGAAGCGCCGAUCUGGCACUAUAAUGGCUAGAUCCGGCCACAUGGUGCUCCAGAUUGGUGUUUUGUUACACCGAUCGCCUUUCCAGCGACCAGCUCAUGAAAAAAAAAAAAGAAGAAGAGAAAAAAUAGAAUAAAAAGAAUAAAUUAUUUAUAAAAUUUAAAAUAUUAAUAUUUUAUAUAAAAUUUAAAUAUUAUUAAUAGUAAUAUGAUUAAAAUAUUAAAUAUUAAUAUUUUAAACUAUUAAUGUUUUAUUUAUUAAAUUAUUAAUUUAUUAACUUUUUAAUGAAUAUAAAAAAUAAAAAUUAUUAAUAUUUUAAUCAUAAUAAUAUUAAAUUAUAAAUAAAAUAUUAUUAAUUAAAAUAUUAGUAAUUAAAUUAUAUUAAAAUAUUGAUAUUUAAAUUAUAAAUUAUUAAUNAUUAAUUAAUUAUUAUUUAUUAAAUUUUUAAUGAAUAUAAAAAUAAAAUUAUUAAUAUUUAAUCAUAAUAUAUUAAAUUAUAAAUAAAAUAUUAUUAAUUAAAAUAUUAGUAAUUAAAUUAUAUUAAAAUAUUGAUAUUUAAAUUAUAAUAAUUAAUAUUUUAAUUUAAUUAUAAAUUAUUAAUAUUUAAAAAAUAAAAAUAAAAAAUAAUAUAUAUAUAAAAUAUAUUUUUGUCUUUUUAUUUUCUAUUACUUUCUUAUUCCAAAAUUAUUGUUACCAACCAAACACUAUAAUAAGUCAUAAUAAUUAUUUUUACUCUAUUUUAUUCAUCAUACCAAACUACGUAAUACUUAUUCUAUUAUAUUCCCACCUCAUUCUAUUCCCACGUAAUAACUAUUCUAUUCUAUUUCUGUCUAUUCCGCGAAUCAAACGUGCCCUUAGUAGCAUAAGAACUCAAGCAUUGGCAGUAAGAGUGUAGCGAAUUUAGCUUCAAAUAUUUUUUUUUAUUUUCUCAUUAAUUAAGAAGAUAAAGAUUGCAAAUAUUUUCACAACUUUUGCCAGUAGGACACGGCAUCAUUGAUAUGUACAAAUAUGAAUAAGUGAUGCACUUUUGAAUAAUUGCUGUGGUCCCUCUAUUAUUGUCCUUCAUUUUUUUGUCAUUUUGCAAUCAUUUUUCUAUUAAGGUAUAUUUAUUUCUGACCUACAUGCUUGGUCGGUUUCAUGACGUUCAUCUUUGCCUUAUGGAACUAGCCUCACCUUUUCUAUCCUUUCUUCUUUGAAAUUUUAACCUUUUUUAUGUUCUGGACAUAUAUUAACACCAGCUUCCUGAAACCUACCUAAUUUGGAGUCUACUUUCCCUCGGAGUUAAAGAAACUCUAGAACAAAAAGAUUAGUGUUUACUGGAGUAUUGCUCCAUUUUCUUCUUAUUUUCAAGACUCUGUUACAAAGAAAUGAACGAGGAUGAAUAGAACAGAACACUUUCAAUUUUCAUAUUCAAACUCUGUACAAUUAAUGGAACAAAGUUAAAAUAUGCGUUUUGUUUAAGACAGAGAAGAAUAAAAGCCGAAAUCAAAUAAAGUCUUUGAGGUAGUGUAGCUCGCAGAUGUGGAGACGAUACAAGAAGAUGAUUCAAUAGAAACCGUAUGACGACAAAGUAAUAAGAGUAGGUAUGGGAAAUUUGGAACACUAAUACUCAAAUUACAAACAAUGGAAAACUAGGUGAUUAUUAAUAAGACUAGGUAUAGGAAAAUUGGAAAAAUAUUGGCAACGAGGGUCAAAGUCGUCCCAUCCUCCCAUGUGAGUUUCCCCACCAAUUAAUAAACAAAAUUAUGAUUUCUCUUUUCUUUGAUAAUGCAGCUACAAUAAUAAGAGUAGGUAUGGGAUAAUAUUUGAAUUAGGAACAAUGGAAAUGUAUUGGCAACUUGGCUGAAAGUCAUCCCAUAUACUCCCAUGUGAGUUUCCCUCUUAUCAAUAAACAAAUAUGAUUCUCUUUUCUUUGAUAAUCCUAACGAAACCUUAUGUAUAAACAAUUUAUAUUUAAUCUGAAAAUUUCAUAAUCGAAUUUAAAAAUACAAAGCGUACCUAAUUUCUUAUUCAUGGUUUGACAGCAAAAAUGGUAUUGAUCAGAUUAACUGCUAGUACUUUUUUUAAAAGAAGAUUAAUUGCUGGUACUUAGUGCACUAAGACGUUCCUUUCAUUUUUUUUUUAUGAUUAUCUUCUCUGCAUCUUCACAUUUUUGCAGCUUGUGAUUAUAAUCCAUUGGUGUAGCAACAGGUUUAGCUCUCAAUAAUCUGUGUUCCUCCAGCAAUUUUAAUGUAUAUUUUCUCUUACAUACAGAGAUUCCUCCAGAGGAUCUGGCUAUCUCCAACCCCAAGAAGUACUUUACUGUACCAAGGUCUUUUAAUUUGAACUAUGUGCUCAAAAAUUCCUUGACAUUGUUUGCUGCUUCGAUUGAUGUGCUUUCAAUCAAAAUAUCAUCCACAUACAACAACAAAGCAAUAAAUUCUCCCUUUUUUGUCUGCAUAGUGAAUAACGAAUAAUCUACAAUUGACUGCUUGGAUCCAUAUUACUGAAUAGAGGCAGUAAACUUGGCAUUCCACUGUCUGAAAGCCUGUUUAAGUCCAUAAAGUGAUUUGUUUAACUUGCAUACUAGUUUGUCUCUGUAGGAUACUCCCCCUUAGUGGUAUACCCUUCUAGUAACUCCAUAUAUAUAGUUUCUUGUAGAUCCCUAUGUAGAAAAGCAUUGUUCACAUCUAUUUGUGAAAGUGUCCAAUUAAAUGCUGCUGCCAAUGCAAAGAACAGUACUCUGACUGUGGUUUGCUUUGCCACUGGACUAAAUGUCUUCUGGUAAUCAAAACCAAGUACUUGAUUAUAGCCUUUUGGCCACUAACCUCGCCUUGUAACUUUCAACCUGUCCAUUAGCAUUAAGUUUCACUUUGUAAACCCAUCUGCAGCCUAUUACAUGUGCAUUAGAAAGUUUAGGUACUAAACUCCAUGUAACAUUAUCUUCCAUAGCUUUCAGUUCAAGAGUAAUUGCCUUUUUCCAAUGUGAAUGAUUAAUGGCCUCAUAGUAAGACUUUGGUUCUUGUAUUUGUGAAACUGAAAUGGUAAAAUUUUUAUGAGCAAGUGAUAGGUAUUGAGAUGACAAUGCAUUGAAAUAGGAUGGGUAGUAACCGUAUAUGUCAUAAAGGGCAAGUCUGUAUGAUAUGCAUCAAGGUAUUUGGGGACUUGUUUGAUUCUGGUACUCUUUCUAACAAGUAAGUUGGUCAAUGCUUCUGCCAAUUCAAUGUUGUUUUGGUGAUAGUUACUACUUUAACAGUCUGCACACUGUCGGCUACAGUAGUCAUGCUGAGAGUGUUGGGUGAAUUUAAUGACAAAUCAUUAGAAUUUUGAGUUUGUAAAGGUGAAAUAAGUUCAGGAAAACUUGACUCGGCUGAUGUGUUGUCAAGAAAGAAAAACUAGGUUGAUAAGAGUCAGAAAUGUCUAUGUGACUGGCAUGCACAUCAGGUGUUUGACAGAAUGUAGAUGACUGUGCAUUUUGCUUAGAACAUUGAAAUGGGAAUACUUUCUCAAAAAAAAAAGACUUUUCUAGAUAUAAGAACCUUGCAUCAAGAUCAUAUACCUUAUAACCUUUAACAUUGCUUUAAUAACCUAAUAAUACACAUUUACUUGCCCUCUUAUCUAAUUUCUUUCUGUUAUGUGGGAGUGUAGACACAAAACACAAUGAUCCAAACACUUUGAAAUGCUUAUAGGUAGGUGGUUUGUUGUACAGCAUCUCAUAUGCGGACUUGUUUUUGAGAAUUUUGGUUGGAAUCUUGUUAAUUAUAUGAACUACCGUUAGCACGGCAUCACCUUAAAAAUGAAUUGGAAGACUGGAUUGAUGCAUGAGAGCUCUUGCCACCUCCAAAAUAUGUUGGUGCUUCAUUUCAACAACACCAUUCUGUUGUGGUGUCUCUACUCGGGACAUUUGAUGAGCAACUAUUGUUUUUGGAUAGAAAUCACUAAGUUUAAAUUCCUAACCAUUGUCAAACCUUAAAAACUUGAUUGAUGAAUUAAAAUGCCUUUGUACAUACUUAUCAAAGGAAGGAAUAAUGGUUAAAACAUCUGAUUUGCUUCUCAUCAAAAACACCCAAGUAAACCAACUGUAGUCAUCUACCAAAGUGAGAAAAAACCAUUGUCCUGACAAUGUUGGUGUCUCAUAUGGACCCCAUAUGUCAGUAUGCACAAGUUCAAAAAGUUUCUCAGAACCUUGAACAUGAACUGGGAAAGCAAGUUUUCUUUGUUUAGCCAUGGGGAAAACUUCACAAAGCAAGUUAUUUGUACAUUUCACAUGAGGAAAUCUCUGAUUGAUUACAUUAAUUCUUUCAAUAGGGAUAUGGCCUAACCUAAAAUGCCAUAGAACAAAAGAGUUUUACUCUGUCUUGGAAACAUUAACAGAUAAAACUUUUGGAGUCUUUACAAAAUUUUCAAAACAAAUUUUUGAUAAAUCUUACUCAUCUUGAUUCUCUUUCAUCAAUAAAGUCCUGAGUAGGCUCUACUAACCUUAAUCACCUACCAUGAAGGAAUGCCCUGGACAAUACAGUGUUUGUCAGUGAAUAGCAUACAAGCUUUCUUGCCAUUUGUAAUCUGACCUACUGACAUUAGAUUAAAUUUGAAACUUGGAACAUGUAAAACAUUAUGCAAAAUCAAUGAAGAACUCAACUUGACAGUUCCAAUAUGAGACACAGGAAUUUUCUGUUGUUUGGUAACUCAACAAAACAAUUCUUUACUAGUUUGGCAUGACUAAAAUUGCUUAAGGAAUAGGAUGUAUGAUCUGAUGCUCCUGAGUUUACUAUCCAUUGGUUUUUCUUUAUCAAGCUAGUAUUCACAUUCCCAUAUUCAUAUGACAAAUUAUUCAUAAUAGUAAAACAUAAGUGUCUUGAAACAAUACUUGCAAAGGAUGAAUUGGCUAGUGAGUGUUUGGUUUUGUAGGGUACUGUUGAGUUCUUACCAUCUCUUCCAUUCAUAUCAUUCACAUUCAAGAGGUCCAUGAUCUUGUUAACAUGCUGUUGUAGGAUUGAUAGUUGAGACAUGAAGCCUAUUCCACCCAAUUCGUCUUCUUGCUCUGUUUAAGACACAUUGUUUACUGCAGCCUUUCCUUUCUUGUUGUUUCCUUUCCCUUUUGUGAAUUUAAAAUCCUCUAGAAAGCCAGUGAUUCUGAAACACUUAUCUUUGGUGUGUCCUUUCUUCCCAAAAUGGUUACAUACUAUGUCUUUUUUCCACUUUUUCUUGUAUUCUACACUGACCAUCAUAGCAAACGAUUCUAUUAUUGCUUGACGUUGCAGCACAGCAUUUCUUUGGGAUUCUUCUGUCAAGAUCAAACUGUAAACUUUAUCUAGAGCAGGGAUAAGAUCCAUGAGAAUAAUUUGGGAUCUAAUUGCUGCAAAUGAUUCAUUCAACCCAUUCAAGAACUUGAAUACCAUGUCUUCUUGAUAAAGGUCAGAAUAUUUCUUGAAACAAGCAGGAUUGUAGCUCCCACAUUCGCAAUGUGGUAAUGGUCUAUAAUGCCUCAUUUCUUCCCAUAGUCCCUUCAACUCAAUAAAAUAUGUAUCAACUGUCCUAGUCCUUUGAGUUACAUUCCCUAGAACAUACUAUAAGUUACAAAGGUAUCGUCAGGUUAAGCAAAGUUUUGUUUGAGUGUAUUCCACGUCAUAAGCAGAAUCCAUAUAAAAUAUGGUUGAAGCAACUGGUUGAGUAAUUGAUUCCAGUAACCAUCCCACAAUAAGAUUAUUGCAGUGGAUCCGUGACUGGAAAAGGGGAUCUGUGAUCUUUGGCUUAGGUAUGGUUCCAUUGACAAACCCGAUCUUGUUUCUAAUCGAGAGUGCAAGUAGAAAAGACCUACUCUAGGUGAUGUAAUUACUGGUAGUGAGUUUGGGGUAGAUAACUACUGAACCAAGGUGGUCAGUAUGAUGAAAGUAAUAUGGUGACUGGGGAUCAGCAAUAGGAGGGAUUUGAAUGGUCCAUGUGCUGGUUUGGGUUGUGGUUUGUGAUGGUCUUAAUUCAUCAUAUUCGGACAUUAUUCUAUUGCUUUAAUCAAGCUCAAUGAUGAGUACAAAAAUAAAUAAGCAACCCAAAAAAGUUGCCUAGAGGCAAACUUACUAAUUCUGUGAAUGAUGACAGAUUCCUUCAAGGAUCAAAUUCCCGCUUUGAUACCAUGAAAGAAAUAGUGAUGCAGAGAAAGGACAGCAUAGUAAAUGAGGGAAUGUUUCUGAUCAUUCCAUUUCAUAAAGGAAAUCUGUACAAAAGUAGUAUUUAUAGUCUGUACAAAAGCGUAACCUGAUGAAAGAGAAAACUAUAACUAAUCCUAAGAUUAAUUACUUCAACUAACUAAACUAAUUUUUGAAAAAUACACUUUAUUAAUUAAACACUGCAUUUGAUGCCUUUCACUGGUUCCUUCUUUAUUUUAAAUGAAACGGUGCGUCUUGAGUUUUCCUUGUCGUACUUAUGGCUUCCUCUUUCUCAUAGUCUCGAUCUCUCUUCUUCCUUCUCUUCUUGUUUCUAGUUCAGCCUUCAUCAGGGAUUCAACCAUUUAUGAUGUUCUUGGACUUAUUUUGCAGCUCACUUUAGAUAUGCCAUUUCAAGUCUCUAACCUGAUAAGCCAAAGACUUCCAUGGCAUUAAAACCCCGGUAUGGGAGUAAAGCGGUCAAUUUGAUUAUACAAAGUGAGUCAACCAAUAAAAAACAGAUGCUCGAAAACAACAUAUACAACAAGCCCUGUGACCAAGAGAAGGGUAUCAUAAAGGCCAGAGCAUCCAAAAAACAGAGGCCAAAACCUAUACAUUUACCAACCCUCAGCUGUGAUUGCAGCAAACAAAAAAUAAAGAAAGGACACAGCUCUAAUUUGCAAUUGGAAUUCCAAAGCGAUAAGGGACUGUAAAAAAGUAUGAAUGAAGCAAAAGCACACUGAAUGGCACCAUCACAAACAUCCCGGGCCAUCAGAAACCAUGAAAUCAGGGGCUCACUAGCGGAAAACACAAAAAAAAACCAUUAUCACCAAUCAACAAAGCCACGAGAUGUAGAUGACAAACCAGAGCCAGCAUCUUAACAUGAAAAGUAAACAAGAGAUCCAUCGCUCCAUCAGACCGUUCCACCAGCUUAAAAACUCAUUGGUUCACAGUGCACAAAUGCCAGCAUCAAAAUCUUUAGCAAAGGAAAAGAAAACAUCCCCGCAUCUAGAUAAGAAACAGAGGAAUUUCACUAUUGUUCUUCUACUUAUUGUACAUACAGAGAGCAACGUAACAUUGAUUGGGUAAAUUAUUGAGAGCAAAAGAUCACUUAAAAUACAAAAAUAAGGAUAAGAAAAAGGGGAAUUUCACUCUUCUUCUUCUACUUAUUGUUUGUAGAGAGAGCAACAUAACAUUGAUUGGGUAAAUUAUUGAAAACAAGGGAUCCCUUCGCUUGACAACUCCAUGAAGCAAAGUAAUUUCAACACCUUGUUUUUUUUAUAUAUAAAUAUAAUAAAGUUUAACGCAAGUGAACCACCCAAACUUGAUUAGGAAUAGGCAAACAAAAGAAAGAAAUAGAAAGCAAAAGCAGCCUUUGUUUUACCCGUGUUUUGUUGACAGCCUCAACUACUCAUUUAUUUUGCAACUUCCCCUGAAUCAUUCUUUCAUGUAAGGUGUUAGCUGAUCCCCUGUGCUUCGGGACCAAAAUAUGUUCUCGAAGUGAACUGCAUUUUGAGUAGUGGUAGAUCCUUCGGUGACGUCUUGCUCAACUUGUCGUGGUAUCCUUCAGAAAAAUUGAAAUACUGAAAUGAAAAGCAAAAGUAUUAAUUUCUUAUGAUACAAAGGCAAAAGAAGAAUUAGCUAUGUUAUAUUUUAUAAGCAUUUUAGGUCAAGUUCAUAAACGAUAUUACUCAAUCAUGGAGAUAUGCUUAGUGGAGUCCAUUUGUCGAAAUAUGUUUAAUUUACAAACUAAAAUGAUAAAAUUACCUGAAUUUGAUUACAUAUAAUAGUUGGAUUAGGAAAAUACUUUUCCUUUUUUGGUUUUUGAAGACUGAAGAAAGAGAGGUUUAGAAAUUUUAAAUAUUUGUGGAUUUUGAAAAGAUAAUGUUUAAAAAAAAGUGUGUGAAAUUAAUGUGGUAGUGCAAUUCUCUAUGUUCCAAUUGGCUUUUGCACUUGUUUAAGAUAACAUACGGUUGUUGUCAAAAUAAUUGUUUUAUGACGAAGCAAUAGAAAAAUAUUAAGAAAUUGACUUUGUUCUUUUCAUCAAUUUGUCAGCCUAGUCGACCAAGUCUAAAACCAAAGCAACAAGGCUGCACAACCAGAGGACGGGGAAUGGACAGUAUGGAUCUCGAGGAGAGUUGCAUUCAUUGAAAUGCAUAGAAAAUUUUGUAAGAUUUGUAAGAGUAAGUAAACUGUUAUAAGUGAAAACUUAAACUCAGGUCCUCACUCCAAUUGCUAGAAAGAUUUCAAAUUUUUUAUGGUCAGUUUGGUAUUAGAAACAUUUCUUCUUCUGUUCAAGGUCAGAUAGAGAGAAUUUAUUGUUUCUCAUUUCUUUAGCGUUUUUUAGGGUUUGAUUUCUAGUAAUUGAAUUUUUUUUUUUUUAGUGAUUGUUUGCUUUCUUUACGGAUUAAAUCAGUACACUCUUUUAUUUUUUUUACCAUGUCAUGUAUCAAUUUUUCUUUUUUUGAAAAGUAAUUUCAUUGCAUAAGAACAGGGGAACCGACAAACUUUACAAAAGAUGGAUUGUAUUUUCCACUUGUCCUAUAAAUGCCAACAUUGUCACAUAAUAUUGCUCUUGUAUCCUACAAAUGCCAACAUGACAAGAGAUUAACACGCCCAUGGAUUCUAUCCAAAUAAGGGAGAGAGUUUGGAUAGUGAAAAAUAAUAUUUUAAGAGUUUAAUUAAAUAUAAUAAAAGAAUAGAUGAUUAUUUAAUUUUUUUUUGAAAUAAUACAUGUACUUUUCUAUCAUUUUAGUUAAAUACACGCCACUCGUAUUCUUAUAAGAUCAGAUUUUAAAUCAAAUGAAACUAUUAUGAAAAGAAAAGUACGUUUAAGUGAUAAUUGAAUGAGUUCAAGAUAGAGUUACUGAAUAUGAAAGUUUGAAUUUCUUUAAGUGUGGAUCAGUUUAUGAGUGUUGAAAAUAUUUGGCUCAAAGACAAAAUCCAAAAUCAUAAUUGAAGGAAAAGUGUAUAAAAGAAAUACCUUUAGUUGAACCAGCUCGUUAAUUUCUUUUUGAAUGAUGAAAUUUGUCAAUUUAGGGUAAUUCCAAACUUUCAACUUCUCCAAAGAUGGUGAUGACAUGAGAGAGUUUUCCAAGCAAAUGCAACUCAAAUUUAUCAAGUUUACAAGUUGUAAAUCUUGUAGGCAAGGGAGUGCAAUGGCACAAUCAACUCCAUUCUUUUCUUUUGCCAAUUGGAAGACUUGUUGCAAUCGAGGAGAAUCAGUUACCCAGAAUGAUUUCAACUGUGGAAGAGCUUGAGCCAAAGGAAUUUGAAAAAUAUCUUCUAAUAUUGGACAAUGACUUAUUCUUAGAUUUUCCAAUUUCAGCAAGAACGAAGAAUAGUAUUUUGUUUCUAUUUCAGCAUCACAGACCAACUUGGUAAUAAUGUGUUGCAGUCCAUCACACUGAUCUAUCUUGAGUUGUUCAAGGAGAACCAAGCUUUGAGCAAGGGAUGGUGAGUAGAGAUAGUUCAAUCUAUUGCAGUAACUAAUUUCUACAAACUUCAAGCUUUGGAGGCUGACAAAACGGGUGGACCCUUUCCAUCUCCAAUUCAAUUAUGGUAAUGAAUUUAGCUUCAUAAGUGUUAAAUUUGACAACAGCAGUCCUUGAUUUUCUUUUGUAUCAUGAAGAAACUCAUCUAUUUGAAAUACUUCUUGCAACUGGCCACAAUUAAAACACUUUCACUUCCUUUAGAUUUUGUAGCGUAGAAGAUAAAGAGACCAUUUCCAUGCAAUUCCUAAUUGUCAACUUCUCUAGUUUUUGUAGAAAGCCCUUUGGAAACUGACCGUUGCACAACAUUUUCAAACCAGUCAUUUUAUGCAUGUAUAAUUCCACCAAAUUGAACAAGGAAUUGGUUGAGACAUGCCCUUCUGUUGUAUCAAUCAAGCAUUCAAGCUCCUCGCCAUCGUAAAGUGCAAGAAAAGUUAAUUCAUUAAGCCACUUUGAAUCUACAUUUGGAAUGAGAUUUUUCUGAUACAUGACUCCUUUCAGGGUAAGAUUUUUGACAUUGUGUAAUAACUCCUUCAAUGCAUGCAAUUGAACGUCGUGAUCAUAAAUUCACAACAAAAUGAAACACAUUAGAAAAAUAGAAAGGUAGAUAAUGCUCUUUAAAUCAGAAUUGAAUUUUUUUUCUAUGCAUAAAAUUUAAAACAUUCCAAAGCUUAUUAACGUUUGAAAAACAUACCAAAGCCUGGAAUAUAAAUAGUGUACACGCUGAAAUUUAUUGGACACAUGGAAAUAUGAUUUAGCAAUAAAGUACACGUGGCAUGCAUGUAAGGAAGGAAAAUAAAAUAAAAUUUUUUUAUUGCCAUGUGCUUGUUUUUUUUUUUAUUAAAUUCAUUAAAUAUUUUAUUCUAUCAUGCAACGUACCUGUCUGCUAUUGUCAAGUCAUGCUUUCACAUGUCCUAUAAAUGCUAGCUUGGCUAGGAGUUAAAAUACCCAUGGACUCUAUCCAAAUGAGGGUGCUUGGAUAAUGAAAAUAACAUUGUGAGAGCUUAAUAAAAGAAAUACCUUUAGUUGAAUUUGUUCUUUAACUUCUUUUUGAAUGGUAAAAUUUAUUAAUUUAGGACAGUUGUAAAUUUUCAACUUCUCUAAGUUGAUGAGAUGGUGAUGAGAUGAGAAAGUUUUCCAAACAAAAGCAACUCAAAUUUAUCAUGUUUACUACUCGUAAAUCUUGUCGGCAGGGGAGUGCAAUGGCACGAUUAUCUCCAAUCUUUUCUUUUGUCAUAGUCUUGAGACUCUAGAGAUUAAGAAAAUGGGUGAAUCCUCUCCAUAUGCAGCUCAAUUCUAGUAAUGACUUAAGCUUCAAACAAGUUAAAUUUGACAAUGGUUGUACCUGAUUUUCAUGGUAUAAAAAAAAUAUAUAAUUUUUUAAUUAAUAAAUAUUGAAAUAUGAAUUCAUUGUACUUAAAUAUUGAGAAGACAUAUAUUUUUGAAAAAAUAUAAAAGGAAGUGUUAAAAGCCAAUAAUUUAGAAAGGUUAGAUAGUAAUUAUUUAUAUAUUUGAUUAUUCAAUAAAAGAAAGGUCAUUAGAAAAAGAAUAUACGAGAGCAUUAUUAAAGGAAAAAUGGAGAGAUAAGAGGUACCUCUAGCUUACCAUUUCUUUGUCAAAAGUAAGUGCUUGCUCCAAUUUUUCGCAUUCAGAUAUGGAGUUUCUCUAUAUGCAACAAACUUUGAGUAAGGUAAGGUGAGAAGAUAGAUUUCAGUUUAUCACAACCUUGAAUUAUUACAUCCUUCAGACUUUGUGGGCCUACGUGAUGAGUUGGCUCUUUCCAUAUACUCUCCAAUGCUGGUGAUAGCUGCAGCUCCAACUUUCUUAAAUUUGAAAUCGUCCGCAUCUGACUUUCUUCCUUUCCAAGAAGCCCAUCCAUUUGAAACAGUGAUUGCAAUUGCUCACGAUAGGAAAUGCUCAAUGUUUCUAACUUCUUUAAGAUGCUAGGUGAUUGACCAUGACACAACUCUUUCAAAGAAGUCAUUUGACCAAUGUAUAAUUUCACCAAAUUAGAGAAUGCAGUGGUUGGACUUUGUUCUCGUGUUGUAUCGAUCAAGCAUUCCAGCUGCUUGCAAAAUGAAAGCUCAAGAGAAGUUAAUUCCUUUAGUUCGCACUGAUCUACAUUUGAGACAAUAUUUUUGUGUUCCAUGGUGACACCGAACAGAGUAAGCUUUUCCACAUUGCAAAACAGGUCCUUAAAUUCAUUUAAUGAAGAUGAGAAACAACGAAUUAUCAAGGUUCUCGAGCUUAGCCCCGCCAAAUCUUCAAGAUAUCCAUUUACAGUUAUGUUGUAGCUUUGAAGUUUAGGGAACACAAAGUUUUCUUGAGAACAUUGAUGAAUAGAAACUCUCAGUGUUAAUGCAGUCAAACCAGACAAAGAAUUCAGCUCCAAUAAGUUGACAUUGUUUGUACCUGUCACGUGUAGCUCUUGGAGUGACGGUAACUUGUUACACACAAAUACAAAAUGUUCUUAAUGCAAUAAUAUAUAGCACUUUUAACCGAAUGAUAAAAAUAGCAAGAUAAUGAAAUGAAUAAGAUAACAUUAACUUUUUUAUUUCGUCAUUCUUAAAGAUACUUUUGUACUACAGGUUGCAAUGUUUCAUAAUAAUAGCAGUGACCAAAAGCUCAUGCUAGAUGUAUAUUUGUUUGUGGGGAAAAUUACUUUGUUGCAUUCCAAAGUGAGAAAAAUAUAGUGAUUUUAAUCUACGUAAUUCCACUAAUUCUUCUGGAAGCUCAUGAAUAUUAGUUUGAAGCAAUGCCAAAACCUCGAGGUUUUCCACAUUCCACAAUGAUGAGAUGUUCUCAAGCUCACAAUUUGUAACACACAAAGUUCUAAGAUUUAUCAAGAAUUGAAGUGCUUCUAGUUUGAGUACAACAUCUUGGAGAAGUAAAAUUCAAAAGGUUCUCAUUCUUCCAAAAAAAAUUACACAAAACUCUCAAUGAAUUCUUUCCUUUUAGAAACAAAAUCAAGAGUUUUGAAAAUAACUUUGUUAGGAAGAUGAUUAAUCUCAAUGCUUCAAAAGAAAAUUACCGUACAACAUUCAAAACUUUCACUCAGACCAUUUCAUCAAUCCAUCUUUUACCAUGAAUUUAUUUUCCCCUCUCGAUGUUAUCAAAUGAGCCAAAUCACGAAUCACAUCAAACAUUUUUACAGAUUCUUCAUCGUAAGUUUUCAAUAACAAACUAGACUAUUGGAGUGUAAUUAGAGCUUCAUGAAUUUUCCUCCUUAAGACUCCAGUUGAGUCAACAUUACCAAACAAUCCUUGACCAAUUCCACAUAUAGUCAACAUCUCAAUUGAUAUUUCAAAAUCUUGUGGAAAAAGGGAACACAGCAACAAACAUGACUUGACAUUAUCAUCUUCCAAAUAAUCAUAACUAAGCUCAGACGGCUAUAGAUACCUCCACAAACAUAUUGAUUAUCCAAAUGUCUCGAGUCUUUGAGUCGUUGAUUUGCUAUUAUCCACCCAUUUAAACUUUUACCUUUUAGAGAGUUUGCCACAGUUACAAUUACAAGAGGCAAACCAUUGCAUUUACGAGCAACCUACUUGGCUACCUUCAAGGUGGGAGAGUCAUCUUCUACACCAGCUUUACCUUUGACUAAAGCCCAUGCUUCAUCUUCAGAUAAGAUUAUUUAGCUGAGCUUUCUUUUGACAAUUCAUUCGAGUGCACACUUGUUGAAGAAGCGUGGUUAAAAAUUUUUUUCAACCCUUGUGAUCAUCACCCAAACAUCAUCAAGGAUUAUAAGGAUGUUCUUCAUGUCCUUUAUUCUCAGCCACAAUUGUUCUGCUCUUCCUUCUCUAGUCGUCAUUUGAAGUUUUAAAUGUAGGAAGUCUGCAAAUUUAUCUUGAAUAUUGUUGAUGUUUGGAGUUUGGGACACGGAUACAAUCACAACUUCAUCAAAGAGUUGCUUGGCUUGCCUUCCCACUUGUUUUGCCAAAGUGGGUUUACCCACUCCUCCCAUCCCAUAUAGUCCAAUCAUGUUCACAUCAUCCUUUCUCAAAGCCUCCAUGAUCUCUUUGAAAGCAGAACUCGAGGAUUCAGAAGGCAUGAAAUCUUUAGAUGGAAUGAACUCUAUCCCUUGAAGAGGAAGACGCUGACUGACUCGUUGAAAAUUACAGGUCUCUGCUUAAAGUUGAGAGAUAUAAAGCGUCUUCUUUGCUACUUUGAUACUUAAGCAGUAUCGCCAGCCCCAACUAGGACACCAAUUGAAACACUUGUUACACUCUAUUUCUUCUUCCAAACUCUGAGCUUCUCCCAAUUCUAUCUCUGCCUUUGUUAGCCACUCCUUAACGUCCUUCUUAAUUACCUCAGUUUGCCUUACAGCCUCAUCGACAUCAUCUUGCACCUGAUCUUUUUUCAAUUGAAAAGCUUUUCGCUGCUUCUUGAAAUCUUCAACAAUUUUGGCAAAACGGAAAAAGUAAGUGAGAUAAGGUCAUGCCUAUUCUGCUGCCAGAUUCCCUACAGUAUGUAAGACUGUGAAUGGCAAUUGUAUUCAGCCUGCAACAACAUUGCCCAUAGACUAGAAAACUCAAUAUCACAGAGAGGAGAGGAAAGAUAUGGGAUGAAACAAGAAAGGGAAGCAAAAUAAAAAAACAAAAAAGAGAUGAAGGAACAUGACCCUCUCAAAGAAAUAAAAACCACAACAUUGUACACCAGCCAAUGAAAACCCACAACCUUAAAACAUGUCGGAUCAAAGCAACACCUUAAGUGCCCUUGAUGAGUGGACCAGUUUCGAGCCACAGUAGAGCAACCACACCUCACUGCAAAAUACAAUAAAAAUAAAACACAUUAAGCACAAUGAAUUAAUGUCAGAAAAUGAUAAUGGCAGAUGUAGUGAGCAUAGACAAACUAGUCAUUUCAUUUGUUUUUUAUUAACCUUCCAUGCAAUUAAAGUAAAAAAGGGUGGUCAAACAGAUUCAGCAUGCUUGCAUUCUUUCUGCUUUUGCUAAGUGCCAGGAAUAAUUAUGAAAAUAUGUAUAAUUCAUAAAAUCAUGUUUACCUGCUGUGGUUGUUGGUAAGCUCCUGGUUGCUGGUAAUUCCCGUAUCCAAGAUAGCCCCCACAGUACAUGUUAGGAUCUUGGGGAGGAGGUGCAUAUCCAUAUGCUUCAAAUCCUUGAGCAUAUCCAUAACAUCCACCAUUCCACUGGGCCUGAUCUGGUUGAGCCUGAAACUCCAACAGAUUUCCCUCCUAGUUUGCAGAAAUAUAUAUAGCAAGGUUUUAAUUACAAAAUACCAUGAUUUUAAAUACAAAACCUGAUUGCUUGAAGGACUACAUCCCCAUGAAAGUCAAAUGUUUCUUCCUCCUAAUACGAUGCCAUUCAAAACUGAUAAAGCUUGCUCCGCGUUAGUCCUGAAGUAUAUCAAAUUGCAGAAUAAAUUAAUAUAAUAUAAUAAUAUUUCACGCACUUAAAUAUUCGGAAGAAUUUACAGCUUACCUGUUAGCAUAUUGAACAAAACCACAACGCUUGUUAGCAGGAAUUUUUACAUGAACUACCUCACCCAGCUGGCUAAAUAUUUGUUUUAAUUGGUCUUCAGAAACACUAGGAUCCAAACCACCAACAAAUAUCUGCAUUUAAGCAUCUAAGAUUUCAGUUGACCACACCAUGAAAUAAGUAUAUUAAUAUAUAUAAAAAGGCUACCCACUGUGGUAUUAUUUGGAUCAUUCUCGCCAGGAUUUCCUUGAGUAUUCUGGUAAGAAGCUGCAAAUGAUAAAUACUUGUAAACUACCAUAGAAUGAGAUGAUAAAAAAGCUCAUUACUUCUCAAAACUCAAUUUAAACAUUGUUGAAAAAACCAAAGCAUUAAGAUAAUACACUUAAAAAUACUAAAAAAGUUCAAAAAAAUUCCCUCCGUGGCAUGCAAAAGAACAAAAAUGUAAAACCACCAGCUAUACAUCACUCAAAAGUUACAAUUAAAACCAUAAACCUCCUUUGGGUUACAUCAAGGCUUACCAUUACCAGGGAAAGUAAAAAGUAUCAGAUUAAAUGGAUUUCAAUAGUAGCCCAAAAAGAAAUCAUUAAUUACAUUACACUCAGGGAAUCAGUAAAGGUCCUAUUCUUUCAUUAACCUUUUACAAUAGCAUGAAAAGGAGAAAAAGGAAAAUUGAAAUCAGAGACUUAACUUUUCUCUGCACUUGACAAGAAAUAUUUCCUUUUUCUCCUUUCUUUCACACAUUUUUUGUAAGGGGGGGGGGGAGGGAGGGAGGAAGUUGUCGAGGCUUAAAUAGAAUGAUUCACAACUUCAACUUCAAAGAUUAUGUUUUAGUAGAAAGAACCUAUCUGCUAAACUAAUUUCAGAAAUGCUUUAACAUUCUCUGCGUAGACAGAAACCUAUAGAGAUUAUAUUAGUAGCCACAAAAUGAUAAGAUGAAGAACAUAUUUAGAAACUAAGGAAAUUCCUCUAAACUGAAGUGACGCAAAACCGCAAAUGACAAGUAGAAAAAGAAUGCCUUGAAAAUGCAAUAUUAAUACUGGUAGAUGCAUACACAGCUAGGCCUGCACUAUUUAGGUUUUCGAAAUAAAGCAUGGACGAGUGAUCCACUUCCAUUGAGGUUUAAUCCAUUAACUGAAAAUGCCUUUAACUACAAGUUCCAGGUUUCUUUCCUGACUCAAUUUGUCCUCAUUUGUAAAAGAACAAUAGAAUGAGGACAAAGAAGUUACUAUAACUUUUAAAAGAAGCACAGAUAUAAAAUGCAAUAGAACAAAAACUGCCCCAAGGUUCAUUAACAGAAUGGUGCAUGAUAACAUCCAUAGCAACUUUACCCAUGGCUGCUUCACCUAGUUUUGAGCAUUACAGGUUGAAUUUAAAGGAAACAAAGAGGAGUGUGUAAACAUAUGCAAGUAUCGAAAGGGAACUGAUCUAUGACAAAAUUAAAAAAAAAAAAAAAAGUUUCUAGACUGGUAAAAUAAUCUAAAGAAAGAUUUAAAGGAAACAUGUUGGGAAAACUGAAACAAAUUGUACUUGACUGGAAUACUUAAUAAGGAACUGGAAAAGUAAUUUACAAAUGUAGCACAAAUACUGCCACAAGAAAAUGAGGCUUACGACAUAAACAAAGUAACUGACCUAAAAUGAGGCCACGCAUUAAAGUGGAAUCAUUUCAGCUGAUACCAGUUCCAGGAUCCCCAAAGUGAAAGCCUCUUGGUGUCCUGCUUUAAGACAACAUGAGCUUUAUAUAAGGUUGUGAAUGUUUUAAUAUAAUUAAACGUGCCCAAGUUUACAAAGGCAAAUUGGAAGGAAAUGACUUUGCAUAAAUUCCGCUGCUCUUCAAGUGCAUAACUGAAAGAAUUCGAAUUUUGAGGAUACUGUAACAACUAACAAGUAACAACUUCAACUCAGAAAAUUAAAACCCAAAAACAAAAAUAGAAUAACCAACAAGCAUUCAACUUGUCAAGUCAAAGUACUCUAAGAUAAAUCAUGGCAAAUAAAAACUAUUUAAAAACCAUGCAACCUUCAUACGUAAAUCAAGAUAAAUAAUGACCUUAACAAAACCCAUAAGAUAGUACCUUUCGGAUACUGCUGACCAGUGACUGGCUUCUUAUUAGCAGCUGGACCAAUCCGCAUUGCCCUUGUUGAACAAUAAAUCCCGUUCAUUUCGGUCAUGGCACGAAGCUGCUCAGUUUCAUCACCAAACCUCACAAAGCCAUAACCUUUAGACCGUUCUGUAGUCCUAUCAGUGACAACUUUGGCACCCUUCACAGAUGGGUAAACAGCUUUAAAAGUCUCUUGCAACAUAUAAUCUGAAACAUCAGCAGCCAAAUCCCCAACAAAGAUUGUGUAAUCAGGACCCUCAUCUUGCCUCUUUUCCCCAUAUCCGAGUGCCGCCCAAUUCAACCUAAAAUUCUGCUCAGAAUUCGGCAUUGGCACCCCAUUAUACGACUGCAAAACCCUCUCAGCUGCCGCACGUGACACAAACUCGAUAAACCAUACCCCUCUGGUAGCCCCGUUUGCUUAUUCCUAAUCACCUUAAGCUGCAGCCACCUAAAAAACCCCAAAAAAUAUUAAACUUCCUUUAAUUACUUCUUACUGAUUUUUUUACUUAAGCAGUUAAGUUUAAAAGGAAAAGAAAUGAAAUUCAUUUAAAUAACAAAAGGGAAUAAUAUUUUGAUUUAUUAAAAUAUAAAUAAAACUGCGAAAUUUAUUCCACUAUAUUUGCUCCGUUUAAUUAAAUUUUAUUAUAUUUUUUUACUAUUUUACUAUUUACUUAGGCACUCUUAAAUCUUUUUUUUUUUUCUAAAAGCCCCUAAUUUUUUUUCUAAAAUAAUAUAAUUAACUAAUUAAUUACCUCUCCAGUGUGAGCGAAGAUGUUGAUGAGGUAAUUCUCAUCCAUCCACUGCUGAAGAUCACCGAUCCAGAGGGAUCGAAUCUCGCUGGAGCCGGCGGAGACUGAACCGGUGGAGUACUGCUCAAUCUGACCGGGCGGAGGAACGGGUUGCGGAGCCCAACCGGAAGGUGGAUGAACCGGCUGACCCGCCUGCUGCUGCUGUUGUUGUUGUUGCAUCAUCAUCCACGGCUGCGACUGCGGUUGCUGCUGUUACUGCUGGGUUUGAGACUGAUCGGCUGCCAUGGACUGCGGCGGAGCUACGCCUCCUGCUGGGGGUUGUUGCAUCAUACUCGAUAGAUAGAUAGGUAAGAGAAUCGGGAGAUCUCAGAGGAGAGGAAACCUUAGGGGUAAAUUGAAAUUUGGUGCUAAUAAGUAUAGAAAAAAAAUUUAAAAAUUAAGUAAUUAAAUGGAAUUGAAAUUUGAAAAUUAUUAAUAUAUUUUUAUGGUAUAAAAAUUAACUAUUAUUUUAUUUUAUUCCCUUUAUAAAUUUUAUGACUUUUAAUUAUGAUGAUUUAGGAGAUGUUUGAUAAAUUAUUUCUUAAUCUAUUAAAUAAGAAAUUUUUUUUUAUCAUUUCCCUUCGUCUCAUUAUCUUUGUUAUUUAUUGAUUUUUUUUUUGUUAAAUAAACUCUAACUUUGAUCAUUAUUUUUAAAAAAUUGCGAAGUUAUAAAAUUUUGAAUUUUAAAUUUUUUUAUUUUUUUUUGAAUUUUUAAUUUUAUAUAGUAGUCGUGUAAUAUGAUAAGAGAGGUACAACAUGGUAAGAAAAAGAAAUUAAAUUGAACUUAAUAAUUCUAAGUGCAUGUAGAAAUGGUCCAAACCCUUUUUAUAAUUCUUAGUGUAAGCAUUACUUAGUAAAAUUUUCUUCUAUCAAUGAGUAAUUACUUCAUUUUAAAUGCUUUUUGUGAACUUGUUGCCUGAACUGUACUACCAUGGCCAGAUCUUACAGGCUGGAGUACCAAUCAAACUCUCAAUGUUUCAAUAAACCACUUGGAACCUUCAUAAAAUAAAAAUCUACUUGGCUUGUAUAGGAAAAUUAAAGUUUAAUUUCCCAUGUCUUGAUUUAAAAUACAGAAAUAAAGAUAAGAAACAGAAAAAUUUUAAGCUUAUUCUUCUACUUAUUGUAGAUACAGAGAGAAAUAUAACAUUGAUUAGGUAAAUUAUUGAAAGCAAGUGAUCCCUUUGCUUGACAACUCUGUGAAGCCAACAUCUUGAUCAACCCAAAGCACAAUAAUUUCAACUACCUGUUUUUUUGUUUAUGUAAAUAAUAAAGAUUAGCACAAGUAAACCACUAAAAUUUGAUUAGGACUAGGCAAACAAGUGAGAGAAAUGAAAAUGGAAAGUAGCCUUUGAUUUACCUGUGUUUAGUUAAUGGCUCCAACGUACUCAUUGAUGUUUAAACAUGCCUUUGCAACUUCCCCUGCAAUCAUCUCAUAGUUCUUCCUUGUAAGGUGGUAGCCUGUAACAAAUGCUCUUGGACCGUAGAAUGGUCUUGGCGUCUUGCUUAACUGGUUGCGGUGUCUUUUUAAACAAUUGAAACAAGGAAAUGUAAAACAAAAGUAUUAAUGUUACAUGUUAUGAGAGUAAAAGAAAAAAUAGACAUAUUAUAAUUUAUAAGCAUUUUAGGCCAAAAAUUCAUUAAAAGUAAUGAAAUCAUUCACUAAAAGUGAUAUUCUAGACCAAUCUUUUUGUUGCAGUACUACUACUCAAUCAUUUAAGUAAUUUUAGUGAAGACUUUGAAAAAUUAUGCAGUAUAAUAUUAUUAAAGACUCUAAUUGCCUUUGCACAUACUAAAUAAAAGCGUAAACUUAAUUCACUAAUCAAUAAUAAAAACUCUUAAUCAUCAAUAACGAUUAUGUUGGGAGGAUAAGGAGAAUGAAUAAGGUAUUUUUAGUUUUAGUGAAUAAUAUUCUUGCAAAAGUCCAUGAAGAUGGCUUCAAAGGAUUUGGGAUCAAUUUGGAAAGGUUGUCAAUACAUUGUAGAGAGAAAUAAACGCAAAUACAGUUAGAGGUAUCCUUUUAUCAUAUUUGGAUAUUUUAAUAAGGAUAAAAAAGUAGUCCAAAAUUUAAAUGGAGUCUGGCUUCUUAACCAAAGGCUAGAGGUCAAUAUAGCCAGCUAAGGAAGCCAUGAUUCAUUCUGAAGGAGGAAGCAAAAAGGAAGCUUCUGAUGCGCCUAGUGUUAACCACAUUAGGAACGGAACCUGCAGUGGGAUUUUGAGACAACUUGGUUUUAUUCACUAAGCCAUCUUAUGCUCUGUUAUUGAAAGGUGCUUUUGAAAAAGGUGGAGCUUCAAAUGAAGAGAGAGAGAAGAUGAUCUUCAAUGUCUUAACAAGCAUGGAAAACAUGCUUUGGUUGAAGAGAAGUGAUGUGGUAACAACAUAAUGUAAUUCAGAUUUAGCAAAUUUAAUGGAAUUAUUUAAAAUGGAAGGCAUUUCAGGGCUGCUUAUGAGGAGUUUGUCUCUCAAAAGAAUUUGUGCUAACCUUUGAGGAUAAGGAGCUGUUGGAAGCGCUCAAGGAUAAAGGUUGGGAUUGGCUUAACAAAUGGUUUACUAAGGUGGAAACAUAGUUAGAGAAUUUUUCAUCAAAACUCCUUAACAAGUGGGUGAUUGCACAGGAUAUCCUUUUGAUGUGUGAAAUAGGCAUAUUAUAAAUUAUAAGCAUUUUAGGCCAAAUUCAUUAAAAGUGAUAUUCUAGACUAAGUUUUGGUUGUAGUGUCAUUCUCAAUCAUUUAAGUAAUUUAAAGACUUUGAAGAUUAUGCCUUAAAAUAGACAAGACUAAAGUUUUCAGGGUGUAUACCUCUGUUUUGGCAUGCACAUAUUCCUUUGAAUCUAUGAAGAAACCUGUAGUCAUCUUGGGACAUCCUUCUACUUUGAAAUAAUGCAAAGCCGACAAUACAAAGUGAUAUCCCCUUGGACAAAAGUCAACGAGGCUUGGUAGUUCUUCAAGUGAUAAAGUCAUUAAUUGAUCAAACUUUAUCUCUUUUUCGGUUGUCGCUUCUGCUUCAUCUUCAAGUUCAAAUACUUGCUCCAAUUUAGAGUUCCCUAUAACCCAUAACUUUUUAAGUUUUGGAAGACAAAGAGCAGAUCCAAGAGGAAGGAGACGUUUCAACUUUUUGCAAUAUUGAACAGAAAUCAUGGUCAAAUUAGGAAAGCUUAUAGGUUGGAGAUCACCAUCUGAUGAUGAACAAACUUGAUCCUCAGCAAUGAUUUGGUCCAAUUCAUCACAAUUUUGUAUUUCUAGAUUGACCAACCGUGAUAAACUUUGAGCAGUUGUAGGUGAAAAUAUGUAUCUUAGCCUCUUGCAAUCAAUCACCUUCAAAAUUGUAAGGUUUUCAAGAGUUACAACCUGAGAGACAUCCUUCCAUAUAAUCCACUUUUCAGAUAAAUCCUCCAGGUGGAGUUCCUUUAUACGUCCAUGAACCUGAAAUAGCUCUUCAUGACUCCCAACUGCUAUAUAUUCUUGAUUGCAAUUGGCUGAAAUACGCAAUUGAAAGCUAUUUCCCAACUUAGAGAGAUAUAAUUCCUGCAAAUACAUUUCUGUUGUAUUAGAUUGGGAACGGAUGAGCAAAUGUUACUCAUAAUUUUUUAGAUGCCAAUUCACAAGAAAUCCUUAUAUUUUUAAUGAUAGGACAUAAAUAUGUUUCAAAAUUACAUACAAAAAACAUAAAAGAAAUGAACCCCCCCGGAAAGCCUAACUUUCUCAAUCUGUUUCUCUUGUCUGAAACAGAAAGUAGAAACACUUUGAAUAAAGAAAAAAAGGGAACUCAAGGCCAAGAAGAAAAAGAGAACUUAAAUUGAAGAAGAAAGAGAAAAUUCGAAUCAAAGAAAGCAAGAGAAACUAGAAUCGAAGAAGAAAAAGGAAGCUCGAACAAGAAAAAAGGCAAGUUUUGUCGUCAUGAAGAAAAUAUAUGACGAACCUCAAUUCAGAAACAAGGACAAGGAAAACCCAAAAAUCCCCACAAACAAAUUAAAAUAUGUUUUUCAAAAUAAAUAGUAUAAAAUUUGUGUGCUGCAAUUUUAAAAAAUAAUUGGAUUAGUUUGUGAGUGUUGAAAAAAAGAUUUAGCUCAAAGGCAAAAUCCAAAACCAUAAUUGAAGGAAAAGUGUAUAGAGAAAUACCUCUAGCUGAAUUUGUUCAUUAACUUCUUUUUGAAUAGUGAAAUUUCUCAAUUUAGGACAGUUGCAAACUUUCAACUUUUCCAAGGAUAGUGAUGAGAUGAGAAAGUUUUCCGAACUCAAAUUUAUUAAGUUUACAAGUUGAAAAUCUUGUAGGCAAGGGAGUCCAAUGGCACGAUGAGUUGGCCAUUUCCAUAUGCUCUCCAAUGCUGGUAAUGACUGCAGCUCCAACCUUCUUAAAUUUGAGAGUGGUACUGUCUGAUUUACCUCACAUAAAGAAAAAUAUAAAAUUUAUUAAUUAAUAAAUAUUGAAAAUGAAUUCUUUAUACUUGAUCUUAAUUAUUCAAAAGAAAUACAUUUUGUUAAACAAAAGUAGAAAGAAGUAUUAAAAGUUAAUAAUUUAAAAGGAUUAGAUGAUAAUUAUUUAUAUAUUUGAUAAUUAAAAAAAAUCAUCAGAAAAACAAUAUACAAGAGCAUUAUUAAAGGAAAAAUGGAGAGAUAAGAGUUACCUCUAGCUCGGCCAUUUCUUUGUCCAAAGGAAAGACUUGCUCUAAAUUUUUGCAUAAAGAUAUCCGAAGUUUCUCUAGAUGCAAUAGACUUUGAGCAAGGUAAGAUGAGAAGAUAGAUUUCACUUUAUCACAACCUUGAAUUUUUAUUUUCUUUAGACUCUGUAGGCUUACAUGAUGAGUUGGCUCUUUCCAUAUACUCUCCAAUGCUGGUAAUGAUUGCAGCUCCAAACUUCUUAAAUUUGAUAAUGGUUGUACUUGAUUUUCCUGGCAUAAAGAAAAUAUAUAAUGUUUUAAUUAAUAAAUAUUGAAAUAUGAAGUCAUUGUAUUAAAUAUUGAGAAGGCAUAUAUUUUAAAAAAUGUAAAAGUAAGUGUUAAAAGUCAAUAAGUACGAAAGAUUAUAUAGCAAUUAUUUAUAUAUUAAAUAAUUCAAUAAAAUGAAAGAUAAUUAGAAAAAGAAUAUAUGAGAGCAUUAUUAAAGGAAAAAUGGAGAGAUAAGAGGUACCUCUAGGUUUGCCAUUUCUUUGUCAAAAGCAAAGACUUGCUCUAAUUUUUCGCAUUUAGAUAUCUUAAGUGUUUCUAGAUGCAACAGACUUUGAGCAAGGCAAGGUGAGAAGAUAGAUUUCAGUUUAUCACAACCAUGAAUUGUUACUUCCUUCAGACUUUGUAACCUUACAUGAUGAGUUGGCUCUUUCCAUAUAUUCUCUAAUGCUGGCAAUGACGUCAGCUCCAAACUUCUUAAAUUGGAGAUCGUCCACAUCUGACUUUCUUCAUUUAUAAGAAGUCCAUCCAUUUGAAACACUGAUUUUAACUGCUCACAAUUGAAAAUUCUCAAUUUUUCUAGCUUUUUUAAGAAGCUAUUCGGUGAUUCACCAUGGCACAACUCUUUCAAAGAAGUCAUAUCUUCAAUGUCUAAGUUCACCAAAUUAGAGAAUGCAGUGGCUGGACUCUGUUCUCGUGUUGUAUCAAUCAAGCAUUCCAAAUCAUCGCAAGAUGUAAGCUGAAGAGAAGUUAAUUCAUUUAGUCCCCACUGAUCUACCGUUGGGAUAAUAUUUUUGUGUUCCAUGAUAUUGUACAGAGUAAGCUUUUCCACAUUGCAAAAUAGCUCCUUGAAUGCAUUUAAUGAGGAUGAGAAAUCUCUAAUUCUCAAGGUUCUCCAGCUCAGCCCCUCCAAAUCUUCAAUAUAUGCAUUUACAGCUAUAUUGUAGCUUUGAAGUUUAGGGAACACAAAGUUUUCUUGAGAACAUUGAUGAGUAAAAACUCUCAGUGUUAAUGCAGUCAAACCAGACAAAGAAUUCAGCUCCAAUAAGUUAGCAUUGUUUCUACUUGUCACGUGCAGCUCUUGAAGUGAGGCCAACCUGUUACUAACAAAUACAAAAUGUUAUUAAUGCAAUAAUAGCACUUUCAACUGAAUGAUAAAAAUAUCAAGAUAAUGAAAUGAAUAAGAUAACAUAAACUUUUUUAUUUCUUCAUUCUUAAAGCUACUUUUGUACUACAGGUUGCAAUGUUUCAUAAUAAUAGCAAUGACCAAAAGCUCAUGCUAUAUAUAUAUAUAUAUAUAUAUAUAUAUGUUCGUGAUAGUCAAAUCAAAUAAAGUAAAUAAUAGAAAAAAAAGAUAAAAUAAAUGAUAUAAAAUUAAAUAAUUGAAAACAAUAAGAUAAACAGUUUUACCUUGAUAGCAAGUUAGAGGGGAAAUAGCAGUAUGGCCUUUCAUUGUAAGAAAAAUAUAGUGAUUUUAGUUUAUGCAAUCCCACUAAUUCUUCUGGUAGCUCAUAAAUAUUAGUCUCCAGCAAUGCAAAAAUCCCGAGGUUUUCCAGAUUCCUCAAUGAUGAGAUGUUUUCAAGCUCGCAAUUUAUAAUGCACAGAGUUUGAAGAUUUGUCAGGAAUUGAAGUGCUUUCAGUGUGAGUACCACAUCUUGAAGAAGUAAAACUCGGAGCAUUGUCAUUCUUUCAAAAAAUGCACACGAAACUCUCAAUGAAUUCUUUCCUUUGAGAAAUAAAAUCUUGAGUUUUGAAAAUUCCACUUUGUUAGGAAGAUGCUUGAUCUCAAUGUUUCAUAAGGAGAUUGCCGUAUAAUAUCCAAACCUUUCACUCAUAGGCCAUUCCAUCAACCCAUCUUUUACCAUGAAUAUAUUUUCCCCUGUCGAUGUUAUCCAAUGAGCAAAAUCACGAAUCACAUCAUGCAUUUUUACAUGCUCUUGAUCAUCAGCUUCCAAUAAUAAACCAGACUUUUGGAGUUUUGAUAGUGCUAGAUGAAUUUCCCUCCUUAAGUCUUCCAUUAAGUAAUUAUUAUUGAACAAUCCCUGACCAAUUCCACAUACAGUCAACAACUCAACGCUAAUCUCAUAAUCUUCUGGAAAAAGGGAGCACAACAAGAAACAUGACUGGAUAUUAUCUUCCUUCAAAUAAUCAUAACUAAGCUUAAGGCAGCCAUAGAUACCUCCGCAAACAUCUUGAUUAUCCAAAUGUCUUGAGCUUUUGAGUCGUCUAUUUGCUGCUAUCCAUCCAUCUAGAUUUUCACCUUUUAGAGCGUUUGCCACAGUUACAAUUGCAAGGGGCAAACCGCCACAUUCAUGAGCAACCUCUUGUGCUACAUUCGAGGUUGAAGAGUCAUCUUUUAGAGCAGCUUUAUCUUUGAAUAAAGCCCAUGCUUCAUCUUCAGAUAGAAUGUUCAGUUUAAAUUCCUUUUGACAAUCCAUUUGACUGCAGACUUGUUGAAGACGUGUAGUGAGAAGAAUUUUGCAACCUUCGUGCUUACCACCAAAUGGAAUUCCUAUAGUCUGCAAUUCAAGUUUUUUCCAAACAUCAUCGAGAAUUAUGAGAAUCUUCUUCUCUGCUUUUAAUUUUCGCCAUAACUCUUCUGCUUUUCCAUUUUCUGUUCUGGCUUCAAAUUUUAAACCAAAGAGUUCUGCAAUCCUUUCUCGAAUUUCGUUGAAGUUUGGAGUUUGGGACACCGUAACACUCACAACCUUAUCAAAAAGCUUUUGUUCUGUAGCUUGCUUCAGUACUACUUCCGCCAAAGUUGUUUUACCAACUCCUGGCAUUCCGUAUAACCCAAUCAUGUUCACACCAUCGCUUUUUAAAGCCUUCAUGAUCCCAUUGAAAGCUAACGUUGAAGAUUCGGAACGCAUGAAAUCCUUGGGUAGUAGCAACUCUAUUCCUUGAAGAGGAGGACGCUGGCCAACUCGUUGAAAAUUACAAGUCUCUACAAGUUUAGAGAUACAAAGUGUCUUCUUCGCUACUUUGAUACUUAAGCAGUAUCGCCAGCCCCAACUAGGACACCAAUUGAAACACUUGUUACGUUCUAUUUCUUCUUCCAAACUCUGAGCUUCAUCCAAUUCUUUCUCUGCCUUUGUUAGCCACUCCUCAACGCCCUUCUUAAUUACCUCAGUUUGCCUUAAAGCCUCAUCGACAGCAUCUUUCACCUCAUCUCUUUUUGAUUUAAGUUCAUUUCGCCGGUUCUUGAAAUCUUCAACAAUUUUGCCAAAACGGAAAAAGUAAGUGAGAUAAGGUGAUGUGUAUUCUGUUGCCAGGUUCCCCACGCAAUUGGCAAUAGCAGAGGCAACAAAAUCAAGAGCCAUUCUUUGAUGAUCUGAGACUGAAAAACAACUUGGAUGAGUAAAAAGUUUUACAAAUAUCUCUCAACCUAGGAUGAAAGGAUUACUUAACUUGAAAAUAGAAAACAAAUGUCGCUGCAUCUAAAUUCGCAAAUAUAUACUCAAAUGUAAAACCAACACAAAUAAACCAAAGAAGAAAGAGAUGAAGAUUUACGUACCAAGGAAAUCUAUAGAUGAACUUUUAGGAGCCAAGACGGACCAGCUUCUAUUUUGAUCUAAGCAAUCUCACAAACUCGGUGAAGGUCUUUUUUUUUUUUAAGUUCAAAGAAAACUGAAGCAGAAAUGAACUUUGCACUGCAACAAUCAGAAGAUCAAGGAAUUAAAAAAUAACAGACUUUCACUUAUCUUCUUUUUAAUUCUGCUUCUGAUGCAAAGGAACAGAGCAAACCAGAAAGAGCAAAGUAAACAGAGCAACUCUCAAGGCAAGAAGAUCUUUUUUUUAAAAGCAUCCCCUUUCUUUCCGUAAAGCAAAGAGGUGAGCUUACAAAAAAGAAAUUAAUUUAACUGAAAUCUUUUCUUGAAACUUACCUCUCUAUUCUCACCACUAGAAUGUGAAAGGGUAAGAGACAAACACAAAGUUUCUAGCUCUCUGCUUCACACAAAUGCCACGGGUGCAGUGUAACUGUAUAAGAUCAAAAGAGUUAAUUUGGACAUAGAAAAUAAUUCAGUGCCAAUUUUGCAGGUAAAGUUUGCAAAUGUAUACUCAAUUGCAAAAACCAAGACAAAAAUAAGCCAUGGAAGAAAAUGAUGCACAUAUAUACCAAUGAAAGAUGGAAGUUUCAGGAGCCAAGGCCAAGCUUUUGUAUAAUGAUCGAAGAAAACUCAAGUAGAAAUCAAGUUUGUACUACAGUAACCAAAAGUCCACUGGCAGAGGGAAUUAAGAAACAACAAACAUUUGUCAACCUAAGAUCAAAAGAACAACUUAAUUUGAAAAUAGAAAAUAUGCGUCAAAAUAUCUAUUUAUUUCAGUUUUUUCUCAAUAACUACAGCUUUUAUUUGACCAUGUUGUCGUCAAGGGCUGGGAAAGAAAUAUAGUGUAAAUUGAUUAAUUUUAUUUGCCAAAUGAAGAACUCGAGAAGUCAAAUGCAUUAGUAAUAAGAGAAAUUGAGCAUAGCAAAAGCUAUAUAUGGAGAAUAUAAUAUGUAUUCUGGAAGCUUACCUCACCUCGAAUGGAUCUUCUAAAGCUUUGUUUUUUAGAUAGAAAGCAGAAAAACCAAAAUAGUAGAGAUAGCAGCUUUGAUUUUUUUUUUUGGCUCUGUGGAGCUAAGGAAAGGAAAAGUAGGGAUCAAAGAACAGUUUUUGGUUUUUUUUUUUUUUUGUGAGUUAAAAGAAAAUGAGGAAAGUAGAAACCAAUGAAGAUAAAGCAACGGAGAUGCCUUCUUUUUUUGAGUUGAAAGAAAAGUGGAAAUAUCAAGGAAAAUGAAAUGGAAGAGUAAGGCAGAAAUCAAACUAAGUCUUUGGGGUGGUGUAGCUCGCAGAUGUGGAGAUGAUAGAAGAAGAAGCUUGAAUGGAAACUCGAUGACGACAAAGUAAUAAGAGCAGGUGUAGGAAAAAUAUUAGCAACUUGAGUCAAAGUCCUCCCAUGCUCCCAUGUAAGUUUCCCCACCAAUUAAUGAACCAAUAUGAUUCUCUUUUCUUUGAUAAUGCAGCUACAUUGAUAAAAGUAUGUAUAGGAUACUAUUGAAAUUAGGAACAAUGGACAUAUAUUGGCAACUUGGCUCAAACUCUUCUCCUACUCCCAUGUGAGUUUCGCCACUAAUUAAUAAACAAAUAUUAUUCUCUUUUCUUUGAUAAUAACCAGCUGCAAUGCGGAAGCUAGUGUUAUACAUUGAGAAAGUUCCCCUCUUGUGGUGUUCGAGACUCUGUUACAAGCUCCCUGUAAAAGCUCUUUGGCCGGCAUGUGCUAUCAACAUUAUCAUAUAAUUUUUAUAGAUUUGAGGAUUUUUGUUUACUUCUAGGGACAAUUGCAUGUGAAUGUGAUAGAUAUUUGAUUCAAAUUUUAAUUGAGAGUCCAUAAAAUUUUAUUGGUUGAAAAUUAUUUAGUGACUGAAUUUAUUUAAAAGGUAAAUAUACUUAAUGAUUAAGAGUUUUGAAUGGGUAGGAACUCAUGGUGGUAAAGUAAUAUGACUCUAUAAAUAUGGAGUAGGUCUUAAUCUUCAGAAUUAAGAUCAAAAUGUAAUCUCUUCGUGAUCUUAAGAGAUAAUCAUAUUAAAAUCGAGGCUUUUGUAAGGGUUUAACAAAUAUAUGGGGGUGUGAGAAAGAGUAGGGAAAAUAAGUUGUAAAAUAUGUGGUAAUGUAUGUUUUCGAGAUACAUUACCUUGAUAUCCGCCCAUGGUCUUCAAGCUCAUGUGACUGAAACUCAGCGGAAUAAUACGAUAUGAUCAUUGUCUUGAGAUUUACAUUGACCAAACGGUAAUAAUCUACUUUUUUUUUCUGAAGGAAAAGAAGCACUUAUUUGUAGUAAUGUAUUCUUCCAACAAUUACUAGUCAUUUUUCAAUAGUGGGAAAUUUUUUACUUAAAUAUUUCUAUAAUAUAAUGACCCUUUUUUUUAUUAUGUGGACCUCAAUAAGUUAAAUUUUGAACUAAUUGAAGUAUAGAAAAUUAUCCAAUAAACUGUCAUGGAAUUUAAAAACUUUAUCAAUGAAAUUAGAAAGUUGUCACAUAUUCAUUAGGAUAUAUUUGAAAAACUUAAUAAAUUAAUCUGAUAAAUGAAAGGAUAUGAAUUUGACAAUAUUUUAAUUUUACUAACAAAGUUAAAAUCUCACCGAGGAUGUAUAGAAUAAUAGUCCUCAAAAGUCAAAAUAAUCCGUUUGUUUUUACAAUUGAAGGACAUUGAUCAUUACAUGCAUUAGUAGUGAAGAUUUGUUGCUUUUCCUUGAAAGAUCAUUACAUUUUGUGCUUAAUUACAUGUUUUUGUUCGGCUUAUAUAUAUAAAGUAUAUAUGCUUUCAUUAGUGCUUGUUGAAUUUUGGCAAUAAAAUGUUUAAUAGAGGUGAUAUGAAUGAAGUGACCAUCCAGAGAUAUUCCAUUCUGAAGUGACUAUCCAGAGAUAUUGCAUUCUAUCUUUUCUGCCUAUUGGGUUCCACUGCUUGGAGCAUUUCUGCAGUUUCUGUAUACUUAUUUGCUACAACUUGAAAGAAAAGAGCAUGACAAGAUUGUAUCCAAAUUUGCCUUUAACUUCAAAUUUACUUCAGCUUGAUCAGCAAAAAAGGAAAAUUUGAGUUCAGAUUAUAGCAUUUUGGUUAUUGAAUGAGUGACUCUUGGAAGAUGGAAAACGUUCAUGCAUGCUUGCGAAGCUCGUUUGGUAAUAUACAGCACAAAAAGCAUUGUGAACCCAACUUCGAAACACAUGAAUCCCAUCUAUUUUUCUAACAACAGACGUGGCAAGCGUGGGCAUACCAAUUCUAAAUUCUAACAUUGGUUUUAGACCACUUUAUCAAAUUUCAAAGCCUUUCUUUAGUGCUUUUUUCCCCUCGGUUUCUUGGGAGAAUUAACUGGUGCUGUGAAAGAGGGCAAUGUUGGGGAUGGCAGGGGACGGAUUAGUGUAAUUUUUUUAUAUUUAUAAUUGAAAAAAAUUAGAGGAAUGCAGAUUAGGGGACAGCAGAUUAUGGAAACGGUGGAAGACAUUUCAGCAGGUGGAUUCUUUAAAGGAGGUGAUAGGCAGUGUAUUAUUCUGUGAGUGCUGAUUUUUUUGGCAAAGGAAGGUGCAAGGAGAGAGUUUUUAUUGGAUAUUGUCAUUACCUUGAGAUUUACAUUGAGCCAGUGGGAUUAAUUUUUUUUUUUUGGUUUUUAAGAAAAAGAAACACUUAUUGUAAACCUUGAACUAAUGGAGGUAAUUGGUUUUAUAUAUAUAUAUAUUGCUCUGGCAAAACAUUGUAAUUUAGAAAUUUAGAAGUAGAGGUAUUCGUUAAUUUUAUUUGCCAAACGAAGAACUCGAGAAGUCAAUUGCAUUAGUAAUUAGAGAAAUUGAGCAUAGCAAAAGCUUUAUAUGGAGAAUAUAACAUGUAUUCUUGAAGCUUACCUUACUUCGAAUGGAUCUUCCAAAGCUGCAUGGAUUUCUACUUCACCAACUCCGGAGAUCGGGAAAGAACAAUUAAGGACCAACCCAAAGCAAAGAAAUAGAAUAAGGGUAAUUACUUCACCAACUCCGACUUCUUUUUUUAGAUAGAAAGCAGAGAAACCAAAAUACUAGAGAUAGCGGCUUUGGGUUUUUUUUUUUUUUUUUUGGCUUUCUGGGGCUAAGGAAAGGAAAAGUAGUUGGGAUCAAAGAACAGUUUUUUGUUUUUUUGUUUUUUUUGGUGAGUUAAAAGAAAAUGAGGAAAGUAGAAACCAAUGAAGAUAAACCAACAGAGAUGCCCUCUUUUUUUGAGUUGAAAGAAAAGUGGAAAUAUCAAGGAACAUGAAAUGGAAGAGUAUGGCAGAAAUCAAACUAAGUCUUUGGGGUAGUGUAGCUCGCAGAUGUGGAGAUGAUAGAAGAAGUUAAAUUUUGAGUUAAUAUAUUGCCCUUGUUUAAAUUACGUAGACCUCAAUAAGUUAAAUUUUGAGUUAAUUAAAUGAUAGAAAAUUAUCCAAUAAACUGUUGAUGGAAUUUAAAAAUUUUAUUAAUGGAAUUAGAAAGUUGUCACGAAUCCAUUAGGAUAUAUUUAAAAAAAAUUAAUCUGAUAACUAAAAGGACAUUUGACAAUAUUUUAACUUUACUAAUGGAGUUAAAAACCCACCGAUUAUUAUACAAAUGAUAAUAAUCCCAACACUAAAUCGCGUCUAUCUAUAAUCCCAACCACCCACUGCUUUUGCUAGUGGAACAUGGAAUUAUUGAUUCACUUUUGAACUAUUUUUAUUUUAUUAUUCAAGACAAGUCACAGCAAAGACUUGGUAUUCUUCCAAGUCUUUUUUUAUUGUCAUUUUCUUUUAUUCAAAUAACAAUCGACCCAAACAUGGUUUGCUUUAUGGAAUUAUUAGCCUCACUUUUCCUUUUUUUUUCUUUUUUAUUGUUAUAUGUGUUGAUCAUUAGAUUAUUAAAGGGAGAUAGAUAAUGACAUCAAUCAUCUUUAGGAGAAAAUUCCAAUUAAAAAAAAGACCAGCAUUGAGAAAAAAAUAAGCUAAAAUUGUCCAAGAAAGUUUUGUCAAUUGUUUUUCUCCUUGUGAUAGGGAAUAUUUUGGUCACUGGUCGCCUAGUUGAUUAUCUCUGCCUCAAAAUUAGUAAAGAAUACUGGCAACUUGGUUAUGAAUAAUGAAUUGAUUAUUGAGAAGAGUAGGUGUAGCAGCAGGACAUUUGGAUAAAUUAUGGGCAACUUGGGUCAACGUGGUCCCAUUGAGAAAGCUACAAUAACAAAGCUACUUCUAUACAUUGAGAAAGUUUAUUUUAUUUAUUGUUUUCCAGCUACAAUCCAAAACAUUGUUAGAAAUCCUUUCAUUUCACAAUUCCCAUACAAAACAAAAGCUUGGCAGAUGAACAACAUCAUUAUUUCUUCAGGUUUGUUUUAUUAAUAAUCAAAUUGAUUUCAUUUCACACUUUGUUAUAUCAACAAGGGCAUUUAUAUUACUUGGCCAAUUGAUUGUUAGCCAACUUGAUUGAGACUUGUGCAUUUACCUCCAUAUAUCAUCAACUCCUCCUUUGUUUGAUCUCUUCUUGAUAAAUAGGUUGCUCAUCAAAAUUUUCUAAUGGCAAACCAAUGUCAGGAUAUAGUUAACUAUUUCAGAGAAAGUGAAAUGCAAAUUUUAACUAAUCAAAAUAGCUUUCCUUUGUUGUUUAAAGAGUGAUUUUCUUUGUAGUUGAUUUCUUAGUUUAAUUAGUCUUUAUUAAUAUAAUAUAUUUAUUUAAAUAUAUAAUAUAUUUCUUAGUUUAGUGAUUUUCUUUUUAUUAAAACAUUUAUUAUAAUAUAUAGCCCUGUUUAAAUUACCUAGACCCCAAUAAGUUAAAUUUUGAGGUAAUUAAAUUAUAGAAAAUUAUCCAAUAAACUGUCAUGGAAUUUAAAAACUUUAUCAACGGAAUUAGAAAGUUGUCCCAUAUUCUUUAGGAUAUAGUUGAAAAAUUAAUAAAUUAAUCUGAUAAAUAAAAGGACAUUUGCAGUUUCUGUAUAAAAGGCUUGGAGCAUUUGCUAGAACUUGAAAAAAGGAAGCAUGACAAGAUUGUAUCCAAAUUUGCCUAUAACUUCAAAUUCAGUUCAGCUUCACCAUCAAGAAAAGAAACUCUCAGUUCAGUUUGUAGUGUUUCAAAUGCAUGCAUGCUUGCGAAGUUCGUUUGGUAAUAUAUAGCACAAAAAGCAUUGUGAACCCAAAUACGAAACACAUGGAUCCCAUCUCUUUUUCUAACAACAGGCGUGGCAAGCGUGGGCGUACCAAUUCUAACAUUGGUUUUAGACCACUUUAUCAAAUUUCAAAGCCAUGUUGUAGUGCUUGUUUCCCCUGGCUUUCUUGGGAGAAUAUCAAGAUUAAGUGGUGCUGUAAAUCAAGGCCAUGUUAGGGAUGGCAGGGGACGGAUUUUAAUAGAGUAUUCGACGUGAUCAUACUCGAUUAAUGUAAUUUUUUAUAAUUAUAUUUGAAACAGAUUGGAGGAAUGCAGUUAAUUGGAUAUUGAACCUCGACAGUAGAUUAUGGAAAUGGUGGAAGACAUUUCAGCAGGUGGAUUCUUUAAAGGAGGUGAUAGGCGGUGUAUUAUUCUGUGAGUGCUGAUUUUUUGGCAAAGGAAGGUGCAAGGAAAGAGAGUUUUUAUUUGGUAGGAAUUCAUGGUGACAAAGUAAUAUGACUAUAUAGAUAUGGAGUGGGUCUUAGUCUUUAGAAUUAAGAUAGACAUGUAAUCUCUAUAUGCUUUUAUGGCAUCCGUCUUUGACCUUUAAGCUCAUGUGCCUAAAAUUCCACGGAAUAAUAAGUUAUUGUCAUUGCCUUGAGAUUCACCUUUAGAAUUCUGAUUCUUCUGAUGCAGCUUUGUUUAUCCUGCAGGGAGCCUUCAAAACCAAACAAAGUGAGACAUUAAGAACAAGAAUUAAUACUAAUUUUCGUUAACAAGUAGUAUAGGACAUAACAAAAAAUAAACAAAAAUCAGUAACAGAGCAAAUUGCAGAUUGUUAAAGACAUGAUAUAUGACUAUGUAACACAAGUCAGACAGAAAAGAGCUAAUAAGCAAAACAGGGUAUUCAUUCAUUAUAUAUGAACUUUCAGGAGCAAGACAGAGCUUCUAUUUUGAUCCAGCCAAAAUACAGACACUAACAAAGUCGGUGAAGUUUUUUUUUUUUUUUUGAGUUCAAAGAAAAUUGAAGUAGAAAUCAACUAUAAUUAAAAGGACGGGAAAUUAGAAAACAACAGACUUUCACUUAUCUUGUUUUGAAUGCACGCAGAUAAUUCUGCUUCUGAUAACAAAAACAGUAGUCGAACAUAGAAAGUAGAAACUCUCAAGGCAAAGACUUGUUUUCUUUGGAAUCCCUUGUUCAUUUUAUUGAUACUAUUUUUCUUAUUCACAUCCUUAGUGGAAGACAAGGGCCCCAACAUCUUUUGCCUUAUCAUUGACUAGUUCUCUCUCAGAGAAGUAAAAAAAGAGAAAAGGAUGGAGUCAAGGAGAUGCCCUGCUACGGGCCCUACUGUUUGGCUUUCCAGGAAGUGUUAUGGAAAGAGGAUGGGAAUCUAUCUUCUUGGUUUAGUUUAUUGUAUGCUUUGCUUUCAUGAUCUUAUCUUUUACUAUUUUAAAACUUUUUGAAUAUUAAAGUUAUGAAUGAAAUAAUUUUUACAAAUAAUUCUAAAUUUAUUAUAAGUAAAAAGUCAAGUAUGGUCCAACCAAGUAAUUACUUGAGCAAUAUGUAAACCUUUAUCAUGAAUAAGAAUAAUUUUAUACAGGUAAUAAUUUCAUGUCAAGUCAAGGUUCCAAUGCAGUAAACGGUAACUUGAUUAUCCAGCUGAUACAUUCUUUUAACAUCUCUACAUAUUUAUGGCUUUUGAAUUAUUGAUCUAAUACCAGAAAGAACAUCUAAGCCUAAUUGCUCUAAUCAAAACUAUUUGAACUAAUUUCCAAUAAAUAAAAGCAAGAGCUUCAAGGAAUAACCCGACCCAUCAAACUUUAUUUGGAUUCAAAAAUGAGACAGAAUUGAUCAGUGUAUUAAUAUAUUAUAAACAACUUUAAUAACCAAGGCUAAUGUGACAAAUUCUAUGCAAUAAUAGAGUUCACACAAUCUCUCCUUAGAAUUUUAUUCCUUUUCUUUAUCAAAAAAUCAUGCCUUGUCCUGGUCCCAGUAUCUGUCUCAUUAUUUAGUUGGGAGGGUAAAAGAAAAUAAAAUCCCCAUUUCUACCUUCCUUCUCGUCUUCCCCAUAGAACAGUGAUAGUGGGCCUACACUCUGAAAAAUUGUCUGUAAAUGUUGUUGGUUUUACCGUAUUCUCGAUCCCAUCUCCAUUGCAACGUAGUUAUAGGUAUAAAUGGCACCCAAACAAUGCUUUUCAUCCUUUUUGGCUAGUAGGACAUGGAACCACUAUUAUGAGCACUUUUGAAUUAUAGGUUUUUUUUUUCUAGUCUCUUUUUAUUUUCAUUUUUUUAUUCAAAUAGCAAUGGAGCCAAACAUCAUUUGCUUCACGGAAUUAUAGAUCUCACUUUUUCUUUUAUAAAAAAGCUUUAUUUAACGGGUAAUUAAUAUCUCAAUUCUAAAAUCUUAAAAUAUUAAAAUACGUUAUAUAUUUAGAUCGUUAUAUUAUAAAUUUUAACUACUAUCAAAAUUGAUUAUUAGAGGGAGACAAAUAAUUAAAUCCAUCGACUCAAUGAGAAAUUUCAAUUAAAAAAUGGCUAGUAUUGAGAAAAGCAAAGCUAAAAGGAAUUUUAAGAAAGUAUUGUCAAAUUUUUUUCUCCUCGUGAUUGGGAAAACUUUAUUUAACCACUAAUGGGAAAAAAAAUGGGGGAAGAAAUAGUUUUGGUCAAUCUUCGGCUAAUUGACUAUCUCUACCUCAAAGUAACAAAGAAACAUCAAUAUGGAAUCAAGACUCUUCUUGGCUCUUGCCUUGAAAGAAUUAAGUCUACCACAGAAACUGAAUUUAUCAAAGUAAAAGGGAAAUUUCCAGAACAUGCAAGUAAACAUAACUAUGUACUACUCAUUCAUACAAGUAGUUACAGGUGACUAACAUUACCGUACAAAAAAGAGUUUAACAUCGUAAAAGAGAAGCAAAGAUCAGCCAGCUGCAAAUCAACUAAUCACAGAGAAAACCAUGUACUCUUGGAAUACUAGAAUUUCACUCAAAAGUUAAGAACAUGUACCAAACAAGCAAAUGCAAUAAGAGUCGUAGAGUAAACUAGUUCUUCACCACUGCAAAAUAAAGCUGAAAGCAGAGACGGUGCCAUAAAGUAGACAGCUCAAAUGUUGUUAAGCACAAUCAAGUACCAACCACCUGUAUCAUUGAAGCAAAGAACCUGUCAUAAAUCAUAAGCCAUUAGACAAGCACCUUAUUUAAGAAAAGAAAUAAAAUUGGGUUGAAAAGCCAUAUCUACCUGGGUUAGUUAUCCUCUGCUUCGUCCACGUUCAAUAUAGAGGUAGUGUCUCUUCCUGAUAUCCACAAAGCCAAAAUACAUCGUUGCAGGCGGCCUGAUUAUCAACUAUUUCUUCCUUAGUGAUCAAACCCUCCCUUCUAUCAUUCUCAACUUGUUCGGGUGCCUUCAAAACAAAUUAACAAAAAACAAAUGGCAUAAAGCAGUAAAUCAAUACCGUUUUAAUUAUUUUCUUCUUAAGAUGCUAGGGAAGAAAAAGCCAACCUUUAUUAGUCUUUUUUUUUUCCUGAUCUGAGGAUGAGUCAAUUUGAAUCUUGCUUAUUGAGCAAAAAAUCAUACAUCAUUUAUUAAGUCAAAUGUGUGAGAAUAAUUAUUAAUUAAUUUAUUUUAGAAGAUAAUUAAUUUCACGUUUGAUUUUUAUGAAUAUAUACUAGAGUUUUUCAAAAAUAUUAAUAGAUAUUCCUUCCAUCCCAUUAUGGUUAUCUUUCAGAACAUUUUCGAUCAAACGAAUUCAACUUUAAUUAUUAUUUUCCAUAAUGUAUAUCUCAUCGUUAGUUCUAUCAAUAUCAUUGUCAAGAACGACUUAUUAAGCCUAACAAAAGAAAAAGCUGAGUGGGUACCUCUGUUAUGGCAUGCACAACACGUUUUGAAUCAAUGCUGAAGCUUGUACUCAACUUGGGGCAUUCUUUUACUUCAGCAUAAUGCAUACAGGGGAAUCGAAAAUGGUAACCCUGAGACAAACUCUUGAGGCUUGGCAGCUCUUUAAGAAGCAGUCCUUGCAAGUUAGGGAGCACUAUUCCCUUCUGAUCAUCUUCAACGUCUAAGUUAAAGACUCGCUCAAGUUUAGAGGCCCCAUCAAUUGAGAUGAUCUUGACUUUUGAAGGAGAACAGGUGAUACUAAGAGGAAAUAAGCUUUUCAAGUUGCUGCACUUAUAAAUUCUUAUAAUUUCAAGACUGGGGAAGGAUAUAGGUUGGAGAUGAGCCUGUGAUGAUGAUGCUGAAGUUUGAUCCAUUUCAAUGAUUUGUUCCAAUUCCUCACAAUGAUUUAUCUCCAAAUGGGUCAAAUGAGGCAAAUUUCGAACAAGCAUAGGAGAGAGGAGGUAUUUCAACCUAUUACACUUUGACACAUGUAACCAUCUAAGACAUUGAAGGCUUGCAACUUGGAUGGGACCCUGCAACUGAUGUAAAUGCUCUAGCUGUAUAUUCUCUACCCUUGAGAAGAAUUGUCCAGCUUGCAUUUGAAAUAUCUUCACACAAUUUCCAACAGUUAUAUAUUCCAAAUUUACUAAACUCCAUCUUGAUUGAGAAUUAAUUGUGUUGCACCCCUUGUCAUUUCCCAAGUCAGAGAGGUAUAAUUCCUGCAAAGAUAUUAAAAUAUCUUAAUUUCAUUAGAAAUUGAAUAAAUUACAAAGGUCCAACAUAUUGUUACAUAAAUAUUGAAAGAGAAAAGUGCCUUGAAUCCCAAAGAAAGUACACAUCACUCUAUGCAUCUAAUGCCUCAUAAAUCAAGCAAUUACUUUAAUAUUUGUUUGAUUAUAAGUUUACACUAUGAAACUUGAUUACAAAGGUCGAUUAACAUAUGACUUGAAGAGUACAAAAUCGAAAGCGAACCUUUUUUGUAUGAAAUGAGGGAAAUAGCAAUUUUUUCUGUAUAUCAAUCUGGAAAUAGCACCCAGUCGUGCUUAGUUCAGUAUAAGUGCAAACAAAGUGGGGAAGGUAUUUUUUUUGUUUACAGGUUCUUGGAUGGGGAGAUUUUGUACUGAUAUUAUAUCUAUUGCUACAUUUCAGGGGUGAUGUUCUGAUCGCCCAUAUUAAUGCAUAUUAACUUUCAGAUAAAAAAACGAAAAAAAUCAGAAUUAACUUCUAAACUAAUGUGCUAUUCUUUUUUUUGCUUUUAAUUCAUGAGUUUUGAUUUUUAUAUUCAUCAAAAAUAAAGAGUUUAAAAUUAUUUUAAUGGCAAUUUUAAGAUAUCGUUGAAUUAGUUUAUGAAGGUUGAAAAGAUUUGAGUCCAAAGCAAAAUCUGGAACCACAAUUGAGGGAAAAGAGUAUAAAAAAAGUACCUUUAGUUGAGCCUGCUGGUUAACUUCUUUUUGAAUGGUGAAAUUUGACAAUUUAAGACAAUUGAAAACUACCAACUUCUCCAAGGAAGGCGCUGCAAUGAGAAAAUUUUUCGAGCAAAAGCAACUCAAAUUUAUCAAGUUUCCAAGCCGGAGAUCUUGUAGGCAAGGGAGCACAAUGGCACGACCAACUCCAUUCUCUUCUUUUGUCACAUUGAACAGUUGUUGUAACUGAGGAGAAUUGCUUAUCCAAACGAAUUUCAACCGUGGAAGAACUUGAGCCAAUGGAGUUUGAAAAACAUAUUCCAAUUUUGGACAAUCACUUAUGGUAAGAGUUUCCAAUUUUGGCAAGAGCGGAGAAUAGGGAUGGUCUUCUGAUUCUAUUUCAUCAUCAAAUUCCAACUCAGUGAUAAUGUGUUGGAGUCCAUUGCAAUGAUCUAUCUUGAGUUGUUCAAGGAGCACCAAGCUUUGAGCAAGGAAUGGUGAGAAGAGAUAUUUCAAUCUAUUGCAAUAACUAAUUUCUACAAACAUCAAGCUUUGGAGGCUGACAAAAUGGGUGGACCCUUUCCAUAUCAACUUCAAUUCUGGUAAUGAGUGCAACUCCAUGAGUGCUAAAUUUGACAGCAGUGGUCCUUGAUUUUCUUUUGUAUCAUGUAGAAUCUCAUCUGUCUGAAAUACUUCUUGCAAUUGGCCACAAUUAAUAACUUUCACUUCCUUUAGAUUUUGUAGCAUAGGAGAUAAAGAGACCAUUUCCAUGCAAUUCGUUGCUUCCAACUUCUCUAGUUUUUGUAGAAAUCCCUUUGGAAUCAGACCGUUGCACAACAUUUUCAAACCAGUCAUUUCUUCUAUGACUAAUUCCACCAAAUUGAAGAAUGUAUUGGUUGAGACAUGGCCUUGUGUUGUAUCAAUCAAGCAUUCCAGCUCCUUGCCAUCUUUAAUUAGAAGAAAAGUUAAUUCAUUCAGUCCCUUUGGAUCCACACUUGGAACCAGAUUUUUCUGAUACAUGACUCCUUUCAGCGUAAGACUUUUGGCAUUGUAUAAUAAAUCCUUCAUGGCAUGCAAUCCAAGGUCCUGAUAAAUUCACAACAAAAUGCUUAGUCAGGCAGAUUUUGUGCUGGUAUCUACAUUACUACAGUGGUAUAACACCUCAAAAUCCUUUUAUACAUUUCAGGGGUGAUGUUCUGAUCACCCAUAUUGAUGCAUAUUAACUUUCAGAAAAUCAGAAUUAACAUGCUAAUUAAUAUGCAAUUCUUUUUCUCACAGCAAUUUUAAGAUACCAUCGGAUUAGUUUAUUAAUGUUGAAAUAUUUGAGUCAAAGGUAAAUUUUAGAGCCACAAUUGAAGGAAAAGAGUAUAAAAGAAGUACCUUUAGUUGAGCUUGCUCGUUAACUUCUUUUUGAAUGGUGAAAUUUGUCAAUUUAGGACAGUCCCAAAAUACUAAAUUCUCCAGGGAUGGCGAUGUGAUGAGAAAAUUUUCUGAGAAAAAGCAACUCAAGUUUAUCAAGUUUCCGAGUUGUAGCUGUUGUAGGCAAGGGAGUGCAAUGGCACGAUCAACUCCAUGCUUUUCUUUUGCCACAUUGAAGACUUGUUGCAAUUGAGGAGAAUCGCUUAUCGAAACGAAUUUCAAUCGUGGAGGAACUUGAGCCAAAGAAAUUUGAAAAACAUAUUCCAGUUUUGGACAAUUACUUAUGGUUAGAGUUUCCAAUUUUGGCAAGAAUGGAGAAUGGAGAUGGGCGUUUGGUUCGAUUCCAUCAUCACAGUCCAACUCGUUGAUAAUGUGCUGCAGUCCAUAGCAGUGAUAUAUAUUGAGAUGUUCAAGAAGCACCAAGCUUUGAGCAAGGGAUGGUGAGAAGAGAUAUUUCAAGCUGUUGCAAAAACUAAUUGCUAAAUACUUCAGGCUUUGGAGGCGAACAAAAUGGGUGGACCCUUUCCAUAUCCACUUCAAUUCUGGUAAUAAGUGUAGCUCCAUAAGUGCUAAAUUUGACAGCAGCGGUUCUUCUGCAUCAUGAAGAAGCUCAUCUAUUUGAAAUACUUCUUGCAACUGGCCACAAUUAAUAACUUUCACUUCCUUUAGAUCUUGUAGCGCGGGAGAUAAAGAGACCAUUUCCAUGCAAUUCGUUGCUUCCAACUUCUCUAGUUUUUGUAGAAAUCCCUUUGGAAACUGACCGUUGCACAACAUUUUCAAACCAGUCAUUUCUUCUAUUACUAAUUCCACCAAAUUGAAGAAUGUAUUGGUUGAGACAUGGCCUUGUGUUGUAUCAAUCAAGCAUUCCAGCUCCUUGCCAUCUUUAAGUGCAAGAAAAGUUAGUUCAUUCAGUCCCUUUGGAUCUACAUUUGGAACCAGAUUUUUCUGAUACAUGACUCUUGUCAGGGCAAGACUUUUGACAUUGUAUAAUAACUCCUUGACUGCAUUAAUUUCAAUGUCCUGAUACAUUCACAACAAAAUGAAAGAUAUGAGAAUAAUAUGAAUAAAAUUUAAAGAUCUGGGCCAAAAAAAAUAUCUUUUCCAAUGAAAGCUUAUUAAAGUCAAAAAAUAAACCAAAGCUUAGAGUAUCAAUAGUGUAUAUUACACUUACGAGUAGAUGUGAAUGUAGUAAAAAUUAUUGAUGGAAAAUAUGUUUUUUUAUGAGAUAAAUAAUCAAUUUAUAAUUACCAGAAGUAAAACUGAAACGAACACAAUGUUAAAGGAAUUACUUUCAACUGAUAUUGCCACGUAAGUCCUUGUUGAUUUUGGGAAUGACUCAUUACUUGGGGUCGGGCACCAACAUUGGAAGCUUCCAACCCUUUGAAAGAUGGCAACUUGACAAAACAGUUUCUUGGACAAAAGCUCCUCAAGUUUUCUAAGUCUUCAAGUCUUAAAAACUGUAAUUUAGGGAGCAUAAUAUCGUGCUUAUCCUCUUCUUUUGCCAUGUUGAAGACAUGCAUUAGUUGAGGGCAAUCAAUUAUCUGAACCGAUUCCAAGUACGGAAGUCCUUGAGCCAAAGUGAUNUCAAGUUUCCGAGUUGUAGCUGUUGUAGGCAAGGGAGUGCAAUGGCACGAUCAACUCCAUGCUUUUCUUUUGCCACAUUGAAGACUUGUUGCAAUUGAGGAGAAUCGCUUAUCGAAACGAAUUUCAAUCGUGGAGGAACUUGAGCCAAAGAAAUUUGAAAAACAUAUUCCAGUUUUGGACAAUUACUUAUGGUUAGAGUUUCCAAUUUUGGCAAGAAUGGAGAAUGGAGAUGGGCGUUUGGUUCGAUUCCAUCAUCACAGUCCAACUCGUUGAUAAUGUGCUGCAGUCCAUAGCAGUGAUAUAUAUUGAGAUGUUCAAGAAGCACCAAGCUUUGAGCAAGGGAUGGUGAGAAGAGAUAUUUCAAGCUGUUGCAAAAACUAAUUGCUAAAUACUUCAGGCUUUGGAGGCGAACAAAAUGGGUGGACCCUUUCCAUAUCCACUUCAAUUCUGGUAAUAAGUGUAGCUCCAUAAGUGCUAAAUUUGACAGCAGCGGUUCUUCUGCAUCAUGAAGAAGCUCAUCUAUUUGAAAUACUUCUUGCAACUGGCCACAAUUAAUAACUUUCACUUCCUUUAGAUCUUGUAGCGCGGGAGAUAAAGAGACCAUUUCCAUGCAAUUCGUUGCUUCCAACUUCUCUAGUUUUUGUAGAAAUCCCUUUGGAAACUGACCGUUGCACAACAUUUUCAUGCUAGUCAUAUCUUGUAUGACUAAUUCCAGCAAAUUGAAGAAGGCACUGGUUGAGACAUGGCCUUCUGUUGUAUCAAUCAAGCAUUCCAGCUCCUUGCCAUCUUUAAGUGCAAGAAAAGUUAGUUCAUUCAGUCCCUUUGGAUCUACAUUUGGAACCAGAUUUUUCUGAUACAUGACUCUUGUCAGGGCAAGACUUUUGACAUUGUAUAAUAACUCCUUUACUGCAUUAAUUUCAAUGUCCUGAUACAUUCACAACAAAAUGAAAGAUAUGAGAAUAAUAUGAAUAAAAUUUAAAGAUCUGGGCCAAAAAAAAUAUCUUUUCCAAUGAAAGCUUAUUAAAGUCAAAAAAUAAACCAAAGCUUAGAGUAUCAAUAGUGUAUAUUACACUUACGAGUAGAUGUGAAUGUAGUAAAAAUUAUUGAUGGAAAAUAUGUUUUUUUAUGAGAUAAAUAAUCAAUUUAUAAUUACCAGAAGUAAAACUGAAACGAACACAAUGUUAAAGGAAUUACUUUCAACUGAUAUUGCCACGUAAGUCCUUGUUGAUUUUGGGAAUGACUCAUUACUUGGGGUCGGGCACCAACAUUGGAAGCUUCCAACCCUUUGAAAGAUGGCAACUUGACAAAACAGUUUCUUGGACAAAAGCUCCUCAAGUUUUCUAAGUCUUCAAGUCUUAAAAACUGUAAUUUAGGGAGCAUAAUAUCGUGCUUAUCCUCUUCUUUUGCCAUGUUGAAGACAUGCAUUAGUUGAGGGCAAUCAAUUAUCUGAACUGAUUCCAAGUACGGAAGUCCUUGAGCCAAAGUGAUGGGAAACACAUAUCUCAAGCUUUUGCAACUAGCUAUCUCAAGAGAUUUUAAUUUUGGCCAGCACAGAAGAGAGCGUUCCUUGUUUGAAACUAUUUCAUCACCAUUUUCUGCUUCCAUGAUUAAAUGUUUCAAAGAGUUGCUUUCCAUUACCUUGAGUUCUUCCAGAUGCACCAAAGCUUGAGCAAGGGUAGGUGAAAAGAGAUAUUCCAAUUUAGAACACAAACCAAUUCUCAUAGUUUUAAGGCUCUGGAGGUUAACAAGACGAGUGGGUUCUCUCCAUAUGCACUUCAAUUCUGGUAAAGACUCCAACUCCAAACAAAUUAAAUUUGAGAGUGGCGGUGCCUGAUUUUCCUGGCAUAAAAAAUUUAUUAAUUAAUAAUUAUUUAAAUCUGAAUUAAUUGUACUUGUUCAGAAAAGUAUUUAAAUAUUAACGACAUAUAUUUUUAAAAAAUUUAAAAGAAAGUGUAAAAAGCCAUAAUUUACGAAGAUUAGAACACAUGAUUACUUAUAUAUUUGAUAAUUUAACAAAAAGAAAACAUAAUUAGAUAAAGAACAGAUGCUAGAAUUAUUAAAGGAAAAAUGGAGAGAUAAGAGGUACCUCCAGCUCAGCCAUAUCUUGGGCAGAAGCAAAGACUUGCUCUAAUUUCUUGCAUGCAGAUAUCUUGAGUUGUUCAAGAUGCAACAAACUUUGAGCAAGGUAAGUUGAGAAGAUAGAUUUCAGUUUAUCACAACCAUCAACUUUUACAUCUUUCAGACUUUGUAGGCUCACAUAAUGAGUUGGCUCUUUCCAUAUACUCUCCAAUGCCGGUAAUGACUGCAGCUCCAAGCUUCUUAAAUUUAAGAUUGACAGCAUCUGACCAUUCAUUUGAAACACUGAUUGCAGCUGUCCACAAUCGCAAAUGAUCAAUGUUUCUAAGUUUUGUAAGAAGCUAUUCGGUGAUUCACCAUGGCAUAACUCUUUCAAAGAAGUCAUUUUACCAAUGUCUAAGUUCACCAAAUUAGAGAAUGCAGUGGUUGGACUCUGUUCUCGUGUUGUAUCAAUCAAGCAUUCCAGAUCGUCACAAUAUGCAACCUCAAGAGAAGUCAAUUCAUUUAGUCCCCACUGAUCGUCACAAAAGCUCCUCAAGUUUUCUAAGUCUUCAAGUCUUAAAAACUGUAAUUUAGGUAGCAUAAUAUCGUGCUUAUCCUCUUCUUUUGCCAUGUUGAAGACAUGCAUUAGUUGAGGGCAAUCAAUUAUCUGAACUGAUUCCAAGUACGGAAGUCCAUGAGCCAAAGUGAUGGGAAACACAUAUCUCAAACUUUUGCAACGAACUAUCUCAAGAGAUUUUAAUUUUGGCCAGCACAGAAGAGAGCGAUCCUUGUUUGAAACUAUUUCAUCACCAUUUUCUGCUUUGAUGAUUAAAUGCUCCAAACAGUUGCUUUCCUUUAUCUUGAGUUCUUCCAGAUGCACCAAAGCUUGAGCAAGGGUAGGUGAAAAGAGAUACUCCAGUUUAGAACACGAGCAAAUUCUCAUAGUUUUAAGAUUUUGGAGGUUAACAAGAUGAGUGGGUUCUCUCCAUAUGCACCUCAAUUCUGGUAAGGACUCCAGCUCCAAACAAAAUAAAUUUGAGAGUGGUGGUGCCUGAUUUUCCUCAUAUAAAAAAAUAUUAUAAAUUAAUAAUUAUUUAAAUAUGAAUUCAUUGUACUUGUUCAAAGAAGUACUUAAAUAUUAGAGACAUACAUUUUUAAAAAAAUUAAAAGGAAGUGUAAAAAGCCAUAAUUUACAAAGAUUACAACUGAUGAUUACUUAUUUAUUUGAUAAUUUAACAAAAAAAAAACAUAAUUAGAUAAAGAACAAAUAAAAGAAUUAUUAAAGGAAAGAUGGAGAGAUAAGAGGUACCGCGAACUCGGCCAUAUCUUGGGCAAAAGCAAAUACUUGCUCUAAUUUCUUGCAUGCAGAUAUCUUGAGUUGUUCUAAAUGCAACAAACUUUGAGUAAGGCAAGGUGAGAAGAUAGAUUUCAGCUUAUCACAACCAUCAACUUUUACAUCCUUCAGACUUUGUAGGCUUAUAAGAUGAGUUGGCUCUUUCCAUAUAUUCUCCAAUGCUGGUAAUGAGUUUAGCUCCAUAAGUGUUAAAUUUGACAACAGCAAUCCUUGAUUUUCUUUCGUAUCAUGAAGAAACUCAUCUAUUUGAAAUACUUCUUGCAACUGGCCACAAUUAAUAACUUUCACUUCUUUUAGAUUUUGCAGCGCAGGAGAUAAAGAGACCAUUUCCAUGCAAUUCCUUGUUGUCAACUUCUCUAGUUUUUGUAGAAAGCCCUUUGGAAACUGACCGUUGCACAACAUUUUCAAACCAGUCAUUUCUUCUAUUACUAAUUCCACCAAAUUGAAGAAUGCAUUAGUUGAGACAUGGCCUAGGGUUGUAUCAAUCAAGCAUUCGAGCUCCUUGCCACCUUUAAGUGCAAGAAAAUUUAAGUCAAUAAGUCCCUUUGGAUCUACAUUUGGAACGAGACUUUUUUGAUACAUGACUCUAUUCAAGGUAAGAUUUUUGACAUUGUGUAAUAACUCCUUCAAUGCUUGCAAUUGAACGUCCUGAUAAAUUCACAACAAAAUGAAAGAUAUUAGAAAAAUAGAAAGGUAGAUAAUACUCCUUAAAUCAGAAUUGAAUUUUUUUCUAUGCAUCAAAUUUAAAAAUUGAGGCAAAAGAAAACUGUUUUAUCUUUUCAUUGAAAGCUCAUUAAAGUUGAAAAACAUACCAAAGCUUGGAAUAUUCUUAUCUGUAGAUAUUGAUUUACUAAAAGAAAGAUGUUUUUCUAUGAUCAGAUAAAUAAUCAAUUAAUAAUUAUCAAAAGUAAAAUUGAAACAAACGAAAAUAUAACAGAACUACCUUCAAUAGAGACCACGAGCAAAGACUUUCGUGAAUAUGGAAAUGAGCCAUUGAUUCGGGUGGGAGACCAAUAUUGCAAGCUUGGAAUUCCUUCAAAGAUGGCAACAUGACAAAAUAGUUUCUUGGACAAAAGCUCCUCAAGUUUUGUAAGUAUUCAAGUCUUAAAAACUGUAACCGAGGGAGCAGAAUAUCGUGCCCAUCCUCUUCUUUUGCCAUGUUGAAGACAUGCAUUAGUUGAGGGCAAUCAAUUAUCUGAACUGAUUCCAAGUGACGGAAGUCCAUGAGCCAAAGUGAUGGGAAACACAUAUCUCAAACUUUUGCAACUAGCUAUCUCAAAAGAUUUUAAUUUUGGCCAGCACAGGAGAGAGCGAUCCUUGUUUGAAACUAUUUCAUCACCAUUUUCUGCUUCCAUGAUUAAAUGUUUCAAGGAGUUGCUUUCCUUUAUCUCGAGUUCUUCCAGAUGCACCAAAGCUUGAGCAAGGGUAGGUGAAAAGAGAUAUUCCAAUUUAGAACAUGAACCAAUUCUCAUAGUUUUAAGGCUCUUGAGCUUAACAAGAUGGGUGGGUUCUCUCCAAAUGCAGCUCAAUUCUGGUAAAGACUCCAACUCCAAACAAAUUAAAUUUGAGAGUGGUGGUGCCUGAUUUUCCUGGCAUAAAAAAUUUAUUAAUUAAUAAUUAUUUAAAUCUAAAUUAAUUGUACUUGUUCAAAAAAGUACUUGAAUAUUAACGACAUACAUUUUUAAAAAAUUUAAAAGGAAGUGUAAAAAGCCAUAAUUUAUGAAGAUUAGAACACAUGAUUACUUAUAUAUUUGAUAAUUUAACAAAAAAAAAACGUAAUUAGAUAAAGAACAGAUGCUAGAAUUAUUAAAGGAAAAAUGGAGAGAUAAGAGGUACCUCCAGCUCAGCCAUAUCUUGGGCAAAAGCAAAGACUUGCUCUAAUUUCUUGCAUGCAGAUAUCUUGAGUUGUUCAAGAUGCAACAAGCUUUGAGCAAGGUAAGGUGAGAAGAUAGAUUUUAGUUUAUCACAACCAUCAACUUUUACAUCCUUCAGACUUUGUAGGUUCACACGUUGAGUUGGCUCUUUCCAUAUACUCUCCAAUGCCGGUAAUGACUGCAGCUCCAAGCUUCUUAAAUUUGAGAUUGACAGCAUCUGACCAUUCAUUUGAAACACUGAUUGCAGCUGUCCACAAUCGCAAAUGAUCAAUGUUUCUAAGUUUUGUAAGAAGCUAUUCGGUGAUUGACCAUUGCAUAACUCUUUCAAAGAAGUCAUUUUACCAAUGUCUAAGUUCACCAAAUUAGAGAAUGCAGUGGCUGGACUCUGUUCUCGUGUUGUAUCAAUCAAGCAUUCCAAAUCAUCGCAAGAUGUAAGCUGAAGAGAAGUUAAUUCAUUUAGUCCCCACUGAUCUACAUUUGGGACAACAGUUUUGUGUUCCAUGACUUUGAACAAAGUCAGCUUUUGCACAUUGGGAAACAGCUCCUUAAAUGCAUUUAAUGAUGAGCAAUCACUAAUUGUCAAUAUUCUCGAGAUACGCUUCUCCGGAAAUUCAAUAUAUGCAUUUACUGCUAUACUGUAGCUUUGUAGUUUAGGGAACACAAAGUUUUCUUGAAAACAUUGAUCAGUAGAAACAAUCAAUGUUAAUGUAGUCAAACGAGACAAUGAAUUCAACUCCAGUAAGUUAGCAUUGUUGUCUCUCGGCACGUGUAGCUCUUGGAGUGACGUUAACCUGUUACACACAAAUACGAAAUAUCAUUAAGGCUGUAAUAACACUUUCAGGCAAAUGAUAAAAAUGGCUAAGUAAUGAAAUGAAUAAGAUAACAUAAACUUUUUUUUUUUCAUGCUUAGAGAAAAUGUGUGCAUUCCAACCAAAAAAGGCAAGCUUCCAUGAACAAGAACAGAUCACCAAAAGUAUAGAAAGCAGUCCAAUCAUGAUAGUGCAGACCAAAUGGAGUAGCAUGAAUCCAGGAUAGUAAUCAAGCAUGACAAAUCAUCGAAGACAGAGGCCAUAGAAACAAGAGACCAACGUAUCAAACAGUCUCAUAAAAAUCCAACAAGGGAAAGGUGAAUAUAUUCGCACAAUCAGAUUGCCAGCGGGAAACAACAAAAUUAAAUACUUAACUAAAAACAACAAGAUAAACAGUUUUAAUGACAUUUAAGUAUUACCUUGAUAGCAAGUUAGGGGGGACAUUGAUGGGUCCAUCUCCAAAGCAAGAAAAAUAUAGUGACUUUAGUCUAUGCAAUUCCAAUAAUUCUUCAGGUAGCUCUUCAAAGUCAACACUACUCAAUUCUAAAAACUCAAGGUUUUUCAGAUUUCUCAAUGAUGAGAUAUCCUCUUGCAGGCCACACCUUACAAAGCUCAGAAUUCGAAGAUUUUUUAGGAAUUGAAAUGCUUCCAUGGAGAAUACAUGACGUUCAAGAAAUAAAAUUUGGAGGGCUUUCAUUCCUUCAAAAAAUGUACUCGGGACUAUUUGGUAGUCCCUUCCUGAUAAAAUCAAGGUCUUGAGUUUUGAAAAUUCUAAUCUCUCAGGAAAAUUAUCUAUCUUACUAUUCCAUAAGGAGAUUGCUGUAUAACAAUCAAAAUUUUCACUGUUAGGCCAUUCCGUCAACUCAUUUUUUACCAUGAACAUUUUUUCCCCUGUGGAUGUUAUCCAAUGAGCAAAAUCACGAACCACAUCAUGCAUUUUUACAGAUUCUUCAUCAUCAGUUUGCAAUAACAAACCAGACUUUUGGAGUUUGGAUAGUGCUAGACGAAUUUCCCUCCUUAAGUCUUCAAUUAAGUUAAUAUUACCAAACAAUCCCAGACCAAUGCCGAAUACAGUCAACAACGCAACACUAAUCUCUUCAUCUUCUAGAAAAAGAGAACACAACAAGAAACAUGACUGGAUAUUAUCUUCCUUCAAAUAAUCAUAAUUACCUUCCUUCAAAUAAUCAUAACUAAGCUUAAGGCAUUUAUAAAUACCUCCGCAAACAUGUUGAUUAUCCAAAUGUCUUGACUCCUUAAGUCGUAGAUUUGCUGCUAUCCACCCAUCAAGACUUUCACCUUUUAGAGCUUUCGCCAUAGUUACAAUUGCAAGAGGCAAACCCUUGCCUUCAAGAGCAACCUCCUUGGCUACCUUCAAGGUGGGAGAGUUAUCUUUUAGACCAGCGCUAUCUUUGAAUAAAGCCCAUGCUUCAUCGUCAGAUAAGAUUUUGAGGAGAACUUCCCUUUGACAAUGCAUUCGAGUGCAAACUUCUUGAAGACGCGUGGUUAAAAAAAUUUUGCAACCCUUGUGAUCAUCACCGAAUGGAAUUCCAAUAAUCUUCAAGUCAAGUUCUUCCCAAACAUCAUCGAGGAUUAUAAGGAUGCUCUUCUCGUCUUUGAUUCUCAACCACAAUUGUUCUGCUCUUCCUUCUGGUGUCUUCUUUUGAAAAUCUAAAUCUAGGAAGUCUGCAAUUUUAUCUUGAAUAUUGUUGAUGUUUGGAUUUUGGGACACGGUUACAACCUCAACUUUAUCGAAGAGUUGUUUGGCUUGGUUUCCCACUUCUUUUGCCAAAGUGGUUUUACCCACACCUCCCAUCCCAUAUAGUCCAAUCAUGUUCACAUCACCAUUAUUCAGAGCCUCCAUGAUCUCUUUGAAAGCAGAAUUUGAAGAUUCAGAAGACAUGAAAUCCUUAGAUGGAAUGAACUCUAAUCCUGGAAGAGUAGCUCGGUAACCUACUCGUUCAAAAUUAGAAUUCUCUAAAAGUUGAGAGAUACAAAGUGUCUUCUUAGCUACUUUGAUGCUUAAGCAGUAUCGCCAGCCCCAACUAGGACACCAAUUGAAACACUUGUUACGUUCAAUUUCAUCUUCCAAACUCUGAGCUUCUCCCAAUUUUUUCUCUGCCCUUGUUAGCCACUCCUCAACAUCCUUCUCAAUUACCUGAGUUUGCUUUUUUGCCUCAGCGACAUCAUUUUCCACUCGAAUUUUUCUCAAUUCAAGUUGGUUUCGUCGAUUCUUGAAAUCUUCAACAAUUUUGCCAAAACGGAAAAAAUAACUGAGAUAAGGUGAUGCGUAUUCUGUUGCCAGGUUCCCCAUGGUAUUGCUUGCAACAGCGAUGCCAAGUUCAGCCAUUCUUUGAUGAUCUGAUAGUGAAGAGCAAUUUCUAUGAGUAAAAAUUUUACAUAGAGACAAAAACAAUUAGGAAAUGUUUGGAAUGUAUCUUACCCUGGCAACAAUACUUUUUUGAAAUAUGUGAAUCACAAUAGAACAAUUGUCGAUCAACCAACUUGAAAAUUGAGAAUGCUGCACAAGCAGAAAUUAUUCACUGGUCACCAACUCCGGAGAUCAGGAAAGAAAAAUUCAGGAGCAGUCGAAAGCAAAAAAUAGAGUAAGGGUAAUUAAAGAAAUAGAGCAAAGAAAUAGUCUAGAGUUGCAUGGUUUUCUUCUUUUAAGAUAGGAAGCAGAGAAAUCAAAAUACUAAAGCUAGCAGCUAUGGGCUUUUUUUUUUUUUUUUGACCUUUGUGGAGCCAAGGAAAGGAAAAGUAGGAAUCAGAGAACAGAUUUAAUCAAAAUACCGAGGAAAUAUAUAAGAAUUUUCAGGAGCCAAGAUCAAGGGACUGACAAAGUCGGUGAAGUUUCUUUGAGUUCAAAGAUAACUGAAGGCCAAGGAAUUAAUGCAUACAAAUAAUUCUGCUUUUCAUAGCAAAAACAGUCCUUAAAUAUACAAAGUAGGAACUCUGAGGCAGGAGGAUUUUUUUUUUCUUUUACAUGUUAGAGUAAAAGCAUAAUAUUAUCAUUCUAUAAAAUAAUCUCUUAACAUUCAAAAUAUCUAUAUAUUUAGUUUUUUCUCAAUAACUACAGCUUUUAUUUGACAAUGUUGUAAUUUGGAAAUAGAAAAUAUCUAGUCAAAUGUAAGACCAAAUAAAUAAAUCAUAGAAGAGAAAGAUGAACAUUUACAUACCAAGGAAAGCUAUAGAUGAAGUUUCAGGAGCAAGACAGAGCAGCUUCUAUUUUGAUCCACGCAAUCUCACAAAGUCGGUGAAGUUCGUUUUUUAUCUUUUUAAGUUCAGAAAAAACUGGAGUAGAAAUAAACUUUGCACUGCAAUGAUCAGAAGGCCAGCGAAUUAAAAAAAUAUUAGACUUUCACUUAUCUUCUGUUUAAUGCAUAUAGAUAAUUCUAUUUCUGACAGAGCAAAACAGAAAAAGCAAAGUAAACAGAGCAACUCAGAUGUUAAGAAUAUAGAAAGUAGAAACUCUUAAGCCAAGAGGAAUUUUUUUUCUUUCCCUAAAACAAAGAGAUGAGCUUAUGUAAGCAAAUUAAUAUACUGUAAAAGGUGCUGAAAUCCUUUCUUGAAACUUACCUCUCUAUUCUCACCACUUGAAUGUGAAAGGGUAAGAGACACACAAAGUUUCUAGCUCUCUGCUUCACACAAAUGCCAUGGGUGUAGUUUAACUGUAGAAAAACAAAACAGUUAAUUUGGACAUAGAAGAUAAUUAAGUGCCGAUUUUGCAUGUAAAGUUUGCAGAUGUAUACUCAAUUGCAAAAACCAAGACAAAAAUAAGCCAUGGAAGAAAAUGAUGCAUAUAUAUACCAAGGAAAGAUGAAGUUUCACGAGCCAAGGCCAAGCUUUUCAUAAGUGAUCGAAGAAAACUCAAGUAGAAAUCAAGUUUGUACUGCAAUAACCAGAAGCCCACUAGCAAAGGGAAUUAAGAAACAACAAAUAUCUGUCAAUCUAAGAUGAAAAGAAUAACUUAAUUUGACAAUAGAAAAUACGUGUCAAUGCAUCUAAACUUUCAAAUAUCUAAACUCAAAUGUAAAGCCAAGACAAAUAAACCACAGAAGAAGAGGAUGAACAUUUACAUACCAAAGGAAAUAUACAUGAACUUUGAGGAGUCCGGACAGAGCUUCUAUUUUGAUCCAGCCAAAAUGUAUUACAGACACUGACAAAGUCGGUGAAGUUUUUUUUUUUUUUGAGUUCGAAGAAAACUGAAGAAGAUAUAAUAAACUUUGCACUGCAACGAUCAGAAGGCCAGGAAAUUAAAAAAACAAAAAGACUUUCACUUAUCUUCUUUAGAAUGCAUGCAGAUUAUAAUUCUCCUUCUGAAUACAAAAACAGUAGUUGAACAUAGAAAGUAGAAACUCUCAAGGCAAAGACUUGUUUUCUUUGGAAUCUCUUUUUCUUUUUAUUGUUACUAUUUUUUUCUUGCUCAAAUGCUUAGUGGAAGACAAGGUCCCCAAUGUCUUUUGCCUAAUCAUUGACUAGUUCUCUCUCAGACAGAUAAGAAAAGAACAAAGAAAAAAAAAAGAAAAGGAUGGAGUCAUGGAGAUGCUCUGCUAAGGACCCUGCUGUUUGGCUUUCCAGGAAGUGUUAUGGAAAGAGGAUGGAAAUCUAUCUUCUUGGUUUAGUUUCUUCUAUGCUUUGCUUUCAUGAUCUUAUCUUUUACUAUUUUGUAAGCUUUUUGAAUAUUAAAAGUUAUGAAUAAAAUAAUUUUUACAAAUAAUUCUAAAUUUGUUAUAAGUAAAAAGUCAAGUAUUGUCCAACCAAGUAAUUACUUGAGCAAUAUGUAAACCUUUAUCAUGAGUAAGAAUAAUUUUAUACAUGUAUUUAUGUCAUGUCAAGGUUCCGACGCAGUAAACAGUAGCUUGAUUAUCCAGCUGAUACAUUCUUUUAACAUCUCUACAUAUAUUUAUGGUCUUUGCCUCAAGACAUAAAGAAAUUAGUGGAGAGUAAUUGACAUAAGUGGCCAUUUUUUAUUGAAUUCAAGGAAAAUGACUUCACAACUUCUAUCAUGACUUUGCAUUGAGUUAUGCUAAUGAAGCACAGUUUUCUCUAUACCAAAUUUACCAUGAUUUCGAAAGCAAGUUCACACCUUCAAUUCAGUUUUUCCUUUUGGUCUUACGGAUUGGAGAAGAAAACUGAUCUAUCAAGAGUUGUCUCUUUUUCUUUAUCAGUAUUUUCUUGAUGAUAUGAUUUUUCGUUGUCAUUUCCUGUCUUCUUGUUGCGUACCCUUCUAUUUUGCUUCAAACAAUUUUUUUUUUUCAUUUUCUCAUUAAUUAAGAAGAUAAAGAUUACCAAUGGGACAUAGACAUCAUUUCUAUCAAACCUUUUGAAUUAUUGAUCUAAUCCCUUUAUUAUUGCGUUUUAGAUUUUUGUCAUUUUGCAAUCAUUUUUCCCUUGGAGGUCCAUUUAUUUCUGACUUUCUUGCUUGGUAGGUUUAAUGGCUUUCAUGGAAAAAUACUUGCCCUAUUUUUUUUUUUUUGGGAUCAAAUUCUGUGUUUAAGGGAUUGAAGCUUUACACUUCGUUUAACACAAGGAAAAAUGGCGAAAUACAUCAAACGAUUCACACAGUGCAAGGAUCAUGUUUUGCAUGGAGAGAAGUAGAGGGUCAAGGUACAUCUCUUUAUAUUUAUGGUCUUUGCCUCAAGACAUAAAGAAAUUUGUGGAGAGUAAGACAACUGGCGAGUUUUUAUUGAAUUCAAGGAAAGUGACUUCACAACUUCUAUCAUGACUUUGGAUUGACUUAUGCUAAUGAAGCAUAGUUUUCUCUAAACCAAAUCUAUCAUGAUUUUAAAAGCAAGUUCACACCUUCAAUUCAAUUUUUCUUUUUGGUCUUACGUCUCUUUUUCUUAAUCAGUAUUUUCUUGGUUAUAUGCAUUUUCGCUGCCAUUUCCUGUCUUCUUUUUGCUUAUCCUUCUAUUUUGCUUCAAACAAUAAUUUUUUUUCAUUUCUCAUUAAUUAAGAAGAUAAAGAUUACCAAUGGGACAUAGACAACAUUACUAUCAAAGCUUUUCAAUUAUUGAUCUGAUCCCUUUAUUAUUGUCUUUUAGAUUUUUGUCAUUUUGCAAUCAUUUUUCCCUUGGAGGUCCAUCUAUUUCUGACUUUCUUCCUAGGUCGGUUCAAUGGCUUUCAUGGAAAAAUACUUGCACUUUUUAUUUUAUUUUUUGGACUAAAUUCUGUGUUUAAGGGAUUGAAGUUUUACACUUUGUUGAACACAAGAAAAAAUGGCGAAACACAUUAAAUGAUUCAUAUAGUGCAAGGAUCAUGUUUUGCUUGGAGAGAAGUAGAGGGUCAAGGUACAUCUCUAUUUUUUGAACCAUCAUUUACAGAUACUUAGGAACGUUUUCCUCCAAGGCUGGUAAUCUAAUACAAGAAAGAAGAUCAUCUAAGCCUAAUUUGUUCUAAUCAAAACUAUUUUGAAUUAAUUUCCACUAAAAAAAUUAAGAGCUUCAAGGAAUAACCCGACCUAUCAAACUUGAUUUAAAUUCAAAAAUGGUAUAGAAUUGAUCAGUGUAUUAAUAUGUUAUAAAUUGUUAUGAAAAUUACUCAAAAACAAUAAAGAUAAAAUUCAGCAAAAUCAAGCAAACAUAAAAAUAUAAAAAUUUACAUGAUUCGACUUGUUGUCUACGUCUAUGGAGUAAAACUGUAAAACCAAGACAAAUAAACCAUAGAAGAAGAGGAUGCAAAUCAAAAGAAAUAUACAUGAACUUUUGAGGAGCUUCUAUUUUGAUCCAGCCAAAAUAUAUUACAGACAUGCACUGACAAAGUCGGUGAAGUUUUUUUUUUUUUUUUGAGUUCGAAGAAAACUGAAGUAGAUAUAAUAAACUUUGCACUGCAACGAUCAGAAGGCCAGGAAAUUAAAAAAACAAAAAGACUUUCACUUAUCUUCUUUAGAAUGCAUGCAGAUUAUAAUUCUGCUUCUGAUAACAAAAACAGUAGUAAUAUAUAGAAAUUAGAAACUCUUAAGGCAAAGACCUGUUUUCUUUGGAAUCUCUUCUUCUUUUUAUUGUUAGUAUCUUUUUCUUGCUCAAAUGGUUAGUGAAAGACAAGGGCCCCAAUGUCUUUUGCCUAAUCAUUGACUAGUUCUCUCUCAGACAUAUUAGAAAAGAAAGAAAGAAAAGGAUGGAAUCAUGGAGAUGCUCUGCUGGUUGGCUUUCCAUGAAGUGGCAUGGAAAGAGCAUGGGACUUGCGAGGAUGUUAAUGUAUAGAAAAUUUUUGAAAUUCUGCUUCAAAUGUCUUUGAAUGAAAAACAUAAACUUAGUGUUAUUUAUGAUUCUUUUGUAAUUAAGUAAUACUUGGUAAAUUCUCCUCUAAUAAUGAGUAAUGACCUACUUUUCAAAGCUUUUUUUGAACUUGUUGCCUGCCUAAAUCUUUUAAGUUGGACAUAGAAAAUAAUUAAUUUAGUGCCAAUCUUGGGUGUACGACAAUCACAGAGCCAUAGAAGAAAACCAAGAAAUGAUGUAUACUCAAAUGCAAAAACCAAGAGCCAUAGAAGAAAAUGAUGCACAUAGAUGGUUGAGUUUUAAGUUGACUAGAAUUGUAGAUCUUAUUUGAUUAGGAUUCUUGUUUGUGUACAACAUUGAGUAGUUGUAUGGUUUUAAACUUCUUAUUCCACAUUGAGUCAUAAUCACAUUCUACUUUGGACUUUUAUACUAUAAAAGUGGAUAUUUAGGUUUUAGAAUUGCAAGUAGUGCUUUGAGAGCUUUAGAGAGGGAACACCUUGUAACUCUGUUUUUUACUCUAGGUGGAGCUAGAGUGGUUUGGGUGAGUGUUCUUAGGAGGUUAUUGAGAAAAAGUGUGCAAGGGAUCUCGGGUUGGUUUGGGGAACCAUAAAGGUCAAUUUAUUGUACUUUAAUUUCUCAAUAAUAGAAAGAACAGUUUCAAUCCAUGGACGUAGGUAAGAGACCAAAUCACGUAAAUUCUUGUGUUUUUCUGUUUGCUUAAUUUCUCUAGGUUUUAUCUUUGUUGUUUCUUAGGCAAUUUCCACAACAAACUAGUAUCAGAGCUUCGAGUUCAAUAAAUUCAAGAUUUAAUAAAGAUGUCGAAAGUUACUAGUUCUACAAAUUUUUCAAUUGAGAAGUUUAAUGGGAAGACUAGUUUCACGCAGUGGCAGAGAAGGAUGAAAGACCUCCUUGUGCAGCAAGGUUUAAUGCGCCCCUUGCUAGGAAAAGAGGAAAGGCAACCAAAUGACAUGAAGGAUGUUGAAUGGGCAGAGUUGGAGCAAAGGUGUGUAAGCACUAUUCGACUUUGCAUUGGAGAUAACGUGUUUAACCAUGUUAUUGAUGAGGAUUCUGCUCCAAGGUUAUGGGCAAAGUUAAAGAAGAUUUACUUGGCGAAAAGUCUUUCCAACAAGUUGCAGCUUAGGUGAAAGUUGUAUCGCUUAAAGAUGGAGGAGAAUAGAGACCUCAUGAAGCAUAUGAACGAAUUCAAUGGGAUCAUUGAUCAGUUGAAGAAGGUUGAUGUGAAGGUGGAGGAAAAGGAAAAGGCACUGUUGUUCCUAGCUUCGCUUCCAGACUCCUUUGAGGUACUUGUGGAAUCUCUAAUAUGUGGGAUAGAUACAAUAACGUUAGAAUAAGCACAAGCAACGUUAAUGUCUCGUGAAGCCCGAAAGAAAAGUAAAGAAGGGGAUAGAGAUCCAAGUGGCUUGGCAUUGGUAACUGAGGUUUAUAGGAGGAAGUCAACCGGUAAGGGAUUUAAGGGUGGCAAGUCUAGAUCCAACAAUGUUCAGUGCUUUCAAUGCAAAGGGUAUGGACAUAUUAAAAUGGAUUAUCCUACAAAAAAGGAUGAAAGUAAUGAGAACAAAGGUGAGUGUGCUUUCAUUGCUGAAGGUGAUGAUUGUGAUGUCCUUACAAUUUCGAAAAAUAUGGAUGCAAAUUCUGAUUGGUAUUUAGAUUCUGCUUCUACUACUCACAUAUGUUAUCAAAAAGAUUGUUUUGAUUUACUUCAAGAAGGGGUGGCUGGGAAUUUGAGUUUGGGUAAUAAGUCAAUAGUGAAGGUCAUGGGUCUUGGAGUGGUGAAAAUCAAAAUGUUUGAUAGGGUUGUGUGCUCUUUGGGUGGUGUGGCCUAUGUCCCAGAGAUGCGUAAGAAUCUAAUAUCAUUGAGCCUGUUAAACUCUAAAGGGUAUGGAUAUUCUGCUUGUGAUGGAGUGGUAAAAGUCACAUAAAGCAACAUGGUCCUAAUGAGGGGGAAUUUGCAUAAUGGCUUAUAUUGUCUAAAAUGUGAGGCCUUGAAGGGAUGAGAAUAGUGCACAGGAGAUGGUAGCUACCAAAGUGAGAUUUCAUUUGCUGAGGAGUUGAUGAAAGGUUCCCAUGGUGUAGACGAUGGUGAAAGGAUGAAAAAUCUUGCCAAUAGUGAAUUAGGAGGGUCGUCGAGGUCCCUUUCCGAAGUCAAUUAGUGCCAUUGACUUGACUGCUACACAUGUGCAUUGGCUGUUUUGUGGAAUCGAGUGUUGGACCAUGUUUGAUUCGAUAUGUGUAGUCGUGGUAAUUAUAAAGGCCAAUGAUUUGGAAAGUCUUAUGCUUGGAGAGUUGUUCAAGGUGUUGGAAAGUAGGUGGAGUUAGGAAAUUGCAAAUAGGUGCAACUGGUGGAAGAAGUUUAAGGAGUUUGAAUUCAAGUCAAAGGUGGAGAUUUGUUGAGUUUUAGAUUGACUAGAAUUCUAGAUCUUAUUUGAUUAGGAUUCUUGUUUGUAUACAACAUCGAGUAGUUGUUUGGUUUUAAACUUCUUAUUCAACAUUGAGUACUAAUCACAUUCUACUUUGGACUUUUAUACUAUAAAAGUGGAUAUUUAGGUUUUAGAAUUGCAAGUAGUGCUUUGAGAGUUCUAGAGAGAGAACACUUUGUAACUUUGUCUUUUACUCUAGGUGGAGUUAGAGUGGUUUGAGUGAGUGUUCUUGGGAGGUUAUUGAGAAAGAGUGUGCAAGGGAUCUCGGGUUGGUUUGGGGAACCAUAAAGGUCAAUUUAUUGUACUUUAAUUUCUCAAUAAUAGAAAGAACAGUUUCACUCCGUGGACGUAGGUAAGAAGUCGAACCACGUAAAUUUUUUUAUUUUUCUGUUUGCUUAAUUUCUUUAGGUUUUAUCUUUAUUGUUUCUUGGGUAAUUUUCAUAACAUAUAUUUUGGCUGAAUUACGAUAAUCAAAGAAACAAGUGGAAAUCAAGUUUGCACUACAAUAAUCAGAAACCCGCUAGCAGAGGGAAUUAAGAAACAUCGAUUUAUUCUUCUUCGUCCAGCGGAAACACUUCAAUACAAGAGAGAAAAUUUUGAAUAAAUGAUGUGAUCGUUCUAUCAUUGUCCUUUCUAUUUUUGUCAUUUUGCAAUCAUUUUUCCCUUGACGUCCAUUUAUUUCUCACCGACUUGUUUCCUCUGUUUAAUGGCUUUCAUGGAAAAAUACUUUACCAUAUAUGGUACAAGGGAAGAGAGAUUCCCGGAGCUUUCAUAUAGAUUUUUGUUCCCUUUAUUUACUCCAACUCCCCCUUUACUUACUCCUUAUUGAUGAAAAGGCGAGACAGACUCACAGCUUUUGUCACGACCCGGAACUCCCAUCGGGCCCGUGACAACCGCCGCGACGUUUAGAUAGGCACUCAUUAUCCCGAAUGCCGAUUGGAACCCCGCAAGGCUUAGCAUCAGCUUCAGCAUCUCCCCGGUGAGCGACAGUUAUUAAAUCUUGCAUUUAAAAAAAAUCAUAAGUCGUUUCCAAAUCAAAACAAUAAAAUAUUAUUUUUUGGCUCAUAGGGAUAUUUUUGUCAUUUUUCUUCGAUAAUACCGAAACUCGCAAAAAACAUGGUGUAAAAGCUUAAUAUGUUCAUACAUAUUUUAAAUCAAAUAACUAAAGUAUAAAAUUACUUUUACAAUGACACGUGGACCCCUAACUAACCAAUAAGAUGCGAGUCUGUGAACCUAUAAUUUUGACAAUGCAAGGCUAACUGAAGUCCUUGAUGUAAUCGGCUAUCUACCGGCUAUCCCGAACCUGAAAUGUGGGGAAUUGAGGGUGGUGAGAUUAUAAAAUCCUAGUGAGUAAACAUACACUAUCUAAACUAUCGAAAGGCAAGUAAAUGGAGACAAUUAAAAAAUAAUUAACUUCAGCAAAUUUUUCACAUCACGAAUAUUCAUUUCAACCAAAUAAUCAAUAUGGCUCGUGAAUUACUCAAAACUUAGCUCAUGCCAAAUCUUGUACUCGAUGACACCUAGACCAGGGGUAUCUAACCGAGCCCUCCAAGGUUGUUAAAAAUUCAUAUUUCGCAUAAAUCAUAUUUUUAUUUUGAAACAUAGCCAUUCCUUGGCGUUGGCUGAGUCUCACUCUCACGCGGUGGUCCACGUUAAGUGCACUCAAAAAGCCCACCUCAGGAGAUACUCUACGCGCCUCUACGACUGAUGUGAGAAUAUAAAGGAGUUUACCGUGCCCCUCUAAUAGGCUGGCCCACGGAUCCCCCCACCACUGCAGUAGCUAAUCUUUUUAUCUACCACCUGAUUUAUAAAAUCUUUUUCUGCAUGACAUGGCAAUUUGUCGCAACCUAGCCUCUCAAGGCUAAAUACACAGUACAAAUAAUUCUAACACCAAAAUCAGUUUAGCCAUUCAUGCUCAUUUAUUGUCAUAAGCCAUUCAAUUUAAAACCAUAAAUUUACAACACAAGUAGGCAGUCUCCAAUUACUCUAUUUUCAAAACCAGUAUUCGAUUUUUUAGAAAAUUUAUAAAAUCAUUUUAUAAAAUCACAAUUUCUCUUAAAACAUAGCAAUUUACUAUUUAAACCCAUUUUCCAUAAAAUCGCACAAUUGUAUAAAACUACUCUAGAUAAUUAAGACGAUAAUAAGUUUACUCACAUUUUUCGAAAAUUAAAUUCGGGUACUCCAACUAUUACUCCUCGAGUGCGAUUUCUUUGCCCUUGCUAGAGGAUUCGCCACCUUGACAAAUUGUACAAUUAAGAGGUUUACUACUUUGAUACUAAACCAAAAUAAACUAAUUUAUACUACUAAUGCAUGAUAUGAAGUGCAAAAUGUCUAAAUUUUACCUAAACAAGAUGUUAGCCUAUUUCGGUCUUUUACCCGAUAAAUCGAUAUACGCAUCCGUUUAAACUCCAAAUUAAUUUUUUUUAAUUUCUAUACCUCAAUUCCACCCAAAUUGACUUAAUGUUCCUCAGUGUGGUGCAAAUUAACAGUCUUGAUAGCAAAUUACGAAAAUACCCCUAGUGGGUAAAAAUUCAUAUUUUUACUCCGAAAAUUCCCAUUAUUUUUCUAGGCUCAUAAUUCAUCAUUAUUUAUUAUAAUUCCUCAAAUAAACAUCAAGAUCAGCAGCCAAUAUUCUCCUAUAAAAUUCAGCAUAAUGGGUUUCAAUGGGAGAAAAUUAUUUCUCUAGCUUAUUUUUGCUAUAUUUCAAUUUAACCUAACUAAAAUCACUUAAUUCAAUUAAAAUCAACCAAAACUCAAGUUCAAAACUCAUACAUGGAGGUUUGGCCAGCAUGGGUGUCCAUACCCACUUUCUAAUUUUGCAUGGAAAUGAGAAAAAAAUGCAUGGGUAGUGAAAAUCACAAGGAAAAUCAAUGAAAUUUACCUUUUUAAUGCUUGAUUUCUUGAUUUCUCUUGAUUUUCCCCAAAUUUUUUGGUAGGGUUCUUAUUUGUUUUUUUCCCCCUUUUCUCCCCUGGUUUGGACAGCUGAAGAAGAUGAGAAUUCUGGAAUUUUUACCUUUUUAAAGGCUAAAAUAAUAUAAUAUUAUUUUAUUCAUUUUUUUAAUGUUUUAUUAAUUCCUUAAAUUCCAGCCAUCCAUUUAUUUCCAAAUUUCACCAUACACUUGUCCCACCAUAUCCAUAGCUUAGAUAAAAUUCUCAGACUUAUCCAAUCAGAUUCGAAAAAUGAGAAAGAAAGAAAAAGUGUGGAGUAAUUUUUGAAAUUUACACUUUUGCCCUCGUAAAAGUCAAAAAUUACAUUUUUACCCCAAAAACUGAAAAAUUGCCCAUAGACAUAUUUUUCAUCCCUUAUACUCAUACCAUUCUCCAAUUUGUCAAAUGUGAUCUAAAUUCUCUCAAAAUCUCAAAUUUUGUCCGCGAGUGAAAAAAUUACGAUUUUGCCCAUACACUCCAGAAAUAACCGAAAUUAAACUUUUUCACUGCCAAACCCUCAGAUUAUACUCCAAUACUCAAAUCAUACUCCAAUAAGUUAAAUGUGGCCAAAAAAAUCUUUUCUCAAAAUUCUCAUUUUAUCCCCAGGUGGCAAAUGACCAUUUUGCCCCUAGAUAGUGAAAAUUUCAGUUUGACUCCAAAUUGAUCCUCGAACUCCGAAUUACCAUUUUGAGUCAUCCCUGAACUGUGAAACUCUUAAUUUCACCUCAAAAUUCCUAUUUGAACUAGUUCGAGGCUUAAUCGACUUAAUGGUACCAUAAGGGGUAAUAUCGUCUUUUAACGAUUUCUCGAACUUCCUAAACAUGCAAACAUUCUAUUGAGUAUAUAAAUAACGUCGUAAUUAUUUUAUAGAACAGGGUUUGACAGCUUUUUCUGUGUCAUUGAUGCUUAGUUAGAAUGACUAAUCGACGGCUUCCAAUUAUGUUGCUAUUUUCGUAAUUUUUUGAUCUACCUGGUUGGUUUAAUGGAUUUCAUGUUAAAACACUUGCACUAUUUAUUUUAUUGUUGAGCUAACUUUUGUGAUCAAAUUAUGCACCCAAUGGAUUUAAAAAUAUUAUUUGAUGAAUGUACAAAAAUAGGUAGCAAUGAACAUAUAGCAUGUUAGUACUGACUAUUGAGAUUGUAAUCGAUUAUUGUGAUAAAAUAUUAUGACUGAAAACAAACGGAUAACAAUCUGAAAUGCCUGUAGGAACCUGCUGAAAUGCAUACCUAGCUUUUUGACCACGCUUGUCAUCUGAAAAAUGGGAAAGCCCAAGCAAUAAUAUACCUAUUUUCUUCUUUUUCUCCUCCUUGGAGUUAAAAGAGAAGCAAAAAUGAAGAUAAAUCCUUCUUGACUUGGAAGUUGCAUGUGGGAACAAUGUCAAAACUUAAAAAUGGAAAAGAAGGAAAUGAAGAAGGAAAGUAUGCACGGACUAAGCAACUGGCUGCACAUUCUUAGAAUGGAACACAAUAUUAAUGUCACCAUUAACUGAGAGUAUAUUGUCAUUGACUAAGUUUUUUGGCUAAUUCCCUCUCAAAGAAAAAAAAAAUAAGAAUGGAGAUGCUCUGAUAAAGAAAAUUCUAACUAAUGUAAAAUUAUUGGCUUCAUGUUUGUGAUCCUAAUCAUAUUAAUGUCUUCUCUAUAAAAAUUUUAAAAAAUUAAAUUACUUUAAUGAUGCAUAAAUUUCUCAUAAAUUUAACAUUAUUUAAAAAGGUAAUUUAGUUGACACCUUUGAUUGUCUCUUUUGUAAUUGAGCAUUACUCAGUAAAUUUUAAAAAAAUUUUGUGAACUUGUUGUCUGUCUAAAUCAUUUAAUUUAGACAUAGAAAAUAAUUUAAUGUCAAUUUUACAUGUAAAGUAUGCAGAUGUUUACUCAAAUGCAAAAACCAAGAGCCAUAGAAGAAAAUGAUGCACAUAUAUACCAAGGAGAGAUGAAGUUUCAGGAGCCAAGGCCAAGCUUUUCUAUAUUGAUCAAAGAAAACUCAAGUAGAAAUAAACUUUGCACUACAAUAAUCAGAAGCCCACUAGCAGAGGGAAUUAAGAAACAACUGUUAAUUCUUCUCUUCGGCUAGCAAAAGCACUUGAAUAUAGAAAUUUUUGAGUAAGUGAUAUGAUCCCUCUAUUAUUGUCCUUUAAUUUUUGUUAUUCUGUAAUCAUUUUUCCAUUGAGAUCCAUUUAUUCUCACCUACUUGCUUGCUCUGUUUAAUGGCUUUCAUGAAAAAAUACUGUAUCAUAUAUAAUUAAGAGGGAGAUUUUCAAAACUUUCGUGGUUUAGAGAUUAGUAUAAUAAAUAAAAGAAUAUGUGACAAUAUUUUAAUCUAAUUUGUGGUUUAGAAACUAAACUGAAAAUGUAUAAAAUAAUAUUCUUAAAAUUAUUCUGAAAAGGCACUCUAUAGGUAAAUCUCUACUUUUUGAACUAUCAUUUACAGAUCAUAUUUUUUUUUCCCCCACAUUUGAUUCCUUGUUCUUUAUCAGAAAAUCAUGCCUCUUCCUAAUCUCUGUAUCUGUCUCAUUAUUUCAUUGGGAGGGUAAAAGAAAAUGAAUCCCCCUUUCUCCUCAAAGAGAAUGUGAUAGUGGGUCCACACUCUGAAAAAUUGUCUGUAUGAAGGAAGAAAUAGUUUUGGUUAGUCGCGACCUACUUUCUGAAAAAUUGCUGGACUCUUGUCCUGAGAGAAUUAAGUUUAAGGUGGGAACCGAAUUUAUCAAAGCAAAAGGGAGAUUCUCGGAACUUUUUUGAUAAUUUUGAUUCAUUGUGGAAUCAAACACAAUAUCAAUGUCACUAUUUAUGGAGAGUGUAUUGUCAUUAAAAAAGUAUUUAUUGACUAAUUUUCUCUCAAAGAAUAAAAAAAGGAUGAAGAUGCUCUGUUGAAGGAAAUUUUAAUUAAUGUAAAAUUGAUUUCAUAUUUGUGAUUCUAAACAUAAUAAUAUCUUUUUCAUAAAAUUUAAAAAAUUAAAUUAUUUUAAUAAAUAAAAUAUAAAUUUUCACUAAACAAAAUUUUAAGCAUAAUAUCCAACACCUUUAUCCUUGGAGGCCAAUCCCUGUGAGAACAACAACCAGAGCAGGGCGCGAGCAAGCACCCACUAGGAGAAUAAACAAAAUUGAUCACAUAAAGGACCCCUGUAACAAAAGACAAAUUCAGUGUGAACAAUCAACAAAAGUUGGCCCCCAGAAGCAAUCAAAAAACUUGUCAAGAGCAGCUGCAAAAGAAAUGAAAGUCACACUUUUUAUUUUUUCUUUGUGCUCCUAUAUAAGCAAAUGGGCGGUGGAAUCAUCGAUUCACUUUUGAAUUAUUAAUAUUUUUUUAUCAUUUUUUAAUUACUUUUCAGUAUUUAUUUUUAACCAACUUAAUUAGUUUGUAUGAAAAACAAUUAAUUCUCUUUGUAAGCAAAAACUAUUAUUAUUAUUUCGUAAAUGUUGUUAAGAGUAAACACUACACUUGAUUAUCCUUAUUUAUAAUUCAUUUGUAAUUAAACAUUAUUUGGUGAAUUCUCUUGUAAUAAAGAGUAAUGACUUACUUUUAAAAGCUUUUUGUGAACUUGUUGCCUGCCUAAAUCAAUUAAGUUGGACAUGGAAAAAAAUUUAGUGCCAAUUUUGCAUGUAAAGUUUGCAGAUGUAUACUCAAAUGCAAAAACCAAGAGCCAUAGAAGAAAAUGAUGCACAUAUAUACCAAGGAAAGACGAAGUUUGAGGAGCCAAGGCUAAGCUUCUAUUUUUAUCAAAGAAAACUGAAAUAGAAAUCAAGUUUGCUCUACAAUAAUCAGAAGCCCACUAGCAGAGGGAAUUAAGAAGCAACAGUUAAUUCUUCUUCAGCUAGCAAAAACACUGGAAUACAGGAGAUAAAAUUUCGAAUAAAUGAUGUGAUUCCUUAUUAUUGUCCUUUAUAUUUUUGUCAUUUUACAAUCAUUUUUUUCUUCAGAUCCAUUUAUUUCUCACCUACUUGCUUAAUGGCUUUCAUGAAAAAAUAGUUGAUGCCAAAAACGAAACCUUAUCCUUCAAUAACCAGAAAUCAACUUUGCACUACAAUAACCAGAAGCCCGCUAGCAAAAGGAAUUAUGGAACAACCGUUUAUCCUUCUUCAGGUAGCAAAAACAAUUGAAUACAGAAACUCCAAGGCAGGAGAGAAAAUUUUGAAUAAAUGAUGUGAUCCUUCUAUUUUUGUCAUUUUGCAAUCAUUUUCCCCUUGAGCUUCCAUGUGUUUCUCACCUUUAAAUAGUAUUAUUCUUUCAAACAAAAGAAUACCAUCGAAAACAGGAGCCACAGCCAUUUGGCCAUUAGAUAGUUGAUGCUCCUCCCAUCUUUUUCCUUUCUUCUUGUGGUCUAUGAGGUGAUCUCUUAUCCAAAACUGAAAACGAAACAUCAAUUAAGAUGCUGGGUAGUAAAUAGGUGAAGCUUUCUUUCCAUUCUGAUGCAGUCACAGGUCCUAAUUUGCACAUCCUUUUCUUCUGAGUGAGCUGUCAUUAGUCACGGUAUCAUGUAGAAGGGUCUAUUUCAUUAAUAAAAUUGUUGAUUUUCAAAAAUAUAAAAUAAAAAUAUUUAAAGAGUGUUAUAGCCUUUUAUUUUGCUUUAAACUUUUUUUAUUUUUUAUUAAUUAAAAAGAUGAAAAUUGACAGUUUCUUUGUAGCUUUUGUCAAUGCGACAAGACAUUAUAUUGAUACCUACAAGUAUGAGUAAUUGACGUGAUCUCUCUAUUAUUGUCCUUUAUGUUUGUUAUUUCCCUGUUGUGUACAUUUAAUGGCUUUCAUGAAAAAAUCUCUCUCUGGCUACAAACUUGAUAGGACCAAAGGAUUAGAAUACCGAUAUCAACCAACCAAUUUACUAGAUAAUGGAUGCAUAUAUGGACAAAUAUAUUUAUAAAUAUUGAUAAAAAAAGUGUAAAAAUGAUGAAAAUAUACAGUAAAUGUUAGAAAUUUAGAAUCAAAUUUAGCAUAUGUUUAUACAUAUUUUAGAAUUAUAGUAUAAAAAUUAUAUCAUACUAAUUAACUCUACACAUAGUAUAUUGUUAAAUAUUUAUAGGGUAAAAAAAAAUCUCUAUUAUAUUAUAAUUUAUAUUAUAAAUAUGGAAAUAAAUUGAAGCUAAUUUGUGAAAUAUUGAUUUCCAAACCCAAAUAUUAAAAGCCGAACCGAUUAAUAAUACCUAAUACCAUAUUGAAUUCUAAUUAAUUGAAAAUAUUUGGCUUCAUGUUUAUGCACCUAAACAUAAUAAUAUCUUCUUAGUAAGAUUUCAAGAUAUUGAAUCUUUAUAAACCUAUUGAAAAUAGAAUAAAAAUCAACAAGCGUCAUUUGAAUUACUUUAAUGAAGCAUAAUGUAACAACUCAAGUUCAAGUAUUCGUCUAGCAACUAAGCCACGUGGUCCUCAAGUUGCUAAUAAUAAUGGAUUUGAAUUGUUAUAUAGGUUUUAACAAUCAUAUUCACAUAAGAUGUAGGCAAUGGAGUAUCACAAUCCCACUCAUUGAAAUCCUUGAUGUUCUUAUUAAGGCAUUCGCAAGACCAAGAUCCCCCACGUCAAACUGGUGUAAGCUCUGAUGCUAUUUAUAACAACCUAAAUCUAAGCACUAACCCAACAACCUUUUAGGCUUCAGUCGCAUGAUUCUUAAAAGCUCAAGUUCUAGUAGUAAUAGACGUGGCUUUUUAUAUAAGUGUUAAUAAUCACAUUCAAAUAAGAUGUGAGAUGUGGGGUAUCACACAUAAAUACUCCUAAAGAAAUAUUAUCAACAUUUUCUAUUAUUUAGAUCAUUUUGAUGAAAAUAUUUUCCAUCAUCAUUGGUGAAGUUAUUUGGGUGUUAAAAUGAUAAAUAGGAGUUGAUUACAAAAUAAUGAGGCCAUUAGGUUUUCACAUUAAAAUUAAGAAUGGAAAUGAAAAUGAGCAAAAUUAAUAAUAAUAUUUUUCAGUGCAUUUAACCACAUAUUAUAAAGAAAGUAAGUUUCAAUUUUGAAAAAAUUUCUAUCUCAUCAUUGUUUUAUCAUAACAUUAUAAAAAUAUCGAUAUUUAUCAAUUAUGUAAAACAUUCAAAACUUAUAUUUAUAAAUGUGUAUUCAUUAAAUGACGAUCUUUGAAAUAUUUUUUGUUAUAAUUAUUAGUAAGAUUUAUUCAAUUUAUAAAUAAAAAUAUUAAUUGCAUUAAAUGAUUUCAUUAAAAAGUAUGUUUUAAAAUUUUAACAGUAUUCAAUAAUUUAAAUAUUAAUAUUUUAAAUUAAUUUUUUUAAAAUUAAAUAUUUUUAUUUUUAUUUUUUUAAUAUUUUAAAUUAAAUAUGAAUAUUCUUCAAACUUAUUAUCCCAAGUUUAAUAUAAGAAAAGUUUUUUUAUUCUUUAGGAAAUGUCUUACGCCGCUGUAUGUUCAGGGACUCGAUUUCCUCUUGAUAACGCUUUUGUCAUUUGGAACAAUUAAGCCCUUUUGUACGUAUACUACUCAUUUUAUCUUCAUAGCUUGACUUUUUAUGUCACUAUAAGUCUUUUAUCUACAAGAUUCAAGACUUAUUAUGAAAUAUAAAUUUUUAAAAUUAAAAAAUUUCUACUUUUAAAAAAAAAUUAAUUAUAAUUGGUAUGGUUGGUCAUUUAAUGGCUUUCAUGUAGCGCAUUACUUAUUGGAAAUAGAAAAUAUCUUUUCAAAUGUAAAACCAUAGAAGAAAAGGAUGAACAUUUACUGAACAUCUCUUUAUUGUUUUUUAAACUGUUUCUUUUCUUGGUGAUAUGCUUUUUCUCUUUCAUUCCUGCCUUAUUUUUGCUAAAACCUUUGCUUUGCGUCAAACACCUCCUUUUAUUUACUCAUUAAGAAGGUGGAUUUGAUCAUCUUAUUUUUGCCCUUUUAAUAGUUACUUACUCACUAUUAUUGAUCAUCUUAUUUAUUGAUCCUUUAUUAUUGUCAUUUUCUGUAAUUUUCUCAUCUACUUGGUUGGUUGGUUUAAUGAUUUUCAUGGAAAAACACUUGCACUAAUUAUUUUCUCUUUGGGAUUAAAUUUUAUGAUCAAAUUAUGCCCUCAAGGGAUUCAAAAUUUAAUUACAAAAUAUAAAAAGGUUCAAGAUUCAAAUUAAUAUUUUUCUAAAUUUUUCCUCCCUCCUAAUGUAUUGAAAGAAGUACAGAUAAAAAAUGCAUCCAAAGAAAUAACUAAUUUAGAUUAUUUAAGACAAAUAUUUUAUUUGACUAAAGAAAAUAAGGCGUUAUUUUCAAAAAUUUUAUAAUAAUUGUCUCUAAAUUUUUUAUUGUCCUCUGUAAGGGCCUACAAUUAUUUGAUAGUUCUAGGGACCUAGAUUAUUCACACAAAUUAUGGAAAAAUUCUCCAUCCAUUAAAUUAAAUCUCCUGGCCAAAAACAAAACUUUAUCCUUCAAUAACCAGAAAAUCAACUUUGCACUACAAUAACCAGAAGCCUACUAACAAAAGGAACCGUUUAUCCUUCUUCGGGUAGCAAAGACAAUUGAAUACAGAAACUCCAAGGCAGGAGAGAAAAUUUUAAAUAAAUGUUGUGAUCCCUCUAUUUUGUCAUGUUACAAUCAUUUUUCCCUUGAGCACCAUCUAUUUCUCACCUUUAAAUAGUAUUAUUCUUUCAAACAAAAGAAUACCAUCAAAAACAGGAGCCACAGCCUUUUGGCCUUUAGAUAAGUUGAUGCUCCUCCCAUCUUUUUCCUUUCUUCUUGUGGUGUAUGAGGUGAUCUCUUAUCCAAAACUGAAAAAGAAACAUCAAUAAAGAUGCUGGGUAGUAAAUAGUUGAAGCAAAUAGGUGACGCUUUCUUUCCAUUCUGAUGCUGUCACAGGUCCUAAUUUGUACAUCCUUUUCUUCUGGGUGAGUUGUCGUUAGUUACAGUAACGUGUAGAAGGGUCUAGUUCAUUAAUAAAAUUGUUGAUUUUCAAAAAUAUAAAAUAAAAAUAUUUAAAGAGUAUUAUAGUUUUUUGUUUUGCUUUAAACUUUUUUAUUUUUAAUUAAUUAAAAAGAUGAAAAUUGACAGUUUCUUUAUAGCUUUUGUUAAUGCGACAAGACAUUAUAUUGAUACCUCCAAGUAUGAAUAAUUGACGUGAUCUCUCUAUUAUUGUCCUUUAUAUUUGUUAUUUCCCUUUUAUGUACAUUUAAUGGCUUUCAUCAAAAAAUAUCUCUCUAGCUACAAACUGUUUAGGACCAAAGGAUUAGAAUACCGAUAUCAACCAACCAAUUUACUAGAUAAUGGUUGCAUAUAUGGACAAAUAUAUUCAUAAAUAUCGAUAAAAAAAUGCAUAAAAAUGAUGAAAAUAUAUAGUAAAUGCUAGAAAUUUAGAAUGAAAUUCAGCAUAUAUUUAUGCAUAUUUUAGAGUUAUAAUAUAAAAAUUAUAUCAUACUAAUUAACUCUACACAUAAUAUAUUAUUAAAUAUUUAUAAGGUAAAAAAAAAGAAAAUUUCUGAAGAAUAACCCUCCUUGAUAAGAGCAUUUAAAAAAUAAUCAUUAAAAUAAAUUUAACUGUUUUUAACCAUAUUUAGCCAUGAUUUGAUAAAAAUACCCUUGAAACUAUUUCAAAUAAAUUAAACCAUUCAUCACAAUUUUUUUCCAUUUCUGCUUCCGAUUUCUCUCUCUCACCAUCAAGCUCUCUCUAAUUUUAUCGAUUUCUCUUUUCGGCAUUCAUCUACUAUACUCUUAAUUACUCUCUCUCACACUUUUAAAUUUUUCUCUCCUACGCUUUCAAGACACCAAGUGACGAUUUUAAUGUGCUUGGAGUAGGUGGCUAUUUGAAAAUUUUGAUUUUUAAAUAUUUUAGAUAAAACUAAAACAGUAAAAAUUAUCACAGAUGUUUGAAAUAGCUUUUAAAUGGAUCAAUUCGAGGACCUAGACAUGAAUAUACUUAAGAAUUUGAAAAUUAUAAACUUAGGUUUUUAAAGGAAUUUUUUUAUUUUUAGUCAAAAUAGGUGUUUUAGAUAAGAAAAUUUAUGUUUUGAUUUAUGAAAUAUGUUAGAAACACUUUAAUCGGUACCAAAUUGUUAAAAAAACAAAAAAAAAAUGAAAAGAGUUUAGAGGAUUUGAAGUUUUAGUUUGUAAGUAACAACAACAUUUUAAGCAUUACAGUAUAACAAAAUGUUUUUGAACAUAGAGUGUAAUAAUAAUAUUUUUUUAACAUGCGGUCAAACUAUAACAUUUUUUUCAACAUGGCGUGUAACAACUUUUUUUAACCAUGACAUAUAACAUGUUUUUGCAUAUGGCAUGUAUCAACAAUAAUUAUUUUUUCAACAUUGCGUGUAACAACCUUUUUUAACCAUAACCUAUAAUAUAUUUUUGUAUAUGGCGUGUAACAACCUUUUUUAACCAUGACGUGUAACAUGUUUUUGUACAUGACAUGUAACAACAAUAAUUUUUUUUUCAACAUGGCAUGUAACAACUUUUUUUAAUUAUGACGUGUAACAUAAUUUUGUACGUGGUGUGUAAUAUCAUGGGGUGCAGUUUCAUUAAUGGUGAUUUUAUCCAAUUUGGAUAAAAACAGUUAAAAUUAUAAAGAAGGUUAUUUUUGAAAAUAUUUUAUCUUUAAGGGUUAUUUUCAAAAAUACCCCCAAAAAAAUCUGUAUUAUAUUAUAAUUUAUAUCAUAAUAUAGAAAUAAAUUGAAGCUAAUUUGUGAAAUAUUGAUUUCCAAAGCCAAAUAUUAAAAGCCGAACAGAUUAAUAAUACCUAAUACCAUAUUGAAUUCUAAUUAAUGGAAAAUAUUUGGCUUCAUGUUUAUACUCCGAAACAUAAUAAUGUCUUCUUUGUAAGAUUUCAAGAUAUUGAAUCUUUAUAAACCUAUUGAAAAUAGAAAAAAAUCAACAAGCUUCAUUUAAAUUACUUUAAUGAAGUAUAAUGUAACAACUUAAGUCCAAGCAUUAGCCCAACAACUAAACCACAUAGCCCUCAAGUUGCUAGUAAUAAUGGAUUUAAAUUGUUUUAUAUGAGAUUGAACUAGUAUAGGCUUUGAUAUUAUUUGUAACAAUCCAAGUCCAAGCACUAGCCUAGUAACUUUUCAAGCCUGAAUCACAUGGUUCUUAAAAGCUCAAGUUACUAGUAGUAAUAGACUUGACUUAUUAUUAGGUCUUAACAAUCACAUUUAAAUAAGAUGUGGGAUGUGUGGUAUCACACAUAAAUACUCUUAAAGAAAAAUUAUCAUGAUUCAAAAAGCAAUUAAGGGUCUGUUUGGUAAUAAGAAAAUAACUUGUUGGGAGAAAAAUUUUUUUGUGUAAAAUAUUUUAUAGGAGAAUCUAAUAUUUCAUAUUGUUUGGAUAAGUUGUUAAAAACAUUUUCUAUUGGGUAAAAUACCUUGGCCCCCCUAAAUUUUGUUUGAAAUUAUACAGAGAUUUAUUAGUUUUCGAAAUGGACAUUCUACCCUAAGACAACAAACACCGCUAACAGAAAUAAUGAAAAGACUAAAAUAUCUUUUUUUUUUUAAAUAAAAAAAUAGGGAGCCUCGGUGCUCCCCUUGGGGAGCUUGAUUGGGGGCUCUUUAAGCACUGGUGCUCCAUUCGGGAGCCUGAUUUGGGGCUCCCCCGGUGCUCCCCAAUGGGGAGCUAUUUUUUUUUAUUAAUAAAAAAUAAUAAAAUUAUAUAAUUGUAAUUAUAAGAAUUAAUCAAGUGUAAAAUUAUCUUUCUACCCUUCCUACGUUAGCAUGUUGACGAAAAUACUAACUGUUAGACCUACGUGUUUAGCAAAAAAUAUUUUUUUGAGACAGAGUGUCUAUUUUGAAAACUAAUGGACCUUUAUGUAAUUUCGAUCAAAACUUAGGGGGGUUAGGGUAUUUUAUUCUUUUUCUAUUAUUUGGAUCACCUUGAUGAAAAUAUUUUCCACCAUCAUUGGUGGAGUUAUUUGGGUGUUAAAAUGAUAAAUAGGAGUUGAUUACAAAACAAUAAGGCCAUUAGGUUUUCACAGUAAAAUUAAGAAUGGAAAUGAAAAUGGAAAAAAUUAAUAAUGAUAUUUUCCAAUGCAUUUAACCACAUAUUAUAAUAAAGGUAAGCUUCAAUUUUCAAAAAAACUUCUAUCUCAUCAUUUUUUUACCAUAACAUUAUAAAAAUAUCAAUAUUUAUCAAUUAUAUAAAACAUCCAAAACCUUUAUUUAUAAAUGUGUAUUAAUUAAAUGACGAUUUUUGAAAUAUAUUUUGUUAUAAUUAUUAGUAAGACUUAUUCAAUUUAUAAAUAAAAAUAUUAAUUGUUUUGAAUGAUUUCAUUAAAAAAAAUAUUUUUUAAAUUUGAAUUGUAUUGAAUAAUUUAAAUUUUAAUAUUUUAAAAUAAAAUUUUUAAUUAAAUAUUGAUUUUUUUAUUUUUUUAAUAUUUUAAAUUAAAUAUUAAUAUUCAUUAAAUUUGUGUGCUAAGUUUAGUAUAAAAGCAGUUUUUUUGUUCUCCGGGAAAUGUCUUAUGCCUCUGUUUGUUUAAGGGCUCGAUUUCCCCUUGAUAACGCUUUAUCAUUUGGAGUAGUUAAGCCCUUUUGUAAGUGUACUACUCCUUUUAUCUUCAUAGCUUAACUUCUUAUGUCACUAAAAGUUUUUUGUUUACAAGAUUCAAGACUUAUUACGACAUGCAAGCUUUCAGAAUUAAAAAAAAUUUCUAAUUUCAAAAUAAAAAUUAAUUAUAAUUGGUAUGAUUGGUCAAUUAAUGGCUUUCAUGUAGCGCAUUACUUAUUGGAAAUAGAAAAUAUCUUUCCAAAUGUAAAACCAUAGAAGAAAAAGAUGAACAUUUAUAAAACAUCUCUUUAUUGUUUUUUAAACUCUUUCUUUUCUUGGUGGUAUGCUUUUUCUCUGUCAUUCCUGCCUUAUAUUUGCUUAACCCUUUGCUUUGCUUCAAACACCUCCUUUUAUUUACUCAUUAAGAAGGUGGAUUUGAUCAUCUUAUUUUUGCCCUUUUAAUAGUUACUUACUCACUAUUGAUGUGAUGAAAAGACGAGAAAAAAUGACAGUUUCUUCACAGCUUUUGUUAAAAAGACAUAAUGCGUUCAUACUUAAAUAAACUAAUUACACCUUUAUUAUUGUCGCUUUCUGUAAUUUUCUCUUCUACUUGGUUGGUUGGUUUAAUGGAUUUCAUGUAAAAAUACUUGCACUAUUUAUUUUAUUUUUGGGAUUAAAUUUUAUGAUCAAAUUAUGCCCCAAGGGACUCAAAAUUAAAUGACAAAAUUAUUUGAUAGUUCUAUGGACAUAGUACCUAGAUUUUUCAGACAAAUUAAGGCAGAAUUCCCCAGCCCUUAAAUUAAAUCUCCCGGCCAAAAACAAAAUAAAACUCUACAAAAUCCAUGUUUGAGAAUCGUCAUAGCUCCUCCUUCCUAUGUUGCGUGGACUAUCUCUUGAUCAUAGUUUGCUUAUCCAUGUUUGAGAAUGGCUAAGGAUGUUAGUACUAAUUGGUAAGAGACAAAUACAAGUUUUUAGCUCUCAGCUUCACACAAAUGCCAUGGGUGGAGUGUAACUGUAUCAAAUCAAAAGAGUUAAUUUUGACAUACAAAAUAAUUCAGUGCCAAUUUUACAUGUAAAGUAUGUAGAUGUAUACUCAAUUGCAAAAACCAAGAGCCAUAGAAGAAAAUGAUGCACAUAUAUACCAAGAAAAUCCGAAGUUUCAGGAGCCAAGGCUAAGCUUCUAUAUAUUUUGAUAAAAGAAAACUCAAGUAGAAAUCAAGUUUGCAUUAAAAUGAUCAGAAGCCCACUAGCAGAGGGAAUUAAGAAACAACAGAUAAUUCUUCUUUUGGCAGCAAAAACACUUAAUACAGACACUUCAUAAAGGUGGGAGCAGCUUUUUGCUUUGUUCCUUUGGUCUAUGAGCUGAUAGUCUUGAUUAUCUCUAAUCCAAAAUUGACAAAGAAUUAAAUCCAACGCGGUUUGAGGUGGUGGGUAGUAAAUGGGUGCAGCUUUCUUUCUAUUCUGACGCUGUCGCUGGUCCUUUCUACAUCCUUUUCUUCUCAUGUAUAAGGGUCCAGUUCAUUAAUAAAAUUUGUUGAUCACAAACCAAUAACACACUUGAAUACAGAAACUCCAAGGCAGGAUAGAAAUUUUCGAAUAAUUGAUGCUGAUCUUUCUAUUUUUGUUCUUUAUAUUUUGGACCAUUACUUUUCAACCUACUUGAUUGGCUGUUUAAAUGGCUUUCAUGAAAAACUAUCUUUACACCAUAAAAAUAGAAAUAAAUUGAACAAAUUUGUAAUAUAUUAAUUUUCAAUGACACCAAAUAUUAAAAACUUUGAACCGAUUAAUAAUACCAAGUACCCAUAUUGAAUUCUAACAAUUGAAAAAUUAGUUUCAUGUUUAUGCUCUAAACAUAAUAGUAUCUUCUCCAUAAGAUUUUAAGAUAUUAAACGUUUAUAGACCAAUUGAAAAUAGAAAAAAGAUCAAGCAACUUCCUUUGAUUUAUCUUAAUAAAGCAUAAAUUUCUCCUAAAAAAAAUUUACUCUGAUUCAAAAAGCAAUUAAGUUUACACCUUUAACUAUUUUUUUCUUGUGCUCUUACAAAAUUUGUGAAGAAAACUAAUUUGUCAUUAUCAAAAUUGUUAGAUUCUUCACGGCUUUUACUAAUGUGACAUGACAUCAUUGAUGCAAUUUUAAAUUAUUAAUUCUUCUAAUUUUAUUACUAUUUCAAUUAUUUUUCAGCAUUUAUUUCUUACCAACUUACUUGGUUGGCAGGUUUACCUGGAAAAAGCACAUGACUCUUAAGAGUAAAACUACUAUUAUUACAAACACUUCCUUUUUUUCAUGGAAAAACACUCGCACUAUUUAUUUUGUUUUUGGAAUUAAAUUCUGUUAUCAAAUAUUUAUGCCCCCAAGGGAUUCAAAAUUUAAGGACAAAAUAUGAAAAGGUUCAAGAUUCAAUCUAAAUUUUUUUCCUCCCUUGAAUUAUCCUAUUGUAUUGAAAGAAGUACAAAAUCCAUGAUUGAGAAUACCAUAAAAAUUGGGGCCACGGCCGACCUUUCGGCCUUUAGAUAGUUGAUGCUCCUCCCAUCUUUUUCCCCUGCUCUUGUGGUCUAUGAGGUGAUCCCUUAUCCAAAACUGACUAAGAAACAUCAAUUAAGCUGGUGGGUAGAAAAUAGGUGUAGCUUUCUUUCCAUGCUGACGCUGUCGCAGGUCCUCAUUUGUAUAUCCUUUUCUUCUGAGUGCUCAUUAGUCACAGCAUCGUGUAGAAGGAUCCAGUUCAUUAAUAAAAUUGUUGAUUUUCAAAAAUAUAAAAGCAAAAAAAUUUAAAGAGUAUCAUAGCUUUUUAUUUUGCUUCAAACUUUUUUUUAAUUUUUUUUAUUAAUUAAGAAGAUUAAGAUUGACAGUUUUUUUGAAGUUUUUGUUAAUGCGACAUGACAUUGUAUUGACACCUACAAAUAUGAAUAAUUGACGUGAUCUCUCUAUUAUUGUCCUUUAUAUUCGUUAUUUCCCUUUUAUGUCCAUUUAAUAGCUUUCAUGGAAAAAUAUCUCUCUAGCUACAAACUGGAUAGAACCAAAGGAUUAGAAUACCGAUAUCAACCAACCAGUUUACUGGAUAAUAGAUGCAUAUAUGGACAAAUAUAAAUAUAUUCAUAAAUAUCGAUAAAAAAUAGGUAAAAAUGAUGAAAUAUAUAGUAAAUGUUAGAAAUUUAGAAUGAAAUUUGGCAUAUGUUUAUACAUAUUUUAGAGUCAUAAUAUAAAAAUAAUAUCAUACUAAUUAACUCUACACAUCGUAUAUUAUUAAAUAUUUAUAGGGUCAAAAAAUAAAUAAUCUAUAUUAUGUUGAAAUGUAUAUCAUAAAUAUUGAAAUAAAUUGAAACAAAUUUGUGAAGAAUUGAUUUCAAAACCCAAAUAUUAAAAGCCCAAUCAAUUAAUAAUACUUAAUGUAUUGAAAGAAUUACAAAAUCCCUGAUUGAGAAUCGCCAUAGAUCCUCCUUCCUAAGUUGCAUGGAAUAUCUCUUGAUCAUAGUUUGCUUAUCCAUGUUUGAGCAUGGCUAAGGAUGUUAGUAGUAAUCGUUUAAGCCAAAGAAAUAGUGAAUCAAAGGAAAGAGCCUAACUUCCCCUGCCUCGCUUUAAAGGAAAGAGCCUAACUUCCCCUGCCCCGCUUUAAAGGAAAGAGCCUAACUUCCCCUGCCCCGCUUUUGUAGGAUCAGGGGAUGAACAUAGAUAUUUGACAAGCUUCAAUCAGUUGAAGCUAGAUUCCAAAUUCCAUAGUCUCUGCAACAUACAAAUAGUUAGUGAAAGUUCAGAUUUUUGCACUUGACAUGAUUCGGUAUGGUUUAAAAGAUUGUAUUGAUGGGUCUGCUUCAUUAGUUUUUCCCACGGUUUGUAACACAAAAGAAAAGGUAUAGCAACGCCGCUUCAUCUAUCAAGAAUAUAUUUAUAUAAAAUUAUAAAUAACAUCUCAUUAAAUUAAUUAUAAGAUCGUCACAGCAAAAUCAAGCAUGGAAAACCAUGAGAAAUUUGUUUCAUCUCUGAAUCAGACAUGCAAGUAAACAUAACUAUGGUUGUGUGAUUGUUCUGGGGAUUGGUUGGUGUUUCGGUCACUGGCUUCUUCUUGGGUUGGUUGUGUGAUUGUGUGAUGUUUUCAUCUGCUUUGGUUAGGAAGAUUAUUUUCCCAGGAAGAGUUCCGACGUCUCUAAGUGGUUCAGGUUUUGAAUGAUAGGCUUGUGCUCGUUGUUUGAUGCUAGAGUUCAAUGGCGAGCUUUUUCCUUAUAUAUUGUUUUAUGCCAACUGGUUGCUUUUGUGUUCAGUGGCAAGUUGUGUAUAUCCUUUUGAUCUUUCCCAUGCCAGUUUUUUUUAUGCCAACCAUUAUUAGGUUUUUUUUUUAUUUGGGGAUGAGCUGAUUUGAAGCUUGCUUUUUGAGUAAAGAAUCAUACAUCAAUUAUUGAGUUAAAUAUGUGAGAAUCAUUAUUAAUUAAUUUAUUUUGAAAGAUAAUUAAUUAGUUUUACAUAUAAUUUUUAUGAAUAUAUACCGGAUUUGGUGCUUCUCAGUCAGAUCCUCAUGAUCGAAUCUGGCACUCCAUGGUCAUAUUUGAUCACGGGAAAUGCCGAUUUGGCACAUCCUGGUGGUUAGAUGGUGUGCUAGAUCGGCAUUUCAUUACACUAGCCACAUUUUCGGUGAUUGGCCAACGGACAAAAAGAAAGGAGAAAGAGAACAAGAGAAAAAAAAUUAAAAUAAAAAAGUUGAAAAAUUAUUUAUAAAUUAUAAACAAUUAAUAUUUUAAUAUUUUAAUCAUAACAAUGUUUAAAUAUAAAUAAAAUAUGAAAAUUUUAAAAUAUAAAUGUUUACCUUAUUAAAUUAUUAAUAUAUUAAAUUUGUAAGGAAAGAAUAAAUAAAAAAUUAAAAAAAUGCAAAUAAAGAAAAAUAAAAAUUAUACUAAUAUUUUAAUAAUAAAUUAUUAAAAUUUUAAAUUUUUAAUGAAAAUAAAAAUAAAAUGAUUAAAAAGAAAAAUUUUACUUAUUUUUGUCUUUUGGUAUAAAUUUUACUAAAUUAUGUAAAGGGUAAUUUUGUUGUUUUAUAAAAUAAAUCUUAUUAUAAUAAAAAAUUUAAAUUUUUUAAUUAUAUAUUAUAAAAUUAAUAUUUUAAAUUUGCUAGCGGUAUGGGCAAAUCCUCCUUUUAUUAUUUAAAAUUUUUUUAUAUUAUAUAAAAAUUUACUAUAUUUUUUAUAUUUUUAAUAACUCUUUAAAAAUAUUUUUAUUUAAUAAUUAAUAUAAAUAAAAAAAUAAAAUUAUCUAUAUACCUUACUUAAUUUUAAAGUUUUUUUCUUUUAAUUUAUAUUAUUAUUUAUAUUUAUAUUUUUUAUCUUUUUUAUUUCUAUUGUAUUUGCUUAUAUAUUUUAAGUUUAUAUAAAUUUUCUUUUUCAAAUUUCGAUUAACCAUCAACCAUAUUCUAUUUUUUUCUUUUUUAUUAUGUUAUAUGUGGAUUUUAUCUUCUACUUAUCAUAUUCUUCUUUUCACUGUUAUGUGAAUUUUAUUUUUUAUAAUUUUAAUUUUUAAAAUUUAAUAAAUUAUUAUGUAAUUUUAAAAUAUAAGUUGUAGUAUUGCACUGUUGGUUAAAAUUUAAUCCAUGUAUCAUUUUUUUUAUUAAACCUGAUUAUGCAAGAGAAAAUUUUCUUGAGUAUAUCUUUUUUAUGUGAUUUACGUUUUAUAUUUAGUUGAAAGCAAAUUAUCUUGAAUAUAUAGUUUUUAAACAAUAUUGAUUAUAUAAUAAGAAAUUAUUAAUUUUGUAUAUCGUAUUUAACCAUUUAUAUUUUAUACAUUAUAGUUUUAUAUUUAGUAUUAUAAAUUUAAAUAGAAAGAAAAUAAGAAUAUUAGAUAUUAACUAGAUUAAUUUUUUUUUCAAAGUUUGAUUAAAGUAUAAGUCACUACAACAUUUUUAUUCUUUUAUUGCAAAAUUUUAGAUGCAUUUUUUCUUAUGUAACUAAAUUCAUCAUAUUACUCUUGAUACAUUUUAUUUAAUUACACUAUCUAAAGUGUAAUCCCAUAAAAAAAUUAAGAAGAGAAAAGCUCACAAAAUAAAAGCAGCCAACAGCCUAACAAAAAACAAACAAAAGCCCCUUGCCCUUUACGUGGUCAAAUAGACUAUAUUUUUCACCUAUGACUGCAAUAUUUUUUGUAGCCAAAGGUCAACAAUGUUGUAGUGAGUAAGGUGAAAAUAAUUGACAAAUUCUUUAAAAGAAAAGAUUAAGUCAUCCAAAUGAUUCUCAUACACUUAAGCACUGUAUCAAAUAAAUAAAAAUCAGUAAUAGUGCAGAGAAGUAGUAUAGCAUAUAUCAAAUAAACAACAAUCAGUAAUAGUGCAGAGCACUAUUAUUUCUCCUCAUCCCCUAAUUGUUGCUCUAGUUCUGAAGGACCUUCUACUGUGAUUAUUUCUAGUUUUGGCAGAGCAACACUAACUGGAAAUAGACAUUUCAGUUUAUUGCAGCCUGCAAUUUUGGUUUUAUUCAGUGCAAAUAAACAUAUAGGUUGGAAAUGAAUCCUUUGAUUAUGAUGAUCCAACUCUAGGUGCAUGUAGAAAUGAGCCAAUCCCAUUUUAUAGUUCUUUGUACUAGUAUUUUCUUUUAGUAAUGAGUAAUUACUUCAUUUUAAUUGCUCUAUGUGAGCUUGCCGCUGGGCUAUGCUAUCAUGGCCAGAUCAUAUAAAUUGGAGUAGCAAUCAAACUCUCAAUAUUUCAAUAAAUCACUCACAACCUUCACUUAAUAAAAUAUGCCUGGUUUUAAUUUUCCAUGUCUUGGUUUCCUACAUAGCAGACUUGCACAACUUAUUCACUAAAAAUUUAAAAUACAAAAAUAAAGAUAAGAAAGAGAGGAAUUUCACUUUUAUUCUUCCACUUAUUGUACAUAUAGGAUACAAUAACAGCUGCAAGAGAGAGCAACAAUACACUAAUUGACUAAAUUACUGAAAGCAUGCGAUCCGUUCCCUUGACAACUCCAUUAAGCAAAUACCUUUGGGUUACAUUUUGUUUAAGGAAACAACGAAUAAUAGAAAUGAAGAAAAUCAGCACUACGAGGAAGAAAGCAUGUAAGCACUAAGCAACUAGCUGGACAUUCCUUACCUAAAAAAAUGAUUUGUUCAUAUAAUAUUUUGAAUAAUUUGUAAUAUUUAAGAGUCUUAUAUUGAAAGAUAAUUAUUCAAAUGUGAUCGUUCAAAUUAAAAUAUAAUACUUUGAAUAAUGCACAGGUGUUUUCAACAAAAACAAUUAUUGAAAAUUGAUCAGUGAAAUACGUUUGUUGAAACACAAUAAACACAUUUAUAAAAACACAAUAGCCAUAUUUGUUAAAACACAACAGGCACAACUUUUCAGUGUCUAUAAAAAAAAGUACUUCCAAAAUAAACUUCAUCUUCAAAAAAAUAUUCUACGUAGGCUUAUUGUAUCUUGGAAAGUUUUUGUAUACAAAUCCCCAUAAUAACUAACAACUUUUUAAAGAAAAUGUGUUACAAUACACCUCAAGCUUUCGUAAUAUCCCUUUCUUAUACUACUUAUCCUAACAUAAUAAAUAAACUAAUUAAUAAAACCAAUUGACUGCUUGAUUCAAAGUUUUAAACUAGAGAAAGUUUGACAUGUAUACACUUCACUUGCGUCAUCAUCAAUUAAUUUCACACUUUGUUUAAGAAAUACUAGCCUAAUCUCACCCCAUAUACAUAAAUGAAAUAAAACAAGGACAAAUAUUGUGAGAUUUGAACUUUUGUAUUUAACAGAUAAUUAAUAUCUCAAACUCGAAAAUCUGAAGCUCUUAAAGCACAUUGACAAAAGCUAAGCUAAAAAGAAUUUCUGAAAACAUCCAGAGAUAACACACUUAUUACGCAUUGAAGAUAAAGUUUUGUCAAUUGUGUUUUUCCUUGAGAAAGUUUUAAGGAAAAUGAUCCUAAUAAAAAAUAAUAUAAGAAAUAGUUUUGGUCAGGUCAUUUCCACUGAAUUGAUUAUAUCUGCUGCAAAGAUUGAUCAAGAAAUUUAUCAUUUGCACUAACCAAAUAUUCUGUAAACUAUUUCAAUCCUAUUACGUUUUCUCCAAAUAUCAACGAAAUUAAAAAUAUAGAGACAAAAUUCAUCAUUUGCAUUAACAAAAUAUUCCAUAAAAUAUUCUAAGUCUGUUGCCUGCUGUCUAAAAAUCUACUAAAUUAAAAAUACAGUGACAAAACACAAUAAAAUUAAAGCUAAAUAUAACAAUAAAAUUCAAUAUUAAAUUAUAAUAUACUGACAAACUUUACAUUAAUUCCGUCCUUUUUUCUUUCUUUUCCAUGGAUCACUGUGACGGCGUUGGCACAUGAGAGAUUAAGAUAGAGUGAGAAAUCUUGUGAUGCAUUUGUAGAAUAUUUUGGCUGUGCCAUAUAUCCUGCAUUUCGUCUUUCCUCAGUUCACAAGGAUCCAGGGAUAAGUCACUUGGAUCUUUCAUAAAAUAAAAAUCUACUUAACUUAUAUAGGGAAAUUAAAAUUUAUUUUCGCAUGUCUUGAAUAAGAAAUAGAAGAAUUUAACCCUUGUUCUUCUACUUGUUGUACAUACAGAAAGCAACAUAACAUUGAUUGGCUGAGGAAAAAAAACAUAACAUUGAUUGGAUAAAUUGUUGAAAGCAAGUGAUCCCGUCACUUGACAACUCCAUGAAACCAACAUCUGGACCAAUAAAAAGCACAAUAAUUUCAACUAUCUGUUUUUCUUUUUUUAUAUAUAUAUAAAUAAUAAAGGUUAGCACAAGUUAACCACCAAAACUUGAUUAGAAAUGAAAAUGGAAAGUAGCCUUUGUUUUACCUGUGUUUAGUUGAUGGCCCCAAUGUACUCAUUGAUGUUUAAAAAUGCCUUUGCAACUUCCCCUGCAACCAUCUCAUAAUUCUUCCUUGCAAGGUGGUAGCUCAGUAAGCCGAUACUGUGGGUCCUUCCGGUGCCAAUAUAUGUUCCGAUACGGUUUAAAAAUUUUGCAACCCUUGUGAUCAUCACCAAAUGGAAUUCCUAUAACCUUUAAGUCAAGUUCUUCCCAAACAUCAUCAAGAAUUAUAAGGAUGCUCUUCUCGUCAUUGAUUCUCAACUACAAUUGUUCUGCUCUUCCUUCUGGUGUCUUCUUUUGAAAAUCUAAAUCUAGGAAGUCUGCAAUUUUAUCUUGAAUAUUGUUGAUGUUUGGCUUUUGGGACAGAGUUACAGGCACAACUUUAUCGAAGAGUUGUUUGGCUUGGUUUCCCACUUCUUUUGCCAAAGUGGUUUUACCCACUCCUCCCAUCCCAUGUAGUCCAAUCAUGUUCACAUCACCAUUAUUCAGAGCCUCCAUGAUCUCUUUGAAAGCAGAAUUCGAAGAUUCAGAAGACAUGAAAUCCUUAGAUGGAAUGAACUCUAAUCCUGGGAGAGUAGCUCGGUAACCUACUCGUUCAAAAUUAGAAUUCUCUAAAAGUUGAGAGAUACGAAGUGUCUUCUUAGCUACUUUGAUACUUAAGCAGUAUCGCCAGCCCCAACUAGGACGCCAAUUGAAACACUUGUUACGUUCAAUUUCAUCUUCCAAACUCUGAGCUUCUCCCAAUUCUUUGUCUGCCCUUGUUAGCCACUCCUCAACGGCCUUCUCAAUUACCAGAGUUUGCUUUUUUGCCUCAGCGACAUCAUUUUUCACUCGAACUUUUCUCAAUUCAAGUUGAUUUCGUCGAUUCUUGAAAUCUUCAACAAUUUUGCCGAAAUGGAAAAAAUAACUGAGAUAAGGUGAUGCGUAUUCUGUUGCCAGGUUCCCCAGGGUAUUGGUUGCAACAGCGGUAACAGGUUCAGCCAUUCUUUGAUGAUCUGAUACUGAAGAGCAAUUUCUAUAAGUAAAAAGUUUUACAUAGAGACAAAAGCAAUUAGGAAAUGUUUGGAAAGUAUCUUACCUUGGCAACAAUACUUUUAUGAGAUUUGUGAAUCACAAGAGAACAAUUGUCGAUCAACCAACUUGAAAAUUGAAAAUGCUGCACAAGUAGAAAUUAUUCACUGGUCACCAACUUCAGAGAUCGGAAAAGAAAAAUUCAGGACCAGACGAAAGCAAAGAAAUAGAGUAAGGGUAAUUAAAGAAAUAGAGCAAAGAAAUAGUCUAGAGUUGCAUGGAUUUCUUCUUUUAAGAUAGGAAGCAGAGAAAUCAAAAUACUAAAGCUUGCAGCUAUGGGCUUUUUUUUUUUUUUGACCUUUGUGGAGUUAAGGAAAGGAAAAGUAGGAAUCAGAGAACAGAUUUAAUCAAAAUACCGAGGAAAUAUAUGAGAACUUCCAGGAGCCAAGAUGGAGCUUCUAUUCAGAUCAAGGGCUGACAAAGUCGGUGAAGGUUCUUUAAGUUCAAAAAUAACUGGAGGCCAAGGAAUUAAUUAAGAACCAAAAAACUUUCACUUAUCUUUAUUUUAAUGCAUACAAAUAAUUCUGCUUCUAUUCUGCUUUUUAUAGAAAGUAGGAACUCUAAGGCAAGAGGAUUUUUUUUUUUACAUGUUAGAGUAAAAGCAGAAUAUUAUCAUUCUAUAAAAUAAUCUCUUAAAAUUCAAAAUAUCUAUUUAUUUCAGUUUUUUCUCAAUAACUACAGCUUUUAUUUGACCAUGUUGUCGUCUAGGGCUGGGAAAGAAAUAAAGUGUAAAUUGAUUAAUUUUAUUUGCCAAACGAAGAACUGGAGAAGUCAAUUGCAUUAGUAAUUACAGAAAUUGAGCAUAGCAAAAGCUUUAUAUGGAGAAUAUAAUAUGUAUUCUUGAAGCUUAUCUCACUUCGAAUGGAUCUUCUAAAGCUGCAUGGAUUUCUACUUCACCAACUCCGGAGAUCGGGAAAGAACAAUUAAGGACCAACCCAAAGCAAAGAAAUAGAAUAAGGGUAAUUACUUCACCAACUCCGACUUCUUUUUGUAGAUAGAAAGCAGAGAAACCAAAAUACUAGAGAUAGCAGCUUUGGUUUUUUUUUUUUUUGGCUAUGUGGAGCUAAGGAAUGGAAAAGUAGUAGGGAUCAAAGAACAGUUUUUUGUUUUUCUUUUUUUUUUUUGUUUGUGAGUUAAAAGAAAAUGAGGAAAGUAGAAACCGAUGAAGAUAAACAAACAGAGAUGCCUUCUUUUUUUGAGGUGAAAGAAAAGUGGAAAUAUCAAAGAACAUGAAAUGGAAGAGUAAGGUAGAAAUCAAGCUAACUCUUUGGGAUAGUUUAGCUCGCAGAUGUGGAGAUGAUACAAGAAGAUGCUUGAAUGAAAACUCUAUGACGACAAAGUAGUAAGAGUAGGUACAGGCAAUUUGGAACUACUACGAUGCAAUGGAAAAAUAUUAGCAACUUGGCUUACACUCCCCAUGUACGAUUCUCUUUUCUUUGAUAUGCGAAAGCUAAUGCUAUUCAUUGAGAAAGUUUGUUUUAUUUAUUGUUUUUCGGUUGGCUUUUCUAUAGUUUGUUCCCCCUUUUUUGUUUUCUCUUGGUUAUGGGUGGUGCUCGAGACUCCAAUGUUUAUUUCUGCCUCUCGCUAAAAGCUCUUUGGCCAGCAUGAGCUAUCGACAUUAUUAUAUAAUGUUUAUUGAUUUGAGGAUUUUUGUUUACUACUAGGGACAAUUGCAAGUGAAUGUGUUAGAUAUUUUAUUCAAAUUUUAAUCGGAAAUCGGUAAAAUUUCAUUAGUUGAAAAUUAUUUGGUGAUUAAAUUUGAUUAAAGGGUACAUAAACUUAAUGGUUAAGAGUUUUUGAUGGGUAGAAAUUCAUGGUGACAAAGUAAUAUGGACCUAUAAAUAUGUAGUGGGUCUUAACCUUUAAAAUUAAGACAGAAAUGCAAUCUAUUUUUCAAAUUGAGUUUUUUGUCAGAGUUUCACAAAAUUGUAGAGAUGUGAGAAAUAGUAUGGUAAACACUGGUUGCAUGAGAUCCAAGGUAUUGUAAACCUUGAACUAGUGGGAGUAGUUUUUUAUAUACCUUUCUCUCUUCCUAAACAUUGGGAUGAUUAGAAAUUUAGAAGUAGAGUUAUAAGUUGAUCAAAUUCAUUUGGUUUCAAAUUUCUUUUCCUUUUUUAAGUUAAUUUCCUUUUAAAAAAAUUAUAUUAUGUGGCCAAAGGAUAUGAGCUCUUAGUGAAAAUGUAUUUAUAUUGUUGAAAUCAAAUAAAAACUAAAAGAAAUACCAACAAAAUAUUGAUGCUCCUUCCAACUUUAAUCUCUUAGUUUUUUCCUUUAUACUUGGUCUUUGAGGGGAUAGCUUUUGAGUAGAAAUGCCUACUUCCAACAAUUACUAGUCAAUUUACAAUAAUUGGAAAAUUUUCAUUAAAAUAUUUAUAUAAUAUAUUGCCCUUGUUUAAAUUACGUAGACCUCAAUAAGUUAAAUUUUGAGUUAAUUAAAUGAUAGAAAAUUAUCCAAUAAACUAUUGAUGGAAUUUAAAAAUUUUAUUAAUGGAAUUAGAAAGUUGUCACGUAUCCAUUAGGAUAUAUUUUAAAAAAAUUAAUCUGAUAACUAAAAGGACAUUUGACAAUAUUUUAACUUUACUAACGGAGUUAAAAACCCACCGAUUAUUUUACAAAUGAUAAUAAUCCCAACACUAAAUCGCUUCUAUCUAUAAUCCCAAUCACCCACUGCUUUUGCUAGUGGAACAUGGAAUUAUUGAUUCACUUUUGAACUAUUUUUAUUUUAUUAUUCAAGACAAGUCGCAGCAAAGACUUGGUAUUCUUCCAAGUCUUUUUUUAUUGUCAUUUUCUUUUAUUCAAAUAACAAUCAACCCAAACAUGGUUUGCUUUAUGGAAUUAUUAGCCUCACUUUUUUUUUCUUUUUUAUUGUUAUAUGUGUUGAUCAUUAGAUUAUUAAAGGGAGAUAGAUAAUGACAUCAAUCAUCUUUAGGAGAAAAUUCCAAUUAAAAAAAAGACCAGCAUUGAGAAAAAAUAAGCUAAAAUUGUCCAAGAAAGUUUUGUCAAUUGUUUUUCUCCUUGUGAUAGGGAAUAUUUUGGUCACUGGUCGCCUAGUUGAUUAUCUCUGCCUCAAAAUUAAUAAAGAAUACUGGCAACUUGGUUAUGAAUAAUGAAUUGAUUAUUGAGAAGAGUUGGUGUAGGAGUAGGACAUUUGGAUAAAUUAUGGGCAACUUGGCUCAACGUGGUCCCAUUGAGAAAGCUGCAAUGACAAAGCCACUUCUAUACAUUGAGAAAGUUUAUUUUAUUUAUUGUUUUCCAGCUACAAUCCAAAACAUUGUUAGAAAUCCUUUCAUUUCACAAUUCCCAUACAAAACAAAAGCUUGGCAGAUGAACAACAUCAUUAUUUCUUCAGGUUUGUUUUAUUAAUAAUCAAAUUGAUUUCAUUUCACACUUUGUUUUAUCAACAAGGGCAUUUAUAUUACUUGGCCAAUUGAUUGUUAGCCAACUUGAUGGAGACUUGUGCAUUUACCUCCAUAUAUCAUCAACUCCUCCUAUGUUUGAUCUCUUCUUGAUAAAUAGGUUGCUCAUCAAAAUUUUCUAAUGGCAAACCAAUGUCAGGAUAUAUAGUUAAUUAUUUAAGAGAAAGUGAAAUGCAAAUUUUAACUAAUCAAAAUAGCUUUCCUUUGUUGUUUAAAGAGUGAUUUUCUUUGUAGUUGAUUUCUUAGUUUAAUUAGUCUUUAUUAAUAUAAUAUAUUUAUUUAAAUAUAUAAUAUAUUUCUUAGUUUAGUGAUUUUCUUUUUAUUAAAACAUUUAUUAAAAUAUAUUGCCCUGUUUAAAUUACCUAGACCUCAAUAAGUUAAAUUUUGAGCUAAUUAAAUUAUAGAAAAUUAUCCAAUAAACUGUCAUGGAAUUUAAAAACUUUAUCAAUGGAAUUAGAAAGUUGUCGCAUAUUCUUUAGGAUAUAUUUAGAAAAAUUAAUAAAUUAAUCUGAUAAAUAAAAGGACAUUUGCAGUUUCUGUAUAAAUGGCUUGGAGCAUUUGCUACAACUUGAAAAAGGAAGCAUGACAAGAUUGUAUCCAAAUUUGCCUAUAACUUCAAAUUCAGUUCAGCUUCAUCAUCAAGAAAAGAAAAUCUCAGUUCAGAUUGUAGUGUUUCAAAUGCAUGCAUGCUUGCGAAGUUCGUUUGGUAAUAUAUAGCACCAAAAGUAUUUUGAAACCAAAUAUGAAACACAUGGAUCCCAUCUCUUUUUCUAACAACAGGCGUGGCAAGCGUGGGCGUACCAAUUCUAACAUUGGUUUUAGAUUAUGCUUGUUUCAAAGCCAUUUUUUAGUGCUUGUUUCCCCUGGCUUUCUUGGGAGAAUAUCAAGAUUAAGUGGUGCUGUAAAUCAGGGCCAUGUUAGGGAUGGCAGGGGACGGAUUUCAAUAGGGUAUUCGAUGUGAUCAUACUCGAUUAAUGUAAUUUUUUAUAAUUAUAAUUGAAACAGAUUGGAGGAAUGCAGUUAAUUGGAUAUUGAACCUCGACAGUAGAUUAUGGAAAUGGUGGAAGACAUUUCAGCAGGUGGAUUCUUUAAAGGAGGUGAUAGGCAGUGUAUUAUUCUGUGAGUGCUGAUUUUUUGGCAAAGGAAGGUGCAAGGAAAGAGAGUUUUUAUUGGGUAGGAAUUCAUGGUGACAAAGUAAUAUGACUUUAUAGAUAUGGAGUGGGACUUAGUCUUUAGAAUUAAGAUAGAGAUGUAAUAAUCUCUAUAUGAUUUUAUGGCAUCCGUACUUGACCUUUAAGCACAUGUGCCUAAAAUUCCACGGAAUAAUAAGAUAUUGUCAUUGCCUUGAGAUUCACCUUUAGAAUUCUGAUUCUUCUGAUGCAGCUUUGUUUAUCCUGCAGGGAGCCUUCAAAACCAAACAAAGUGAGACAUAAAGAACAAGAAUUAAUUAAUACUAAUUUUUGUUAACAAGUUGUAUAGCACAUAACAAAAAAUAAACAAAAAUCAGUAACAGAGCAAAUUGCAGAUUGUUAAAGACAUGAUAUAUGACUAUGUAACACAAGUCAGACAGAAAAGAGCUAAUGGGUAUUCAUUCAUUAUAUAUGAACUUUCAGGAGCAAGACAGAGCUUCUAUUUUGAUCCAGCCAAAAUACAGACACUAACAAAGUCGGUGAAGUUUUUUUUUUUUUUUUUGAGUUCAAAGAAAAUUGAAGUAGAAAUCAACUAUAAUUAAAAGGACGGCAAAUUAGAAAACAACAGACUUACACUUAUCUUGUUUUGAAUGCACGCAGAUAAUUCUGCUUCUGAUAACAAAAACAGUAGUCAAACAUAGAAAGUAGAAACUCUCAAGGCAAAGACUUGUUUUCUUUGGAAUCCCUUUUUCAUUUUAUUGUUAUUAUUUUUCUUAUUCAUAUCCUUAGUGAAAGACAAGGGCCCCGACAUCUUUUGCCUUAUCAUUGACUAGUUCUCUCUCAGAGAAGAAAAAAAAAAAGAAAAGGAUGGAGUCAUGGAGAUGCUCUGCUACGGGCCCUGCUGUUUGGCAUUCCAGGAAGUGUUCUGGAAAGAGGAUGGGAAUCUAUAUUCUUGGUUUAGUUUAUUGUAUGCUUAGCUUUCAUGAUCUCAUCUUUUACUAUUUUAUAAGCUUUUUGAAUAUUCAAAGUUAUGAAGGAAUAAUUUUUACAAAUAAUUCUAAAUUUAUUAGAAGUAAAAAGUCAAGUAUGGUCCAACCAAGUAAUUACUUGAGCUAUAUGUAAACCUUUAUCAUGAGCAAGAAUAAUUUUAUACAGGUAAUUAUGUCAUGUCAAGUCAAGGUUCCAAUGCAGUAAACAGUAACUUGAUUAUCCAGCUGAUACAUUCUUUUAACAUCUCUAUAUAUUUAUGGCUUUUGAAUUAUUGAUCUGAUCCCUUUAUUAUUCUUGGUGAUAUGCAUUUUCGCUGUCAUUUCCUGUCUUCUUUUUGCUUACCCUUCUAUUUUGCUUACAACAUUCUUUUUUAUUUUCUCAUUAAUUAAGAAGAUAAAGAUUUCCAAUGGGACAUAGACAUCAUUGCUAUCAAAUCUUUUGAAUUUUUGAUCUGAUCAUGUUUUGCUUGGAGAGAAGUAGAGGGUCAAGGUACAUCUCUACUUUUUGAACUAUCAUUUACGGAUCCUUAGGAACGUUUCCUCCAUGGCUGGUAAUCCAAUACCAGCAAGAAGAUCAUCUAAGCCUAAUUUGUUUUAGUCAAAACUAUUUUGAACUAAUUUCCAAUAAAUAAAAGCAAGAGCUUCAAGGAAUAACCUGACCCAUCAAACUUGAUUUGGAUUAAAAAAUGAGACAGAAUUGAUCAGUGUAUUAAUAUAUUAUAAUCAACUUUAAUAUCCAAAGCUAAUGUGACAAAUUCUAUGCAAUAAUAGAGUUCACACAAUCUCUCCUUAGAAUUUUAUUCCUUUUCUUUUUCAAAAAAUCAUGCCUCGUCUUGGUCCCAAUAUCUGUCUCAUUAUCUGAUUGGAAGGGUAAAAGAAAAUGAAUCCCCAUUUCUACCAGAAUUGGCCCUUGGGUGAAGCCACCCAAGCAAGGGUUUUAGGCCCCCAAUUUGAGAAGGCCCCAAUUUUAAUAAAGAUUUAUAAUUUUAUAAUAAUUAUAAUAUAAUUAAUUAUAUUAAAAAUAUAUAAAAAUUAAAAAAAUAUAAAAGUUAAAAAUAAUUAAUAAAAUUAUUUGUUCUUUCACUUUUUUAAUUAUGUACCUAAUAAAUCUUAAUUUUCUAUUACUUUUUUAUUUCUAAAAUACUAUUAAUUCUCAACUAUAUUAUCUUAUUUUCAAUAAACUAAUAGUCAUAUGUAUUUAAUAAUCUCCAACAACUAUUUUUUUCUCACUUAUUUCUUUUAUUUCCAAUCAACGCAUUUAACGAUUUCUAACAGCUAUUUUUUUUCCUAUAUAUAAAACUAGUUUUUUUUUUCAAUGUAUAAUAUCUACUUUUGAAAUCUUCCUUUCUCAUUUGCUCUUUCUUCCUUUAACUUCAAAUUUUCUCUAAAGAAUACACAACAAAUCUACUCUUUUUAUUAUCUUCAUAAAGCUGUAAGCCUCAUUUGAAAGAAUAUUGCCUCAAUGUUAAAUAUUCUUUAAAAUAUAACAACUAUUCCGAUAUUGAUGGUUUAGAUUUAUUUUCAAAGUUAAAAAUUUCAAAAGAAAUUAUACAGAAAGAAAACAGUACAAUUGAUAUACUUAAUCAUACAAGAAGACUCGAUUCUUUUCCAAAUGCAGAUAUAGCUUUUAGAAUAAUGUUAACAAUUCAAGUAAGUGUUGCUUCAGGAAAAAGAAGUUUUUCAAAACUAAAAUUAAUAAAAUCUUAUUUAAGAUCAACAAUAUCUCAAGAAAGAUUAAAUGGAUUGGUUAUAUUAUUAAUUGAAAAAGAAAUAUUUGAAGAACUUGAUUAUAAAAAUUUAAUUAAAAAUUUUGCAUCUCAAAAAGCUAAAAGAAUAAAAUUUUAAUAAAAAAAAACCUCAUUGAAAUAUUUCGCUUUAGGCCUUUGAAUUUAUUGGGCCGUCCUUGAUUUCUACCUUCCUUCUCGUCUUUUUGGCUAUACUCUGAAAAACAUUUGAUAGUGGGCCUAUACUCUGAAAAAUUGUCUGUAAAUGUUGUUGGUUUUACCUUAUUCCCAAUCCCAUCUCCAUUGCAAUGUAGUUAUAGUUAUAAAUGGCACCCAAACAAUGCUUUUCAUCCUUUUUGGCUAGUAGGACAUGGAACUACUAUAAUGAGCACUUUUGAAUUAUUGGUUUUUUUUUUCUAGUCUCUUUUUUAUUUUUUUAUUCAAAUAGCAAUGGACUCAAACAUCUUUUGCUUUAUGGAAUUAUAGGUCUCACUUUUUUUUAUAAAAAGCUUUAUUUAACAGGUAAUUAAUAUCUCAAUUCUAAAAUCUUAAAUUAUUAAAAUACGUUAUAUAUUUAGAUCGUUAUGUUAUAAAUUUUAACUACUAUCAAAAUCGAUUAUUAGAGGGAGACAAAUAAUUAAAUCCAUCAACUCAAUGAAAAAUUACAAUUAAAAAAUGGCUAGUAUUGAGAAAAGCAAAGCUAAAAGGAAUUUUAAGAAAGUAUUGUCAAUUUUUUUUCUCCUCGUGAUUGGGAAAACUUUUAUUAACCACUAAUGGAAAAAAAAAAUGGGCGAAGAAAUAGUUUUGGUCAAUCUUCGGCUAAUUGACUAUCUCUACCUCAAAGUAACAAAGAAACAUCAACAUGGAAUUAAGACUCUUCUUGGCUUGCCUUGAAAGAAUUAAGUCUACCACAGAAACUGAAUUUAUCAAAGUAAAAGGGAAAUUUCCAGAACAUGCAAGUAAAUAUAACUAUGUACUACUCAUUCAUACAAAUACUUACAGGUGACUAAAAUUACAAUACACAAAAGAGUGUAACAUUGUAAAAGAGAAGCAAAGAUCAGCCAGCUGCAAAUCAACUAAUCACUGAGAAAACCAUGUAUUCUUGGACUACUAGAAUUUCUCUCAAGAGUUAAGAACAUGUACCAAACAAGCAAAUGCAAUAAGAGGCGUAGAGUAAACUAGUUAUUCAUCACUGCAAAAUAAAGCUGAAAGCAGAGACCGUACCAUAAAGUAGACAGCUCAAAUGUUGUUAAGCACAAUCAAGUACCAGCCACCUGUAUCAUUGAAGCAAAGAACCUGUCAUAAAUCAUAAGCCAUUAGACAAGCACCUUAUUUAAGGAAAGAAAUAAAAUUGGGUUGAAAAGCCAUAUCUACCUGGGUUAGUUAUCCUCUGCUUCGUCCACGUUCAUAUAUAGAGGUAGUGUGUCUUCCUGAUAUCCAUAAAGCCAAAAUACAUCGUUGCAGGCGGCCUGAUUAUCAACUAUUUCUUCCUUAGUGAUCAAACCCUCCCUUCUAUCAUUCUCAACUUGUUCGGGUGCCUUCAAAACAAAUUAACAAAAAACAAAUGACAUAAAGCAAUAAAUCAAUACUGUUUUAAUUAUUUUCUUCUUAAGAUGCUAGGGAAGAAAAAGCCAACCAUUAUUAGUCUUUCUUUUUUCCUGAUCUGAGGAUGAGUCAAUUUGAAUCUUGCUUAUUGAGCAAAAAAUCAUACAUCAUUUAUUAAGUCAAAUGUGUGAGAAUUAUUAUUAAUUAAUUUAUUUUAGAAGAUAAUUAAUUUCACGUUUGAUUUUUAUGAAUAUAUACGAGAGUUUUACAAAAAUAUUAGUAGAUAUUCCUUCCAUCCCAUUAUGGUUAUCUUUCAUAACAUUUUCAAUCAAACGAAUUCAACUUUAAUUAUUAUUUUCCAUAAUGUAUAUCUCAUCGUUAGUUCUAUCAAUAUCAUUGUCAAGAACGACAAAUUAAGCAUAACAAAAGAAAAAGCUGAGUGGGUACCUCUGUUAUGGCAUGCACAACACGUUUUGAAUCAAUGCUGAAGCUUGUAUUCAACUUGGGGCAUUCUUUUACUUCAGCAUAAUGCAUACAGGGGAAUCGAAAAUGGUAACCCUGAGACAAACUCUUGAGGCUUGGCAGCUCUUUAAGAAGCAGUCCUUGCAAGUUAGGGAGCACUAUUCCCUUCUGAUCAUCUUCAACGUCUAAGUUAAAGACUCGCUCAAGUUUAGAGGCCCCAUCAAUUGAGAUGAUCUUGACUUUUGAAGGAGAACAGGUGAUACUAAGAGGAAAUAAGCUUUUCAAGUUGCUGCACUUAUAAAUUCUUAUAAUUUCAAGACUGGGGAAGGAUAUAGGUUGGAGAUGAGCCUGUGAUGAUGAUGCUGAAGUUUGAUCCAUUUCAAUGAUUUGUUCCAAUUCCUCACAAUGAUUUAUCUCCAAAUGGAUCAAAUGCGGCAAAUUUCGAACAAGCAUAGGAGAGAGGAGGUAUUUCAACCUAUUACACUUUGACAUAUGUAACCAUCUAAGACAUUGAAGGCUUGCAACUUGGAUGGGACCCUGCAACUGAUGUAAAUGCUCUAGCUGUAUAUUCUCUACCCUUGAGAAGAAUUGUCCAGCUUGCAUUUGAAAUAUCUUCACACAAUUUCCAACAGUUAUAUAUUCCAAAUUUACUAAACUCCAUCUUGAUUGAGAAUUAAUUGUGUUGCACCCCUUGUCAUUUCCCAAGUCAGAGAGGUAUAAUUCCUGCAAAGAUAUUAAAAUAUCUUAAUUUCAUUAGAAAUUGAAUAAAUUACAAAGGUCCAACAUAUUGUUACAUAAAUAUUGAAAGAGAAAAGUGCCUUGAAUCCCAAAGAAAGUACACAUCACUCUAUGCAUCUAAUGCCUCAUAAAUCAAGCAAUUACUUUAAUAUUUGUUUGAUUAUAAGUUUACACUGUGAAACUUGAUUACAAAGGUCGAUUAACAUAUGACUUGAAGAGUACAAAAUCGAAAGCGAACCUUUUUUGUAUGAAAUGAGGGAAAUAGCAAUUUUUUCUGUAUAUCAAUCUGGAAAUAGCACCCAGUCGUGCUUAGUUCAGUAUAAGUGCAAACAAAGUGGGGAAGGUAUUUUUUUUGUUUACAGGUUCUUGGAUGGGGAGAUUUUGUACUGAUAUUAUAUCUAUUGCUACAUUUCAGGGGUGAUGUUCUGAUCGCCCAUAUUAAUGCAUAUUAACUUUCAGAUAAAAAAACGAAAAAAAUCAGAAUUAACUUCUAAACUAAUGUGCUAUUCUUUUUUUUGCUUUUAAUUCAUGAGUUUUGAUUUUUAUAUUCAUCAAAAAUAAAGAGUAUAAAAUUAUUUUAAUGGCAAUUUUAAGAUAUCGUUGAAUUAGUUUAUGAAGGUUGAAAAGAUUUGAGUCCAAAGCAAAAUCUGGAACCACAAUUGAGGGAAAAGAGUAUAAAAAAAGUACCUUUAGUUGAGCCUGCUGGUUAACUUCUUUUUGAAUGGUGAAAUUUGACAAUUUAAGACAAUUGAAAACUACCAACUUCUCCAAGGAAGGCGCUGCAAUGAGAAAAUUUUUCCGAGCAAAAGCAACUCAAAUUUAUCAAGUUUCCAAGCCGGAGAUCUUGUAGGCAAGGGAGCACAAUGGCACGACCAACUCCAUUCUCUUCUUUUGUCACAUUGAACAGUUGUUGUAACUGAGGAGAAUUGCUUAUCCAAACGAAUUUCAACCGUGGAAGAACUUGAGCCAAUGGAGUUUGAAAAACAUAUUCCAAUUUUGGACAAUCACUUAUGGUAAGAGUUUCCAAUUUUGGCAAGAGCGGAGAAUAGGGAUGGUCUUCUGAUUCUAUUUCAUCAUCAAAUUCCAACUCAGUGAUAAUGUGUUGGAGUCCAUUGCAAUGAUCUAUCUUGAGUUGUUCAAGGAGCACCAAGCUUUGAGCAAGGAAUGGUGAGAAGAGAUAUUUCAAUCUAUUGCAAUAACUAAUUUCUACAAACAUCAAGCUUUGGAGGCUGACAAAAUGGGUGGACCCUUUCCAUAUCAACUUCAAUUCUGGUAAUGAGUGCAACUCCAUGAGUGUUAAAUUUGACAGCAGUGGUCCUUGAUUUUCUUUUGUAUCAUGUAGAAUCUCAUCUGUCUGAAAUACUUCUUGCAAUUGGCCACAAUUAAUAACUUUCACUUCCUUUAGAUUUUGUAGCAUAGGAGAUAAAGAGACCAUUUCCAUGCAAUUCGUUGCUUCCAACUUCUCUAGUUUUUGUAGAAAUCCCUUUGGAAUCAGACCGUUGCACAACAUUUUCAAACCAGUCAUUUCUUCUAUGACUAAUUCCACCAAAUUGAAGAAUGUAUUGGUUGAGACAUGGCCUUGUGUUGUAUCAAUCAAGCAUUCCAGCUCCUUGCCAUCUUUAAUUAGAAGAAAAGUUAAUUCAUUCAGUCCCUUUGGAUCCACAUUUGGAACCAGAUUUUUCUGAUACAUGACUCCUUUCAGCGUAAGACUUUUGGCAUUGUAUAAUAAAUCCUUCAUGGCAUGCAAUCCAAGGUCCUGAUAAAUUCACAACAAAAUGCUUAGUCAGGCAGAUUUUGUGCUGGUAUCUACAUUGCUACAGUGGUGUAACACCUCAAAAUCCUUUUACACAUUUCAGGGGUGAUGUUCUGAUCACCCAUAUUGAUGCAUAUUAACUUUCAGAAAAUCAGAAUUAACAUGCUAAUUAAUAUGCAAUUCUUUUUCUCACAGCAAUUUUAAGAUACCGUCGGAUUAGUUUAUUAAUGUUGAAAUAUUUGAGUCAAAGGCAAAUUUUAGAGCCACAAUUGAAGGAAAAGAGUAUAAAAGAAGUACCUUUAGUUGAGCUUGCUCGUUAACUUCUUUUUGAAUGGUGAAAUUUGUCAAUUUAGGACAGUCCCAAAAUACUAAAUUCUCCAAGGAUGGCGAUGCGAUGAGAAAAUUUUCUGAGAAAAAGCAACUCAAGUUUAUCAAGUUUCCAAGUUGUAGCUGUUGUAGGCAAGGGAGUGCAAUGGCACGAUCAACUCCAUGCUUUUCUUUUGCCACAUUGAAGACUUGUUGCAAUUGAGGAGAAUCGCUUAUCGAAACGAAUUUCAAUCGUGGAGGAACUUGAGCCAAAGAAAUUUGAAAAACAUAUUCCAGUUUUGGACAAUUACUUAUGGUUAGAGUUUCCAAUUUUGGCAAGAACGAAAAAUGGAGAUGGGCAUUUGUUUCUAUUCCAUCAUCAUAGACCAACUCGGUGAUAAUGUGUUGCAGUCCAUCACAGUGAUCUAUCUUGAGUUGUUGUAGCAGUACCAAGCUUUGAGCAAGGGAUGGUGAGAAGAGAUAUUUCACGCUGUUGCAAAAACUAAUUGCUAAAUACUUCAGGCUUUGGAGGCGAACAAAAUGGGUGGACCCUUUCCAUAUCCACUUCAAUUCUGGUAAUAAGUGUAGCUCCAUAAGUGUUAAAUUUGACAGUAGGGGUUCUUCUGUAUCACGAAGAAGCUCAUCUAUUUGAAAUACUUCUUGCAACUGGCCACAAUUAAUAACUUUCACUUCCUUUAGAUCUUGUAGCGCGGGAGAUAAAGAGACCAUUUCCAUGCAAUUCGUUGCCUCCAACUUCUCUAGCUUUUGUAGAAAUCCCUUUGGAAUCCGACCGUUGCACAACAUUUUGAAACCAAUCAUUUCUUGCAUGACUAAUUGCACCAAAUUGAAGAAGGCAUUGGUUGAGACAUGGCCUUCUGUUGUAUCAAUCAAGCAUUCCAGCUCCUUGCCAUCUUUAAGUGCAAGAAAAGUUAAUUCAUUCAGUCCCUUUGGAUCUACAUUUGGAACCAAAUUUUUCUGAUACAUGACUCCUUUCAGGGUAAGACUUUUGGCAUUGUAUAAUAAAUCCUUCAUGGCAUGCAAUCCAAGGUCCUGAUAAAUUCACAACAAAAUGCUUAGUCAGGCAGAUUUUGUGCUGGUAUCUACAUUGCUACACUGGUAUAACACCACAAAAUCCUUUUAUACAUUUCAGGAGUGAUGUUCUGAUCACCCAUAUUAAUGCAUAUUAACUGUCAGAAAAUCAGAAUUAGCAUGCUAAUUAAUAUGCAAUUCUUUUUCUAACAGCAAUUUUAAGACACCGUUGGAUUAGUUUAUUAACGUUGAAAGAUUUGAGUCAAAGGUAAAAUCUAGAACCACAAUUGAAGGAAAAGAGUAUAAAAGAAGUACCUUUAGUUGAGCUUGCUCGUUAACUUCUUUUUGAAUGGUGAAAUUUGUCAAUUUAGGACAGUCCCAAAAUACUAAAUUCUCCAAGGAUGGCGAUGUGAUGAGAAAAUUUUCUGAGAAAAAGCAACUCAAGUUUAUCAAGUUUCCGAGUUGUAGCUGUUGUAGGCAAGGGAGUGCAAUGGCACGAUCAACUCCAUGCUUUUCUUUCACCAUAUUGAAGACUUGUUGCAAUUGAGGAGAAUCGCUUACCCAAACGAAUUUCAAUCGUGGAGGAACUUGAGCCAAAGAAAUUUGAAAAACAUAUUCCAGUUUUGGACAAUUACUUAUGGUUAGAGUUUCCAAUUUUGGCAAGAAUGGAGAAUGGAGAUGCGCGUUUGGUUCAAUUCCAUCAUCACAGUCCAACUCUUUGAUAAUGUGCUGCAGUCCAUAGCAGUGAUAUAUCUUGAGCUGGUCAAGAAGCACCAAGCUUUGAGCAAGGGAUGGUGAGAAGAGAUAUUUCAAGCUAUUGCAAAAACUAAUUUCUAAAAUCUUCAGGCUUUGGAGGCGAACAAAAUGGGUGGACCCUUUCCAUAUCCACUGCAAUUGUGGUAAUAACUGUAGCUCCAUAAGUGCUAAAUUUGACAGCAGCGUUUCUUCUGCAUCAUGAAGAAGCUCAUCUAUUUGAAAUACUUCUUGCAACUGGCCACAAUUAAUAACUUUCACUUCCUUUAGAUCUUGUAGUGCGGGAGAUAAAGAGACCAUUUCCAUGCAAUUCGUUGCUUCCAACUUCUCUAGUUUUUGUAGAAAUCCCUUUGGAAACUGACCGUUGCACAACAUUUUCAUACUAGUCAUAUCUUGUAUGACUAAUUCCACCAAAUUGAAGAAGGCACUGGUUGAGACAUGGCCUUCUGUUGUAUCAAUCAAGCAUUCCAGCUCCUUGCCAUCUUUAAGUGCAAGAAAAGUUAGUUCAUUCAGUCCCUUUGGAUCUACAUUUGGAACCAGAUUUUUGUGAUACAUGACUCUUGUCAGGGCAAGACUUUUGACAUUGUAUAAUAACUCCUUUACUGCAUUAAUUUCAAUGUCCUGAUACAUUCACAACAAAAUGAAAGAUAUGAGAAUAAUAUGAAUAAAAUUUAAAGAUCUGGGCCAAAAAAAAUAUCUUUUCCAAUGAAAGCUUAUUAAAGUCAAAAAAUAAACCAAAGCUUAGAGUAUCAAUAGUGUAUAUUACACUUACGAGUAGAUGUGAAUGUAGUAAAAAUUAUUGAUGGAAAAUAUGUUUUUUUAUGAGAUAAAUAAUCAAUUUAUAAUUACCAGAAGUAAAACUGAAACGAACACAAUGUUAAAGGAAUUACUUUCAACUGAUAUUGCCACGUAAGUCCUUGUUGAUUUUGGGAAUGACUCAUUACUUGGGGUCGGGCACCAACAUUGGAAGCUUCCAACCCUUUGAAAGAUGGCAACUUGACAAAACAGUUUCUUGGACAAAAGCUCCUCAAGUUUUCUAAGUCUUCAAGUCUUAAAAACUGUAAUUUAGGGAGCAUAAUAUCGUGCUUAUCCUCUUCUUUUGCCAUGUUGAAGACAUGCAUUAGUUGAGGGCAAUCAAUUAUCUGAACUGAUUCCAAGUACGGAAGUCCUUGAGCCAAAGUGAUGGGAAACACAUAUCUCAAACUUUUGCAACUAGCUAUCUCAAAAGAUUUUAAUUUUGGCCAGCACAGAAGAGAGCGAUCCUUGUUUGAAACUAUUUCAUCACCAUUUUCUGCUUCCAUGAUUAAAUGUUUCAAGGAGUU
rnacentral:lncRNA from 1 species